CAUGAUGCACGAGAUAGCAUAAGUAGUAGUAGGAAGCAGCUCUUAUUUGUGGCGUCGGUAUACAUCAUACUAGGUAGAUGGUUCAAUUGGCAUGGAUGGGUGGUGGAGCCUUGAAGUGCUUGUGAUGGGGAGCCCACGGCUUCUUCUCAGGAGUUGGUGGCUUCUUGUAUGGAGUUGAUGGAGGUGUUUCUACUGGAGGGUGGCCAGGGUAGUGACCCUGGGGUGGUGAAGGUUCUUUUGUCGGUGGUGGCCUCACUAUUAUUGGCGGUAGAGUUGGUGGCUUGGGCGUUGGCGGUGGUCUCACUACUCUUGGGGGUAGAGUUGGUGUCUUGUGUUUUGGUGGUGGAGGUGGCUUAACAGGAGUUGGUGGCUUGUAUUCUGGGGGUGGUUUCUCCACCGGAGGUGGCUUAUAAACUGGAGUUGGUGGCUUGUAUUCUGGGGGUGGCUUCUCCACUGGUGGUGGCCUGUAAACAGGGGUUGGUGGCUUAUAUUCUGGGGGAGGCUUCUCCACUGGAGGCGACUUAUAAACAGGGGUUGGUGGCUUGUAUUCCGGGGGUGGCUUCUCUACGGGAGGUGGCCUGUAAACAGGGGUUGGUGGCUUCUCCACCGGAGGUGGCUUAUAAACGGGGGUUGGUGGCUUGUAUUCUGGGGGUGGUUUCCCCAGUGGUGGAGACUUGUAAACAGGAAGAGGUGGUUUGUGCUCAUAUGGGGGUGGCUUGUGGUCAUUAGCAAGUGAGGGAGUGGUGAGGACCACCAAUCCAAGGAACAACACGAGUGAGCAAGCAGAAGACAUGUUUGGGCUCUGGUGAUGCACAAGUAGAAGAAAUGGGAACCAUUUAUAAUGCUUCGAGACCUUGGUUAGCACCAAAAUAUGUCAAAAUCUUGAUUACUUCAUUUCAUACAUAGAUUUAAAAUUAUUUCAAUCAACCAUGAUCCUUAAUUUUCUGGGUGGUCCAUAAAUGUAAUGGGGUCAAUUUGGGACCUAACAAGCUGAGAAGUUUGACAAUGCUGCAAGGCUUCAUCCGAAAGUCCGGGGAAGAAUAUUAGGAGUUACACUCCGUUUCCUUUUUUGGGUGCAUUUUUCUCCUUUAACAUUCUAUUCCCUUUUACAUUAGCAUUUGAUCUUAGCUCAUUUCAAGUACAAGUUUCUUGAACCCUAUACCAUUGUCAAAGUUGAGUAACCAUCUCUACUUUGCUCAAGAAACAUAAAAGACAAUGACAAUAAAGAAAAAGGAGAGAGACCAUACGUGACUUGGUUUAUAGGUGGCUUUGUGUUGACAUUUGAGUAUGGAAGCCGACAUGCAUCUUAGCUUCGAUUUUAAUUAAAUUUGUACAUUAGUGUCUGUGUCAUUCAUUUUGGUAUAAAAGGUCUCUUGAUUUCGUAAGUUUGGUAAGAACCGUUGAAAAUAGCAGUAGCAGCACAUGGUCCACUUUCUUUCACAAAAUAAUUUUAAAAGUUUAGAAGCAUAGGAGGUAACAUUAGUGGCCUUGUGGCUCAGCCACGAGUACUAUGUGGUGCUCGAGAAAUUGAGUUUAAUUUCCUUCCGAUAGUUCAUGAUAAGGUCCGUCACUGUCCUGAGACAGAUUGCGUUUUUUCUUUUUUCCUUUUUUAGUGUUUUAUUGACUAGCUAGGUGUGACUUUUCCUACUUUAAGGCACGAGGCAGAAAAGAAACUGGGAUUUAGUGCUUAAGAAGGCAAAUUUAAUUCGAUUUGGAUCUAAAAUUUGCCAGCAACAUGAGAUUUUCCAGCCUAUCGUUGCUCCACAUAUAGACAAGGCACUUGUAGAAGUGGCUUGUUUGUAGCCAUUCCCGAUAUUUGGACUCACUUGAUUCACCGGACACUUUGAUAAAAUUUAAUAUUUAUUAUUUAAUAAUUUAAAUUGAUUUAAAAUUAAAUUAUACCGAAGUUGUGAUUUAAAAAUUAUUAUUUAAUUCUUACUUUUAAAUAUGAAGAUUAUUUGAUAAAAAUAAUUUAAAAUUUAUUAUAAAUUAUCAAAUUAACAUAUUUAUCCUUAUAAAUUAUAAUUAAAACAGAAAAGGUCAAAUGAUUUGAGUAUCCAUAGAUGUGGUAAAAUAAUAAAAAAGAUUAUAAAAACAAUUAUGAUAAAUAAAGAUAAAAAGUAAAAUGAAUAUGUGAAUUUAAAGAAUAAAUUAAUUAUUUUUAUUUAUUACUUAAAAUUAUUUUUGACUUUAAAUUAUAUUAUUAAAUUAUUUUACCAAACAUACUUAAUUUAGUUAAUAAUUUAAAUUUAAUUUAAGUUAUUAAAUUGAUUCACCAAAUACCCACUUAAUCAAAGACUGAAGUAUACAUUAUUUGGCCAAAUGCAGCUAUUGAAAUUUAACUUUUUCCAAACUUAUUCAUUUUGUGGAAAUAUUUUUAGAAAUGAUUUUAAAAAUGCACUAUUCUGUGUGUUGAUUUUAUAUUUUGGCAUUAAUCCAACAUAGAAAACGGUUCUUAUUUUCGCUGUUAAAUAGGUACCAGAUCCUUAAUUAGUGCCGUGAAUCCGGCAGCUUCCAAUGAGUAAUUUGGACUUGGGUAUUGACAAUGUGUGGCCAUGCUUCUACUAUUUUAUUAUUCUUGAAACAUAUAUGAUAUAUUGGACUUUAUACAGGGAAAAAAAAAAAAAAAAGUCUUCACCAAAAAUGAUUCCUCCUAAAAAAUAGACUCCACAAACUAGGUUUAACAGGAAAAUGAUUCUAAUCUAGUAGUUUCCAGCCACAUGAGCAUUUACGUAACAAUAGUAUAGUUGAUAACGACUUUUAUUUUAUUUAUUUUUAAAUAGUUAAAGGGAUAAUUUUUGAGCUUAAAUUUUAUUUUUUUAUUUAGAAACAUUUUACUUUAUUUUUUAAUCAUAAUUCUAUUAUAUUAAUGUUUUAUUUUCUAUUUUUUAAUAUAUAAGGAGAUACUAAAUUUAUGUGAUUAUUUUUUAAAAAUUUAGUAUAUGAAAUUAAAUAAUUGGAUAUAUAUACAUAUAUCAUAUAAUGUUUUUUAAGUGUGAUUUUUGAACUUUUUAGUCAUUUUAUAAGUUUAAGCUUUUGAUUUUUUUUUUUAAACUUUGGUAUUUUUUAUUUUAUAUAAAACUAUUUUGAUUUAAUUUUAUUAAAAAAUAUUGGUAUUAUAAAUUAUUGUAUUAAUUAUUUUUUUAUAUUAUAAUGUAACUGGUAUAUACUAAAAAAUGUAUGCAAGUUCAAUUUAAGUUUCAAAUUAAAAAAUUUCAUUUAAAUAUUUAAUAACUUGUUCAUAAUAAAAAAUUAAACAACAUAAUACAAAUGAAAAGAAACAUAAAAGAAAAAGGAAAAAAUGGUCCUCUCUGUGUGUCACAUUACUAGGUCAUCCUCUUUUUCUAUGACCCUUACAAUAGAAUGGCAUAUUUGUCAAAUCUACUUAUGAAAGUUGGAAUGUUUCUACAUGUGUAGGGUCCAUUGGAACUAAUGGAGGAAAGGCUUAACGUCUAUGUAAAUCACAACGUUGCCUAGGUGGGCAUAGAUCUAGUUGUGUAACAUGAGAUGGUGUGAGAGUACAAUAUAUGCAUUGUAGUCUCUAUGGGAAGAGAGAUAGGUAAUGGUAGGGUGGUAGACGGUAGGGUGAUCUCUAAUAUAAUGACAUUUGAUGUGGUGGCUUCUAAGAGAGGAGAUAUAAGAGAUGGUAGAAUGACAUUUGGUGUAAUGGUCUCUAGUGCAAUGACAUGUGAUAUGGUGACCUAUAAAGAAGAGAUAUAGGUGAUGGUGAAGUGGUAUGUGGUGUAGUGACCUUUGAGAUAGAAAAUAGAGGUAAUGGUAGGUUGGCAGGUGGAGUGGUCUUUGGUGUAGUGACAUCAAUUAUAAAUGUCUCCAAGGGAGGAAAUAAAGGUGAUGGUAGGUAGUAAAUGUUGAGGUGGUCUUUGAUAUGUUAUGCUCUAAGAGAGAAGGUAUAGGUAAUGAUAAUAGGGAAUUUGACAUAGUGGUGUUGGAAAUAAAAAGUGAAAGUGACCGUAGAGGUGAAAGGGCAAGUGUAAAAGCCUCAAGUACGAAUGGAGUAAUUAAUGUGGAUGGUGCUAACAUAGUCUUAGGUGGAUACACAAAUAGUCAUAGUCAUCAACUAGCUUGCCCACCAUCUGUCUUUCUGCUAGUGAUAGGUUACAUCUUAAUAGUAAUGGCCAACAUAAGUGGUGUGGAUCCGAUUUUUUUACGUGUGUCCCCACUCAAUCGACAAGACUUAUUUUUUAUUAGUGAAAAAUUAAUUUUGGAAAAGUUGGAGUCACCACUUAUUUUAUUUUAUUUUAAAAAGGAAAGUAAAACAAGAAAGAGAACUCUAAAGAAGUGACUUCAUAGUUUUGGAAAAGUUAGUCUUAAAAAAUCCAAGUCUUGGUCCGGAGAUCAGGUUACUUAUUGGGAAGAUACCUCUAAGAGGUAAUACCCCUCUAAACCCUAAAGAAGUCUCUAAUGACUAAGUUGAGGAGAAUGUGGUAAUUAAUUAAUUGAUUGAGGGUACCUAGGUAGACUAAGGUGAUUUCAGAAUUAACAUACCAAGCUAGAAAGUCCAAUCAUGAUCAUAAAAGAGAGUCAAAGUAUGUACCUGAACUGCUUCUCAAACGCUAUCAUAAAACAUCAAAGUUAGUAUAGAAAUAUAACACAUAAUAUUUGUUUUAUCCAAGCAAAUAAAGCAUACAUCUAAGCACCCAAGAAUCACAUCAAGUAUGGAUAUAGUCAUCAAUAGCAUACGUGUCCAUAGAACUAUCGAAAGUAAAUGUGGAGGAGCGUAUCUGGACAACAUAGAUAACUUAUAAUGUGCUUCCACAAGACAUGGGGGUUAGAUAAAAGUUAUAAUAAUAAUUAGUAAAUGAAAGAAUUCUAGCAUGUUUGGUAUCUAAAUAACAUAGCAAAAAUGAACAAGAGUACACGAAAACAUCAAUUAUCACACGAGUCAUAUUGGCUAGUAUUUAAUCAAUAAACCAACAAUAAAUGACUAUAAACAUAUAAAAUGACAUAUUCAAAGAGACCCAAACAUAAAGAGCCUAGAACACAAGCUUACACUAAAUUUAGAAAACUAAAACAUGGAAUUUUAAAAGCAUAAAUUAGCAAACAAAUUGAUGGAAACUAAAUUUAGAUAACUUAAGAAUAUUUUUCUUAUCCUUCAAUUUAAAUCAGUAAGCCAACAAUAAAAAAUUAUAGAAACAUGGAAUAUCAAGAUCAAUGGGAUACCUAAACUAUAAUUUUUAAAAGAAAAUAAACUAAGCAUAAUAUCUACAAAGCAACUAAACUAACAUUUUUUUAAAAAUAAAUUAAACAUGACAUUAAUGGAGUAACCAAACUAAAUUAAAGUAAACUAAAAACAUUUAUGAAUUUUCAAACAUGGAAUCAGCUUUCUUAGUAAAUUAAAAUUAUUAAAAUAAAAUCUAAGCUUAAAAAUGAAUUAAAUACUAACUAAAGCAAAUCUAAAACCAAAUAUUUAACACAUAGGAUCAAUUAUAUUAACAAACUAAAAUUUUAUAAGAACACUUAAACCUAAAGUUGAAUUAAAAACUAACCAAUUUUUAAAACUAGAUCUUUAACCCAUAGGAUCAAUUAUAUUAACAAAUAAAUAAUAAAUAAUAAAUAAAUAAAACUCAAACCUAAAGAUGAACUAGAAAUGUACCAAAGUAAAUUCAAAACAAGAUCUUUAACACAUUAGAUCAAUUAUAUUGACUAACUAAAAAAAAAAAAAAAAAACACUCAAACCUGAAACGAUGUAUUAGAAACUAACCAAAGCAAAUUUAAAAUAGAGUCUUUAACACAUAGGAUCAAUUAUAAUCACUAACUUAAAUUACAAUUUUUGAAACAUGAACUAAUUAGUGUUGGAUUAAUUAAACUAAUUAACUAAAAAAAACUAUAAACUAGAAUACGGUGAAUCAAGAAUUCAAAUCAACAAACAUAAAAUAUGGGUACAAUGAAAUGAAAAUCUAUUAAACUAAUAAGACGGAAAUAUGACAAACUCAUGAACCCACAUUUUGAUCAACUAGGAAAUAGAAAUUAAUAGACCUGUAGCAUGGAUACAAUGAAAUGAGAUCAGUUAAAUUUAUUUGCCGAAAUUCUAAAAAACACAUACACUCAAAUAAGAUCUAAAUCUAAGACCAAGCAAAACUCAAACUUUCUCAAUCUAAUGCAAUGAAUCAAAACUAAAAUUAAAUAGAAAUCAAACCAUUUUUUUUUUAUCUAAUAUAAUAAAUCAAAGCUAAAACUAAACAAAAUCGAAUUUUCUUAAUUUAAUAUGAUGAGUCAAAGCUAAAAUUGAACAAAGUUCAAACCUUUAUAUAAUGGAUCAAAGUUAAAUCUAAAUGAAAUCCAUACUUCCACAAUUUGAUAUAACAAAUCAAAAAUAAAACUAGAUAAAAAAAAAGUCAAAGCCUUUCAACUUGACAUAGUGAAUCCAAACUGAAACGAAACAAAAUUUUAACUUUUCCAAUGAAACCCAAUAUAGAAAAAAUUAGCUUACCUUCUUUAGAAUAUAUGUAUGGGCCAUAAAGAAGUCACCUUGGUGCAUGUGUUCCUCACUUUGACGCCAAUGGACGACUUUCUAUGGUAGCAAAUGGAGAUCCUUUUUGGUGGUAACUUGCGUGUGGAAACCUAUGGUACAACCAAUGUCAUCUUUUAUUGUGCGUGUGGACCAAUUUCUUCUCGAGAACUCAUGUGUGUUGUGCUCAAAAUAUGUUGCCUGUGAGAAUCUAUUGGUAUACCCCACAUAUGGUUUCCUUGAGAGAAUCUGUGGUUGUGUGUGGGCGUUUUCUUCAUGACAGCAUGUGGAUGUUCCCAUCUAUGGUAGAUUGGUUGUGAUGCUUUAGUGCAUGGUCUCCAUAGGAAUAGUGUGUUAUGGAAAUUUGGUUUUUUUAUUGGUGCAUGUUGUCUAGACUUUCCCAUAUGCGUGGACUGUGUGUUCAUGCUUUUCUUUUCGGAUGGUCGCCUGUGUUAAUGUGUGGCGGUGUCUACAAUGAAAGAUACAACCCUUUCUCUCCUUCUGCGUGAUAGAAAAGUCAAUCCCCCAUGGUGCGACUAUGUUCCCUCGUCCUUUUUGAAAAAUUUUGGUGUUUUCCCCCCAAAAAAUCCCCUCCAAAAAUCUAAUUAUAAAUGUCUGCUUUGGCCUAAUGUGUGUGCUACUUUUUUUUUCCUUCUUUUUAUGGUUGUGCGUGCUUUUCUUGAUACGUGGCUUAUUUCUUAAGGAUAUGAUUCGCUCCCAAUUGGUGUCUCAGCUGAUUCAUGUCCUUUCAAUGGUCCCUGACAGUGGUGCCAUUUGAUUCGUGUCCAGCUGGUGUCCCUUGAUUGUGGUCCUCAGAAGGGAGUAAUCAAUAAAAUUUAUAACCUAUUACACCAUGUAUUAGGAUAGCCUUAGCUAGCAUAGCAUAGUGGCUCUAGGGUCGUUUAUUGGGAUGAGUUUUCACUUCACAAUUGAUAUUAAUUCAAGAGCUGAAUUGGUGCCUUUUCAUUUCAAGGUUAGCUUUAAAAGAAAACAUAAUCUUUGGUGGAAAAAGGUUUGGUUUUAAACUAACCAAAAAUAGUAACUGAUUUUACUUACAAAGAAAAGUGUUCUUUGGAGUUUAGAUCACUAGGCUCAGGUUCCUCAUACAAAAAGGAGAGUUCCGAUCAUUUGUUUCUUUUCCUCGCAUUAGAGAAUUAACAUAUAGUUAAUUCUCUAACCGGUGCGGUACAUAUGCUUCCCAUUAAUGGGUUCAAACACUAAAUACCUCUCACUGAUGCACCUUGCAAUGGCUCGUGCCUCUCACCUAGCAUUUAUCAUUCAAGGUGAUCUUUAACCUUGGAUUACCCAUCAAAAGCUCGCAAGAGAUAACUAAAGGAUGUCUCCUUAGAGUCCAAAAGCUUACCAAGUGUUGGUUAUUCUAGAAAAUCCUACCUUCAAACCACCUCCCAAAGGCUCGCAAGAGAUAAACAAGUGCAUCUCAAUGGAUGAAGAUCACUUGCCUUACCAAGUUUUGGCCCAGAUGAUUUAAUGACAUUUUAAGUUAACUAAAAAGAUAAAAACCAUUAACGGGUCACACUUUCUCUUCAUUAAAAACUAAAACAACAAAACUUCCAAUUUAUGCAUGAGGAAACUUACCUGGCUUUCUUCACUUCAAGAGAUGAAGAGCCUAGCCACUCAUCAUUUGAGGAAAAAUCCUCAGAGUUUGAUUUGCUAGAAAUAAAAAUAAUGAGAAAACAAAAAUAUAUAUAUGAAAAACAGAGCAAGUUCUCUGUAAUAUAUUUUUCUUCCUUAUACAAAAGGUUGUCUCUAAGAACAAGUUCCCGAGAUCUAUCUGAUUGUAAAUAAAAUUACAACUAUAUAUAAGAGGUUAUUCACCCCUUUGUUCUUUCUUAAAGACUAAGGAAUCCUAUGAUAGGUGGGUUACAAGGAGAGUUUGGGGAUUUAGACAUCAAAUAUCUAAAGCAAAAUAUCUCAAGAUGUUAGUCGGAAAUAUCAGGAAGCUUCAGGAGAACACCGCGACACUGUAUACUGAGAGAAAAACUCUCCGGGUAAGCUCUAUCAAAGGAUCCAGACAUGUCUGACUGGGAAAGUUGAAACGUCCUUCUCUCCCAUCCGGAUGUGAGAUAUCCGGAGAAAGUGAAAUGUCGGUCGGACAGAAUUCUUUCCCCGGGUGGAAUGAGUUGUGUUGCGCGUCGCAAGGGGGACCGUCUGCGUGUACAAGUUGUAGGGACCCCUCUCCCGGAUGACACCGAGCGCGUAAGGCUAUCCGGAUCAACUCCAUUCGGAUUCCCCAAGAGGACAUGUGGCGUGCUCCCCUAUCAGGACUCCCUUAGGGAGAAGCACACGACACUCGUGAACAUCAUACCCGGACGAUAGCAUGUCCUAUCCGGAUGUGUUGUCCGGAUCAUUGACUAAAGUGAGCAAGCCUUGCUACGUCAUUCGGACAGCUUGCCACAUACCAUGUUCCGUCGCCAUCUGAUGGUGUGUCCGAACGCCUUGUCCGGACAUCUUUUGCUCCUUGCAUUCCGGAUUUGCUUAUGACAAAGGACUUCAAAGCUUCGGUUCUUCAUGUUUCUGAGCUUUCCAUUGCUUUGCCAUGGAUUCCAAAGAACUCUCCUUAAUCACGGAUUGCUUUGGUGAUCAAAAAGUUAUCAAAACACAAAAACUUAACAUAGUUUGAUUAGAAUUGAUUGCAAGGGUUCUUAAUAUGUUAAUUGGGUUAAAAGGUGAUAACUACUACUCAAAAGUGUUUAUAAGAAUUAAUUACAAGCUAUGAAAUAACACUUUUUGAGUAGUAAUCAGGAUACAUCCUAGUUUUUCAUGGAAUUGAUAGUGGGUUGUUGUGCAUGAAUGCCACCAUUUCAACUAUGCUGUUGUUAUUUUUAAAAAAAAUAUGGAUUAUGCGCGAGUGGCAAUUCUCCACUAUGGAAAGUGGAUUGCUCCUUCAACCCAUGCAUGGCUACGUAUUCCUAUGUCUUUCUACUUGUGUUUGAUCCUCCAAAAAAAAUUUCGGUUUAGUGCUAGUAGAUUUUAAGUGGUGGAUCCCCAUUUUUUGAAAAUGAAGUGGCAGCCUCCCAUUUCAAGACAAAAUGGUAGCCUGCCUUUAAUCUUUGGAGAAAAAUCUGUGCAUGACCUUUUUUUUUCCCAAAAAAUCCGUGCAUGGUGUCCUUUAAUAUUUGGAGAAAAAUCUAUGUUGGAUCUUUUCUUUUCUAGAAACAUUUGUGUGGUCUUUUUUGUUAGCCCAAGGGUUCUUCUAAUCAAGUUUUGAUGAUAACAAACCAUGGUUAAGUGACUAAUUGGUUUAAUGAUUAAGAAUCUCAAACAUAAAAUCGAAAAUUCAUCAAAGGACCAAAUGGAUACAAGAUCGAGACGCUUGGAAGACUUGUAAUCAUAGGAAACUAAUGUAAGAUGAAUGCAUGAGUGCACUUAGGAUUUUCACACGUUUCAUGCAACUUAGAAAACCCAGUUUAUUCUUUAAAACUUCAUCCCAGUUUAUUCUUUUUAUGGUUGUGUGUGCUUUCCUUGAUACGUGGCUUAUUUAUUAAGGAUACAUCCCAGUUUUUCAUGGAAUUGACAGUGGGUUGUUGUGUGUGAAUGCCACCAUUUCAACUGUGCUGUUGUUAUUUAAAAAAAAAAAAAAUGGAUUGUGCGCGAGUGGCAAUUCUCCACUAUGGAAAGUGGAUUGCUCCUUCAACCCAUGCAUGGCUACGUAUUCCUAUGUCUUUCUGCUUGUGUGUGAUCCUCCAAAAAAAAUUUUGGUUUAGUGCUAGUAGAUUUUAAGUGGUGGAUCCCCUUUUUUUGAAAACUAAGUGGCAGCCUCCCAUUUCAAAACGAAGUGGUAGCCUGCCUUUAGUCUUUGGAGAAAAAUCUGUGCAUGACUUUUUUUUUCCCAAAAAAUCCAUGCAUGGUGUCCUUUAAUAUUUGGAGAAAAAUCUAUGUGGGAUCUUUUAUUUUCUAGAAAAAUUUGUGUGGUCUUUUUUGUUAGCCCAAGGGUUCUCCUAAUCAGGUUUUGAUGAUAACAAAUCAUGGUUAAGUGACUAAUUGGUUUAAUGAUUAAGAAUCUCAAACAUAAACUCGAAAAUUCAUCAAAUGACCAAAUGGAUACAAGAUCGAGACGCUUGGAAGACUUGUGAUCAUAGGAAACUAAUGUAAGAUGAAUGCAUGAGUGCACUUAGGAUUUUCACACGUUUCAUGCAAUUUAGAAAACCCAGUUUAUUCUUUAAAACUUCAAUUUCAUUAAAACCCGAGUUUUUAACUAAUGUACCUUAGGCAAAAUGUUUUAUAAUUGGCUUAAUAAUUCACCUAAAUACAUUUUCUAAGUGUUAGAAAAGAAAGGAAUUAAAAAAAGGUUUUCGGGGCAAAAAAGGCUCAACCGGUCGAGGCUAUGGUCAACCGGCUCAACCGGUUGAGGAACCAAUCGAUCGGUUGUGCUUGUCCGAUCGAAGACCAAUCGAGGGAUGCCAAAAAAUUUCUCUCUCUCCUAGUGGCCUUCUCUUCCCGGUCGAGGUUCGGUCUAGGCAACGGUAACAUGUCAAGCAUUAAAUGCUCCGACGACUAGUGAAUCGGUCGACCCCUAGCCCGAUCGGACGAGGUUGCCUUUUGCUGUUUUUGACUCCCGAGCUUAGAAACCUAUAAAUUGAGAGCUCCACUUCAUUUAUUGAUAAAAGAGAACACUUGCAUUCAAUAGUCUACCUACCUUUUCUUGAUCAAAAAGCUCUCAUUUCCUUCAUAGUGCAUUAAAUCAUCACUUGCAUAUCCUUUAGUGCACUAUUGUGUGUCAUCCUAGCUUUGUUUUGUAUUUGAGCUAUCCUUAAGCUAGGUUGAGGGAUUAUUUCUUAUAAAAAUCUGAGUGUUAAAGCCUUCAAGAGAUUUGAAUCUUGAAGAGAUUGUGUAAGAGCCCAUUGGAGCCGGAGUCCAAGUGUAAGAAGAUUGGAAGCUUGGUUGAAGCUUCAAGUUAGUGGAACCCUCACUCGGUUAGGAGGUUGAGGAGAGUGGACGUAGGUAAGGAAGUGUCGAACCAUUAUAAACCCGAGUUUGAAUUCUCUAACUCUAUCUCUUUAUUUUGCUUAUAUUGUGUUUGAAUUUGUUGUGAUUGAAAAGAUUUUAAAAACCUAAUUCACCCUCCCCCCUUUUGGGUUUUUUUUUCUUAAUUAAGCAUAACCUUUGUUUUCUAAUUUUCUUUUUAGGAAAAUCCAUGCGUGGUAUGUCCAAACUCUCCAAGUGGCAGUCUGCCUUCUUCUAAAAAAUUUGUUUCUAUUUCUUUAUUCGACUACCUUCCAUGUCUUCCUAAUGAGUGCUUGUGCUCAAUGGUCAAUCCCUGGUGGUUGCCUCCUUUUCCCAUAUAUACGUGUUGCAAAAUCAACAUCCCACUAUAUGUGGGUUGCCUCUAUGGCAAGUUCACAUUUCCCACAUGAAACCUAUGAGUUUCCACCAAAAAUUGCCAUGAAAAAGUCUUUAUAUGCAUCUCAUGCAAUAAAAAGUCAAGCCAAUACUCAUCUUAUCUCGAAAAAUAAGUAACCAAAAUCAAGAUCAUGCCUAAGUGAACUAUGCCAAAAGAAGUGUCCAAGUGACCUAUUAUGAAAAAAGUGCCUAAGUGACCUAAGGUGAAUGUGUGUAAGCUGGAAGGUGUCUAGGAUGUUUAGGACAAUGCCUAAGCCUAAAAUAGGGUUGCCAAGGGUCACAAUGGGGUUAGAUAAAUCUCUCAAUCAGAGUCUCCAAGGUGGCUCAUAAAAGAUAAGCUACACGAGUAAUGAUGGGCCACCAGGGAAUUAUUGUAAAGCACCAAACGAACACAUAAUAGGACAUGUGUUAGAAUGAAAAAAUGGAGGGUUUACAAGUGGUCUCAUGGAUGAGCUUGAUAAUUUAAAUGACUCACAUAAUGAACGUAUGUGAUGUUUCUCUCCAAUAACAAGCAAAACAUCACUAGCAAUAUGAUGAAUGUCUCCUAAAUCACUUGAAGUAGUCCUAGCAAAUCAAUUAGAAAAAUCACACAUAUUGCUCUAAUGUAAUAUUAUAUACAUCUGUCAAUGAAUGGGAGAACUAAUGACACAACCAUCAUGUUGAUAUCUCGAACCCUCUAAUCUCAUAUGUAGGUGGGAUCACACUUAGAAACUCAUAACACAGUAAUGACCAAUCUAAGUCAAAAUGUGUUGGUGAUCGGAGGCCCAUGAAUAUGAAGUUCUAGGAUGAUAAUGACAUCUUAUAAAGUAAUGAUCAUCUCCUUAAUAGAUAGGUGAAAUGUGUGUGUCUUAGGACACCAUCUCUCAACAAGACUUGUGAUCAAUCCCCAGUCUAGUGUAACAUGCCUAUUAUGACAUCCAUCGUAAAAUCUAGACUAGAUAAUAUAAGGACAAAUGUGAGGGUUCAUCUCCCUUUCCCACAUAAAUUUAAAAAAUUAUUAUUGACAAGUUAAGACCAAACUAAGUUGCAAAAUAUAAAUAAGUCCAUUAGAUAACAAAUUUAUGUUUUCUCAUUUUCUCAUUUUUAAAGAGAUAUUAUGUGCUUCCAUGUACAUACAUGCUAAAGUCAAUUAUACGAGACUUAUAUCCAUCUUGUAGAACCAAAUCGAACCUAUCUAAUAGAUCCAGAUUAGAAGUAUGUCCUCUAUACUCCAUAUUUAUAACACAUUUAUAAAGAUAAAUGCUAAAAAAAUGUUAAAGAUAUAAAUUUAAUGAACCAUACUUUAUGAUUUUAAUUCUCAAUUAUUGUUCAUAUUUAUAAGAGAAAAGUUAAAAAAAUUGAUAGAGUUUUCCCUCUAUCAUGGACAUUAUCCCAAAUAAAAAUAAAUUGAUUAUGCAAAUUACAUUAAUAUUUGUAACCAAAUGAUCAAUAACUAUCUUGUAUCAAUUUAGUAAAUAAAUUUAAGUAUAUCUUUUCAUUUAUGACUAACAAAUAACUCAUACUUGUCCAAUAAAAGCCACACCUAAUUUCUAAAAUUUUGUCUUCACCUCAAGUGAGUGUUACAUUGAGAAAGAAAAAAUAUGAAAGAAAAAAUGAACACCUUUUUCUUUUAAUAAAAAAAGGCCAUAACGAAACAUUAAAUCUCACUGUUACACCUAUCUUCAAUGGAAACAUGAGGAUGUGAAUGGUGGCGGUGAUAUUCUUUGCUUGAAGCUCAUAAACAAAUAUUCCUUACUAAGCCUAUGCCAUUUAGUAUUUCAAUAGUGGACCCCCCCCCCCCCCCCCCCCCCCUCCUUGCAUUUCAGAUUUAGCAAACUUAGAACCAAAUAACAAAGUGCAUUUGAACCCAUAAAGAAGUAAUGAGACUCUCCUAUAUUGGCAAUAGAAGAAAUUUUUGGAGGUAUAGGAGAUUCACGGAUGAAGAAGUUGGGCCCCAAUUGAGAUAAGACCCAAGAAAAGAUGGGGUAGAGAGGGAUGGUUGGAAAUUGUAAAGUAAGAUUUUCAAAAUGUAGUUGAUGACUAAGAUUUUGACAAUUUAAAAAAGGUUUAAAAAUGUAGUUAGCAAUCGGGGUUUUGUAACAUUUAAAAAAUAAAAUAAAAUCUCAGGCCACAUGGUAGCCCAUGUGAUUCAGAAGCUUGAGAAUUAUUUUAUAAGAAGACUUAAUUUGUGAUUUUUUUAUAACUAUAUUAUUUUUUUUCUUAACACACGAAAAAAAUUAUGAAAUAAGACAAUUUUCCUAAGAAAGCAUGUAAGUGACUCUUGGUUAUUUUAUUUAACUUCUUCUAGUUUGGAGAGGAUUAAUACCUUUGCUUUUACUCACUUGCUUGGAUAUGUACACGUUGUUCAUGUCACUUUUCAUUUAAUUUUCUGAUUAAGGGAAUUGGAACCGUACGUAACUGUCUUUAUUCCCUCUGAAACUUGGACUUGGAGUUGGACUUUCAAUCUCAUCAGUCGUGUUUCCAUAAAAAAGAAGAUGGAUUAACCAAUUUUCCUAUGCCUACUAAUCAUACACAAAACUCCACUUCCAAAUAAAAAGGAAUGGGAUAUCACUUGUUAAUAGUGGCUAAAGACUAUUAAUAACCAUGCAAAGAAAUGUCACAUUUUUUGUUCUACGCAAAUUUUAUUCAUCAACUACUAGAACCAUUUCAUACAAUAGUAGCUUUUCGAUCCUUUGAUAAAUGGACACUUGAUGUGAUAACACCAACUACACCUAUAUAUUCAAGCAAUCAUGCGUAUAUAAUAGUGGAUAUGGAUUACUUCUCUAAAUGGGCAAAAGUUUUGUCAUUCAAGGAAAGUGAACGAGGAAACACAAGUUUACUUUCAUCGGAACUAAUAUUAUAUAUUGAUAUGACUUCCCAUUAUUACUUACGAUGGAAUAUGCUUCCAUAAAAUGGCCUAGAUGAACAAACUAUCCAAGAAGUUUGGGAUCAAAUAAUAUAUAUAUAGUUCAUGUGUGAUUCUUUGGUUGACAACCUUGUUAAGGGGUGAGUGAAGCACUUUGGGCAUACCACAUACUACAUGCUAGACUUCCACCCAAGCUACCCUAUAUUCCUUAUGAACAAAGUAGAAGUUGUCAUCUCUCUUGAAUACCAAAUCCUUUCACCUAAUAAUGCUAUCUAAAAAGGUCUUAAAAAGGAUAAAAAUGCGCAUAUUUGAAUUUUUGAAUUAGGAGUGCUACUUAAAAAGAAGCUAGAUAUACAAUAAUAGAAUGUUAUCAAGCAUAUCUCUUCAAAGUUUUUGACCAAAAAAUAUAUGAUUUCUCAUUUUAGGUAGGAGACUUAGUACUCACUAUUCAAAAACCAAUUAUCAUUACUCAUAAAAACUAAUAGAAAGUUUGGGCCAAAGUAGGAUGGACCUUAUAUUAUGCAACAAUUAUGCCUAUAAAAUUGUUGCAAAAGAGGUUUUAGAAUCAAAUCAAUGAAUGAAAAAUUAUUAAAGCAUUACUAUGCUUGAAGGCUAGUCAUUUUCCCUUAAAGUGCAAUAUUAAGUUGCAUAGUACUAUGUGGAUCCGCAUUUUUCACAUGCGUUCCCACUCAUUGUCGAGACUCACUUUUUAGAAGUGAAAAAUUAGUUUUAUUAAAGUCGAAGUUGCCACUGGGGAUUUGAACCCUAACAAAAGGUUCAAUUUAAGGAUAAAAAUAUCGAUAAUCACAUAUAUAUAUAUUGGUACUUUGAUUUUAUGAAUAUAUUGAAGAAAUAUGGACAAAUAUUUUGACACAAAAUAUGUACAAAAUAAAAAUUAUAUAAAAAGUAAAAAUAAAUAUUUUAAAAUUAUUUUUUUAAAUAUAUAUAUAUAUAAUUUGACAUAUUUGAUAAUAAUAUAUAAGGGUCUCCAAAAAGCCCGUGGCCCGCUUUAGGCCCGGUCCGACCCGACAGGCUAAAGCCCGGCCCAAGCCCGCCGGGCCCAAGCUCGGCCCGAGCCCGUUUAUGGGUGGGCCGGGCCGCGAGCCCGUAGGCCUGCUCCUUUAAAAAAAAACUACAAAAAUAAAAAGUAUUAAAAAAAAUAUUCAUUUCAAAAUUUUAUUCAUUGAAUGUAUAAUUACAUUUGAAAAUGUGGGAAAAGUUUACAUCACUACAAAAUAAAUACAUCCCAACUAGGUUGGCACCUAUUUAUUUGUCAAUCAUCUGUAUUUUUCAACCACAAAAAAUAAAAAUAAAAAUAUAAUAUACAUUUAGUCAUUAUUUUCUGGCGGUGAUGGCGAACUAUCAUGCAUCCAUGAAGAUCUUGAUAAUUUUAAAGAUUCCAUAUCGGUAAGCAUCUUUGUUUCUCGAAUGGAAUCAUACAUCCUUUUAUCUGCUAUUUCCCAAUCUUUCACACAUAUCCCUGCUUUAAUAACAUCUGACGCUAAGUUGCAUCGUUUUUUACUAACUACUCUUCCACCUGCACUAAAAGCAGCUUCUGAUGCAACUGUACUCACAGGAACUGUUAGUACAUCACGAGCAAUUAUAGAAAGCACAGGAUAUUUGUGUUGAUGUGAUUUCCACCAUAUUAAAAUAUUAAAAUCUUCUUGAUCUUCAAAUGAAAUUAUAUCAGUAUUAAGAUAUUUAUCUAAAUCAGAUGUAUUAUUUGGAGAAUUAUUUGUUGUCUUUUUUCGACUUUUCAACAUUUCUAGAGCUCCUUUAUAAAAAGAUGAGGAGUUUGUAGAUGUAGGUGGUAAUUUAAUAGUAUUAAUAUCAUUACCAUAUUUUUCUUUAUAAUAGUUAUAUAAAUUAUAUAAUAAUGAAUUUAUUUCAUUUUUAAUUUCUUCAAUUUUUAUUUGGUCAUUAAAAUAAAUAAUUGUUAACCAUUCAUCCAAAGCUUCAAAUUUCAAUCUAGGGUCCACAAUUAAAGCAAUAUAAAAAAUUAAAGGUAUUUCUCCCCAAUAUUUUCUAAAUUUUUAUAUCAUUACAAAUAUUGUAUCAUUAAAUAUUUCAAAACUUAAAUAUUUUUGAAGUACAAUAAAAAUAUUAGUUAUUUGCGUAAUAACUCGAUUUGAAGUUGGAUAAUAUACACCACAAAAAAUGUUUGUUGAAGUAUCAAAAAUUUCAAAAAGAUCUCUUAAAACAUCCGCAAUAUGCCAAUCAUAAUCAUUUAAUGCAUAAAUAUCUGCUUCAUAAUCAUUGUUAAUUAAUUGUAUUUCAUAUAAUUCGACUACUUUUCUAUAUUUUGUAAUAUUUUCUAAAAGUUUAUAUGUGGAAUUCCAUCUAAUAGCCAUAUCCAAAUUUAUAUUUUUUCUUUUCAUAUUUAACAUUUUGCAACAAUCAAAAAAUAAUUCAUGUUUUGCUUGAAAACUAUUAAUACUAUAUGCAAUGCCUCUAAUUUUUUUCCAAUGUACUAUCAACAUUUUUUAAUCCAUCCUUUACAAUUAAAUUUAAAAUAUGUGCACAACAACGCACAUGAAAUAUUUUAGCAUGAUCUUCUUUUACUUGCCAAUAUCGUUUUAGUCUAUGUAUUGCUGCAUCAUUAUUAGCAGCAUUAUCUAAUGUUAUUGUCAAUAUUUUAUCACGAAUGCCUAAAUCUAUAAUUUCAUCAUUUAUUAAAGAUGCUAUAUUUUUACCACUAUGUGGAGUAUUUAUUAAUUUAAAUAAAAUUAUUCUUUUAUUUAAUUUCCAUUCAUUAUCAAUGUAGUGAACAAUUAUAUAUAAAAAACCAGUAUGAGUUAAAGAUGUCCAAAUGUCAGAUGUUAAACGAAUAUUUCCUUCAAAAUUUGCAAAAUUUUUUUUUAAAAUUUCUUUUUGUGUAUAAAUUUUUUUCAUAAUAUCUCUUUUAACUGUAUUUCCAGAUCAACCUUUAAAUUGAGGAUUAAUACCUCGUUGAAUUGUUCUUGCAAAAUCAUGAGUUUCCAUCAUGUUGAAAGGUUGUUCUGCUCUUAUUAUAUAAUCAAUCAUUUCUUCACAACAGUUAGAUUCAUCAUAAGAAAAUGUUUUUAAAUUUCCACUUUCAUUUUUACUUAAUUGCAUAUAAUUUCUAAUAUCUACAUUAUUUUUAGUUUUACAAUUUUCAUGAUGUCUUUUUAAAUGACUUGUAUCUGCAUUUGAGCCACCAGUAAGAAAUUUAUUACAAAUUUUACAUUUUGCUUUUAUUUUUUUUUUAUUAUUUUCUAAAAUUAUUUCUAUUCUAUCAAAAAAAUUCCAUAUAUUUAAAGUAAAUUUUUUGUUUGAUGAUAUUUCAUCACAUGGACUAGACGAAGAAGCACUUGUCAUAUUAUAAUUAUUGAUAAAAUAUUAUGCCAAAAAUAAUAAAGUAAUAAAUAUAAAAAAAAAUGUAACAAAAAAAAUAAAGUAGUAGGGGUGAAGUAUGUUACUCAAUUAGAGAACCUAUGCAGAAAUUCCUAGCAAAUUUGAACUCUUGGAGCCACCAAUGCUUGUUUUGCACCAUCAACAAUAUUGUAUAAUUUGAGGGAAAAAUAAAAGAAUUUAAAAUAUUGUAGAAUGUGAGAGAAAUAGAGAGAAUUUGAUGAAAAAAUGAAAAGGAAGAAAAUGUAUUUAUAGGAAGGUUAAAAAUAAUAAUAAUAAUAAUAAUAAUAAUAAUAAUAAUAAUAAUAAUAAUAAUAAUAAUAAUAAUUGGCCAUGUGACCGUUGGAGGCUUAGCUCCAACGGUCACAUGGGCUGGAGCUAGGCUCCAACAGUCACAUGACCGUUGGAGCCUUUAAUUUUUUUUUUUAAAAUAAUAUACUUUAUUUUUAUAUAUAUAUAACUAACUCAAUUAAUAAACAUAAAAAGAAUAUAGUUCAGUUGGUUAGAACCUUGAAGUUUAAACAUGAGGGGAGGGGUUUGAAUCCCUCCCUCUCCCUUAGGGGCUUUUUUAAAAGCCAUUUUGGCUUAUUUCAAAAAGCCUGUCGGCCCGACCCGCCCUGCAGCCCGCGGGCCUAGCAUUUUAGCAUGGCCUGGUCUGUUGACUAGUCAAAUGGCUCAUAGGCUCGGCCCGAACUGGGCCGCGGGCCUCUUAUUUACGGACCGGCCCGACCCGGCCCGCCCGUUGGAGACCCUUGAUAAUAUCUUCUAUAUUAAGUUACAUUAUAGUUUAUUUUACAAUAUUAUUAUGAUAAUAUGUCUAAUUUUAAAAUAUAUUUAAUAUUAAAAUUAUGAUCUAUUUUAAUUUAAAUGUAUUCAAUGAUAUCAAAUAAAUAAUAAUAUAUGUAUAAUUCUUUUAUUAUUUAUAUUUAUUAUUUUUAAUAAAUAUAUAGAUUAUAUAAAAAAGACCGGAUAUAUCUUUUCAAAUUUUGUAUCGCUCUCCAAGGAUAUUAGAUGUAUGGGAAUUUGUAUUGCUAUCUACGGAUACGUUGAUAUAUGGGUGAUUUAUCAGGAUAAUUAGAAAUUCUAAUUAUGUAAGCAGGUACGGAGUUCUGUGUCGGUGCGAUCUUGUCGACAACAGCUCCAAAUUGUGCAUCUUGCUCAUAGAGAGUAGCGGAAUGCACCAAUCGUAGGCUCAGAGUACCACUGAGUCGUCUGGCAGAGACCCAACUGAAGGUGCCUGUGUUGUUCCUGAUCUGAUCAGGCUUCAAACUACAAGGUGGAAUACUGGUUCCCCUAUAUCAGAAGCUGGAGAUACCCACCCCAUAUGCUCGUCUGGAUGUGCUCCUACCCUUUGAAGCCUUCUUCCGAGUCAAGUCCGAAUUGAUAAGGCUAGUGAGUUCCCAACCAACUGUACUCAGCAUGCUGCCAGGUGGAGACCCUCCAUAUUUGAUGGCUUCCUAAUAUUAAAAUGCUGACCACUGGUCUUCAUGUUCCACAGGCUUAAUUGUGUCCUUUGCUGAAAGAAUGGAUAGUGAUCCAUUUUAACACAUGAUUCACGCCGUCUUUGCCAUUCUUCAUGGUCUAGCCCUUUUAUAUAUAUGCUUCCUGAACUGUUGCUAUUAAUAAAAUGUGGUAUCUAUCCCGUACACCUUCCUGAUGGCCAGCGAAUGCAGAAGCUACAGAAACGGUUCCAUCUUUUGCUUCCGCCACUUUGGCAUCCUCCAUGAUGAGAUCGAAGGUGAAUAAUCAUAUUCUGGGGAUUUAUGUCCUGGAUAUUCUCAGUAAUGCCCAAUUUCCUGGUGCCGGCCUCAUUUCCAUGGGAACUGAUGGAUAACUUAAGGCUUCUACCAUCUGCGUGGUUCGCUUCUAACACAGGAAACUUCACGGCUAAAAGCAAGAUACCAAGAACAUCAAGGCUGUGACAAAAAUUAGUAUUUUUAACUUGUAGGAAUUUGAAAGGCAACCAACCAUCUAGCUCUGUUCUUAAAGCUCCCAUAGGAGGAUCAGAGGCUGGAUUGCUCAAGAUGAACUCAUCCAUUGUUGCACUUAAAAAGAAUUGGCAUGAAUUGUGGCCGCUCUAAUAGGUUCCCUAAACCAUCAUCCAAGUGGGCUUGCGGAAGGUAGCGAGUUUAAAACACCUAGGGCGAUGAACAGUGGACUGUGAUGCUCACAAAAGAGAAAAGGAAGAAUUCAAUAAUUCCUAAGAAUCCAUUUGCCUGUCAUCCAAAUUUUUAUAUUCUCUUCAGUCUGACGCGUUAUGCCAUAUAUUAAAAAUAGCGGCUUCUUCCAAGCCGAGACAGACUGUGCAAAGUUCGCAAGGCCAAUCAUCACCAUAAUCUGAAGUUGGCCUCCUCAAUCGCAGCUUGUAUCCGAAUGCUCACUUCACGGGAUGGAUUGUAAUGAAAACUAAUCUCAGUCCCAGCUAUGGCAGCAUCCUCACUUGACAGCAUUUUCUGCAUAUUCUAGAACAAAGCAAUAAACCCUCAAAGGCUCCUUCGGAUCAGAGUUAGAAGACUGUCCCUCAGGAACGUGAACACUAUGGUGGUUCUGAUAAGCAGUGAUAUUGCAUUAGAGCCUUUUGGAACAAGAGGAUCUUUUCAGGUGGAAACUGUAAACUGCUUCAUGUUGGGCUGCAACCUUUUCUUCAAGCAAUACUUUCUUUCUGUAUCACGACUUAUGUUGCUUCCGGAGCCAUCCCGUGUGGACUGCCCUUCAGUGAAAGAAUAUGUGUGUUGACAUGUUGGAUUGUAAUCUUUGUUCCACUCUAAUGGCUUUUGGUCCUCCUCUUUCUCUUUAUGACAGAGAACCAUUUAGUGAUCCAUCUCUAUAUUGUAGCAUUGCUGGUGCUUUGCAAUACUACACUCUCACCAAGCAUAACAUCUAUUUUUCCGUGACCAAAGUAUGUCGGUUUAUGCAUGCGCAAACUCUUAUUCAUUGGCAAGUUGUCAAGCGUAUCUCAUGAUUUCCCAAAGCCACAAGUUCUUAUGGUCUUUCUGUUCAAGCUUACAAUGAUCUAUCUUUUCUUGGUUAUACUGAUGUCGAUUGGGCUAGUUGCCCUGAUAACAAGCACAAUACUAGUGGGUACAACACUUUUCCUGGUCCUAAUCUCAUUUCAUGGGCAUUUUCAAAGCAGAAGGUUGUGUCUCACUCCAAUAACGAAUCUGAAUAUAGGGGACUCACUAAUUAAUGUUGUUGCCAAGGUCACUUGGAUUGAAUCUGUCUUACGUGAGUUGCGUGUUUCUCUACCCCAACCACCAAUUUUGUUGUGUGACAACAUUAGUGCUACACACUUGGACAAACCAUGUUGAAAUACACUAUCAUUUUAUCCAUGAAAGGCUUAUGCAUCACACACUCAAAAUUCAAUACACCUCUUCUAUAGACCAACUAGUCAAUGCUAUGACCAAAGCUCUUCCUUCAUCUCACUUGUACAAUCUUCAGUGCAAGCUGAUUGUUCUUCCCAAACCACUCAACUUGAGGGGAGAUGUUAAGCCAAUUUAAUAAAUUGAUUUCUUUUGGUUAAUUUGUUAGAAUCAUUUUUAUUAGAGGUUUGUUUGUACAAUUACAUCCAUUUAUCAGGAGAGUACACGUGUACAACUCCUCUUUUAAUCUCACCAUUGUAUAUAUAUGAUACACGACCUUACUCAGAAUUGCAUAACAUUUCCUCUGCUCAUUCCUUUUCUUCUUUGAAUUUUCCCUUACCUCACUGAUUUUGAUUUAUACCUGGUGUUUUCACCUUUGGUCUCUACCUUUCUAGCCAGUUUUCUAAUUAAUCCGUAUAUGGUAUACCUGUCAACUAAUGAGGAGAAAGAGAAAAGGGGAUUGCUGUUCCACCAGCUACAUAUAAUAAUUAAUUACAAUCAUGGUAAUGGAUCCUGAAAUCCAUCCUUUGUGGAUUUUGUACGGAAUAUUGUUGUUAUGUAUGUGGGCUCACUUAGAUGUAUAUUGCUAGCCUGUCUGGGAAAUGUGAUUGCAGGUCCAGAUUAUGAUGUUGAUAUUAGUGGGAUAAGCAAGAGAUGCAGUUAACACGUAUGUGAUGGACUUGAGUAACUUUUCCAUUUCAGUCCAUUUUUUAAGAUUAUGCUUAGUCUUAUUACAAGGAAAGACCAUAAGAAUCAUGAGUCAUUGGCAAGGUAAUAUCAUUCCCUCUUUACAGGCUUCUUCACCUUUUGGUUUUUUUAAUAUCCAUCAAGAUCUUUUAAUUGGAGGACAAUUACAAGUAUAUAUAUAUGUAUUAAAAGGGGAAAAUAUUAAAACAGGAAAUUUUAGGGAAAAUAUAAUAAUUAUUUCUUCCUUCUUUCCCAUAUAGAACUACACAAAAUAAAACUUUAAUAAUUUUUUCUUAUCUUUUUUAUUAUUAUUUUUUCUUAGAAACAUCCGUGGUCUCACAAGCUUGUAAUCCUAGAUUGUUAGGCUCCUUUAACAGUGCCCCAACAUCGUGGUCCAAUGACAAGCUUCCACGCCUUAAAAUCAGAAAAUGCCAUUAAACUUUAUCAGACAUUACAGUUCAAGACAAAGCUUUCAUUUGCUUAAUGUGAUAAUGAAAUUGUUAAUUUCAUUUCGUGGGCAUCUAAAUUUGGACGAGCAAGACCUCUGAAUUCCCUGUUUUUAUCACCAGCAGAGGAGAUAAAAUCUUAAUGGUGAGAAUCUCCACGUGAAAUUUAUGUGUACUGUCAACAUAUUUUUGUUUAUAUAGUCCAGUAGCUGCAGGAAGUCUAGAUUAUAUAGGUAGCAGUAGCACUAUUUAUAGCACUCGAUAUUCGCUGUAUGAAUACAUUAAACCUUGUUUUCAAUACGCAUCACAAGCAAGUACUAGAUACUACAAGGAGUGACAGUCGCAUCAACAUUUCUUGAUAAUAGCAGUGACUGAUUUAUACACAGAACAGUACUGUACACGUACCAGUCACCAGAGAUAGGAUCUUAUUCCUACAUACGACUCUUAUUGAUCGAAGUCACUCAGUUGGGGUAGCCUGGAGUUGGAGGUUUGUGUGGUGGCUUCUUCUUUGGAGGAGGCUUUAUCUUUGGAGGCAUCAUCUUUGGAGGCAUCUUGUGUGAGUCUUCUUCAGCAUUCUCUACAGGAGGAUGGCCAGGCUUAUGACCCUUAGGUGGUUUGCCAACUGGGAUUGGUGGCUUGUGUCCUGAGAGUGGCUCCUCUUCUUCGGGAGGUUUGCCAACUGACGUUGGUGGCCCGUGUCCUGGGGGUGGCUUGUGUUUUGGGGGUGGUUUCACUCCACCGGGAGGUUUACCAAUUGGUGUUGGUGGUUUGUGCUCAAUCGGUGGCCUCUCAACUGGGGGGCGCUUGGGGUAAUCAGCGAGUGAAGAAGUGGUGAGAACCACCACUCCAAGCAACAACACUAGCAAGUAUGUGGAAGACAUCUUUGAGUUUGGCUCAGAUGGUGUAGAACUAGAAUCCUGGGUGGCCUUUUAUAUUAGUUGGGCCCUAUGCCCGAACGACAAGUGUCAUGGUGACACAUAAAGUGAUGGGGUCGAUUUGGGCCUACCGGAUUUGAAAACUUGGACAAUUCGAGAAGCGUCUCCUGACUCCGGGUUGUAAAGUGAAAGAUUAGGUAUCGACCAUUGAAGUAUGAUCACAACUUUUGGCCUUUGGCUCUCUCUACUGCCGUAUAGCUUUUUUCCUUUGGAUAUUUUUCUUAGCUAGACACAAUUAUUGAGCAGUCUAAUCUCGAAAUGGGAUUAGUAUAGCUUUAAGCAAAUUUAUUAUAGUUAGUGGAGGACUUUUAAGAGUGCAGACGACAUUUAACACAUGCAUGCAGUAGUAUAGGGGACAUAACACUAUUCUUUUUCCAAAGAUUCACAUGAUUUUUAUAUUAUAGUAUUGGCACAUUGUAUGUAGCUGGUUUUGUGGUUAAAAUUCCAUAUGUAGACACUGGCGUUUCUCCAUUUCUCACAAUUGAUGUUUACCUCCACGAUUACUAGAUUAGAUAUACCAAACAAUAACACAUUGUAUAAUCUAUCCGCCCUUCAAAAUCUACUGUAUGAUGAAAUGUUUCAUGUGUGUGUGAAGUGUUAGAAAUGCACUAUAGGCAACAUCAUCUUCUUUUGUCUAGGCUUGGGCCUCAAAUUAUACUCCCAUGCCAUGAUAAAUUUUCAUGUGCAUUCUCUAAAGAAGAGUGUCUUGAAUGUGCCAAAUCAUUUUGAUUGAUUUUAUGAUGUUAAUUGCUCCGCAUAUGGAUGGGUAUGUGCUUUAUUUGCUUAUUCAAUCCACAAUUACCUUGAACUGAAGUCCUAUUGGAGCUCUAUUAUUUUAGCAACGUCCUGUCAAAUAGGCUGCUAACUUGGGGUGGUAUGGACCCAAUGAUCCAUCUUAAUCUUGGGUUGAUUUUGUCUGACUCUAUCUAUCUCAGAGAGAACCAGGAUCACCAGUGCUGGUCUGCUUAAAGAAGACUCAGUACUGGAUUAAUAUUGGUUUGGGUCAAUAGCUUAUAAUGCAUUGAAUGCAGAAUAAACAAGAUCAAUGAAACCCAAAACACACUGCCCACACAACUUCACUCUGGUGUCUGUUAUUCAUCAAUUCUAUUCCCACAUGAACUGGUUCAAGUUUAAGAAAAUGACAACGGAUCCACUGUAUUAACUUGGUUUUGCUUGGUUUUGAGCUAGUUGCCAAACCAGCCAUGAGUUUUACCUCUAAUGUCAAUGAACAAACCCCAAAUGAACAACUGCAACAGCUUAAAGAGAAGGAAUGGAGAUGAAAAUCCCUGUUUCUUCUCAUUCUGGGGACAAAUUAGAACAUAACUACAAAGGUUCUAUUAAUUGACUUACUCUACCAUGAAUUAUGGUUCUUUGGUUUUCCAAAUUUAAAUUGUACAUGAGAUUAUUUUUUUCCUUUAUAUAUAAACAUAUUAAGGUUUUCUUAUUUCGUGGGCAAAUGCGCUAAGGAUGAAAGUCAUUUCAUUUGGCUGCAACAGCAUCUUAUAAUCAACAUGCAUAAGCAGCAGUUUUAAUUGAUCGAUUGAACACCGACUCACAAGAAUAGAUAGAAUGGUACAAGACAGCUCUUAUUAAUUUAUACUCGUUACUCAUUUUAUGUAGCCCCAUUAAGAUGGCUGGCUGGACCACCGAGGUCUGGGGGUGGUGUUGCUUGUGUGAUGCAGCGGGCCGGGCAGACACUUCUCUAGUUGCUUCUAUUUGGAGUUAGAGGAUCAGUCUCUGCCAACCUUGAGGACUCUCUACCUCAGAGGGUCCAGGUGGUGGACUCUGGUGUCGGUAGCUUUGAACUCUCAGUAGACUAGUGUGUCUUAAUCAGUCACUGCCAGAGGCUGGCGUAGGCAGUGACGAUAAGGUGAGACAAAUUACCGAAUAGUCAAUAUCGACUGCACUUGACCAUUAUAGAUUUGUUCUGACAAAAGUGAGAAAAGGGAGAAAAUCGGAUGUUGACCUUUAUAGAAAAAGAUAAGAUUUACUGCAACACAGAGCACUGAUUUGUUACUUGGAAACCAAGUUAUGCUAUUAGCUAGCCUCCAUUAGCAGCAGGGUACCUUGCUGCCUGAUCCUAAUCUGAGUUCCCAAGGUUUCAAUCUUCGUUUGUUAACGCUUCAGGAUUUGGAUAUUUCAGCUUCGUUUCUCCAUUUAGCCAACGCUGCCUGGUUUGGAUUUCAAUCCUCAUCUGGAACAUUCUUUUUUCGGUCUGAUUCAGGAAGUGUUUGGUGAUAGUUGAUUAAAAUUAAACAGUACUAUCAUACAAAUAAAGCUGAUCUAAUUUUGGUGGGCAAUAUACCAACUCAUUUAUUCUUGAAAACACCAUGGGGAAUUGGAGGUCCAUCCGAAGUACUAUUUGAUGGGACUCACAAAAAGAACAGGUGCACAUUUAUGAGAUCCGUGGAAGAGAUAACUAUGACAGCUAUGCAUGUACAACAGAUUUAUGUCGAGUUCACCUCGUAGAUAUUUUGUUUUCAGUGUCGGUGGACCCCAAAAUGGAAAUCGGAAAUUAAGGUUAUAUUUAUUUUUUUAUUUAAUUUUAAAUAGAAUUUUAAUUUUUAAUAAUAUUAAGUAUUAAAUUAUUUUUUUAAGGGUAUUUUAUUUUUAUUAAGUAUUAAAAAGUAAAAAAAAUUAAUAUGUUGCUUUUUUAUUUUAAAAAAAUUAUAUAUUUUAAUUUUUUCUAUUUACUAAAAAGUUUAUAAUAAAUUAUAAAAAAAUAAAAAAAUAAAAAACUUAAAUUCUGAAAAUAAAUUAUUUUUAAUAAAAAAAUCCAAAAAAGCAAACACCACCUAAAUUUGAGAUGACUCAAAAUUUUAUAUUUUUUUUCACCUAAAUUAUAUUCAUAAAUUUAAAAUUAAAAAAUUAGGAAGUUGAAUUUUAUUUUGGAUAAUUGGAAACUACAAGAAAUCAAUAAAAAUAUUUGGAAAAAAAAGAAAAAGAAAAACUAUCUAUAUAUUCACCCCCUUCUAAGAAACAUAACUUUAGUUUUUAACUAUUUUUUAAAAUAAUUUUUGAAAAAUGUUAUAUAAUAUUUUAUAAAACAAAAAAUCUGUUUGACAAUUUGAUAUGUCUUUAACUUAUUUUUAAUAUUUAUAUAUAUAUAUUUUAAAAAUAAUUUUAUAUUUAGAACUUUAUCUUUAAUUAUUAUAUAUAUUUAUAUAAUUAUUUUUUUUAAAACAACUCUUAAAAAAUAAGUGAAAGUAAUUGAAAACAACUCAAAGAUAUUUGAUGAAAACACUCUAAUUUGUAUUUUUGAGAAUAAAAAAAUAAAUAAAUAAAUUUCUAGUUAUCAAAUGUAUUUUUUAAUUCUUUUAUUCUAAAAAAUAGAAAAUCGUUUUUGAAAAUAAUUAUUAAACAACAUUCUUAAAAAUUCACUCGUUACAAUCUAGAUUUAAUGCAAGAAUGAUUGAAGGAGUCCUCCAAUAGAACCCAAAGUUAUAAACAUGAACAAGAAGCCCUAGAAACACCAAAGAUCUCAUAUGGUAUAUAUAUGAGCUUGAUUGAGAACUGUUUUAAAUUCAGUUUUUUUUUUUUUUUUUUUUUUUUGUUUUCAAAGUCAAAACAAGUUUACUUUUAAUUUUUACUUCUUUUUUUUAAUUUUAUAAAUAACAGUUUUUUAAUAAUUUAUUUUGAAAACAUGAUUAUUUUUAAAACUUAUAAUGAAAAUAGGAAUUUUUUUUUUAAUAUCAUGGUUAUUUUCCCUUCUUUUAAGGAGGGCUAUUUUAAAAAUAAAUUUACAAAUAUGAAAAAUGAUUCAAACUAAAGCAGUACAAAUAAAAAACAUUUUUAAGAAAUAUUUAAAAAUAGAGAAAAUUAUUUGAGAACAUUUGAAGUCCUUAAAUAGACUUUUGUUUUAGAAAAGGCAAGAUAAUUAUUUUUGAAAAUUGUUUUCAUAAUGAUAUGCAAAAACCUACGUAAAAACCAUAAUUAUAAUCGGCCACAUAUCAAAUCUACUAAAUAUGAAAAGUAAGUACAUAAUUAUAUUUGACUUAGAUGCAAGGAGGAAAAUGUCGCGAUAUUAUCGCCGAAAUAUCGUGUGUCGAAGGGUAUCGACACGAUUUUUCUUGCAGAAAUAUCGGCCAGUCGAUUUUUCGGGAUAAAUCUCGAGAAAUCGGCAAUUUAUCGCGAUAUAUCGGCGAUUUUUCCUCGAUAUAUCUUCUGGUCAACGCGGGUCAACGGAGUCAACACGCUACAGUGAAAGUCAAAUGUGCUACAAUGUCCCCGCUACAAUCACCUCCCCAAACAAAUUGCCAAAUUGCUUCCGAGGGGAUUUGAACCAGCCUUCUUGCCAUUUGGGCUAACUCGCCCUUAUGAUAUAUAUUGCAUUAAACAUAUAUAUACUUAAAGUCCUUAUAUAAAGAAAAUGUUAAAAAAAUAUUUUAAAGAGCAAAUUAAUUAUAAUUAUUUUAUAAUUAAAAGCAAAAUUUUCUUUUAAUUAAUUACCAAAAAUAUAAAAAUUAUAUAAUUUUCUUCAUAAUGUUUUUAAUAUCAUUAAUAAUUAAUUAAAUAUUAAAAAAUUAUAUAUAUAUAUAUAUAUAUAUAUAUAUAUAUUAUAAUUUAUUUUAUAUUGUUUAAUACAAUUGAAUUAAAUGGAUCAUAUUUUAAUAUUAAUAUAUAUUUUAAAAUUAGACAUAUUGUAAUCAAAUAUCAUAAUAUUAUAUGUAAUUUAAUAAUAAAUGUACACUUAUAAAAUUCAUAUUUUUAUCGAUGCAUACAAUAUUAUUAUCAAAUAUGAUAAAUCAUGUUAUACAUAUAUCAAAAUUUUCAAUAAAAUAACUUUAAAAUGUCUAUUAUACUUCUAAUUAUAUUAUUAUGAGGUUUUCUUUACAUUUUCAUGAGUUUUAAACAAUUUUAAGCACCAAUAUUUUUUUCCAAAAUAUCCACCGAUAUAUCUCCGAUAUAUCCAAUAUAUCUCCGAUAUCUCCGAUAUAUCCGUAAAAUCGAAGUACCGAUAUAUCCGUGAUUACCGAUAUUUUCAUCAUUGCUUAGAUGCAACCUUCUUCCAAAUGACAUACUUUAGUCAAUACUUAUAUUUUUUCGUUUCACUUCUUUGAUACAACACCUCAUGGAUUUAUUGUUUAAUUUAUUUGUAAUUAUAAAACUAUUUUUCAUUUUUAAUAAGACUUGAAUUAAUUUAAUAAAUAUUAUAUAAUUUGAAUUUAUAAUUCUUUUUAUAAAAUCAAAGUAUAUUAAAAAAAAAACAAUUUAUCCGAAGAAAGUUUUUUAUUUUUUAUUUUUUAAAACCGAUUUUAAAAAUAACUAGCUAGACACCCUUAUUUUGAUAAAAUACGAAAUAAAAGUGUAAAAACAACAUGGCCAAAUAGGGGCUUAAAUUUUAUUUUUAAAACAUUUUUUUACACUAAAGUGCAUUUUAAAAACACCAUCAAAACCAACUACAAGUUAUGCUUCUUCCCGUAAUAGAAAUAUUUUAGGCCAAAAUAGAACCUCCCCAAAUAAAGACCCUAUACUAAACUCCUUUUCAUUUUAUUAAUACAAAAGUGGGGAAAAAAGGUCUAUGCUCACCUAAAAAACAUGAAUAUUGUGAAUUCACCAUUUCUAUAAGGAAGUUGAAAACUUCAAAAUUUUAUCAACAAAUUCUCUAAAAUCCUCAAAAUAUAUAGGGCCUGUUUCACAAAGUUUUUUAAAAUUUGUUUUUAUAAAUUGCUUUUAAAAUAUAGAAUAAAUAACAGUUUUUUAGAUUUUUUGAAAAAUAAGAGUGUUUGGUAAGAUGUUUUUUUUUUUUUUUUUUUUUUUAAGAAUUAAAUAAAAAAUAAAAAAAUUGUUUAGAUAAAAGAAUUUGUAUUGUUUUUAAAAACAAUGUCUUACUUUUAUGUUAUAAAAAUUUUAUUAAUUUAAUUUAUAAUAAUAUGAAAUGAAAUUCAAGUUAAGUCUUAUUAAAAAAUACAAAUUAAAUCUAUAAUUAUGCAUGAGUUAAAGAUAAAUAUAUAUUUUUUAAAACUAUAAAAUAAAUUUUCUAUUAUAGUGAAACAAAAAUUACUAUAAAAUAAAAAUAAUUUUAAUAUUCAUUUUUAAUACAAGUCAAAUAAGUACUUUAAUUAAUUUUUUUUAUCAUGAUUUCUUAUGUUUUUUUUUUUUUCUAGAAAUUAUUUUAAGUAAUAUAACUAAUUUUUUUUUUAAUGUUUUAUAAAAAUAAGGAUAUUUGGCAAGUUGUUUUUAUAAAAGGAUUUUAAAAAUAAAUGGAUUUUUUUUUUUUUUAAAAAAAGAACAAAAUGAUUUGUUUGAAUAAAUUGUUUUGAUUUUGUAAAAACAUUUUAAAUUCAAUUUAUAUAAUAUUAAUUAAUUAAAUUAAAUUGAAGUUUUAUUGAAAAUAAAAAUAAUUUUGUAAUUAAAAUUAGAUUAAAAAAUAUAUAGGUUUUAAUAAAUCGUAAAUAGUAAUAUUAUAAUAAAAUUAUAAAUUAUAUUUUUAACAUAAAAUAUACUAUUUAUUACAUAUUAAAAAAAAUAUUUUAUUAUAUUAAUAAUUUUAUGGUAUUAAUGAGUUUAUUAUUUAAGUUUUAAAUUAUUUUUAAAAAUUAAUAAAUUUGUUAACAAAUGCAAUGUACUAAAUGUGGUUUAAUUUGGAGUUAAUUUGUUUAGGGAAAAAAAUAAAAAAUAAAAAUCUUAUGUAAAAGAGAAAUAAUAGAGUGUGUGUGUUUUUUUUUAUUAUUUUUAAAAAUCAGUAAAAAGAACUUUUACUUAUUGCCUAAAAAUUAUUCUCUAUUUUAUUUUAUUUUUUAAAUCUAGAAAUAGAUAACAAUAAUAAAAAAAAUUAAAAAAGAAAAAUGUUUUUUAAAACUCAGACUUAUAAUUGCUUUUGUUUCUCAUUCGCACCCCUGGAUUCCUGGAUUCUAAACACAAAAUUAAGUUGAAUCGUCCAUCUAUCUUGUAAGCCAAGAAUUCACAUAGAAGAAAUAAUCGGAAUUUGAUUUGAUAUCAGAUUUAGAGUGGCUCACUACUCAUGCAUUGUCCCACAAUAGUAAUGCUUUGGGCCGAGAUAAACCCAUUUGUGGGCCCAAAUAAAACCCCUGGUUUGAAAACAUCGAUUUUACAGUGGCCCAAAAGAUUAUCUAUGAGGGGAAGAUAACUUGGAAGUCAAGCAAACACAUUUAUCGCUAACUUUUCUCUAAUUAUAAAAUUAUAACUUGGUCUUCUACACGUCUCACUUAAGAGGCGGAGCCACUUGGCACUACCUUUCCAUAUUGUAAAAGGAGAAGAAGCAGAAGGAGAAGAUUCUUAUGCCAUUCCACACACCAUGGCUAGUACUGCUAUGCUGCUUGGCCCGCCGGCUCUCCGCCAUCCUAAUUCUCCCGCCGGCACUGUCUUUGAAGAUGGGGUCAUUCUAACGGAUUCCCUGAUCGUCCGCACCAGUAAUCUGGAGCUUUCUGAAAAACCGCCACUGGAAUCCCUGGCGUAGUGCUCUGUCAGUGGGGAUAUUGCUAUGGAUUGUUUGGAUUCCCAAGCCCACAAUCUUCAUCUUCCCGGGAAACCGCCGAUGGGCUUAACGGAAAACAAGUCUCCGACCUUUUUGUCUUCCGGGAACCCGUGCUUGGACUUCUUCUUCCAUGUGGUUCCCGAUACGUCGUCUGAUGAUCUGAUCCGACGGUUUGAGUUGGCUUGGGAAUUCAAUCCGCUGACGACGUUAAAACUGAUAUGCAACUUGAGAGAGGUGAGAGGCACCGGAAAAUCUGACAAAGAGGGUUUCUACACGGCGGUUCUCUGGCUCCACGACCACCAUCCCAAAACCCUAGCCUGCAAUGCUAGGGUGUUGGCCAGCUUCGGUUAUUUCAAGGAUUUUCUCGAGAUUCUCUACCGGCUUCUGGAGGGCCCUAAAAUUCGAAGAAUCGAAAAGAAAGACUGGCUGGAUCGAAAAGGAAGGAAGAAAAAUUCCCGGAAAAGGAACUCAAUAUUCAAGCGAGAAAAUAGGCCUGGAGUUGAAUUUCCUGUAGAAGAGAAGGAUGUGGAGUAUAUGGUGGAAGAAUUUGUGGAUAAAGAAAAGGCUAGGGUACUGAGAAAGGAGAGAGAACUUGCUCUUGCCAAAAGAGCCCUGCACAAGUAUUCUACUGAUUCUAAUUAUCAGUUCUUACAUGAUCAGAUUUCAGAUUUAUUUGCUGAACUUCUGAAAUCUGAUAUUCAGUAUUUAAACUCCGGUGAGCUUUACAAGAUUAGUCUCGCAUCCAAAUGGUGUCCCACAAUUGAUUCUUCUUAUGAUAAAUCCACCUUGAUAUGUGAAAAUAUUGCUCGAAAGGUUUAUUCUCGCGAGGAAUAUAUAUCCAGAAUACCAAGGAAUUGAGGAGGCUCACUAUGUUAAUAGAGUCAGGGAUAGGUUGAGAAAACAAGUACUUGUUCCAUUACGUAAGGCCCUGGAGUUGCCAGAGGUUUUCAUGUGUUCGAACCAGUGGGGAUCACUUCCCUACAACCGUGUGGCUUCAGUGGCCAUGAAAUCAUACAAGAGCCUCUUCUCAAAACAUGAUACAGAGCGGUUUGGUGUGUAUCUUGAGAAAGUGCAAACUGGGAAGGCUAAGAUUGCAGCUGGUGCAUUACUUCCCCAUGAGAUUAUAGCUUCAUUGAAUGAGGAGGAUGGCGAGAAAGUUGCAGAGCUUCAGUGGGCGAGAAUGGUGGAAGAUUUAUCAAAGAAUGGGAGGCUCACAAAUUGCAGUGCGGUAUGUGACGUAUCAGGAAGUAUGAGUGGAACUCCAAUGAAGGUGUGUGUGGCUCUGGGGCUGUUAGUUUCAGAGCUCAGUGAAGAUCCAUGGAAAGGUAAUGUAAUUACUUUCAGUGCAAGUCCUGAGCUUCACAAGAUCCAAGGAGACAGCCUUGUAUCCAAGACUGAAUUUGUGAGGAUGAUGGAAUGGGGUGCGAACACUGAUUUUCAGAAAGUUUUUGACAGAAUCUUACAAGUAGCAGUGGAGGGAAAUCUGAGUGAAGAUCAAAUGAUAAAGAGGGUUUUCGUUUUCACUGAUAUGGAGUUUGAUGAAGCUUGUGGGAGGUAUAACUAUUGUGAAUAUGACUAUGAUAUGGAGGAAAUUGAUGAGAGUCAGAAGGCAUCUCAGAAGUGGGAGACAGAUUAUGAAGUGAUACAGCGGAAAUUCCAGGACAAAGGAUAUGGAAAAGUUCCGGAGAUAGUGUUUUGGAACCUUAGAAACUCAUCAGAGACUCCAGUGAUGGCCACAGAGAACGGGGUGGCCUUAGUAAGCGGGUUUUCGAAGAAUCUGUUAGACCUUGUUUUUGGAAGGAGGUGGAAUUCUGACCCCUCAGGAUGUGAUGGAAUUAGCCAUCUCUGGUGAAGAUUACAAGAAACUUGUUCUAUUUGAUUAAGAUAUCAAGAGAUUUAUCAAUAAUAAUAUGUUUUUUUUUUUCUAUGUGAAAUACAUGUAAUAUUAACUAUGGAGUUAUCAAAGUUCUGGAAAUUUAAUUAUUUCUUCUUUUCAAGUUUUGUUUGUCUUUGUUAGGAAUUCCCCUUGGGCGGACCCAGCUGGGGACUUGGAUUGAGGAAGUAAGGAGGCGAAAUUGUGUUCUUCUAUGGACAGAGAAAAAAGAUAAAAAUAAAAAAUAAAAAAGGAGGUUAUUUGCAUUUGGAUGUCAUGUGGUUUCAGGGUACAACUACAAGUUCGAAAUUGUACAUAAUGUGAAAAUUCCUGUGUGGAGAACAGCAUAAAUAUGUAUCUCAGUGUGUUUUGUUUGAGCUAAUUGGCAAAUUCGCUUUAAACAUGGUCACAUGGAUGCAUAUUUAUUUGUGAAAUGAUAGUAGUCGAUUACUUGGUCAGUAAGGUUUGUAUCUCUAACUCCAACAUCUUAUUGUAGUCUUUUAAAAUGUCAAAAGUUUAAUGCUAGCUUGAGAAAUUUUGGAAUGGAGACAUUCUAAACAAAGUUAAUAAUCCAUGAGACUUGGUAAAACCGAUCAGAUGAUGCUUACGUACAUGAAUGCCUUCUUUAAGCCGUAUCCUAUUUUCAUUGAAUGAGACGUGCCAUCUAGUUUUGUUCUUGUCUUGAUUGGAUCAUGAUCCCGGGAAUUGAUUACUGUUCUGAAUUUGCGAAUGUUCAAGGUAUUAGAGAAAGUUAAUAUUAUCGUUAAUUUACAUAUUAGUAUUUAUCUAGUUAUUAUAUAUUAGUUUGAAUUAUAAUAUAAUAUAGAAUUUGAAUCAAGUUUACUAUUAGUUUGAAUUACAAUAGGAAAUAAAGUUUGAAUUAUAGUAUAACUCAAAUAUAUUUGUAUAUAAAUAUCCAUCUUUAUCAAUGAGAAUAGUAAACCAUAUUUUUCUCUAUCUUCUUCUUUCUCUAUAUAUAUGGUAUCAAAGCCUCCAAAUCCUAAACCUAGUCUCAACUUAGAGCAAAUUUAGGGUGCAGGGUUUAGGCCCCGCCUCCCCCAACCCUUACCACAAAUGGUAGUGACCUUGUUAUGCCUAUGUAUUGUCAAUGCCUCAUUUUCUAUGGUCUUCAAUACAAUAUCUAGUUUCAAUGUCUCUUUCCUUACUAUCUCCAAUGCAAUAUAUUGAUUUCAAUAUCUCUUUACAACCAAGAGCUCCAAAUUUUCCUGGUUCAAAUCUACCAUAAUUUUUAUUCUCCUUUGCUUUUUACCAAUAUUAGUUCCCCUAAUUUAAUAUAUAUCUCUUUAUUACCUUCAACUCUACCUCUCUCUUUCUUUAAAAGCUUCCUCAAAGAUUUGAUUGCUUUCUUGCAUGUUUUGGGAAAACAAACAUGCUCAUAUUCUAUUACCUCUACUUGAGAUCUGCCUUAUACUCUACCUUCUUCUUUACCUCCUAUAUCAUCUACUACAUUAGCUUCAAAAACAUUAUUUAGUUUGAUGCUAAAUAAGGCUCCUAAUCCUACCCUUCCUUCAACUAACUUUCUUUUACAAGUCCCUCAAAGUUUUUUUUUUUUUUUUUUUGGAAAUUUGGCUUAGAAAGAUUUCAUUACUCUUACCUAAUCUUUCAACCAUCAAGUCGAAUCCACUUAUCUCUUGAAUCCAAGGAGACUACCCUCCACAAAAACAAGGAGAUUGACCCCCACAAUAACAAAGAGAUUGUCCUCCAUAGAAACAAAGAGAGCUUCCUUCAUGGAAGCCGAAUACAUCGCAAUCUAUUUUCUUUCUCUCAAGAUCAAAUCUCCAAUCGGAGCUCCAUCUUGUGGGGAUAUAUUAGAAAAAGUUAAUAUUAUCCUUAAUUUACAUAUUAGUAUUUAUCUAUAUUAUAUAUUGAAUUAGAAUAGAAUAUAGAAUUUGAAUUAAGUUUACUAUUAGUUUAAAUUACAAUAGGAAAUAGAGUUUGAAUUAUAGUAGAACUCAAAUAUAUUUAUAUAUAAAUAUCCAUCAUUAUCAAUGAGAAUAGUAUUCCAUAUUUUUCUCUUUCCCUGAGGCUUCAGAAUGUGAUCUUGAACAUUUGAUCUUUUGGAUUCUUCUUGUUUCGGUGGUUUAAUAUAAUGGAAUGUUUAAUUAUAGCCUACUUUAUCACCAUGGAUGUGCUCCUGCAGAUUUCUUGAGGGUGAUGGUUAUUUUGUCAUGUUUCUUGAAUGGUUUGCAUCAGCUGCCUGAGCUGUUGUUGCUGGUCACUUUUGCAACCAGGGAAAGAAUCAUGGCUUUGGAGAAGCCAGCUUCUGUUUUUGUUGCCCAGCUGUUAGUUCACUAAGAUUGGGGGUCCUAACAUGUAUGUAUAAUCAUAAGCAAGGAAAUUUUAUGUCUUACGCUAGAUAGGUACCAUGAUAUGAUGUUUGAUUGAUUUAUUAACUCUACCUGUUUCAAAAGGCAUCAACAUUAAUUUUACCCUUUUAACACAUUGGAUUGUUUGACCUUACGAGAUUUUCUAUUUCUGUACUAUUUGAACUGCAAUCGUUAUGGUCCUUAGGUCUCUAAACCUUCGUUUAAAAUAAAAGUAAGGAGCACACAUAGUAAAAGUUAAUUUUGGGUAACUUUUAAAACAAAGAGAAAAGUAAAAGUUGUUUUUGAGAAAAACAUAUAGAAAUUGAAAGAUUUUUUAUUUUGAGAAAAAAAAGUCAUAGAAAAGAAAUAAUAUCCCCAUAUAAGUAGAUAUGAUCUAUCCGAAGUGUAGCUACUCUCCUGGAUUUAUUCUAACAUUUUAAAAUUUUUCUCAAUGGGCAAAGGAAUAUCAAAUCAAGCUUGAGUAGGAUUAAUUUCUUAAUUUUUAAAAUAACUUAUAAUUAAAAUUUUUUGGUGUUUUCUUUUUUGGACAAUUUUUUAUGAAGACUCUGAAUCAUGCAAGAGAUAUGGUUAUUUUAAAAAAAAAAAUAAUUUAAAACUCAAAUACAUAAUCAAUGUCACAAAUUUAUAAACAAAAGGUUUUUAAAAAAUACUAUUAUUUCCCCUCUACACAUAAUUUUACUUUUCCGAUUUAUUUAUUUUUGUUGGAAAACAGUCUUCAAAUCAAGUAAAAUUAAUAUGUUAAAUUUGUUAAACAAAUAAAUUUUAAAAUACAAUUUGGAACUCAAAAAUCAAUUCAAGUAAUGCUAAAAUUCAAAAAAUCAAAUUUGGAAUAAAAUGACUUUGUAAAUUUUUUUACUAAACAAAUGAAUUUUAAAUCAAGUGAGAUUUAAUACAUUGGAUUUUUAUGAGAAUAGUAAUUUUAAAAAUUAAUUUGGAACUCAAAAAUAGACACAAUAAAUACCAAAAAUCAAUGAACCAAAAUUGGUUUGGAAUAACUCCAUAAUUUUUUAUUUAUUUAUAUAUUUAUUUUUUUGUGCACACGAAUUUCUUACUAAGCAUAUUGCUUCCAAAUUGAGAAAAAUUUACUAUUUAGAUUUUUUUAAUGAGUUUAAUGGUAUUUAAAAAUAAUUCAAAAAUUCGAAAAUUGACUAAUUUAAUAUUAUAAAUUCAUAAACCAAGACUAAUUCAAAAUGCAUUGGGGGCUAAGGGGGUUGAAAUUAAUGCUCCAUUUGGUUGUGGCCACCAAUUGGCAAUGGCCACCAAUCAACCAAUCAAGGUGGCUAAGGGGGUUGAAAAUAGGGACAAUGGGGUGGGUUUGGGACAGGACACUCAUAUCCCAUUCCCAUCCCAAUUACACAGUUAUUUCCCAUCCUUAUUCCAAACUUGUGUUGGGGCAAGUUGAUUUGUUCCCAUCUUUGUUAACGAAAUGACUAAUAACCUCAUCCUCUCCUUGUCUUAGAUGUACAUUUUCUCAAAUUUGGUCAGGUAUGAUUGAUUCAAGCCCUAACCUUAAUUGGUAAUGAGUGGAUACCACACCUAAUUGCAUUCUUCUUUCGUUGCAAAAUAAUGAGAUUAUAAUAAUCUAGCAAAUAAGAAAAAAUAGUAUGGAAGUUCAAAUUAACACCAUAACUAUCAAUAAUUUUAAGCUUAUAGAUGACUUAAAUGAUUGAAAACUAAUGCAAAAUACUAAAAAAAAAAAAAAUCAUCUAAAGAAUUCACAAGAGAAUAGAACGAACAAAACCAAAUAGGAACAUGGGUCAACAUUAGUUACAGAUUUUGAUCCCUUUCAAGGCCAAUCUUUGAACCAAGACUUCAUCAAAUCUACUACUUCAAAGGCUUUUGUGUUCUUCUUGAGUUGUACUCUGGAACAAAGACUUCGAGGUGAUGCUUUAGAUGAUUGCAUUACACAUAUUUAGGGUAGGGAGAUUGGAGAAGCUUGAAGAUGCCAACGAUGGGUACAAUUGAGUGGUCAAUAAGAACAAUGUGGCCUAUGACUAGUUUGAUGUCAUGGUAUAGGAGUUUUGGGCAUUGAGGUGAAAGCAAGAGCAACAUGGAAUUGAUUUCAAAGUCUUUCAAUUAGUGUAAAGGAGGAAGAAGAAGUGGUAUUGAUCCUAGAAAUAGUGUUUUAGGUGUUGCAUUAGAGGAAAAGAAAAAGAAAAAGAAGGAACCAUUGGAAUUAGUACGAGUGUGAAGAGAGAAGUGUAUACAUAAGGGGAAGUAAAAGCAAAGUUCUAAAAAUUUAUUUUUUUAUUGGUGGUGUAUGGUUGCAUGAUUAUCCCUAUAAAUAAUAGGAGUUUUUUGGUGUUCUACUAGUAGUUGAAGGAUAAUUUCAUAAGAUAAUAUUUAGAGCGGGGUGGGGUGAGUUGUGACAAAAUCCAUACCCGUCCCAAACAUUGGUUCAGGUUUUUAAAAUAUUUUCAAACUUAUCAUAUACCCAAUUUUAUAUUUCAUACUUGUCCUAAUAGAGACAGGUUAGUCAGGGUUACUUGAGUAGCCUACAAAACUAUCAUCCCUAGUUGAAAUGCUCUUUUUGGCAGUGGCAGCUAGAAGCUCGAUCGAUUGACCUACAAGACUAGUUGUCAUCAUUUUAAAAAGAGUUUUGGCUUUGGUUGUGAGUGCAAUUGAAUCUAAACUAACAUUUCCUUAAUGCAUCUACUUCAAUCCUAAACUUCUUACUUAAGCCUCAAUUGUUGUUAAGAUUUUGGAAAACCCAUUUCCUUAAAUUGUAAAUUUAAGAAAAAAAAAAUUAAAAGUGAGACAUUUCUUGAUUGAAUGUUGUUAAAGGUCCCUUGGAAUUAAGACUUGGUUGAAGCCUUGGAAGAUUAGCAGAACUCUCAACUUAUGUUUGAACCUUGAGGAGAGUGGACGUAGGCCAAAAUUUUGUCAAACCAUUAUACAAAUUGAGUUUGAAUUCUCAUUUCUUGAUUUCUUAUUUAUUUGCUUUUUCUUAUUAUUACUUGAAUUGUCAUUUGCAUUCAUUAAUGUUAAAAUUGGUUAUAAUUAGCCAACACUAAUUCUCUUUCCCCUUCCCUUAAUUUCUUGGGUGUAAACCUAGGUUGGAUUAACUAGAUUUUAUCAAAUCUAUUAAGAUGGUAAAAGAAUAAUUAUUCUUAACAUACAUAAGAUCAUCUUCAAUCAAAUGACUCAUUGGCUGAUAUGUUGAAUUUGCUUAUUACUUGCAACUCAAAAUUGUGUUCUAGUUGAUAUGUCAAGUCCUGAGUGUAUGGACAUUAAAUUUGUAGUACGUGAUGAGUAUUUAGAUGGUCCAAUUCCAAGAAAGUGAUUGAAAACUAGUUCAAGAAAGGUGCAAAAGGGAAUUGUUUUGGUAUUUUCGUUUUUAUUCUUGAAGGUGGCAGAGCUAAAAUUUGAGAAAUCAAGCAAAACAUACUGAAAUUACAUUGAAAGAAAGAAAAUGGGAGUUAAUGUCUUGCAGUACAUGAUAAGGACUUCAUGCAUGUAGUGUGACCCAUGUCUUGGACUGAUGCCACACUCACGGUUACACUUAUACCCUUAGUUCUCUCUUUACUACCUUAGCUAACCUAGAUCAGGUUAUGAGAUAGGCACCUCACCACACCAUUACUUGCCCAUUAAUUAGUGACAUUUUCAAGCAAUGAGGUAACAUGGUGACACCAAGAGGGUAUAUUCCUCACCCCCAACAAGCCUAGACCUGGUCUAAAAAAAAUGGAGAAAAAUGACGUGUUGUUAUGCAGAAAUAUAGCAACCAUGCCUUCCUCAUUACUUAGAUUCAGAAUGUGAAGGUGAAAUUGAGAAACAGAAACUCUUGAAACCAAAAUGAAAAUUGAUACUUUUACGAAGAAUUACAACAACAUUAGAGGAAGACUACAUUCUUCCUCUUUAUUCCUACAUUUCUACACUACUUCUACUCCACUCCAUAUUUCUACAUACAUCUUUAAUCAGUCUUCCCUCCUUUAUAUAGAGCCAUCUUCACACAAAUUCCGCAAGGUAGAAAAGAGGAAUGAAACUUGGAGCAAGGUUCGACUACUGGCUGUAGCUUGUCAAGGCUGAAAGUGAACUUUUUUUCUUGGCUUUUCUGGGCAUAGGUAGUAACUUGUAGGUUCCUUUUUGGAAUGAAAAUGGUACGGCUAGAACAUGUGGCACUCUCUUGUUGGAUGAUGUGUCAAGCAUGUGGCAGCCAUCUAGUGGAGAUUAUGUCAAUUUUGGGAUGGAGAGUUGGCAUCCAAUUGCAAAGAAAUAUGACAUCUACCAACAUGCAAUGUCAACCUAUGUAGAUCAUAUGAAGAUAGAGAGGAAAAAUAUAGAAAUGGAUAUAUAACUAGAACUAGCUUUUUAUUAAAUGAGACGGAGAGCCAACAAUGAAGGAAAAUCAAAAUUUUUGGCUCAUAUCAAAGAAUUCACAUUGUGUUACCCUAGGUUUUCUUAAAACUUACUUUUAUGAUAAUAAAAAAUCAUUAUUGUUUAAUCCUUUGUUUUAAACGCAUGUUUAGCAGGUUGUAAAAUGUAAAUAUCUUUCGAAAUUCAAAUAUGAAGAUAUGACAUCAUUUCAAGCAAUAUAGUCUCUAGGAAUUAAUGUAAAGCUAAAUUAAGGUGCAAUUAAGUUAGUUCAAUGCAUUAUUUUAAGAAACUUGACCUAUCAAAACCUUGUCUUACUUCAAAGCCUCUUUUUCUUUUCUUCCAACUAACAUUUUAAUAAGUGAUCGCAAAAGUACAAAAUUAGAUGAAAUCCAUUUCAAUGGUUAAAAUGAUCAAAUUCAAACUUUUUCUAAGUAUCUUUUAAAAGCAUCAAUAUUGAAAGACAAUUUUAUAUUUAGUCAAAGCUUGGACAGAGCCAAAAAGCACACAAAAAUUUAUAUUUUCUAGCUCUCUACCUUGGAUGGUCUCUUGAUCCUACUUGGAGAUGUGCAUAAAUAAAAGGAUUUGAAAAUGACAAUUGACUAAGUAUGUAGUCAAUCAAUUACUCAUUGAUUGACUAGUUGAUCAAUUAACUUUGCAACAUCAUAUGCAAUCCUAAUAGCUAGUCAUCUAAUCAACUAGGUAGUAAAUCAAUAGGCCAAAAAUAUGUUUAUAAUGACUAUUUUGUACAAAAACCACUUAUAUAGUUAAAUAUAAUGCAUUUCAUUUAUAAAUCUUCUAAUUCUUGAAUAACAAUCCUAUCAUCCUUUGAAAGUUUUUAUUACACCUUUUCUACAUUUGUUCUAAAACUUAUACAUCACCCUUAAUUGUACCAUGAGAACCUAGCAUUUUUUUUUUUUUUUUUGUAUUUCAUCAAAGUUAGCUCUUGUACUCAUUGUUGUAUUAUUUUUAUUGUAACUUAGAGAGCGAGUGUUUUCAAGUGAGUGAAAUUGACUUGUAAAUAUUGUAAAGAUUCAUUGAUAUGUAUCUCAAACUAGGUGUACAAGUUGAAACAUUUGCUAGUAGAUUUUCUCAAGAUUUAGAAUGAGCUUAAGGCUAUCGAAUUAGGUGGGGUUGCGCCAAACCAUAUCACAUCGUUGUUUGCACCUUUUUUUUCACUCUCUUUUACUUAGUUGCUCUAUAUAUAUUGUCUAGCAAUAUCCUAAAGGCUUGAUGGGCUAGGGAGCAUCCCUCUGAAUGAAAAAUUUUCAUUCAAUUCUUAGUUGUAUUACGCAUAUAUAAAAUGCCUCAUUGUUUUAAUGGUAUUCAGUCGUGGCACCACAGAUAUGGACAUCUAAAUUUUAAAAGUUUGAAACUUUUAGCUAAAGAAAAUAUGGUGCUUUGCCUUUUUGGAAAGCAUGUUGAUGAAAUCCAUGAGAAUUGUAUACUUGGAGAGCAACAUCGAGAUAACUUUUUUUUUUUCUUUUUUUAUAAUGCAUUGUUUGUCCAAAUUCCGUACAAAUUAGGCCACCACAUGUUCAUAAUUCUCCCUUCUUGAAUUUGAAAACUCGGACAAUUUGACAAUGCGACACCUAAGUCCGGUUUUUAAAUGCUAAAGUGAAAGGGCAGGUAUGGACCAUUGAAAUGUGAUAACAACUUUUGGCCUUUUCCUUUUCUCUGUAGCCAUGUUGUCUCUUUUUAAUUUCUUUUGCAUGAUUUUCUUACCUAAACAGAAUCAUAGACUUGUUUAAUCUCUAAGUGGGAUUUCAUCCACCUUAAGCUACUGUAUUAUAUCUCGGUGGAGGACAACCGACAUAGAGCACAUGCAAGUGGGUAUAUGGGACAUGAAAUAUCUUCUUAUAAAGCUUGUUUUGCAGUUAAAUUAAUUGGAUAAGUAGACACUGGCGUUUCUAAAUUUCCCACCUAAGAUAAUGACCUUAUCCUUGACUGCUAGAUACACAAACAAUUAUACCUUCAAAAUCUACUGUGAAGUGCUUCAUGUAUGUGUGAAGUAUUAGAAAUUUCUUUCUUGGCAACUUGUUUUUUUCUUUGCGGUCUACUGAUAGGUUUGACUAAAAUUAUAUUCCCUGUCCUGCUAAUUAAUUUUCACGUGCAUGCUCAAAAGAAGAGUAUGACCUUAGUGCACCAAAAUCACUUUCAAUAAUUUGUGAUAAGUUUUUUUGCAUGACAUUAACCUUAUUCAUUUAGAUAAUGUUUAGUUCUCAUAAAUAUUAAGAAAAUGAAAAUAAAUAUUAAGAAAAAUAUUCUUAUAUUUGAUUGUAUUAUGAAAAAUAUCAUAAAAAAUCAAAUAUAAUUAAAAUUAAUUAAUAAUUUAUAUAUUUUAAAAUUAUUUAAUUUUUAUAUUAAAGAUAUAAUAUAAAUGAAAUGAGUUUUAAGUAUUAUAUAAAAAUGAUUUAUUUAUUUAUUUAUAUAUAUAUAUAUAUAUAUAUUUAGUUUUUCUCUUUAUUUUAUUUUCCUUAUGUUUUCCUCACAUUUUCCGGAAUCAAAGAUAGGGAAAUCCACAAUUACCUUCAACUGAGUAGAUUCUAUUGUUUUAGCAAUGUUAGGCUGCUAACUUGUGGUGGUACGAACCAAAUGAUCCAUGUUAAUCUUGGCUUGAUUUAAUUUGGCUCUAUCUCAGAGAACUCAAGGAUCACGUCAACUCUGGUUUCUACUAUUCAGGUCCAUUCCCAGAUGAACUGGUUCAAAUUUGAGAAAAUGGUAACAGACCUUUAGUGAUAUUGGUUUGGAGCCAGUUGCCAAACCUGCCCUGAGCUUUACCACUAAUGUCAAGGGACAAAGCCAUUUGAACAAAAACAAUAGCUUCAAGAGACUGAAUCGUGGAUGAAAUCUGAUCCACAUUUCUUCUCAUUUUGGGAAAAAAUGAGGACUUAACCACAAAGAUUCUACUGCCUCAUAGUGCUUUUCCUGAUCUAAGGUUGGCUCGUUUCCCAAAUUGUGAGGUGCACGUGCCACUCUCACGCUCAGGAGUGUAUCCACGUGGUGGACAUAAGAUGGUGGCUUAAUAUCUGGUGUCGGUGGCUUUACUUUACUAGGAGAGUAGUGUGUCUUCAUCUCAUUCACUGCCAGAGGGUGGCGUAAGCAGUGACGCUAAGGUGGGGCACAGUCAAUAUCAUUUGCAUUUGACCAUUAUAAUUUUCUCCCGGCUUUAAAGUAACCUUAUCGUGAUAAUGGAUUACUAGCACUAGUUCAGAUGACAGUCAUGUUAAAUUCGGACCAUGUUUGUGUCACAUUAUCAGCAACCAUGUGCUUGUGGUUCAUGCUAUCUGCAACUAAACUUGAUAUAUAACCAGGUGAACUUCAAUCUAAAUUCUGGAAGUACUCAUGUGAUAGAUGGUGCCUGUCUGCAGUGAGUGUAUCUAUAAGAGGGAAGGCUUGGCAAAUGUUCAGUUUUCUGGGAAUUCAACAGGGAUCUAAAAUAGAUUGUUUUCUUUGCUGAUUUCAAUGGUUGAAAUUUGAGAAGAUUGUGUCCACAUAACACAACUAUUACUGGUCCUUCUGUUGCAAUUUAUCCUCUAAGGCUCUAACAUGUCUUCCAAUUCCCACUUCCCACUUCCCUGUUACUCCAGGAAAGCUGUUUCUGUCAUUGUGAAGAAGAAAAGAGACUGUACAUAUCGAUGCUUUUAAGUGGACUGGAGAAUUCAUAUCAGGUGGUCUGCAGCCAUACAUGCCACUUUGUGAAGGUUGGAACAGUCAAUCACUAGGCUAUAUUAGUGGGGCCCAGCCACUUCAAUCAAGGACAAGUCUUCAUACUUAAAGUCAAAUUCUGCCUUUAGUCUCAUUAUAAAUUGCUGUUUAAAUAUCAAGCAAACAUUUGUUUAAUGCGAUUAAGACAGCACUAACUCAAUACUUGUUCUAUUUUUGGAUGCAAAUGCUUGAUAGUUUCAUCAUUGGAGGGGAUAAAGGUGCAUUCAUGAUUAUGAAUACUUGUAGUUAUAUUUUCAUUCUCUUUUUUCUCAAUGGGACUUGUUGGCACAAUUUUGCUGUUCAGAAACCUACCUCUCCAUGGAAAAUCAGUUGUGAUUGAUAUUACUGGAUAUAUUCAAGAAAGCUAAAUGUAGAUAGCACAAAAUAUUAUCGACAUAAAUAGCAUUAACAGCGUACGUAUGUCUCAAUGCUCAUCAGCUAUAAGCAAGGGGCAAACACUUACUAUGAGCAACUUACGUCAAAAUUCCGGAAUAGGACAUAGAAGUGACAGGUCAGUAAAUAUAGAACACUGCAUAUGAGUCACAAGAAAGGAAAUUACGGGUACAUAGCAGCUCUUAUUUUACAUCCUACUCAUACUGAUCAAAGUCACUCAGUUGGGAUGGGUGGGAGUGGGAGGUUUGUGGGGUGGCUUGUGCGGAGGAGUUGGCAGCUUCUUUCCAGGACCUGGUUGCUUCUCUGCUGGAGUUGAAGGAGGCUUAAUCUUCCGAGGUGGCUUGUAUGAGUCUUCAGCAUUCUCAGCAGGAGGGUGACCAGGGUUGUGACCACAAUGUGGUGGCUUCUCUCCCUUAGGUGGUUUGCCAACUGGGGUUGGUGGCUUGUGUUCCGGAAGUGGCUUCUCUUUGUGUUCAGGAGGUGGCUUCUCCACUGGAGGCUUGUGUUCAGGAGGUGGCUUCUCCACCGGAGGCUUGUGUUCAGGAGGUGGCUUCUCCACCGGAGGCUUGUGUUCAGGAGGUGGCUUCUCCACCGGAGGCUUAUGCUCUGGUGGUGGCUUCUCCACCGGAGGCUUAUGCUCUGGUGGUGGCUUCUCCACCGGAGGCUUAUGCAAUGGUGGUGGCUUCUCCACCGGAGGCUUGUGUUCAGGAGGUGGCUUCUCUACCGGAGGCUUAUGCUCUGGUGGUGGCUUCUCCACCGGAGGCUUAUGCUCUGGUGGUGGCUUCUCCACCGGAGGCUUGUGUUCAGGAGGUGGCUUCUCCACCGGAGGCUUGUGUUCAGGAGGUGGCUUCUCCACCGGAGGCUUGUGCUCUGGUGGUGGCUUCUCCACCGGAGGCUUAUGCUCUGGUGGUGGCUUCUCCACCGGAGGCUUGUGUUCAGGAGGUGGCUUCUCCACCGGAGGCUUAUGCUCUGGUGGUGGCUUCUCCACCGGAGGCUUGUGUUCAGGAGGUGGCUUCUCCACCGGAGGCUUAUGCUCUGGUGGUGGCUUCUCCACAGGAGGCUUGUGUUCAGGAGGUGGCUUCUCCACCGGAGGCUUAUGCUCUGGUGGUGGCUUCUCGAAUGGGGGAUGCGUAGGGUAAUCAGCUAGUGAGGGGGCGGUGAGAACCACCAGGCCAAGCAACACUACUAGCAAGUAUGUAGGAGACAUCUUUGGGUUUGGGCUCAGAUGGUGCAAAACUAGGAGAAUUGGCUAGCCUUUUAUAGCGGAUCGUACCCAAUAAUGAAAUGACACGUGUCAUUAUGACCCAUGUGUCAUGUGGUCGAUUUGGGUCCUACAGUGUUGAAAACUUCGACAUCCACUUUUUUGGCCUUUUGCUUUCUCUACAGUCGCCUUGCUUUUUCCCUCUUUUCUUUUGUUUUCCUCCUGCCCCAUUCUAUCAACUAAUCACAAUUAUGUAGUUGUUUAAUUCUUAAAUGAGAUAUUAUCCGUCAAUCAUAUUAUCUUUUAUCAAGAGAGAACGGAGUGAAAAGUGGCAAUCCAAAGAAAGAAGAUCCAUAAUGCAGCUGUAAUUUUAUCGUUUACUUUUAUCUCUAGGACCACUGCAUUUUUGUUGAGAGGUGCAAUAAUACACGUCUUUAUCUGCCAUUCAAUGUUUACAGUAAAGAGAGGGCACAAAACUCUUCACUGCUCUGCAUGUGCCCCAAAAAUGCAAUUGGACAAAUUAUGAUUUGCAUGCUAAAAAGAGGCAAAUGAGGUUAAUUAGCACCAAAAUUAUUUUGUUUUCUGGACACCCCGGGGCCCUUUGGUUGGUUUGGGGGUCAGAAAAUGAACAUCAUAGGGGGUUUUUCCCUAAUGUGCAUUUGCAUUUGUAUCUGAUGGCUUUAACUCGCCUUGUUACUACAAAGAAAUUGUCACAGAUAGGAACUUAUUCCAGGCUGAGUAUCUCCGCAUGGACCCUAUAAAAGAAGACAAGUCAUAAUGAACAUCUAACCUUUGUUCAAUUUGAUUCAAUGCCCCUAUUGUGUCCAUCUCACAAAUCUGAAUUAUUAUAUCCAUUGAAUACAUAAAUUAAUGAAGAAAAUAUGAAACCCAAGAUACAUCUCUGCACAACCUCAACCCUGGUUGCUAUGUUUCACUUCUAUUCACAUGAGGAUAUUGAUUACGGAAUAAGGAAACCUAGCAAGGGUUUACUCGGCUCUGGUUUGAUGCUAAUUGCCAAACUUGCAACAAGCCCUGAGUUUGACACCUAAUCGAUGGGCGAAUUAAAAGUCUCCUCCAAACAUAUAUUCCACAGCUUGAAGCUCACAGAAGAUGCUAUACAGGCAGGGAAAAACCUUCAGAGUUAGCUACCAAAGAUAAUUAUCAAGGAGAUAUCACCAAGAGAAUUCCAUGGAGUCUGAAUCAAAGACAAAUUGCUCGCUCGUGGGGGUUCUUACUUAAUUUCUUUUGGGUAUAACUCACUGAGGGCACUGGCUUUGUUAUUUGCAUUUCGCAUUUAGAGUUCUGUUCUGGAAGGUUUGUUCUGGAAACAUAUAAAAGGAGCAUCAUUUUGUUCUAGGGUAACCCAUAGUUGUGAGUGGGUCCAUUUGCAUGCUACUUAGUUGAAAAGUUGGACAAUUUGCUCCGACGCCUACCUCCUGGAUUCCAUGCUCGGAUAAAGCAAGAAUAAUAAAAUAUUUAUAAUUUACAAAUGGGGGAAAGAAAAAAAUGUCAACAACAAACUAGGAAAAAAGAGUAGUAAAAUUUAUGCCACAUGCUAUUGAUAGAAGGGGCAUGUAUUAGAUCCAUCACCAUUUGGUAAGAUUUUAGUAUUAUAUUUUUCAAGGUUCAUUAUUUGAGGGUGUGUUCUUCAUCUCUGUUGCAUUGCUUCUUACUAGGCCCACUGAGGUGGGUUCUUCACCUUUUGUAUAUUCUCUGCACUAGAUCAAUGAGAAAGGGGGAAUUUUGGUGAAUUUGCAGCCGUUGGAUGAUUGAUUCUAGGCUCAGUCCACCAAUGAUGCUCUCUUCACUCUUUCUCAUCUAGUGUCAUUCACAACUAUGUUUUGAUUCAUAUUUGUACUAUCAAAGAUAUCUCAUUAUUCUAGCUCAUUAGGUAGAGUUCCUAAUCUUCCUCCUUUUUGGUCUAUGGACAGUAUUGGCUUCAUAUUAAGAUCAUGUUUCAAUAAUUGCACAUUAAUGAAUGGAUCAUGACCCACAUAAACAGAGUCAGGGUUGAGUCAGUGAACCCUAAAAUUUCACAAUUCUAAAUUUGGGUUCUUUAACAAUGCAGGGUCAAGGACGCGUGGUGAUGAAGGAAAGCUGGUAAGCUCAGUGUUACUUCAAUUCCUGCCAUGUAGGAUGGUGAGGAGAUAUUCACUAUGCAAUUAAUAAUAGACAAUAUUCACUAUGCAAUAAUAAAGCAUAAAUUAAGUUGAAUGAAAAGCAUUUUCUUUGCAAGGAGUUGAUUUUGGUUUCAUAGUUUGUUCAACUGCUAUUUUGGAUAGGAAAGUGUGAGGAGAAGAAAAUAAAAAAUAAAAAUAAAACAAAAAAUAAAAAAUAGAUUUUAUAAAUUCAUUUAAUUUAUUUUUUUUUUAUAAAAAUUAACUAAUUUAAAAUAUAUGUAAAUUUCUAAUUAAUUUAAUUACAUUUUUUUUUUCAGUUUUUCAUAAUAAACCAAAUAUUAGAAAAUUAUUUUUAUUAAGACACCCAAGAUGAGGUAAUAUGCAAUGAAAACAUGAAUUAUAUUAAAAUUCAAAACAAAUUAAGAGAAAUCGGAAAAUAUACAUAGAUAUCUAAACAAAGAAAUUUAAAGAGAAGGAACCACAAACUUUAUUUACAUAAUUUGAAAAUAAAAAACAUAAAACAUACUUAUAGUAAGGAGAAAUUGAAUAUCUUACAAUGGAAGAAGGGAGAAAAGCUUUGAAGAAAGCUUUUGCUUGGAAGCUUACAUGGUGAGAGGUAGAGAAAGGAGAGAGAGAGAAGAAAAUGAAAAAUGAGAAGUGGAGAAAAUUGGAAGUUUUGUGUGCUUACAACUGAGGAUAGAGCCUCCUUAAAUAGCAAAAAAUGGAAUAUUAAAUAGUACCAAUCAGGAGACAAAAUAUUGUUUGCUUUUGAAACCCGUGCAUGAAUAGUAAUCCCGUGAGUGAAUAGUGAAUAAUAAAAGUGAAUAGUAAAAGUCACUUUCUACUAUAGCACUUUAGACUUUUUCAUCGAGAAUCUUACUUUCGGCUGAGUGAUGAUAGCUGAUAGGUUGCUUUGGAUUGUGGAGUCAUAUGUUUGAUGUUUUCGGUGCUGAAACCGCUUAGUUGGAGAAUAAUCUCGUCAGUAGAGCAUCAUGAGAAGCUUGAAUGGAGAGAGCUUAAUGAUGCCAUAUGAUUGGAAGGAAUCCUAUUUUAAUUUCCUUAUUGGAGGGAGAAUACCCUCACAAUCAUCUUCAUUAUCUUGAAGGUAGUUUGAUAUAGAGUCAUCUGACUCAGCAUAAGAGUCCUCUUGGGAGAAGCUUGAACUGCUUUUGUCAAGGAUUUUCUGAAAUUCUUGAGGGGUUUUUGCUAUUGCUAACAUGGUUUGGAGUUGCUGUUUCUUAAGAAGAAACUGUGCAAUAUCAUAAGAUGAUGAAGCUUGUGUAGGAUGCUUUAGGAAAUAUUGCUUUAUUGCUUGUAGUGAGGUAUCAUUUUUCAAGGCAUCCCACCACUUAGACUUGAAAGUCCUUCCAAGGGUUGGAAAGGCUGCUGAUUCAUCUGCUAUAAUGAUAUAAUCCCACUGGACUAUCCAGGCAAGGCCAAAUUCACUAAAAAAGAAUAAUAAUUGGGGAAAACUGAAAGUUCUCUAGGGAUAACAAAAGAACUUUGGAAUAGCUCAAAGCCAUCCAAAAUGGGUUUUGGGAGAAUUUUAAUAGUUGGACCAAAAUAUGUCCACCAAUUGUGGAACCAAAAUGGAAAAGAGGGGAGUUGAUGCUUAGAUGGGAAAUAGAACAUCCCUGAAUGAUGGAAGUCCUUGUUCUGGAUCAGAAAAGCAUUGAACCAUACUCUUUGGUAGUCUCAAUAAUUGAAAAUUUUAGGUUUUGAAGGCUUAGAAAAUUCUCUUGAAAAAUUAGGAUUCCCACCCCACUGCUUAACUGUAAGGAUUUUAUAAAUAUGGUAAGUGGAGAAUGCCAAAUCCAAAUUGCUGAAUUUAUCAGCAUUGUGCUUGAUUUUAACAGAGCCGGUUUCCAUAAGGAUUGCUUCAUAAAAUUCUCUUGUUUUUAAAAGAUCACCAAAGGGAUAAUGAAAAUUUUCAUGAAAAGCUUUUGCUGCAAUAUCUCUAGGGUUUUUAGAGAAAAACUCUUUUUCAAUAACCAAAAGAGGUUGAUUUAAAUCUUUUUGCCAAUAUCUUGCUUUUGCUGAAAGAGGUGUGGGGUUGGCUACCACCACAAUUUGCUUAUUUGAAAAAGAAGAGCUUGAUGCUAAUUCAUUUUGAGAGGGAUUAGCUUUAGUAACCUGCUUAAAGGUCUGAGACACAGUAAUAGUUGGAUACUGAGUAGCCUUGACUGGUUUAGAAGGAUUCGAAGGAUCAUAGUACAAGGACAAAAUCUUAUUAGGCAUAUGGUCAGAAGAAUGAAGCCUUGCUUCUUCUUCUAGCUCAACUUGUUGGCUCCAAAGUAUUUUAUGGGGAGAAGGUUCUUUGCUGGUUUUAGAAGACUAGGAUUCUGGAAGUUUAGGAGCUUGGGUAUUCUUUUUAGGGGCCAUGGUUUCGUGAAUCCUGUAAAAUUCACAAGUUAAGAAAUCAGGGCUCGAAGAAUGUUCUCCUUUAAUAUACUCAAUUUGUAAAUUAAAAUUGCUUAAAAUAGCUUGAUAUAUAGCAAAAAUAUGCUUAGAAGUUAUAUUCUUAACAUCCUUUUGUAAAACUAAUUUUGCAAAUUUACAAUCAACUCUUAAUAAAAACUUUUGAUUCAAAAGAUCAUCUUGAAAUUUUGAAAUGCAUAAAACAACGCUUAAAGUCUCUUUUUUAAUGAUGUUAUGAAUGAGUUGGGUAGUAUUCCAGGUUCUUGAAGUAUACCUAACUAACAUCUCAAGGUUACCAACACUUUGCUUAAGAAUCCCACCAUAACCUAUGUCUGAGGUAUCGAUCCCAACAAACUCAAAGGUUUCUGGAUUGAUAGAGCCUAAACAUGGUAGGGUCUUGACUUUGGACUUAACAUCAAUAAUGAAAACAAUGGUGAAAACAGAAAACUGGUUAAAGUUUUCAUCCAUUAUAUUCUGGAAUUCUGAGGUGCAUUCUUAAGAUCAAAGGGCAUUAUGAACCAUUCAUAAUGUCCAAGAGAUACCACAAAGGUGGUCUUAUUUGGAAUAGGACACCUAAUCCAACUUAAUGUAUCAUUAAGAGGCAUGUAGUUGACGACUAGUCUAGGUGUUCCUUUUUCUGAUUCAACUUGUUCCUGAACAUAGAAGGUUGAACAACUCCAAAGGGACUUAGACUUCCUUAUCAACUUUUUAUCAAGAAGAUCCCAAAUCUCCUUAUCACAAUAGCUUAACAAACCCUUGUUCAUCUGGAUAGGUCUUGAUUUAGUGGGAAUAUUCUUGUCACUAAAGUCUAGUUCAUAAGGUAAUUCUACCUCAUGUUGUUUCCUAUGCCAAAAUGCAUUAGGAAUGUUAGAGCAAACUUCUUCAACAAUCAGAUUAAUUUCUUGCUCAUGACUUUCCUUAGCUUGAAUCACCUGAUCCCUUAAGGUGUUUAUAUUUUUCUUAUUAGGUGGUUGGCAAAUUCAAAAAUAAUUUCCUUAUCUAAGAGCUUUGUUCUUAUACUUUGGUCAUCUACCCACAUGGGAUAGAUGGAGCUUAAAAAGGGGAUUCCAAGGAGAGCUUUCUCCUUAAGAUCCUUAACUAGAAUGAAGGUUUGCUUGAUGCAAAUGCCUUGGUUAUUUAUGUGAGCAUCUGACAGCUUAUACUCAAUGUCAAGCCUUUUACCAUUAGCUCCAAAGAGAGAUUCUUUGGUUUUCUUACAAAACUUAAUAGGACCUAGACCUUCUUGUAGGCAAUUCAAAGCUGUUCCUGAAUCAAUCAAAGCAACAAUAUCAAUGACAAAUUUACUCUUAAUUACUAUAGUAAGGGAGACUUUCCACCUCUGGAAAAUAACCCUACUAACAGUAUUUAAGUAUCCAUCCGUCUUUUCAUCAUUAGCAUGUGAAGAUUCUAGAACCUCUUCAAGGUUUUCCUAGUUAUCAACAAGAUUUUCUAUAACAAUCCUAUUUAUUUGUUCUUGGAGAUCUGAAAAACCUAAGCUUGUGUAUUGUCUUAAAUCUUUAAUUUCCUUCUUAUACUGUCUUACUUCUUCUUGAAGAUCCUUAAUGGUUACGUCUUUGGUAGACUACUGGUUAAAUCUUCCUAAGAUUUCAUUUAAGUUAUAAGAAUUUACUGUCUUCUUAAUCUCUUGCUUAUCGACAAAUUUCUUAAAAACUUCAUAAAGAUCUUGUUUAGUUUUUUCAUCUUCAACUUUCCUUAAAACAUCUAGGACAAGUUCUUGAUCUUGGCUUAUGACAUUUAUAGUCUUAGGUUGGCAAUCACAAUUAUCCUUAAUGUAUUCUUCUUGGUCACUAGAAGUUUGGCUUGAGAUUUCCUCACCACUACUAUCUAGUUGGUUAAUACCAUUUUCAUUAUCUGAAUCAAUCCUUGAUUCAGACUCUGUGGAAUUUAACAUUACUUUACAAAGCAUAUCUUUUAAGUCUUCUGUGACAUUUAAGUUAUUAAUUUUCUGCUUAACCCUACAAUCUUUCUUAUAGUGGCCUAUCUUACCACACUUAAAACAAACUGGCUUAGAUUGUGAAGGAGCUUCUAGCUUUUUAUGGGCUUCUUUGUUCAUCAUUCUUUGGAUGUGCCUUUGUUUCUUAGUUUCAUUCAUCCUAUAGUUGCCAUGAGUUCCUCUCUUGUUGUGAUAGGACUUUUCCUUACUAGGCUUUGUACUUACUUGUUUCUUACGUUGCUUAGAGGGGGGCUUAGUUUCUUUUUGGUUGAAUCCAAACUAGCUACAAAAUGAACCAAACUCAUUCUUGUAGAUCCUUUGUUCAUUUUUCAUCUGUUGCUUAAGCUUAAAGUCAUUGCACAGUUUAAUUGCUUCUGAUGUGACAAUGCUUAUAAUUUCUCCAUAAGAAAGCUUAUCAUAAGGGAUUUGUCCAUUAAACUGUUCCCUUAUCUUAAUCCUAAUCCUCUCAGAGAAAAGUCUAGGUAGUCCUAAGAUGAAUUUUUCUUUCCAAAAAGACUGGUUAUAGUUUGAUCUUAGUAUGACUUUGGUUAGGAAAACUUCUCUAUACCAUCUAAAGUCAUGAAGCUUGGGACACUUAAGGUUGGUUAAGAGAUCUACAAUCUUAUCCUUAAUCUUUGCAGGAUCUCCAAUGAAGUGCUUUGAAAUUGAAUAGAUUAGAGUAGCCACUACAUCCUCUAUAUCUUGUCCAUCUUCAUCCUUAACCACUUCAUUUUCCUCAUUAAUCCUAUAGGCUUUUAGGAUACCAUUUCUAUCCUCAAAGGUGAGAUAAUUAUCCCACCAACCCUAAAGUUGACCUGUAAACCCAACAACAAUUGUUUGAGCUACAGCAUGGCCUGACAAUCUAUUGUUUAACUUAUAGGUUGUACUAACCAUGGUCAUUUCUUGAAGCUUAGUGAGUAUGUUGUACUCAAUCAUACCAUCUAUGUUCCAUUCAUAGAUAGUGUCACUAGUGUAGGAAGCUUGAGUAUGCUGGUUUCUUUCCUCAUACUACAUAUCAGGAAAAGUUGGUCUAGGGUAGUAAUUCCUAGUUCUUGGUUGUUGAUAAUCCUCAUAACUGUUUGGUUAGGAGGUUCCUUAAAAAUCUUAAUUAGUUCAUCAGCCUCUGCUUCAGAACUAAUUUCUCCUUUAACCAUAUUGAUUCUCUUGUGAGAUGGUUGAGGUGUCUCAGAGACAACAAGGCUAUCCUUAACCUUUUGGCUUAUCCUAUCAAUGAGGGCUUGAUCAAUAUGGAGAUUCUCUAGGAAUUUCUUAGAGAAUUCAAAAGGCUUAAAUAAAGACUUAUUAUCUUUCUUAACAAACGUAGUCUUAAUGUAGUCUUGUGUUUCAAUGAUAUCCUCAAACUUGUUGAGUUGAUCGCCUGUAGUCUUAAGAAACAUGUUAGUGUAGUUGUUUUGUUCCAUGAUUCUUCUAACGUCAACAACACUAUCAAUUCCUUUAUUCUUUGGCCUAGUCUUAAAAGGUGAAGCUUUGACUAUGGUUCAAUUAAUGUUCUUUUAUAUCUUAGCUUCUAGAGGGUGGAUGGAUUCUAUGAUAGUAUCGUCACUAGUUUUCCAUAUCUUAGUUUUUUUGGAUGUGUCAUUGACACGCUUACUAGGGUAAUCUAGAUAUUCCUCUUGUUUGAAGAGUUCAAACCAGAUCCAAUACUUAAUGUUCUUCUUUUCUUGUCUUAAGUAUGUGUAGAAUUCUUCUUGGUAGAGGGUUCUAAUGUCUUUAAGGACCUUGCUAAAGAACCAAACUCUCCUUUUCUUAUUGACUUCAGAAUAGAAGUCUUUCCUUAAGAGGUCCUUGUUGAUUCAAAGUCUUCGUUAAUUAGGCUUACAGUGUUAAUCAACUGAGAAUAAGUAGGAGACAUAUCAGGAGAUUCGUCCUGAUGUGAUUCUUGAGUAAACUCAUUUUCCUCCAUGUAAAAGGGUUUGGCCACGUUGGUGUGACUUCUAACACCUGUUAGCUUAAUAUUCUUAGGAUUUGCUGAACUAGAUCCUUCCUCUAUCCUAGUGGUUCUUAUUGGGAUAGAUGAACUUGAAGCUCUAGAGGGCUCAUAAUAUGAAAUUCUAAGGCUGCUAGAAUGAUGAAAAGAGUUGGAGAAAAUUAGAUCUCGUUCUCCAUCAGGAUAUUGAACAAUCUGUUCAAUUCUUUCAGAUCUUUGCUCUAUGGCUGGGACAACAUUAGCAAAAUGCCAAUUUUCUGGAAACUCAACCUCAUUCCACUUGAUUUUCAUGGGGACUAUGAAAUUAGACUUGUUUAUCAUAUCUAAGUGGAAGAUAGUGGUUUCACCCUUGGGACUGGUGCACAAUGCUCCAAAUCCAACGCUUAUGGUCAUGCUCUUAUAGGCAAAUCUGGUGAUGAUGGAAACAUGAUUGUUUCCUUGCUUGAACUUAAAGUCAUGGGUCUUAACAUGAAGGACAACUGAAUCUAAGAUGUUGACAUCUCUUAGUCUAACUGUGAAGUUAGGGAAACACUGGAAAUAAACAGGACCAUCAUUUAAUCCUGCUUGGGUAGCUCCAAUAAUAGAAUCUCGGUAAUCAAGAUGUCUAUUAUCUCUUAAACACAUGACAAUAAAGGUGUUUAGACCUAGUCUUGUCAAGGGCUUAGCUGCAACUUGAAUCAUGCCAAAGUGUAUGAAGUUGUAGUCUCGCUUAUGCUUAUCAAUGGACUUACUAUCCAAGAGUCUUAUGACUUGAUCGUCGUGUUCUAAACUUACUGACAUUUCAGGGGUUUUAAUGGUGUAAUCUGUAAAGAACUUAAAGGUUCCUUUCUUAUAAAUUUCUUGAUUAGGUACCUUGGGUAACUUCCAAUCAUCUAAAUCAUCUUGGAUCUUAGGAUAAUUGAUCUCUUCAUUGUUUACUCUUGAGAAUUUGUGGAUUUCCUAGACAUGGUUCUGAAAAUCAAACUCAUUUUAAGGUUUUAAUCUAGAGCCUAAUAGCAGAUUAACAGACCUAGUGAGUAAUCACCCCAACCCUUUUCCAACCUUAACAAACGCCUAUCUCCAGCUAACAAUGGGCUCAACUCGGCAAGGAUCGCACUCAGGCACACUACUAUCUUUCCUAGGAUAGAUCAAAACACCCAAAACAAACCCGACUUCCUUUUCCUAGGAUAUAUAUAGUAUUUUGGGUUUGAGUAGGAGUUCAUGUUUUGUAUGUAAUUGUAGUCUACGUUGGACUAGGUUGUUUGCUCCUAAUUGAAAUAGGAAUGGUUGGUGUCACAUCUCAUUCAUUUUCUCAUCUAUUUCCAUGUUUAGAUAACUCAAGUAAUCAUAGGAAUGAAAUUAAGAAUGAUUUGAGGGAAAUGAAAUCUCACUUGUAAGUGGGAUCUCAAUUCAUCAUUAAUAGAAGGUAUUUUGAUUACAUAGUGCAAGUUAUUUUUAAAAACACUUUUCAAAAAUUGAAAAACCAAAAACUCUCUUGGAUAAGUUGUUUUUAAAAAGAAUUUUUGUAUUUUUAUUUUGUAAAAAAAAAAAAUAGUAAUUCAAUUUAUAUAAUAUAAAUAGACUUUAAUUUUAUUAAAAAUAAAAAUAAUUUUUUAAUUACAAAUAAAUUAAAAAAUAAAUAUUUGUAAUAAAAUAUGAAUAGUAAUAUUAUAAUAAAAUCAUAAAUAAAUUAAAAAUAUUUUUAAAAACAAAUAAGUUUAAUUUUUUUGAGGUACAAAUGAGCCAAAUUUUUCAUUAGGUACACAACCAACAAUUUUUAUUGGAAACAUUCCUCAAAAAAGAAUUCGUUUCCCAUAUAGCAAAGAUAUUUAUUAUUUAGUAUCUAACCAUCCGUAGUAAUCAUAUCAAUUCUACUAAGUUAUUUAAUAAUUCAUUUAUAUAUAGUACUCAAUUAUGAAUUUUUUUAUUUGAUGUAUAAUUAAUUAAUCAAUGUUUUGAAUUUUGAAUUAUUCUUAAAAUUUAAAACAUUAAUUAUGUCUAUUACUUUUUAUAGUCAUUAUAUAUAUAUAUAUAUAUAUAUAUAGAGAGAGAGAGAGAGAGAGAGAGAGAGAGCUUAAAUUUAUCUUUAAAAAUUAUUAAAUUUAUUAAUAAAUUCAAUACAAAGACUCAUUUGAUUUGAAAUUCAUUUCUUUAGUGAAAAUUUUGAAACUAAAUAGUACUUUGUUUUACUUUGUUUUUAAAUCAUACUCACAAAUAAGUUUUUAUCAUUUAGCCAAAAAAUCUCAAAGAUGUUUCUAAUUUUAUUUAUUUAUUUAUUUGUAAAUGAAAAUAAAAAAUUAGUUUAAACUAAAUAUGCGGAUAUUAUUGUUAAUUUAUUUCAUUUUUUAUUUCCAUUGUUAUUUAACAUUGAAACGGAAACAAAUAAUCAUUCCAAUCUUACAUUCUUAUAUGCAUCUAAACACAAGAAUUGAAAUCACCAAAUUCAUAUUCAAGGCAAAAUAGAAAUGGAAAAAAAAUAUUCAUUUUCAUUCCUCAUUCUCAUGUGCUAAACAUGACAUUAGUUCUACUACCUAUUUCACCAUUCUUCUUGAUAAAUUUGGUAUAUGCAAUAUUGAUCUAAGUGUGAGGUGAAUAAGAAUGAUGAUGGGAUGGGCUUGGAAAUAAGGGCAAAGUUUCUAGGUGCUAUCUAGAGGGGCAACGCGACUUUUUCAAAUUUCGAAUAUUUGUUCUCAACAUAAAGCAAAACUUUACUCACACAAUAGAUAAGACUCUGUUUGUUUUCUUCAUCCACGACUAUAUAAUGUAUAGCUCUUACUCAAGGGAUGAGCUACUUACUAUUAAGGAUUGGGUAAGAUAUUGCCUAAUGGCCAAGAAGGCAUGUCAAAAAAUAAAUCUAAUCACCAUAAAAAAUAAUAGGGGAAAAUUAAUAUAUUAUGAAUGAUGACUUUACUAUUUCUCUAUAUACAUAAUUAUAUAUUUUGAAUUUUCUCACUAGGUAAUGAGAUUCUAAAUCAACUGAAACAUAAUUAAUAAUUUAUAUUUUUAAUGAAUCUUUUAAUUUUUAAAAAUAAUUUAAAAUUUUAAAAAACAAUUCAAUUAAUUACAUAUUAAAUCAAAACAUUUCAAAAUAUUGUGUUUGUAGAUGAGUACUAAAUGCUUGCAUAUAAUAAUAAUAAUAAAAAAAUUGACUCAUUUAGAUGUUAAAAAAGUUAAAUGUUUUUCAUUAUUCAUUUUAAGUAAAAUAUUAUUGACAUUAUUAUUAUAAAAUUAUUAUUAUUCAUUUUUAACAAAAAACAAAAUAAGUUAUUCUUUUACCAAGAUGUCAAUAUCUAUAUUUUUCUAACAUAUAUUAAAAUAGUAUACUUUUCUUUUAUUAAAAAUAAUAAUUAUUAUUAUAUUAUUAUUCAAGUUUUAUUAAAAAAAUUUAUCUUUUAAUUCAUUUGUAAUUACAAAAUAAUUUUAUUUUAUUAAGAAUUUAAUUUAAUUACGCUUUUUUUUUUUAUAAAAAAAACAGUUAUGCUUUUACCAAGAUGUUAAUAUUCAUAUUUUUCUAGCUAACAUAAAUAGAAUAGUACACUUUUUCAUAUAAAAAAAUAAUUUAUGAUUUUAUUAUAAUGUUACUAUUCACAUUUUACUAAAAAUAUUUAUUUAUUUUAUUUAUUUUUAAUUAUAAAAUAAUUUUAUUUUCAAGAAUUUAAUUUUAAAAAAAUAGAAAUCAUUUAUUCUUUUACCAAGAUGUUAAUAAACAUAUUUUUCUAACAUAUACUAAAAUAAAAAAGUUUACUUGUUCAUUAAAAAAUAUAAUUUAUGUUUUUAUUAUAAUACUACUAUCUAUGUUCUACUAAAAAUAUUUAUUUAUAAUUAAAAAAUAAUUUCAUUUUUAAUAAGACUUGAACUAAAUUAAAUUUAUAAUUUUUUUUUAAAAUAAAAUAGAAAAUUAUUUUUUAAAAACAACUUAUUGAAAGAAAUUUUUUAUUCUUUACUUUUAAGAACUGUUUUUAAAAGCAACCUAUAAACCCCUUUGGGUCUGUUUGGCUAUGUUUCAUGCAACUUGUUUUUAAAAAUUGUUUUUUAUUCUUUAAUUUAAUUUUUUUUAAGUUAAAGAAUAAAAAACAACUUUCUAGUGUUUUAUAAAAAUGAGAGCUUUUGACAAGUUGUUUUUAAAAACCAUUUUUAAAAAUAAAAAAUAAAAAACUUAUUUAGAUAAAUUGUUAUAUAUAUAUAUAUAUAUAUAUUUGUAAAAACAUUUUAAAUUCAAUUUAUAUAAUAUAAAUUUAAUUUAAUUUAAGUCUUAUUAAAAAAAAAUUGUUUGGAUAAGUUUUUUUUUUUAAAUAGUUUAUUAUUUUUGUUUUGUAAAAACAUUGCAAAUUCAAUUUAUAUAAUAUAAAUUAAUUUAAUUCAAGUCUUAUUAAAACCAAAAUAAUUUUAUAAUUACAAAUAAAUUUAAAAAUAAUUUUUUUAGUAAAACAUGAAUAAUAAAAUUAUAAAUUAUAUUAUUGUGGACCCUGCAUUUAUGCUCAUGCGCUUCCACUUGUUGGCGAACUCAUUUUUUAUUUGAAAAUGAUUUAUUUUUUUAGAAAAUGACUUAGAGUCGCCACUUAUUUUUGUUUUAUUUUUAAAGGGCAAGCAAAAUAAGAAAGAAAACCCUAAGUGUGACUCCUUAUUCGAAAAAGGUAGUCUGUGUAAAACCGGAUCAGGGUUCAGGGAUCAGGUUACUUAUUGGGAAGGUAUGACAAUGACCGUAGCACUCCUCUAAGUCCUUAAAAACGGGCCUCUACUAAAAAAAAUAAAGUAAUCAUGGCAAUCAGUAAGGAAAUCACUGGAUACCCAGAACAAUUAUGCACAUGUGAGAAUUAAAACAUGCAUAAGAAUGGACAAAGUGAGAGUGGGUGCGUACCUUGACAACGAACCACAAUGCGUUAUCAAGAAAUGGGGUUAGUGCACGAUCAAUGAACAUAAAACACGUCACACAUGUCACUAAGCAGAGUGAGAAAUCAUCAGAUAUUACAAUUCAAUCAAAUUUAUUUUUAGAAGAAACAUCUGUUGAUGUAGAGCCCCUACCAAAGCCUAAUUUAUUUUUGCAUGAAUCAAUUUCAUAAAUUCAAUCGCUUGGAAUUACAGAAUUAAAUUCAUGCUUAUUUUAAAACAUCUUUUUAAAAUCAUGGAAGAUGUGAAAAUGGUUUUCCAAAGAGAAAAUGACAACUGAUUUUAUUGAAAAUGGGAUUUUGGGGACCUAAACGUUAAAGAGGGAUUAGGAAUUGAAAAUUAAAUCAUUUGAAAAUUGAAUUUUUCAAAAAUCAGUUUUGAAAGCAUGCAUGCAAGUAUGGACUGUGAAAGUGGGCCUAGGGAGGGUGGCCAUGCAAAAUGAGGUCAUACACGUGGGCCUUGGGUACAAUUGGGACUACUUUGCUGGUGCCAGUGGUGCUUGCAGCUGUCAUCCAUGAUUUCUUCAUUGGGAUCAAUUUCCAUUCUUACUGCCAAACAUUCCAUAACAAUUGACCAAACUAGUAACCCUGACCUUGCAUGAAAAUGAACGUUACCUAGAAACUCACUGCCAGUGAGAUUCAUUGCUCUUUCAAAAGGUCUCAUUUUCUUUCUCAUCCAAUUGCUUUAAGGAGCAUUCUAGCGUCACGAUUGGUGACUGCGCAUCAUCUAGAGCCUUCUUUCUUCUCAGAAUCAGGUUUGCGUGCAGAGGCCUGUGCUUGUUCAAGGUUGACCUAAAUUCAUCUAGGUUUAGAACCGACCAGUUGAGCUUGGGGAGCAACGACAAGAAUAUCAGUCACUUGCGAAGAGAAAACUCGAGAUCUUUCAAGUAAUGCCUGACAUAGAUUCCUCCAACCUGUGGCCAAUAUCUCAUUCCUUGUUGGCCAGACGCCUAUUAGGGCGUAUCUCAAUCAAUAAUAUGAUUUUUCGUUUGUUCACAAUAAAGACCGGAAGCCAUGGUUGUGAUUUAUGCAGUACAGAAGAAGUUGCCAUGGCUGGUAUCCUUACAAAUUCUGGUGUUUCUGCUAUCUGUUCAAGUGCAAAACACAACAGCUUUAUCAAGUUUGUCCCUAACAACUGAUAUUGAGCCCUCUGGAGGAAACCUUGAUAAAUUCAUAAUCACUUUUGACUCAUGCAUGGGCUGCCCAUCAAAUUUUCCUAGCAACGAGACGACUGCUGUCAUCUACUGCAAAGAGAAUUUCUUCUCGCAAAGACAAGAGGAGUUUAAGAAUACACACUAUUCUGCCAUUUCAUUUCCUCUUUCUCCACAACCAACAUAAACCAUAGUGUCUACAUUAGAGUACUUAGAAAGAGCUUAACUGAUGACCGUUUUUCCACAACCAAAUGCCCCAGGUAUGGCACAAAUUUCACCGAAAACAGAAGGGAAAAGGGCAUCAAGAACACGCUGUCCUGUAAGUAGUGGGGUAUCAGGACUACUCUAGGGAAGUUAUUUCUGUCAUUUUGAAAAAGAAAAAUUAAAGAAUGUACACAUGCUUUCAAGUGGACUGGAGCAUUCUACAUAUCAGGUGGUCUGUAGCCACAUGUGCCACUUUGUGGAAGUUGGAACAGUCGAUCACUAGGCUAUUUAGUGUGGCCAAGCCACGUUAAUCAAGGACAAGUCUUCAUACUUAAAAGUCAAAUGGUGCCUUUAGUCUCAUUACACAUGGCUAUUUAAAGAUGAACUAAUCUUUAGUGUAAUGUGAUUAAGACAGUACUAACUGAUCAAUAUUUUUUCUAAUUUUGGAUGCAAAUGCUUGCUGGCUUCAUCAUUGGAUGGGAUAAAGGUGCAUUCAUGACUCUGAAUACUUGCAGUAAUACUUGCAGUAAUACUUCAUUCUCUUUUUUCUCGAUGAGACUUCUUGGCACAAUUUUGCUUCUCAGCAACCUACCUCUCCAUGGAAAAUGAGUUGCGAUUGAUGGUACUGGAUAUUUUCUAGGAAGCUAAAUAUAGAUAUAUAGCACUCAAUGUCAACGAUAUAUAUAGCAUUAACAGUAUAUGUCUCAAUGCUCAUCAGCUACAAGCAAGGGACAAACACUUACAAUGAAUAACUCACGUCAACAUUCCUAAACAGGACAUAGAAGUGACAGAUCUAUAUAUAGAACACUGCAUAUGAGUCACAAGAAAAGAUAAUACGGGUGCAUAGCAGCUCUUAUAUUACAUAUUACUCAUACCGUUCAAAUUCACUCAGUUGGGAUGGGUGGGAGAAGGAGGCCUCUGGGGUGGCUUGUGCGUGUGAGAAGUGGAAGAAAGUUGAAUGGAAUGAAACUGAAAAACAGGGUAGAAUAGAGGUUUCUUGAAUCUUCUGAAAUCUUUAUUUUUCUGAGAUUUAUUCUCUGUUUUUGUGAGUCGUGACUCUACAUAUAUACAUGUAUUUAAAGUUAGUUAUGCCUUAUAACUAAUUAUCUAACAGUACCAAAACUAAUCAUCUAGUUGCAUGUUUCUAAUUAAUGCUAUUUAGUUACAACUAUAUAUGGCUUAACAUCCUCUCUCAAACUCAAAAGUCUAGCUAGAACAGUGAGUUUGCUUCAUAGAUUGAGAAAUUGUUGAAUAGGUAAGGCUUUGGUAAGAGCAUUAGCAAUCUGGUCAUAAGAAGGAAUGUGUUGAACCACCAAAGUCUUAUUGAGCACCUUUUCCUGAACAAAAUGGCAAUCUAGUUCCACAUGCUUAACUCGAGAAUGAAAAUAGGAUUGGCAGCAAGAAAGGUGGCUGAAAGAUUGUCAUAGAACAAAACAAAAUAGGAGAAUAAGAAGAUGAGAUAGAAAACUCCUGAAGAAGAUGUUGAAUCCAUUGAAGUUCAAAAGCAACAUUUGCUAAGGCCCUAUACUCAGCUUCAUUGCUGGAACGAGACACAACUUUCUGCUUACUGGAGUUCCAGGAGACUAGAUUAGAGCUAAAAAAGAUGCAAUGACCACUUGUACUUCGACGAUCAUCAGGGCAACCAACCCAAUCAACAUCAGCAUAAGCAGUAAGUUGAAAAUCAGGAGAAGAAUAAAAGGAAAGACCAAAGGAAGUAGUGCCCUUAAGAUAAUGCAACAAUCGUUUAACAACUUGCCAAUGAAGAUCAGUUGGUUAUUGCAUGAAUUGGCAAAGUUUAUUGAUAGAGAAAGAGAUGUCAGGCCUUGUAAUGGUACAAUAUUGCAGGGCUUCAACAAUGUUGCGAUAUUGAGAAGGGUCAGCCAAGAGGGAACCUUUAGAGGCAGAUAAAGUGUGAGAGGUAGUCAUUGGUGUAUCAAUAGGUUUAAAAUAUGGAAGACCAGCACGAGUUAACAAGUCCUGAAUAUAUUUGGUUUGGGAAAGAUGAAGAGAAGAUCCUUGCCAACAUACUUCUACACCCAAGAAGUAAUUCAGAAUACCAAGGUCCUUGAGAGCAAACUGAAAGUGUAAAGACGAAACCAUUUGGUGGACUAGCACGGUAUUAAGACCACUAACAAUAAUGUCAUCAACAUAGAUGAGAAUAAUGAUCAUGUCAGUCCCUUUCCGAAGAGGAGCUUGCUUCAGACCCUACAAGGCUUUGCGAAGUUUACAGAAAAAACCGGGUUUAGAAUGAUCAACAAAGCCUGGAGGUUGAACCAUGUAAACCUCUUCUUCUAACUCACCAUUGAGAAAGGCAUUAUUAACAUCUAAUUGUUCCACUAACCAACCAUGAGAAAUAGCAAGAGAAAGAACAAUUCAUAUAGUAGUUGGUUUAACAACAAGGCAAAAGGUUUCAAAAUAAUCAAUACCAUAUGUUUGAUUAAAACCCUUUGCAACUAAGUAGGCUUUAAAACGAUCAAUUGAGCCAUUAGCUUUGAGUUUCAGCUUGUAUAUCCAUUUACAACUAAUAAUGCGUGUAUUAACAGGUUUAGGAACCAAUGUCCAUGUGGAAUUGGUGAGAAGAGCAUCAUACUCAGUCUUCAUAGCAGCUUGCCAAUUAGGAUGCAAUAUUGCUUCUUUGAAAGAGGAGGGUUCGACAACAGUAGUUUGGAUAGCAAGGCUAAAUAUUUUUUUGGGUUUAAAAAUACCAUUUUGGCUACGAGUAACAAUAGUUCGGUUUGGAAGUGAAAGAGGAUCAGUGGAGGAGGCUGGAACAAGGGAUUGUGGUAAAGUAGGAAAGGAAGGUGGAUGAGAUGGAACAAAAUCAGUAGGGACAAUAAUGGGAGAAGAAAAAUUAGGUGGAGAAUGAUGAGGAUUCCUUGAAGAUGGUGUAGGAAUAGAGAGAAUACCAGAAUCAAGAAGUGUUAAAGAAGAGUUGGAUGAUGAUACUGGUUGACAGGAUAAAGACUUUGUUAAAAAUGGAAAUCGAGUUUCAUCAAAUACAACAUGACGAGAAGCAUAUAUCCGAGAGGAAGCCAUAUCCAAACAGAGGAAUCCCUUGUGUUUAGCACUAUAACCCAAAAAACAGCAAACAACAAAUAUAUUUGCUAGCUUGUGAGAAGCAUAAGGGCGAAGAUAAGGAAAACACAAGCAUCCAAAACUUCAAAGAGAUGUAUAAUAAGGUAAACGAUUAUAAAGAACUCCAUAAGGAGAAUUUUGUGAAAGAACAGCAGAGGGAAGGCAAUUUAUGAGAAAAAUGGCAGUUUGAAAUGCAAAUGACCAAUAUUUGAGAGGGUAUACCAGCUUGUAUUAACAAAGAAAGACCAACUUCCACAACAUGACGAUUCUUUCUUUCAACUCUUCAAUUUUGCUAAGGAGUAUAAUGACAAGAGACUUGAUGAAGAAGACCAUUUGUAGCCAAAUAAUUCUGAAAAGCUGAAACUGAAACUCAUCAAAUUGAUUUUUAGUAUCAAAUUUUCUUCAGACUGAACACAUUGAUUUUUAGUAUCAAAUUUUCUUUCAACCAUGGCUUGAAAAUGUUGGAACAUAAGUAAAGCUUCAUCUUUAGUUUCCAAAAGGUACAACCAUGAGAAUAUGCUAAAAUCAUCAAUUAGCAAGAGGAAAUAUUGAGCAUUACCAUUGACAGAAACUAUAGGAGUUGCACCCCAAAGAUCAACAUGGAUGAGACCGAAUGGUUUUAUUGCUCUAGAAGUGGAUAUUUCAAAUGGAAAACGAUGGCUUUUAGCCAACUGACAAGACUCACAUACAGAGUUAUUAUUGUCAUGUUUCAAAGGUAUUUUAUAAAGAGAUAAGAUUUUGGAAACUACAUUAAUAGAGGGAUGACCAAGUCUAUUAUGCCAAAGCCUCAAAGAACCAACGGCUAAAGUACUACUAGUAGAGUAAAAUACUAGUGGAUGACCAACAACUCUUGGUGUAGCAAGAAGUUUAUAGAGACCCUUCUCAAUUUUUCCUUGAAGAAGAGCAAGUCUCGUUUCCUGAUCCUUUACCACAAAAUGAGAAGAACGAAAUUCAAUAAAGGUGCCAUUGUUUGAGUAAAAUCGUUGCACGCUAACUAAGUUGGUGGUAAUAGAAGGAACAUGUAAGACAUCAUUGAAAAACAAAGAACCACUUGAAGAGGCAAGAGAAAAUUUACCAAUAUUUGCAAUGGAUAAACCCUUACCAUCUCCAACAAUUACUUUGUCACCACUGGUAAAUGGAUUAUGGAUUGUUAAAUUGUUAAGAUCAGAUGUGAGAUGAUGGGUAGCCUUUGUAUCAAGAAACCAAUAAGUGUCUCCCAUUGUUGCAGAAGUUGUAGUCAUAGCCUCAGGAUUGUUAGAGGUGGAAUGUUUAGAAUCUUUUGGCUGAUAAUCAGAGUUAAACCGAUACCAGCAUUGUAAAGCGGUGUGUCCGAACUUACAACCGAGAGAAAUAAUCUUUACUUAUUCUCUAAAAACUGUUCUUUAUUCCACACAUUAUUUCUAAAAACUGUUUCUAGAUAACAAUGACAAAAUAGUAUUAGGAAUUUUUAAAAAUAAAAAUUGUUUUUAAAUUACAUGAUCUAUAUCAUUCACAUUUGACCAUUAUAGCUUUGUUCAGGAAAACACUUGAAAGUAACCUUAUCGUGAUAAGAGAUAUAAGUUGGCUGUAGUUUCAAACUGAAAACAGAGGAUGGCAAUAGAAAGCAAAGCAUUAGUUAUCUGCAAUCAGUGGUGAUCAUGCCCCAUGUCAAUUUCGGACCCAUAUCUUAAAACCGUAUAAUUUGCAUUUCAACAUUUCUGAUUUCUCAGAUGUUUCAUACUCCACAGAAGAACAUUGUUUGUGAAAGCAUGCAUUUAUGCUGGAUUUUGGAUGAUGUGGGAACUGGGGCAAGGAUCAUAUGGAAGAGUGGUCGAUUUUUUCUGUACUUUAACAUUUGAAAUAGGAGCAGCACGGGCAUUUGUGGGGCUUAAUUGAUUUUGAAGCCUGAAAUUGCGUUUCUGUCAUUUUGUAAAAAAUAUGGCAGAUUCCAUGCUCUCAUAUGUUUGGUCUGUGGCCAUGUAUAGAUGCCACUUAGUGACCAGUUUGUAACUGUCAAUCAUAGUGUUUUGACUCUGGCUCAACAACAUCAGCCAUUGACGGAUUUUCAUACAUGCAAAUCAAAUAGUCUUCUUCCUCCCUUAGGAAUUUCGGUUUAAAUGUUAUUAAGCAUACAUUUGGCUGACAAUUAUUAACCACUUCAUGAUAUGGUUUCUUACCCUUAAUCAAUGGUUUCUAAGUGAAUAUAUGCAGAAGGAAAUCUGAACUGUAGACAGCAGUAUUGAUAAUUAUCAAUAUUCUUUAUAUAAGAGAAUAAACAACGUCAUAGUGAUCGUCGCCUACAAGAAAGGUACAUUUCCCAACAAGAUGUAGUUGUGACUGGUACAUGGACGUAAUUAACUCGUAGAAAAGGAUAAGACCAGUGCACGGCAGCUCUUAUUUUACAUGCUAAUUAUGCUAACCAAAGUCACUCAGUUGGGAUGGGAGGGAGAUGGAGGUUUGUGCGGUGGCUUGUGGGGCGGAGUUGGUGGCUUCUUUUCAGGAGCUUGUGGCUUUUUCGGAGCUGAAGGAGGCUCAAUCUUAUGAGGCGGCUUGUACGAGUCUUCUUUACUCUCGACAGGAGGGUGGCCAGGGUUGUGACCAUAAUGUGGUGGCUUCUCUCCCUUAGGUGGCUUGCCAACUGGGGUUGGUGGCUUGUGUUCAGGAAGUGGUUUCUCUCCCUUGGGAGGUUUACCAAUUGGGGUUGGUGGCUUGUGUUCUGGGAGUGGUUUCUCUCCCUUGGGAGGUUUAGUGGGUGACUUGUGUUCUGGAGGUGGCUUCUCCACCGGAGGCUUGUGCUCCGGUGGUGGCUUCUUGGUUGGAGGGGGCUUGGGGUAAUCAGCAAGAGAUGGGGGGGUGAGAACCACCACUCCAAGGAACAACACUAGCAAGUAUGUGGGAGACAUUUCUGAGUUUGAGCUGAUCAGAUGAUGCAAAACUAGAAGAAUUACGUGACCUUUUAUAGCAAGUAGCUCCCAAUACCCACAUGACACGUGUUACUGUGACCAUAAAUAUUAUAGGGUCCAUUUGUGCCCUACCGGGUUGAAAACUUGGACGCUUGGCCGAGGACACACCGAACUAUGGAGGACUAUUGACGUGUGAUCACAGCUUUUGGAUUUUUCUUCCUGUGCAGCUGUCUAGCGGUUGGCAUUAUUUUUUUAAUCUUAAAUAAAGGCAUAGUUAUAGAGUACAUUUAUAUAUCUUCAGAUAGCCAUUAAUAUAUUUGAUGAAGAAAGACAAGUGCAUACAACAUGUAUACGGCUUGCUUCAAUCGAGUACAUUUAUGAUCAGUUUUCCAGUGCAAGUAAACCAGUUUUUUGUUCCACAACUAUUUUGGAAUCUUGUUUAUCAGUUUCUAUCAUUAUAAUGUCACAUAGGCUGCAAACUUGGGCACCCAAAGAUCUAGUUGGGCAAAUUUGUUUCAGAAUUUCAAUGGUGGAUUCAGUAAUUGUUAAAAGGUGUUUCUUCAUUAAGGAAAGAGUCCUGUAAAAAUAUUGUUAAAAGGUGUCAUAGAAACUAUAAUAAUUAAAUAACUUCUUUUCCCCGUGGGUGGUGUUUCUUCUGGGGAUACCCAAAAUGAGUUCAGAUUAAAAUUGGUUCGAGUCAAAGCUGUCUCUUUUGUCCAGAAAUCAACUAUUUUGCGCAUUGCAUGAAUCGAUAAAGAAAAAAUGAAAGCCAAAUCACACCUCCCCUGCAAAACCUAAACCCCGGUUGCUAACUUUCUAUGUUUCAGUCCUAUUCAUACAGGAAUAUUGGUUCAAGUUUGAGAAAAAUGGCAACUUACCUAGGGAUUACUUGGUUGUGGUUUGCGACGACUAUUUACGCAACCAACCAUGAGUUUGACUUUAACGUCAUGGGUUGAAGCCUCCUACAAUCGUGUAUGAUAGUUCAAAGCUCGUAGUAGAAAUUAUACAGGAAGGAAGAAACCUCCAAAGCUAGCUCCAAAAGAGAAUUAUCACAUCGAUAGCUCCAGAGAUUCCCAAGGGGACUGAAUCAAAGACAAGUUCCUCACUUUUUCUUCUUUUGAGGCCAAAUAUGAACCAAGGAUCACACGACCUCAUUCAACUUCAUAAGUUUGAUUUCAUGCAGUUGAACACUGGGUGAAGGCCAUGACAAGAAUUGAUUAAAAAAUUCUACCACUGUUUUAAGUAAUGGAAGAUUAUUAUCUCUGAUUGGCACCACAACAGCACAUGCUGCUAGAUCUUUCUAGACACUCCAUGCAAUGAAAGUACAAUGGAUCUUGUAACGAUAGAAACUAAGCCAUGCUACAGUACUAGAUGACGAGGUAAAACUAUUAGACAUGGGUGGCAGCCUAUAUGGGAGGGACACAAGUCUAAUUGAUUUGCAUUUCAGCGUUCUAGAUGGGUAUGUUUUGGAAGAUUUGUUCUGGAAAUACCGCACCAAGUAGGAUUCUUUUUUCUCUUGAGUGGGUCCACUUGCAUGCCAAUUAUCGAGUUGAAAAGUAGAGCACCUACCUCGUGCUCGUGGAACCGAAGGUCAGUGAAGUGGGGCUCCUUUUGGCCUCUUGUGUUUCUGUUCCAACCAAGGCGGCGGAGGGAAAAACAGCAAUAUGUCUCCGCUAAAUAUCAACGCAUGAUAGCGAAUGAGGGAGAAAAAAAGUAAUUGGCAUCUCAAUCUCACAAACUUGGUACAGUAGUGACAUUAAUAGUCUUCCACAUGGUUUUUAUUUUAUUUUAUUUUAUAUUUUAUAUUUUCCAUUUUUUUAUUUUUUUGUAUGUCAAGGCUAAUGAAUAAAAUGCGUUAGCUUGUUUUGUGAUUGGAACUGCAAAUGUCCAAAUUGGAGUUUCUCCAUUUCUCAGUUCGGAUGGUUAACUUUAUAAACAAGAUAUAGGAAACAUGUGAACGUCUUGAGGAACAAUUCGAAUUAUUGAUUAGAACUCCUAGGUUGAGUUCCAAGAUUUAAAUCAGACCCCUCUAGCAGCUUCAGGGGUACCUAGCAAUUAGAACAUAUUAAUGAAGAUUUAGGAUUUAGACUCCGGAAUACAAAUUAAUAUGUAUCUUAUGCUCUGACUAGCUUCCCUGCAUAUGCACAAAAUGGAGAUGACCCAAAAAAUAGCAGAAUCGCCUUAGUUUAUGUGGUUAAGGUGAUUCUCCGGUUAAUAUCCACAUUGGCUCAUUAUGCAAAUCAACUGAGCUAUUUUUUUUUUAAUGUCAAAUAGGAACUCCUAAUUAACCUAACCAUUGGCCUGUGUAAAUUGAUUUCACAUGCACAAUGUUGUAGUAGAAGUCCACAUUUUGAAUUUUAUUUUUGGAAAGGUAAGGAAAAUGAAGCAUUGUGUAAUUAUAAAAAUAACUUCAUUGGAAUUCACAAGGUUCACCCAAAAUGGAGCUACAUCCGUAUUCUAUCUUACAGUAGACUAUAUAGAUUGUACAAUAGUAAAUUGCAAAUACAAUUAAUAAGUCUUGUGUUUCCUUACUAAUAAUCCUUUGACAUAAACAUUGCAGCACUAAGGUCCUCUUGGGCAGACACCUUGCACCCAUGAGAGCACUAAGAGGAAGCAAGGCGGAGUCAUGGGUGCAAUGUCAUGACUUGUUGCACUAAGAGAGGCUUGGUGAUGGCAUAGUGCUGCAGUAGCAAGAAUGUUGCCUUGGCAGGGACACGAUCUAGGGACAGAUGCCAAGAAAGGCUUAGCACUCACAUGAGUUGCACAAAGAUGAAUGAAAUAGAACAUCAAAGAGACAUCUUGGCAAGCUCAAGAAAGACAUGUGGGUUGGUAAAUGAAUGGAUGCAAGAGGCAACAACAUGAGGAGUUUCAAAUGGAUAGGGAAUGAGUCAAAGACAUUUGAAAGCUACAAGUUGGAUUCUAAUUACGAUUGCAAUUUGAGUUUGAGUAGGAGUUUAUAUUAUGAUUGUAAUUGUAGUAUGAGUUGGACUAGGAUUGCUUAUCCCUAGUCAAAAUAGGAGUUGUUCAUGCCACACCCUAUGAAAAGAGUUUGAGUAGGGACUAGGAUUGCUUGCUCCUAGUCAAAUAUGGAGUAGGUGGUGCCACACCUAUAAAAAAAAAAGGGACAACAUGAGAGAGAGAGAGAAUGAAUUCACCAAAGAUAUUGUGGGAGUUUUGCUUUGUUACAUCUUGUAUUAUUAUUUAGAAUAGUAAUAAAAUACAAGUUGGGGCUAGAGCCCCAUAAUCUCGUGUGCCUUUGUGGGUUAUUCUUUAUUUGCCAUCUCGUGUGGAUUGGAUUAGAUUGAUGAGGCGAAAUAUUAUGUGGGAAAUUUAUGUUGGGACACUUACCAUAACCAGGUAAAAUCUACCAAGUCUUUUGUAAUAUCUUCUACAAAUAUUUUAGACCAGUUCUUCACAAAACAUCAUAAUAUGUUUUGUGUUUCUCUUGGAUUUUGAGUUGAAUUGUCUUAGAUCAAUUGAAUGCAUCUCAAUAUUAUUAUCUUGUUUGAAGGCUUGAUGAUUUUCCAUUUAACUUUACUUUCUUUAGGUUAUGCUUGAUUCCUUAAAAGUACUAAGGAAAACAAAAAAUAAAAAAAAAUAAAAAAUGCAGAGGGUUAGGACAUGUGUUAUCUAAUUGUCCUAUCCAAAGAUAUUAAGAAAGUCAUGUAGGAAAGUAAUUGAAAACUAGGUCAAGAAAGGAGCAAAAGGGAAUUGUUUUGGUAUUUUCUUUUUUAUUCUUGAAGGUGGCAGAGCUAAAAUUUGAGAAAUCAAGCAAAACAUACUGAAAUUACAUUGAAAGAAAGAAAAUGGUAGUUAAUGUCUUGCAGUACAUGAUAAGGACUUCAUGCAUGUAGUGUGACGACCCAUGUCUUGGACUGAUGCCACACUCACGGUUACACUUAUACCCUUGGUUCUCUCUUUACUACCUUGGCUAACCUAGAUCAGGCUAUGAGAUAGGCUCCUCACCACACCAUCACUUGCCCAGUAAUUAGUGACAUUUUCAAGCAAUGAGGUAACAUGGUGACACCAAGAGGGUUUAUCCCUCGCCCCAACAAGUCUAGACUCGGUCUCAAAAAAAUGGAGAAAAAUGAGGUGUCGUUAUGCAGAAAUACAACAACCAUGCCUUCCUUAUUACUUAGAUUCAGAAUGUGAAGGUGAAAUUGAGAAACAGAAACUCUUGAAACCAGAAUGAAAAUUGAUACUUUUACGAAGAAUUACAACAUUAGAGGAAGACUACAUUCUUCCUCUAUAUUCCUACGUUUCUACACUACUUCUACUCCACUCCAUAUUUCUACAUACAUCUUUAAUCAGUUUUCCCUCCUUUAUAUAGAGCCAUCUUCACACAAAUUCCGCAAGGUAGAAAAGAGGAAUGAAACUUGGAGCAAGGUUCGACUACUGGUUGUCGCUUGUCAAGGCUGGAAUUGAACUUUUUUUCUUGGCUUUUCUGGGCAUAGGUAGUAACUUGUGGUUCCUUUUUGGAAUGAAAAUGGUACAGCUAGAACAUGUGGCACUCUCUUGUUGGAUUAUGUGUCAAACAUGUGGCAGCCAUCUAGUGGAGAUUAUUUCAAUUUUGGGAUGGAGAGUUGGCAUCCAAUUGCAAAGAAAUAUGACAUCUACCAACAUGCAAUGUAAACCUAUAUAGAUCAUAUGGAGAUAGAGAGGAAACAUAUAGAAAUGGAUAUAUACCUAGAACUAGCUUUUUAUUAAAUGAGACGGAGAGCCAACAAUGAAGGAAAAUCAAAAUUUUUGGCUCAUAUCAAAGAAUUCACAUUGUGUUACCCUAGGUUUUCUUAAAGCUUGCACAAAGCCAAAAAGCACACAAAAAAUUAUAUUUUCUAGCUCUCUACCUUGGAUGGUCUCUUGAUCCUACUUGGAGAUGUGCAUAAAUAAAAGGAUUUGAAAAUGACAAUUGACUAAGUAUGUAGUCAAUCAAUUACUCAUUAAUUGACUAGUUGAUCAAUUAACUUUGCAACAUCAUAUGCAAUCCUAAUAGCUAGUCAUCUAAUCAACUAGGUAGUAAAUCAAUAGGCCAAAAAUAUGUUUAUAAUGACUAUUUUGUACAAAAACCACCUAUAUGGUUAAAUAUAAUGCAUUUCAUUUAUAAAUCUUCUAAUUCUUGAAUAACGAUCCUAUCAUCCUUUGAAAGUUUUUAUUACACCUUUUAUACUUUUGUUCUAAAACUUACACAUGUACAUCACCCUUAAUUGUACCAUGAGAACCUAGCUUUUUUUUUUUUUUUUUUUGUAAUUCAUCAAAGUUAGCUUUUGUAUUCAUUACUGUACUAUUUUUAUUGUAACUUAGAAAGCGAGUGUUUUCAAGUGAGUGAAAUUGACUUAUAAAUAUUGUAAAGAUUCAUUGAUGUGUAUCUUAAACUAAGUGUACAAGUUGAAACAUUUGCUAGUAGAUUUUCUCAAGAUUUAGAAUAGAGCUUGAGGCUAUUGAAAUAGGUGGGGUUGCACCAAACCACAUCACAUUGUUGUUUGCACCUUUUUUUCACUCUCUUUUACUUAGUUGCUCUAUAUUUGUUGUCUAGUAAUAUCCUAUAGGCUUGAUGGGUUAGGGAGCAUCCCUUUGUGAAAAAUUUUCAUUCAAUCCUUAGUUGUAUCACGCAUAUAUAAAAUGCCUCAUUGUUUUAAUGGUAUUCAGUCGUGGCAUCACAGAUAUGGGCAUCUAAAUUUUAAAAGUUUGAAACUUUUAUCUAAAGAAAAUAUGGUGCUUUGCCUUUUUGUAAAGCAUGUUGAUGAAAUCCAUGAGAAUUGUGUACUUGGGAAGCAACAUCGAGAUGACUUUUUUUUUUUUCAUUUUUUAUAAUGCGACACCUAAGUCCGGUUUCUAAAUGCUGAAGUGAAAGGGUAGGUAUGGACCAUUGAAAUCUGAUCACAACUUUUGGCCUUUUCCUUUCUCUGCAGCCAUGUUGUCUCUUUUUUCUUUUGCAUGAUUUUCUUACCUAAACAGAAUCAUAGACUUGUUUAAUCUCUAAAUGGUAUUUCAUCCAGCUUUAAGCUACUGUAUUAUAUCUUGGUGGAGGACUUUUAAGAGUGAAACCGACAUAGAGCACAUGCAAGUGGGUAUAUGGGACAUGAAAUUUCUUCUUAUAAAGACUGCAUGGUUUUUAUAUUAGAGUUGUUGAGGCGCAAUGUAUUUAGCUUGUUUUGCAGUUAAAUUAAUUGGAUAAGUAGACAUUGUCGUUUCUAAAUUUCCCACCUAAGAUAGUGACCUUAUCCUUGACUGCUUGAUGAGAUACACAAACAAUUAUACCUUCAAAAUCUACUGUGAAGUGCUUCAUGUAUGUGUGAAGUAUUAGAAAUUUCUUUCUUGGCAACUUGUUUUUUCUUUGCCCUCUACUGAUAGGUUUGACUCAAAUUAAAUUCCCUGUCAUGCUAAUUAAUUUUCACGUGCAUGCUCAAAAGGAUCACGUCAACUCUGGUUUCUACUAUUCAGGUCCAUUCCCAGAUAAACUGGUUCAAAUUUGAGAAAAUGGCAACAGCCCUUUAGUGAUGUUGGUUUGGAGCCAGUAGCCAAACCCGCCCUGAGCUUUACCACUAAUGUCAAGGGACAAAGCCAUUUGAACAAAAACAAUAGCUUCAAGAGACUGAAUCGUGGAUGAAAUCUGAUCCACAUUUCUUCUCAUUUUGGGAACAAAUGAGAACUUAACUACAAAGAUUCUACUGCCUCAUAGUGCUUUUCCUGAUCUAAGGUUGGUUCGUUUCCCAAAUUGUGAGGUACGUGCCAUUCUCACGCUCAGGAGUGUAUCCACGUGGUGGACAUAAGAUGGUGGCUUAAUAUCUGGUGUCGGUGGCUUUACUUUACUAGGAGAGUAGUGUGUCUUCAUCUCAUUCACUGCCGGAGGGUGGCGUAAGCAGUGACGCUAAGGUGGGGCACAGUCAAUAUCAUUUGCAUUUGACCAUUAUAGUUUUCUCCCGGCUUGAAAGUAACCUUAUCGUGAUAAAGGAUUACUAGCACUAGUUCAGAUGACAGUCAUGUUAAAUUCGGACCAUGUUUGUGUCACAUUAUCAGCAACCAUGUGUUUAUGGUUCAUGCUAUCUGCAACUAAACUUGAUAUAUAACCACGUGAACUUCAAUCUAAAUUCUGGAAGUACUCUUGUGAUAGAUGGUGCCUGUCUGCAGAGUCCAUCAAUUGAAAAAUGGAGUGAGUGUAUCUAUAAGAGGGAAGGCUUGGCAAAUGUUCAGUUUUCUGGGAACUCAACAAGGAUCUAAAAUAGAUUGUUUUCUUUGCUGAUUUCAAUGGUUGAAAUUUGAGAAGAUUGUGUCCACAUAACACAACUAUUACUGGUCCUUCUGUUGCAAUUUAUCCUCUAAGGCUCUAACAUGUCUUCCAAUUCCCACUUCCCUGUUACUCCAGGAAAGCUAUUUCUGUCAUUGUGAAGAAGAAAAGAGAAUGUACAUAUCGAUGGUUUUAAGUGACUGGGGCAUUCAUAUCAGGUGGUCUGCAGCCAUAUAUGCCACUUUGUGAAGGUUGGAACAGUCAAUCACCAGGCUAUAUUAGUGUGGCCCAGCCACUUCAAUCAAGGACAAGUCUUCAUACUUAAAGUCAAAUUCUGCCUUUAGUCUCAUUAUAAAUUGCUGUUUAAAUAUUAAGCAAACAUUUGUUUAAUGCGAUUAAGACAGUACUAACUCAAUACUUGUUCUAUUUUUGGAUGCAAAUGCUUGAUGGUUUCAUCAUUGGAUGGGAUAAAGGUGCAUUCAUGAUUAUGAAUACUUGUAGUUAUAUUUUCAUUCUCUUUUUUCUCAAUGAGACUUGUUGGCACAAUUUUGCUGUUCAGAAACCUACCUCUCCAUCGAAAAUCAGUUGUGAUUGAUAGUACUGGAUAUAUUCAAGAAAGCUAAAUAUAGAUAGCACCAAAUAUUAUCGAUAUAAAUAGCAUUAACAGCGUACGUAUGUCUCAAUGCUCAUCAGCUAUAAGCAACGGGCAAACACUUACUAUGAGCAACUUGCGUCAAAAUUCCAGAAUAGGACAUAGAAGUGACAGAUCUAUAUAUAUAUAGAACACUGCAUAUGAGUCACAAGAAAGGAAAUUACGGGUGCAUAGCAGCUCUUAUUUUACAUCCUACUCAUACUGAUCAAAGUCACUCAGUUGGGAUGGGUGGGAGUAGGAGGUUUGUGGGGUGGCUUGUGCGGAGGAGUUGGCAGCUUCUUUCCAGGACCUGGUUGCUUCUCUGCUGGAGUUGAAGGAGGCUUAAUCUUCCGAGGUGGCUUGUAUGAGUCUUCAGCAUUCUCAGCAGGAGGGUGACCAGGGUUGUGACCAUAAUGUGGUGGCUUCUCUCCCUUAGGUGGUUUGCCAACUGGGGUUGGUGGCUUGUAUGAGUCUUCAGCAUUCUCAGCAGGAGGGUGACCAGGGUUGCGACCAUAAUGUGGUGGCUUCUCUCCCUUAGGUGGUUUGCCAACUGGGGUUGGUGGCUUGUGUUCUGGGAGUGGCUUCUCCCCCUUGGGAGGUUUUUCCAAUGGGGUUGGUUUGUGUUCAGGAGGUGGCUUCUCCACUGGAGGCUUGUGUUCAGGAGGUGGCUUCUCCACCGGAGGCUUGUGUUCAGGAGGUGGCUUCUCCACCGGAGGCUUGUGUUCAGGAGGUGGCUUCUCGAAUGGGGGAUGCUCAGGGUAAUCAGCAAGUGAGGGGUUGGUGAGAACCACCAUGCCAAGCAACAGGACUAGCAAGUAUGUAGGAGACAUCUUUGGGUUUGGACUUAAGACAGUGGAAAACUGCGAGAAUUCUCUAGCCUUUUAUAGCGGGUCGACCCAGUACUCACAUGACACGUGUCAUUAUGACACAUGUGCCAUGGGGUCGAUUUGGGUCCUACAGUGUUGAAAAGUUGGGCAUUUGAGGUGUGAGCACAACUUUUGGCCUUUGCUUUCUCUACAGCCGCCAUGCUUUUCCCUUUUUUCCUUUUCCUUUUGUUUUCCUCCUGCCUCGUGUUCUCAACUAAACACAAUUAGGUUGUUUAAUUGUUAAAUGAGAUUUUUGUCUGUCAAUCAUAUUAUAUCCUAUCAAGAGAGAACAGAGUGUAAUGUAGUACACAUAACACGAGGCAGUAGUAAUUUUAUCAUUUAUUUUUAUAGCUUGGACCACCGCAUUUUUUCUUCUAAAAUAUUCUGUCUUGUUAAGAGACGCAAUAAUACACAAUUUUAUCUGCCAUUCAACAUUUACUGUAAAGUUCUUUUAUCUCUUUGUAGUUCUAGAAAAGUACAAAAUGGAACAUCAUGUAUAUGGUGCCUUCUGUCCUAAAAAAGAAACUGGACAAAUUAUGAACUGCAUGCUAAAAAGAGGCAAAGGAGCUUAAUUCGCAGCAUAAUUAUUUUGGUUUCUAGAGAGCCCGGGGCCUUUUGGUUGGUUUGGGGUCAGAAAAUGAACAUCAUAGGGAUUGUGCCCUUAACUGGCCUUGUUACUACAAAGAAAUUGCCAUAGAAAUUUAUUCCAGGCUGAGUAUCUCCGGAUAGACCCCAGAAAAGAAGAGUCAUAAUGAGAAUCAACCUUUGUUGAGUUUGAUUCCAUGCCUCCAUUGUGUUCAUUUCAUGAAUCUGAUUUGCAUUUAACAUUACAGUUUUGUUCUGGAAACAAUCAAAGGAGCAUCGUUUGCUUCUUGGGUGACCCAUAGUGGUGGGUGGGUCGAUUUGCUUAGUUGAAAAUUGGACAAUUGGCUCCAUCGCCUACCUCUUGGAUUCCAUGCUCGGAUAAAACGACAACAAAUAAAUAUUUAUAACUUACAACUGGGGAAAGGAAAAAAUAGUACUAAAUUCAUGGUACAUGAUAGUGAGAGAAGGGGGUGUUACACUCAGCUAAAGUUCUUUUCUAAAUAUUGCAUGGUGUUUAAUUUUAUGUGUCGGCGCGCGUGUGAAUGGAACCUGCAAAAGUCCAAAUUGGCGUUUCUCCAUUUUCCACAUAGGAUGGUGACGUUAAUAGACAAAGAUACAAUAUCUGUAGACAUUGCUUAAAAAUCGAUGUGAAGUAUUAGAAAUUACAGGCCACUGUACUGGGGGAGCGGCUGCCCCGCCAAAGGAAGAAUGUAGCAAUUUCUUCUGUUAGCCAGGCCUUAGGAUUUAUGCAUGGGAUGCCUAAUAACAAACAGAGAAAAUAUGCUUUUGGGGAAGGUAUCCAACAACAGACACCAUCAUUCAGAUGGUGGGAAGGUAUCCAACAGAUGCCAUCAUUCAGAUGGUAACAUAUAUAUACAUUUAUUAGUGAGUUUUUUUAAUACCUAUAAAAAAAAUAUACACUUUGAUAUUGUGGCUGAAUCCAUUACAUACUCAACUAACCUUGCUCAUUAGGGAUUUGACGUAACAAGGGCAACGUUGCAGUAAAAGCUCGAAACUUUAUGCAGGUGACAUUACAUUUGGUAAAGAAGAGGAAAAUAAGGAAAGCCAUCCAUAAAAGCAAAAUUCCUCAUGGGAUGAAAUUCACAAACUUCAUUUACGUUAGAGUCGCAUCCAGGCAAUUAAUUCCACAUUAGACCGCCUUUUGACAUGUGUACGGAUCUUUUUUCAAAAAUUAUUUAUAAAUAAUUGAUACUUACAAAAAUAAUUUAAGAUUUAUAAAGGAUAAAAAAAUAUUUUCAAAUCUAUGACAAUUUAUAAAAUAUUAAUAAAAAAUUAUCUCUUAAACUUAGUAUAGUUUUAUCGUAUUAAACUUUUAUUUUGAACAAAUAAUUUUAAUCUAAGUUUUAAAUUCUAAAAUUAUUUCCUUAAAAUAAAAUUUUAAAAUUCAACACUUCAAUUGAAAUUGUCUUUUAAAAAAAAUAUCUUCUUAUUUUAAUCCUUAUAAACUAUAGUUGAUUGAAAAUACUAUUGAAGUUCUCUCUUCAAAAAAAGUCUUAUUUUAAUCUUCAUAAAUUGCCCUUGAUUUGAAAAUAAACUUUGGGUUAUCAUAUUUUAAAUAAUAUAUAUAUAUAUAUAUAUAUAUAUAUAUAUAUAUAACAAAUACUCUAUUUUUUUUUUAAAUGAACUAAUUUUAAUUAUAUUUUAUUUUAUUUUUUUAUAUAUUUUUAAUGAUAAACCAAACAUAGAAAAUCAUUUUUCUAAAUAUUUUAAAAUUUCUAAGCAACCAAACAUAAUCUUCAAAAUAAAAGGAGAAUAAGGAGGGACAAGUGAGAAAUGGCGAUUAAAAAAAAGUGUACAAAAGCUCAAUUAAUUUUCUUCUAGUCUUUUAUAUAAAAAAGUAUUGGUAUGUAAAUUAAUAUUUGGAUUUUAAUAGUAUUUUAUUUGUCUUUCUCUAUCUCAUGUAAAAGAGAAUUUAAGAUAUUUCCUAAAGCAAAGCAUUAGUUAUCUGCAAUCAGUGGUGAUCAUGGUCCAUGUCAAUUUCGGACCCAUAUCUUAAAACCGUAUAAUUUGCGUUUCAACAUUACUGAUUUCUCAGAUGUUUCAUACUCCACAGAAGAGUAUUGUUAGUGAAAGCAUUUUGUAACUGUUACUCAUAGUGUUUUGACUCUGGCUCAACAACAUCAGCCAUUGACGGAUUUUCAUACAUGCAAAUCAAAUAGUCUUCUUCCUCCCUUAGGAAUUUCGGUUUAAAUGUUAUUAAGCAUACAUUUGGCUGACAAUUAUUAACCACUUCAUGAUAUGGUUUCUUACCCUUAAUCAAUGGUUUCUAAGUGAAUAUAUGCAGAAGGAAAUCUGAACUGUAGACAGCAGUAUUGAUAACUCUCAAUAUUCUUUAUAUAAGAGAAUAAACAACGUCAUAGUGAUCGUCGCCUACAAGAAAGGUACAUUUCCCAACAAGAUGUAGUGGUGACUGCUACAUGGACGCAAUUAACUCGUAGAAAAGGAUAAGACCAGUGCACGGCAGCUCUUAUUUUACAUGCUAAUUAUGCUAACCAAAGUCACUCAGUUGGGAUGGGAGGGAGAUGGAGGUUUGUGCGGUGGCUUGUGGGGCGGAGUUGGUGGCUUCUUUUCAGGAGCUUGUGGCUUUUUCGGAGCUGAAGGAGGCUCAAUCUUAUGAGGCGGCUUGUACGAGUCUUCUUUACUCUCGACAGGAGGGUGACCAGGGUUGUGACCAUAAUGUGGUGGCUUCUCUCCCUUAGGUGGCUUGCCAACUGGGGUUGGUGGCUUGUGUUCAGGAAGUUGUUUCUCUCCCUUGGGAGGUUUACCAAUUGGGGUUGGUGGCUUGUGUUCUAGGAGUGGUUUCUCUCCCUUGGGAGGUUUAGUGGGUGACUUGUGUUCUGGAGGUGGCUUCUCCACCGGAGACUUGUGUUCUGGAAUUGAUUAAAAAAAUUCUACCACUCUUUUAAGUAAUGGAAGAUUAUUAUCUCUGAUUGGCACCACAACAGCACAUGCUGCUAGAUCUUUCUAGACACUCCAUGCAAUGAAAGCACAAUGGAUCUUGUAACGAUAGAAACUAAGCCAUGCUACAGUACUAGAUGACGAGGUAAAACUAGUAGACAUGGGUGGUAGUUGAUUACUACUCAAAAAGUACUCUUUUAUAGUUUGAAACUAACUGUUUUAAACACUUUUGAGUAGUAGUUAAUAAAUUUUAACUCAAUUGGCACAUUAAGGAACCUAGCAAGGGUUACUAAUAAACUUUUGGCAAGUUUUGGUGUUUUUGGUAGUUAUUCGAUCAUUGAAACAAGCCAAGAAUGAGGGAGAAUUUUGUGAAGUCCAUGGCAAUGCAAGUUAAAGCUCAAAUACACGAAGAAUCCAAGCUUUGGAGCACUACAUAGCCCUUUGCCAAGCCAAUUAGAGAUGCAAGGAACAAAACCAAAGGAAGAAAUCCAACAACCAACAUUUUCGCAUGGUUGUGUGAAAUUUCGCACACCAUGCGAAACCACAAGAGGUAGCCAAAGAAUUUCACAUGGUAUGCGAAAUCUUCUCAUGCACCGACUCCGUUAGAUUUUUAUCUUCAGAUAUUUUGUGUAAUUUCCUAGUUUCUCCUUGUAACCAACCUAGAUAUUUUCUUUUAUAUCUUUUUUUAUAUUUUUUAGGUAACAUCAUAUAUAAGGGGAGAGACAUAAGGAGGAUAUGGAUGUUUUUCAUAGAACACUUGUAAAUUUUCAGUAGUAAGAAAUAUACAAAGCUUUUUGCUAUGCCUUACCUUCUCAUUUUGUUUUCACCUGUCUUUCUAGCCAAACAACCUCUAAGGAUGAUUUCUCAGGGGAUGAGUGGCUAGGUUUUACGUUUCUUGGAGUGAGGGAAGCUAGGUGAAGGACCUGAAUGCAAAGAUGAGAGUUUUCCUUGCUUUAAAUGAAAGUAGUUGUUAAACAUUAAUGGUUUUUAUUUUAAGGUUUAGCUUUAAAUCCCUUAAAAACACCUUGAAUGACCAAUACUUGGUAAGCUUUUCGGAUUCUAUGGAUGCUUAUUGCUAGAUCCAUGGAUGUCUAUUAGUUAUCAUUUACGAGCCUUUGGAAGGUGAUUCAAGGUGAGGGUCUUUAGUGUUUGAAGCCAUUAAUGGGAAGCAAUUACCAUUUUUUCAUGAAUCCUUUGGAUCAAAUCUUAAUUGCUAAAUAUAAAACCGAUUUGGGAAAUAACCAUCCUUUAUGUUAUUAUCCCCAACGCAAGGAGAAGAUCCGGAAUCUUCCCUUUUGUCUAAGGAACCCGAUCCUAGUGACCUAAAGCUCCAAGAGACCUUUUCUUUGUAGUUAACUUCAUUUAUUGUUUUUGCUUAACUUAAAAUCAAUCUUUGCAACCACAAUUCCAUUUUCUUUAAAAGCUAAUUUUUAUAAGGAAAAACACCAUUUUAUUUCCUUCACUAAGUCAACUGUACGAUGAAAACCCAUCCCUGUGGACGAUCCUAGAGCCAUUAUACUAUGUUAGCUAUGCUACCCUAGUGUGAGGUGAUUUAGGUUUUAUAAAUUUUGUUGAUAACACCCAUCUGAGCCAGAAUCAAAUGGCACAACUGAACCAGGGACGAAUCAAAUGGCGCCGCUAUCGAGGAUGGUGCCAAAGUACAUUGACAUGACUUUUGGUGAACACUUGUGAUCUUCAUCACAAGUUUGGUGAUUUUUCUAUUACUAAUUUUUUUCUUUGUUUUUAUUUUAGCUUAUCUUUUAUUUAGUUUUUAGCUAACCUUAACUUUUUCUUAGAAUUGUAUUUCUUCUAUUUUCUUUGUUUUUGUUUCAGUGAUCUUUAGUUGUGCAUGCCCUAUUGGAUAAGAAAUAUUGAGGGAAUACUUGUGAAGAUUGAAAAUCCUCGAGAAACUGAGUUGGAAGUGUGAUUGAACAUCAUGGAUGUUCCACCUGAAGACCAGAAUAGCCAACAUGGUUAAGAGGAUAAUUUCAAAGCAUACCGAUCCAUGAGGGACUGCAUGCAUCCACCUCGUAUGAGUGCACCGUCAUGCAUAGUGCCUCCCACUGAGCAACUAGUAAUCUGACCUCACAUUGUGCCACUCCUACCUACUUUCCAUGGGAUGGAGAGUGAGAAUCUCUACUCGCAUAUUAAGAAAUUCGAGGAGGUUUGUAAUACAUUCCAAGAAGGAGGAGCUUCAAUUGACUUGAUGAGGCUCAAGCUAUUUCCUUUCACUUUGAAGGAUAAGGCUAAGAUUUGGCUUAAUUCUUUAAGGCCAAGGAGUAUCCGAACUUGGACUAAUUUGCAAGCCGAUUUUCUUAAGAAGUUCUUCCUUACCCAUAGGACCAAUGGUUUGAAAAGGCAAAUUUCGAACUUCUCAGCUAAAGAGAAUGAGAAAUUCUAUGAGUGAUGGGAGAGGUACAUGGAAGCUAUUAAUGCUUGUCCUCACCAUGGCUUUGACACAUGGCUCUUAGUGAGUUAUUUUUACGAUGGUAUGUCUUCUUCAAUGAAGCAACUCCUAGAAACUAUGUGUGGAGGAUACUUCAUGAGUAAGAAUCCGAAGGAAGCCAUGGACUUUUUGAGUUAUGUGGCUGAAGUUUUAAGAGGAUGGGAUGAACCAAAUGCUAGAGAGGUGGAAAGAAUGAAGUCUCAACCUAAUGCUAAGGGUGGGAUGUAUGUUUUGAAUGAAGACAUUGACAUGAAAGCAAAGGUUGUAGCUAUGGCAAGGAGAUUGGAAGAGCUAGAAAUGAAGAAGGCACAAAAAGUGGAAGCCAUUUCUGAGACAUCAGUGCAAGCUAUGCCUUGUUCCAUUUGUCAACCUAAUGCUAAGGGUGGGAUGUAUGUUUUGAAUGAAGACAUUGACAUGAAAGCAAAGGUUGUAGCUAUGGCAAGGAGAUUGGAAGAGCUAGAAAUGAAGAAGGCACAAAAAGUGGAAGCCAUUUCUGAGACAUCAGUGCAAGCUAUGCCUUGUUCCAUUUGUCAAUCUUAUGAGUACCUAGUGGAGGAGUGUCCUACAAUUCCAGUAGUGAGAGAGAUGUCUGGUGAUCAAGCAAAUGUUAUUGAUCAAUUCAAGCCUAAUAAAAAUGCUUCAUAUGGCAACACCUACAAUUCAAAUUGGAUGAACCAUCCAAAUUUCUCUUGGAAACCAAAGCUACCUCAAUACACACAACCUGCUCAAGCACCUUAGCAAUCCUCGAAUCUUGAACAAGCUAUUGUGAACCUUAGUAAGGUUGUGGGAGAUUAAAAGUCCAUCAAUGCUCAACUGAAUCAGAGAAUUGACAGUGUAGAGAGUACAUUGAACAAAAGGAUGGAUGAGAUGCAAAAUGAUCUGUCUCAAAAGAUAGACAAUGUCCAAUAUGCAAUCUCAAGGCUUACCAACCUCAACACAGUGCAAGAGAAAGGAAAGUUUAUUUCUCAACCUCAUCAAAAUCCCAAGGGUAUCCAUGAAGUGGAGGCUCAAGAGAGAGAAUCUUCAAAGGUGAGGGAAGUCAAAGCAGUUAUCACCUUGAGGAGUGGUAAAGAGGUUGAUCAACCCACAUCCAAGCCAAAGCAUAAUGAAGAGAGUUUUGUAGAAAAAGAAAAGAGAGGAAAAUAAAGGAAAGAGAAUAGAGAAAAGUACAAAGAAAGAUGACCAUGAGUCUAGUGUGGAUGAAGAGCCCAAGAGGAUAGUGAUCAAGGAAAAUAUGAUGAAGAAACACAUGCCUCCACCUUUCCCCUAAGCUUUGCAUGACAAAAAAGGAACCAAUAAUACAUCGGAAAUUUUUGAAGUAUUGAGGCAAGUGAAGGUCAAUAUCCCUUUGCUAGAGAUGAUCAAACAAGUGCCGACAUAUGCAAAAUUCUUGAAGGACUUGUGCACUGUAAAGAGAGGGUUGAAUGUGAACAAGAAAGCUUUCUUGACCGAGCAAGUGAGUUCCAUCAUACAGUGCAAGUCUCCAGUGAAGUACAAAUAUCCGGGCUACCCUACCAUCUCAGUGAGUAUUGGAGGUACUUGUGUGGAAAAAGCUUUGUUGGACUUGGGAGCAAGUGUGAAUUUGCUACCCUACUCUGUCUAUAAGUAGUUGGGACUUGGAGAGUUGAAGUCAACAUCCAUCACCCUAUCUCUGGCAGAUAGAUCAGUGAAGAUUCCAAGAGAGAUGAUAGAAGAUGUCUUGGUUCAAGUUGACAAAUUCUACUAUCCAGUGGAUUUUGUUGUUCUUGAUACGGAUCCGAUUGUCAAAGGAACUAAUUAUGUUCCUAUCAUACGAAGACCCUUCCUAGCUACAUCAAAUGCAAUCAUCAAUUGUAGGAAUGGAGUCAUGAAACUCACGUUUGUCAACAUGACAUUAGAGCUCAACAUCUUCCAUUUGUACAAGAAGCAUAUCCAUUCAGAAGAAAAAGAAGGUCUAGAGGAAGUGUGCAUGAUUGACACUUUAGUGGAGGAGCAUUGUGAUCGACAAUGCAAGAAGAUUUAGUUGAGAGUUUUGGGGAUCUUGAUGAAGGGUUACUUGAACCCUCAGAUUUGCUUGCUACCCUACUCCAUUGGAGGAAGAGAGAAGAAAUUCUACCCUUAUUCAAUGAGGAGGAGACACAAAGAGCUGCUAAAGAUAAGCCCCCAAAGCUUAUUCUUAAGCCACUACCCACAGAGUUGAAGUAUGCAUACUUGGAAGAAGACAAGAAGUGCACUGUUGUUAUAUCUUUAGCUCUUACCAUUCAUCAGGAGGAUUGUCUACUUGAAGUCCUUAGAAGAAGUAAGAAGGUAAUAGGGUGGCAAAUUUCUGAUUUGAAAGGGAUCAGCCCUUUUGUCUGCACCCAUCAUAUUUACAUGGAGGAUGAAGCUAAGCCAAUUCAUCAACCUCAGAGAAGGUUGAACCCUCACAUGCAAGAAGUGGUGAGAGUUGAAGUUCUUAAGCUACUUUAGGCUGGUAUUAUUUACCCCAUAUCAGAUAGCCCAUGGGUGAGUCCUACUCAAGUUGUGCCAAAGAAGUCGGGGAUCACGGUGGUGCAAAAUGAUAAGGGAAAAGAUGUCUCUACAUGUCUCACUAUAGGUUGGAGGGUGCGUAUCAAUUACAGGAGGUUGAAUGUAGUGACAAGGAAUGACCAUUUCUCGUUGCCCUUUAUUGAUCAAGUGCUUGAGAGGGUCUCUGGGCAUCCUUUUUAUUGUUUCUUGGAUGGCUACUCGAGGUAAUUUAAGAUAGAAAUUGAUGUUGAAGACCAGGAGAAGACCAUUUUCACAUGCCCAUUUAGAACCUAUGCAUAUAGGAGAAUGUCUUUCGGCUUAUGCAAUGCACCCACAACUUUCCAAAGAUGCAUGUUAAGCAUUUUCAAUGAUAUGGUGGAGCAUAUUAUGGAAGUCUUUAUGGAUGAUAUCACCAUAUAUGGAAGUGCAUUUGAUGAAUGCUUGGUCAACUUAGAAGUUGUUCUGAACCGAUGCAUUGAGAAAGACUUAGUGCUUAAUUGGGAGAAGUGCCAUUUCAUGGUACACCAAGGGAUUGUCCUUGGGCACAUCAUCUCCAAGCAAAGCAUUGAAGUUGACAAAGCAAAGGUUGAACUCAUUGUUAAGUUGCCAUUCCCAACAAAUGUCAAAGGAGUAAGGCAAUUCCUUGGCCAUGCCGGGUUCUAUAGGAGGUUUAUCAAGGAUUUCUCUAAGCUUGCAAGGCCUCUUUGUGAAAUAUUGGUGAAGGAUGUUAAAUUCAUAUGGGAUGAUAGAUGCCAAAGGAGUUUUGAAGAAUUGAAGCUAUUUUUGACAACCUCACCAAUAGUGAGGGCUCCCAACUAGCAACUGCCCUUUGAGGUAAAGUGUGAUGUCAAUGACUUUGCUAUAGGAGCUGUUCUUGGGCAAAGAGAAGAUGGAAAACCUUAUGUGAUCUACUAUGCGAGCAAGACAUUGAAUGAGGUGCAAAGAAACUACAUAACCACCGAGAAAGAAUUGUUAGCUGUAGUUUUUGCCUUGGAUAAGUUUCGUGCUUACUUGGUGGGAUCCUUCAUCGUGGUUUUUAUUGAUCACUUUGCUUUGAAGUAUCUAUUGACUAAGCAAGAUGCUAAAGCAAAACUGAUUAGAUGGAUUUUCUUGCUUCAAGAGUUCAAUCUCCAGAUCAAAGACAAGAAAAAAAUGGAGAAUGUGGUAGUAGACCACAUUUCAAGGCUAGCUAUCGCACAUAAUUCCCAUGCUUUGCCCAUUAAUGACGAUUUUCUAGAGGGGUCUCUCAUGUUGGUGGAAGUUGUCCCUUGGUACGCUCACAUUGCUAACUACCUGGUCACAAGAGAAGUUCCAAGUGAGUGGAAAGCACAAGAUAAGAAGCACUUCUUUGCAAAAAUUCAUGCCUACUAUUGGGAAAAGCCAUUUCUAUUCAAGUAUUGUGCGGAUCAGAUAAUAAGGAAGUGAGUUCCUGAAGAAGAGCAACAGGGGAUCCUCAGUCAUUGCCAUAAAAAUGCAUGUGGAUGCCACUUUGCUUAUCAGAAGACAACCAUGAGGGUGCUGCAAUCGGGUUUCUGUUGGCCAUCACUUUUCAAAGAUGCCCACACCAUGUGCAAGAGUUGUGAUCGAUGCCAGAGGCUUGGGAAGUUAUCAUGUAGGAACAUGAUGCCUUUGAACCCCAUUUUAAUAGUUGAUCUUUUUUAUGUUUGGGGCAUUGACUUCAUGGGACUUUUCCCUAUAUCUUUUGGCUACUCUUACAUCUUGGUGGGAAUAGAUUAUGUUUCUAAGUGGGUUGAGGCAGUCCCAUGCAAACACAAUGACCAUAGAGUGGUUCUCAAGUUUCUUAAGGAGAACAUCUUCUCAAGAUUUGGGGUGCCCAAAGCCAUAAUUAGUGAUGGGGGUACUCAUUUUUGCAACAAGCCUUUUGAAACUCUCCUAGCCAAGUAUGGGGUGAAGCAUAAGGUAGCUACACCUUACCACCCUCAAACUAAUGGGCAAGUUGAGUUAGCAAACAAGGAGAUUAAAAACAUAUUGAUGAAGGUGGUGAACACAAACAGAAAAGAUUGGUCAGUCAAGCUCUUCGAUUCACUAUGGUCAUGUAGAACAGCUUACAAGACCAUUAUCGGGAUGUCUCUUUAUCACCUAGUCUAUGGAAAAAAUGCCAUCUCCUUGUGAAAUUGGAAUACAAAGCUUGGUGGUCAAUCAAGAAGCUCAACAUGGAUUUGAGCAGAGCUGGGUUGAAGAGGUUCUUAGACCACAAUGAGAUGGAGGAAUUGAGAAAUGAUGCCUACAUCAAUUCAAAAAUUGUAAAAGAAAAAUUGAAGAGGUGGCAUGAUCAGUUGAUUUCCCGCAAGAAUUUUCAAAAUGGAUAAAGAGUCUUGCUCUAUGACUCUAAACUCCACAUCUUUCCGAGCAAGCUGAAAUCAAGGUGGAUAGGUCCUUUUACCAUUCACCAAGUGCAUUCAAAUAGAGUAGUGGAACUACUCAACUCCAACAACAUCGGGAGCUUCAAAGUGAAUGACCAUUGUCUCAAGCCCUUUGUAGAGUCUUUUUUCUCGCGACAAGGAGGAAUUCAUCCUCCUUGAUCCACAUCAAGCUUGACAAGACCAGUUUUUUUUUAUGGACUUAGUCUUUCUAAAGACUAUCGAGUCCAUAACUUUUUAUUUUAUUUUUUAUUUGAGAGUUUUUCGGUAUUAUUACUUGUUUUGUUUUUUAUUUUUCGUUUUACUUUUAUUUGGUUUGAUUUAACUUAGAUUUUUUAUGAUCAAUUGCAGGGGGGAUUUCAAAUAGAGGAAAAACCAAGAUAAUUCGCACACCCUGCGAAAAUUUCGCAAGGCAUGCGAAAUUUAUGGCUCAUUUCGCAUGGGAUGCGAAAUUUCGCACACCCUACGAACCAAUUUCGCACACUUUGUGAAAAUAAACCAACCCUACGAAAUCAUUUCAAAUACUCUACGAAAUUUUCGCAGAGCAUGUAAAAAAUUUCGCAGACCAAACACCAUUUCGCAUACUAUGCGAAAAUGUAAGGGGUCUACAAAACCAUUUCGCACCUCCAAAGCCAUUUCGCACAUUGUGCAAAAAUGAAAAGUCGCCCUAUCAUCCAUUUUUAAACCCCUUGAGCCCUGAAAUCCCCAUUUCGCAAGCACCCCUGUCCUUGCGAAUCCCUCAUUUUCCUCUGCCACCUUGCGACCUUGUCCCUCUCCAUUUGAUAUCGUGCCCUGCGCACAUCUCAUUUCAAAGACUCGCACUCUGCGCCCUCUCAAAGCACGAACCCAAGGCUCACAUUCCAUUUCCGACAUGGCACAGACCCGAGGAGCCCUUCCCGCCCCUUCAUCGAGACGCACACCAAGGUAGAGAGCCUCUUUUGCUCAGAUGCCAAGUGAUUCUCCAUUUCAGGCCACGGAGGCCCUGCGGAUUCCACAUUCCAAGGGUAGAACAGCCACUGGUCCUUCCUCUUCUAUUCCUCAGCGUAGAUAUGAGACGAGGAGACCACCUACUACACAAAGGGCGACUACUUCGCGCCAUGAGAAUUCGGUACGACACCCUCCUGCCAAGAGGGCCAGGACUUCAGGCCCAGGCGAGUCAUCCAAAGCUUCACAGCCUGAGCCUCCUGCAGAUUCCGAGGUUCCUACUGACAUAUCAUCGGAGUCUAUUAUCAAACGCCCGAUGCUCACAGCACCGCCCAUUGAGGGCAACUCUGAUUGUAGAGCGAGACCUUUCCACUUGGAGCUAUAUUUUAAUUAAGAGGCCAUGCCACAGCAGCCUGAGCUCCAAGACUCUUAUGGCUUACUACAGAGGUACCAUCUUGAGGACCUUAUGACUCCUCGUGAGUUCUUUUAUCCCAGAGUAGCACUAGACUUUUACCAGUCCAUGACUACUCGUGGCGUCCCGAGUCCUACCGCGAUGCACUUCACCAUUAAUGGACGUCAUGGUAUCCUCGAGGCCAGACAUAUUGGAGAGGCUCUACAGAUUCCUUUCGAGCUAGAGGACCCAUCUGUUUUCUGCCAAUGGUCCCCAAUAUCUCAGAGGGACAUGGUCCAUAUUUUAUCCAGGGGGACAUCUACAUAUUCGAUCCUUCUACGGAAGGAGCUUCGACCUGGGAUACUCCUCGUAGAUGUGGUGCUACUUUCCAACCUCUUUCCCUUUUAGCAUUCGAUACAUAGGCGAGGAGCUAUUUUGGACGCUUUAUUCUGUAUAUCAGAGGGCUUCUACUUUGGCCCGCACCACUUGAUCAUGGUUUCCCUCAUCCAUUUUGAGGAGAAGGUCCAUAGAAAGAAGCUUCAGAGGGCGAACACCAUUCCAUUACUAUUCCCGAGGUUGCUCUACUAGAUCUUGGAGUACAUGGGCUUUCCUACUGAGCCUCGGCUUGUGUGCCGCCGCCUUUGUCAAGAGCGAUCCACUCUCGACAAAUGGAAUCAGUUGGCGGGCUAUUCUACACCUCCAGGAGCCCCUCCCAUGGUAGCACCUCUAGUGUCCCCACAGGCAGAGUAGGGCAAGCUCCCGGUAGAGACUGCACCCCUAGUGCCCACACCUGAGGCUACUUCUGCUGUUCCGCCUACGACUCCUACUGUUCCACCAGUUGGUCCUUUUACAUCUGAGUCUUCCAUCAACAUCUCGACUUCGGAGUUUCGCGCCCUUGUGCAUACCUUUCAGACACUCACCACCACACAUACUGCUCUCUUCUAGAAAAUGGCUGAGAUGCGUGCCCAUCAGGACCAGCAGACUACUAUACUCCGCCAAAUUCAACAGCACCUGGGACUUCUGCCUCUGCCUCAGCUUGACCUUCCCACAUCAUCAGAGCCUCUAGCUCCAGUUGAGGAUACUAUUCCACCUGAGGACACUACCACAGUAGAGGUUCAGAUUCCACCACCUCAGGAGGCCACCACAGCUACAUUAGAGGAUGCAUCAUCUCCACCUGAGGCUCCCACUACUUGAUCAUAGGACAUCUCUUUAUCUUAUUGUAUUUACAUAUUAUAUUACUGGAGAUUUGUCUUUGUUUUGAUACUUUAUAUUCUGGCAUUGAAUGUAUUGCCUAAUGAUAUCUCAAUUGUACUUUCUCAUAUUAAUAUAUAGACAUCAAUUUUUUUUAGUAUACUUAGGAUUUUUCUAUUUACUCUACUCAUUACUCUUUUGUUUUUUUUUUUUUACUCAUGUGGUUUCUCCUAUACGACUCAGACUCCAUUUCACUCAGGAGGUACCACUUCUUCCCUUUAUUUUCAAUUGCUCUUGAAACAUUGAGGGCAAUGUUGAUCUUGGUUGGAGGGAGAGUUGAGGAAGGAAGUGAUUACUACUCAAAAAGUGCUAUUUCAUAGCUUGUAAUUAACUCUUUUAAAACACUUUUGAGUAGUAGUUAUCACCUUUUAACCCAAUUAACAUAUUAAGGACCCUUGCAAUCAAUUCUAAUCAAAUUGUGUUAAGUUUUGGUAUUUUGAUAGCUUUUUUAUCACCAAAGCAAUCCGAGAUUGAGGAUAUUUAUUUGGAAUCCAUGGCAAAAGAUGUUUGGACAGGACGUCCGGACACACCAUCGGAGGGCGGCGGAACGUGGGCUGUGGCAGGCUGUCGGAAUGACGUAGCAAGGCUUGUGCACUUUAGCCAAUGAUCGGGAUAACAUAUCCGAAAUUCUGCUCCGCCGACAUUCCACCCGGAUGUCUCACAUCCGGAAUUCUGCUCCGCCGACAUUACACCCAGAUGUCUCACAUCCAAAAUUCUUCUCCGUCGACAUUCCAUCCGAAUAUUUCACAUCCGACGCUUGACGCCGGAUGGGAGAGGAGGGCGUUUCAACUUCCCCGGUCAGACAUAUCCGAAUCCUUUGAUAACGCUUACCCGGAGAGUUUCGCAGCCAUUUUGCACAGUGCCGCGGUGUUCUCUUGAAGCUUCCCGAUAUGUGCGACCGACAUUUUGAGAUAUUUUGCUUUAGAUAUUUGAUGUCUAAAUCCCCAAACUCUCCUUGUAACCCACCAAUUAUAGGAUUCCUUAGUUAUUAAGUUUGGAAAAAUGGUGAAUAACCCCUUAUAUAUAGUUUGCAAUUUUCAUAAAAAAGAUAUGUAGAAUCUCGGGAGCUUGUUCCCAGAGAGACGCAUCCUUUGUACAGUUUUGGAAGGAAGUAAAAUACAGAGCACUUGCUCUGCUUUUCAUAUAUAUUUUUGUUUUCUCGUUCUUUUUAUUUCUAGCCAAUCAAAGUCUGAGGAUUUUUCCUCAGAGGAUGAGAGGCUAGGCUCUUCGUCUCUUGGAGUGAAGAAAACUAGGUAAGUUUCCACAUGCAUAAAUUGAAAGUUUUGUUGUUUUAGUUUUUAAUGAAGAGAAAGUGUGACCCGUUAAUGGUUUUUAUCUUUUUAGUUAACUUAAAACGCCUUUAAAUCACCCGGGCCAACACUUGAUAAGGCAAGUGGUCUCCAUCCAUUGAGAUGCACUAGUUUAUCUCUUGCGAGCCUUUGGGAGGUGGUUUGAAGGUAGGAUUUUCUAGAAUAACCAACACUUGAUAAGCUUUUGGACUCUAAGGAGACAUCCAUUAGUUAUCUCUUGCGAGCUUUUGACGGGUAAUCCAAGGUUAAAGAUCACCUUGAAUGGCAAGUACUAGGUGAGAGGUAUGAGCCAUUGCAAGAUGCAUUAGUGAGAGGGAUUUAGUGUUUGAACCCAUUAAAGGGAAGCAUCUGUACCACACCGGUUCGGGAAAUAACUAUAUGUUAAAUCCCCAAUGAGAGGAAAAGAAACAAGUGACCGGAACUCCCUUUUUGUAUAAGGAACCUGAGCCUAGUGAUCUAAACUCCAAGAAACACUUUUCUUUGUAAGUAAAAUCAGUUACUAUUUUUGGUUAGUUUAAAACCAAACCUUUUUCAUUCAAACAUCUUUAUGUUUUCUUUUAAAGCUAACCUUGAAAUGAAAAGGCACCAAUUCAUAUUUGAAUUAAUAUCAAUUGUGAAGUGAAAACCCAUCCCAGUGAACGAUCCUAGAGCCACUAUGCUAUAGUAGCUUUGUCUUUGCUACCCUAGUUCAUGGUUUAAUAGGUUAUAAAUUUUGUUGAUUACUCCCACAAUCAAAGGAGCACCAGUUGGACAUGAAUCAACUGAGACACUAAUUGGGCACAAAUCAGGAAGUUUUGUUAAUAAUGCUAGGUUAAUUUGUUAAUUUAGUUACUUUCUGCUUAAUUUUAAAAGUUUUCACUUUACUUUCCAUAGUUAUUAAGGAAAAAUUCUCAAAAUGAAAUGGGAGAAAUUGAAUUCUUACAUUUUUACUUGAAUUUUAGAAUUUGUAUUAUGCUUAUUGAAGCUGAUGAAUUAUUGAAACUCCUAUUGAAUUCAACCUUAUUUCUUCCACUUUAAUCUUACCACACACGGUGCACAUUAGGUUCCGAUUAUAAGAGGUGCGUUCUUAGCCUAUUGGAGGUUGGUCAAUUUGUUAAAGUUUGAGAAAGAUCUAGGUUAGGGGAGAGAGAAUAGUCUGACAUACUAUAAUCGAAAACUAAUAAACUUAACACUUAGAUCUUUGUGGAAGAGUAAGGAUUGGACCUUUGGGAGUGGAAAUUCGUUUGAUGCUUAAAUUUGCAUAAUGCUUACACUUUAUAAAUUGUGAUUAGGCAAGAGAUUUGAUGACUCUUGUUCAAGGUUGGGUUUUGCCUCUUUGAUGUUCCAUGAGAGAGUAUAAUCCUCAUCAUGCCACUUGAAAUUUUUUUUGGAGUGAUUAACAUGAUUUUGUAAAUUACUUUACUGUCUAUUUUUUUUUUAUCUCUCCUUCAUUGCUAAUGGACUAGCAAUAUGUCAGUUGAGGGGAGUGAUUACUACUCAAAAAGUACUCUUUUAUAGCUUGAAACUAACUGUUUUGAACACUUUUGAGUAGUAGUUAAUACCUUUUAACUCAAUUGGCACAUUAAAGAACCUAGCAAGGGUUACUAAUUAGUUUUUGGCAAGUUUUGGUGUUUUUGGUAGCUAUUUGAUCAUUGAAACAAGCCAAGAAUGAGGGAGAAUUUUGUGAAGUCCAUGGCAAUGCAAGUUAAAGCUCAAAUACAUGAAGAAUCCAAGCUUUGGAGCACUUCAUAGCCCUUUCCAAAGCCAAUCAGAGAUGCAAGGAAGAAAACCAGAGGAAGAAAUCCAACAAUUAGCAUUUUCGCAUGGCUGUGCGAAAUUUCGCACACCAUGCGAAACCACAAGAGGCAGCCAAAGAAUUUUGCACACUAUGCGAAAUUUCGCAUGGUAUGCAAAAUCUUCUUGUGCACCAACUCCGUUAUAUUUUUAUCUCAAAUAUUUUGUGUAAUUUCCUAGUUUCUCCUUGUAACCAACCUAGAUAUUUUCUUUUAUAUAUUUUUUAGGUAACAUCAUCUAUAGGGGGAGAGACAUAAGGAGGAUAUGGAUGUUUUUCAUAGAACACUUGUAAAUUUCCGGUAGUAAGAAAUAUACAGAGCUUUUUGCUCUACCUUACCUUCUCAUUUUGUUUUCACUUGUCUUUCUAGCCAAACAACCUCUGAGGAUGAUUUCUUAGGGAAUGAGUGGCUAGGUUUUACGUUUCUUGGAGUGAGGGAAGCUAGGUGAAAGACCCGAAUGCUAAGGUGGGAGUUGUCCUUGCUUUAAAUGAAAGUAGUUGUUAAACAUUAAUGGUUUUUAUUUUAAGGUUUAGCUUUAAAUCCCUUAAAAACAUCUUGAAUGGUCAAUACUUGGUAGGCUUUUUGGAUUCUAUGGAUGCUUAUUGCUAGAUCCCUGGAUGUCUAUUAGUUAUCAUUUAUGAGCCAUUGGAAGGUGGUUCAAGAUGAGGGUCUUUAAUGUUUGAAGCCAUUAAUAGGAAACAAUUACCAUUCUUUCAUGAAUCCUUUGGAUCAAAUCUUAAUUGCUAAAUAUAAAACUAGUUCGGGAGAUAACCAUCCUUUAUGUUAUUAUGCCCAACGCGAGGAGAAGAUUCGGAAUCUUCCCCUUUGUCUAAGGAACCCGAUCCUAGUGACCUAAAGCUCUAAGAGACCUUUUCUUUAUAGUUAACUUCACUUAUUGUUUUUUCUUAACUUAAAAUCAAUCUUUGCAACCACAAUUCCAUUUUCUUUGAAAGCUAAUUUUCAUAAGGAAAAUCACCAUUUUAUUUUCUUCCCUAAGUCAACUGUACGAUGAAAACCCAUUCCCAUGGACGAUCCUAGAGCCACUAUACUAUGUUAGCUAUGCUACCCUAAUGUGAGGUGAUUUAGGUUUUAUAAAUUUUGUUGAUAACACCUGUUUGAGCCAGAAUCAAAUGGCGCAACUGAACCAGGGACGAAUCAACAACUUAUAUGGGAGGGACACAAGUUUAAUUGAUUUGCAUUUCAACGUUAUAUAUAGGUAUGUUUUGGAAGAUUUGUUCUGGAAAUACUGCACCAAGUACGAUUCUUUUUGUCUUGAGUGGGUCUACUUGCAUGCCAAUUAACGAGUGGAAAAGUAGGAGCACCUACCUCAUGCUCGCGGAACCGAAGGUCAGUGAAGUGGGGCUCCUUUUGGCCUCUUGUGUUUCUAUUCCAACCAAGGCGGCGUAAGGAAAAACAACAAUAUGUUUGUGCUAAAUAUCAACGCAUGAUAGAUGUUUUUGUUUUUUGGUAUGUCAAGGCUAAUGAAUGAAAUGCUUUAGCUUGUUUUGUGACUGGAACUGCAAAUGUCCAAAUUGGAGUAUCUCCAUUUCUCACUUCGGAUGGUUAACUUAUAAACAAGAUAUAGGAAACAUGUGAACAUCUUGAGGAACAAUUUGAAUUAUUCAUUAGAAGUCCUGGGUUGAGUUCCAAGAUUUAAAUUAGACCCCUCUAGCAGCUUCAGGGGUACCUAGCAACCUAUAGCAUAUUAAUGAAGAUUUAGGAUUUAGACUCUAGAAUACAAAUUAAUAUGUAUCUCAUGCUUUGACUAGCUUCCCUACAUAUGCACAAAAUGGAGAUGACCUAAAAAAAUAGCAGAAUCUAGCUUCCCUACAUAUGCACAAAAUGGAGAUGACCCAAAAAAUAGCAGAAUUUCCUUAGUUUCUGUGGUUAAGGUGAUUCUCCGCUUAAUAUCACAUUGACUCAUUAUGCAAAAUCAACUGAGCUAAUUUUGUUUAUUUAUUUAAUGUCAAAUAGGAACUCCUAAUUAACCUAACCCUUGGCCUGUGUAAAUUGAUUUCACAUGCCCAAUGUUGAAGUAGAAGUCCAUAUUUUGAAUUUUAUUUUUGUAAAGGUAAGGAAAAUGAAGCAUUGUGUAAUUAUAAAAAUAACUUCAUUGGAAUUCACAAGGUUCACCCAAAAUGGAGCUACAUCCGUAUUCUAUCCUGCAGUAGACUAUAUAGAUUGUACAAUAGUAAAUUGCAAAUACAAUUAAUAAGUCUUGUGCUUCCUUACUAAUAAUCCUUUGACAUGAACAUUGCAGCACUAAGGUCCUCUUGGGAAGACACCUUGCACCCAUGAGAGCACGAAGAGGAAGCAAGGCAGAGUCAUGGGUGCAAUGUCAUGACUUGUUGUUGCACCAAGAGAGGCUUGGUGAUGGCAUGGUGUUGCAGUAGCAAGAAUGUUGCCUUGGUAGGGACAUAAUCUAGGGAUAGAUGCCAAGAAAGGCUUAGCACUCACAUGAGUUGCACAAAGAUGAAUGUAAUAGAGCAUCAGAGAGACGUCUUGGCAAGUAAAUGAAUGGAUCCAAGAGGCAACAACAUGAGGAGUUUCAAAUGGAUAAGGAAUGAGUCAAAGACAUUUGAAAGCUACAAGUUGGAUUCUAAUUACGAUUGCAAUUUGAGUUUGAGUAGGAGUUUAGAUUCUGAUUGUAAUUGUAGUAUGAGUUGGACUAGGAUUGCUUAUCCCUAGUCAAAAUAGGAGUGGUUCGUGUCACACCCUAUGAAAAGAGUUUGAGUAGGGACUAGGAUUGCUUACUCCUAGUCAAAUAUGGAGUAGGUGGUGCCACACCUAUAAAAAAAAAGGGACAACAUGAGAGAGAGAGAGAGAGAGAGAGAGAGAGAGAGAGAGAGAGAGAGAGAGAGAAAGAGAUAAUGAAUUCACUAAAGAUAUUGUGGGAGUUUUUCUUUGUUACGUCUUGUAUUAUUACUUAGAAUAGGAAUAAAAUACAAGUUUGGGCUAGAGCCCCAUAAUUAAUCUCGUGUGCCUUUGUGGUUAUUCUUUAUUUGUCAUCUCGUGUGGAUUGGAUUACAUUGACUUAGAGGGCUUCUAAGCACCACCUUUGUGGGUUAUUAUUUAUUUUCCAUUUCUUGUGGAUUAGAUUAGGUUGACUUUGAGGGCUUUUAAGCACCACCUUUGUGGGUUAUUCUUUAUUUUCCAUAUCGUGGGGAUUGGAUUAGGUUGACGAUGAGAAAAAUUAUGUGGGAAAUUUGUGUUGGGACACUUAUCAUAACCAGGUAAAAUCUGCCAAGUCCUUUGUAAUAUCUUCAACAAAUAUUUCAGACUAGUUCUUCACCAUAAACAUCAUAUUGUGUUUUGUUUUUCUCCUGGAUUCUGAGUUGAAUUGUUUCAAGUCAAUUGAAUGCAUCUGAAUAUUAUUAGCUUGUUUGAAGGCCUGGUGAUUUUCCAUUUAACUUUACUUUCUUUAGGUUAUGCUCACUAUAAGAAAAAUGAGAAAUAAUGACGCUUUUUACGCGUUAAGAAAGGCAACAGAUGAUGCUUCUCUAAAGCGUCCUCUUCGGCUCUGUCAUUAUAUGUGUUAGCCAAUAAUGACGCUUCUAGGAAGUGCCAUCUUUGAAUAAUGUUAAUAACGACACUCGUAAAAAGUGUCAUCUUUAAACAUAUUCUGGUCAAAUAAUUUUUACAAAAUUAGUAAUCUUCAAGCCGUUUCUGAAUCAUAUCUGAGCCUAUUUCUGGGGACCAGAAAACCAUCUUUUUUCCAUUCGCCUGAGAGGUCUGAUUAGCAUUUCUGGAAUCAAUCUCUAAACCCAAGCUUCCCUCAUCUACCCAUUUAACCCUCAUGCCCUCCUGUUUGAACAACUUUCCCACUAUAUACACAAAUUUUUUACCUUCUGUUGUUGGUAUUCGACCUCUUCCCAUUCCCAGCACAGAAUCCACCAUUAGUGCCACUUUGUGAAUAAAAUCAUCGAACCAGAUCUUUCGGGCGGAAGAUGAGCUCCAGAGAAAUAAAAUUUUUGGGGUCUUCCCAGCAUGAAAGUCAUAGGUAGCAUUAAUGACAUCAAGAAAUGGGGCACUGUUGAGAAAAAACAUGUUCCCAUCAACCACCCAAGAAUUGUACCAGACUCCAAACACUUCUGGAUUACAUAUGCCUUUACUAAGAUAUAUUUCUUGAUCUCCAUAUCAGAAUCUUGGAGACUCUUCAUUUUAUGAGCUCUGACACUACUGUGAAAUUGGUCCACAUCAAUCACAGGAUGACCCCUUCUAGCAAGAUCAAGCAGGAAGUCUGAAUUCGGGCCCAUAAAAAUGUAGUUCUGAAUAUUGAAACUCUCAAAGUGGCACAACAAAUUCCUUAUGACUCUUUCAGAUGCUCCAAACAGGCUCACAAGUAUAAUGGUAUCCUGUUUUUGCACAGAGUAAAGAAAAUAUCCGAGUUCUUCAAAACUCCUUACAACUAUUCCAGGAUGUACUUCUUUGAAACAGAAAUCGUACCACUUUAGCUUAGUCAGAGGUUGAAUCUAAAAUAACAAAACCCAAACUGAAAUCAAAAUCGAAAUCAACCCUAAUAGAUUUCAGAAACAACAAAUUAAAAGAGUAAAGCACAAAAGGGGGAAAACACAUAUGAAGCAAUCUCCAUACAAGCCCUAACCUUAGAUAAACCCAAAAAAAAAAAUCAAAGCAGAGAGUUACCAUAGAGCAUCUCUGUUUCAAGCUUAGAAAAUGUUUAAUGCCAUUGAUAACUAGUUGGCUAGUGGUGGACUUCAAGCUUCUCUAUUUCGGUGUUAGUAGCUCUCAAUGGCUAUGGUGAGAACAAAGAAAUGAGAGGCUUAGGGUUUGGGAUGUGAGGUUAUUGAUGAUGAUGAGGAUAAAGUUAUGGGCUCUUGGAGGGGUUAGGGAAAUUGAAGAUGGCUGAGAGUAAAGGCUAGGGUUUUUGAGAUAGUUAAUAGCUUUUUAGGGUGUGACUGUCCAUAGAUAGAAGAUAAAUGAGGGUGUGAGAAUUUAUAGAUCUCUAGGUGAUAUGGCGGGUGUGAGAAUGAAAUUUUAGAGGGAAUUGUGUGUUUGGUAGAAAUUUCACACAUGCAUAUAUAAUGUUUCAGAACAUGGCACUUUAAAAAUACGACAAGGAAGAAAUUAUUUAUUGACGCUUAAAUAAAGCGCCAAGGUCUCCAACAUUUUUGCAAUCAAUGACGUUUGUAAAAGGUGCCAUUGAAUAGGAGUGCCAUUGCUUUCCCACAAAGCAUCAUUGUUAAUCAAGCCUUUAAAAAACGCCAAGAUAUGUUGCCACUUAGGUUAAAUAUUGACGCUUUUAAAAAACGCCAAGGAAAAAAACGUCAUUAUUCAUGUUUUUUGUAGUAGUGGCUUGAUUCCUAAAAAGUAAAGGAAAGCAAAAAGUAAAAAAAUAAAAAUGUGGAGAGUUAGGACAUGCGUUAUCUAAUUGUCCUAGUCCCAAAUAUAUUAAGAAAGUCAUGUAGGUUACUUGGAGUAACGAGUCAAGUAAAGCAAGCCUUCUAGUGUUUAAGACAUUAGAUAUUACCGAACUGAUUAUGUCAUUAAUGUAUUGCAUUUGUUGUUUCUAAUAUAUAGAAGAAGAUGAAAUUAUUGGAAUAAGUGGGAAAUAGGAAUAAAUCCAAGGUACCAAAAAGUCACUUUAUCUUAGAUGUUGUUGGAAACAUAAGUGAUUUCACAAUAACGACUAUGAGACAAUCAAGGAUUAAUAAGAUAGACUUUAUAUGAUAUACCUCCCAAUUAGAGCCUAAAAAUAUGGAUGAAGCACUUAGAGAUGAAUCUUCAAUUUUUGUACUAUAGGAAGAAUUAAAUCAAUUUGUUAGCUAUUCUUUGGAUAUUUGAUUCAUCACAAGCUACAAAUCACUUUUGAUGACCAAACACGAAACUAAGAGGAUUGGGCCCAAUUCGAUGCCUAUCAACAAUGAUUUGUAUUCCACCUCAUUAAUUAUUCAAAGUUGGGAAGCUAGGUCUAACCACUUUCUCUACCUGUUCACCCUUAGAGGAGCAGAAGAAAAUUCUAACUUUGGUGCCUAAUGCCUUUGACAAUCUUUCGACAAAGAGAGUUCACUAAUUACUUUGAUUAUUUCUCUGUUGGUCACUGGGGGACAAGACUUUUGUAAUGAAGUCAACUAGAACUUGCCCUUUGAGGGCCAUUCAUGGACGAUAUUACACCAUGAAUUCCCUUAGGUCAUGUUUGGUAUGUGAGAAUGAGGAGUGGAAUGGACAUCUUAUUCAUUUUUUCAUCUAUUCAAAUGUUGGGAUAACUCAAGUGACCAUGAGAAUGAAAUCAAGAAUGAUUCAAGGGAAAUGAAAUCUUACUUAUAAGUGUGAUUUCAAUUAAUCUCUAAUAGAAAUUAUUUUGAAUCAAUAGUGCAAGUUAUUUUUAAAAACAUUUUUCCAAAAUUAAAAAAAUCAAUUUUUUUUUUUUCGAUAAGUUGUUUUUAAAAGGAUUUUUUUUAUUUUGUAAAAAGAAAAUUGUAAUUCAAUUUAUAUAAUAUAAACUAAAUUUUAUUUUAUUCAAAAAGAAAUAAUUUUUUAAUUAUAAAUAAAUUAAAAAUAAAUACUUUUAAUAAAAUAUAAAUAGUAUUAUUAUAAUAAAAUCAUAAAUAAAUUUAAUUUUUUUUAUAAAUAUUAUAAAAAUAUGGAUAUUAACAUUGGAUAAUUGAUUUAUUUUGUUAAAAUAAAAAAUAAUAAUUUUUAAUAUUAUUUUAUGUUAAAUGAAUUUUAAAAUAAAGAAAGUUUAAUUAUUUUAAGGUAUAGAAGAGCCAAAUUUUGCAUUACAUACAUAACAAACAAUAUUUAUUAGAAACAUUUCUCAAGGAGAAUCUUAUUCCAUCUCACAAAGAUACUCGUUUAUUCGAUGUUUGACCAUCCGUAACAAUCAUGUCAAUUCUACUGAUUUAAUAAUUCCUUUACAUUUAUUACUCACUUAUGAACAUGGUAUUGUGAUUUAUUUAUUUAUUUGAUGUAUAAUUAAUUAAUCAAUUUUUUAAAUUUCAAAUUAUUUUUAAAAACUAUUCAUUAAGGAAUUUAAAGCAUUAAUUAUGUCUAUUAUUUUUUAUAGUCAUUAUAUAUAUAUUGAGUUUUAAUUUAUUUUUAAAAAUUAUUAAACUUAUUAAUAAAUUCAAUAUAAAGUCUCGUUUCAUUUGAAAUUCAUUUCUUUAGUGAAAAUUUUGAAAAAAAAAUUGUUAUUUAUUUUACUUUGUUUUAAAAAAAUUGUUUCUAGAGAACAAUAAUCAAAUAAUGGUAUGAAUUUUUAAAAACAAUUUUGUUUUUAAAUCAUAUGCCCAAAUAAUUUUUUUUUAUUUAGCAAAAAACUUUGUUGUAGUAUGUGGCUCAUAUUGAGGGAAAGACAUAUAUGGAGAAAAAUGUGCAAAUGUUGGAGUGGAGCGGAGUGGAAUGACGACAUUUGUCAUUCAAACUUGUAUUUUUAUUGUUAAGGGUGACCGAUAGGUUGGUACGGUUUAGGGGUAUUUUUGGAAUUUCAUUACCUGAGGGUUAGUAUAAAUACCAUUUUAUGUAACCCUAAUUUUACAUAUAAUGUAAGUUUUCUUCCUUGUUCUUGUGGACAUAGGCAAUCCGUCGAACCACGUUAAAUCUGUGUGUUUUUUUUUCUUUUUUCUUUUUCUCUAAUUUCUUCACCAGGAAUCGUUACACUAAGAUCAACAAACUCUCAAAGAUGAUUUUUAAAAUGAAAAAAAUAAUGUAUAGUGUGAGAAUUUUUUAUUUUUUAUUUUUUUAAAAUGAAAAUAAAAAAUUGCUUUAAGGUAAAAGUGUGGAUAUUAUUGUUAAUUUAUUUCAUUUUUCAUUUUCAUUUCCAUUGUUACCUACAAUUGAAAUGGAAACAACUAAUCAUUACAACCUUACAUUCUUAUAUGCAUCCAAAUACAAAAAUUGAAAUCACCAAAUUCAUAUUCAAGGCAAAAUAGGAAUGAAAACAAAUAUUCAUUCUCAUUCUUUAUUCCCACGUGUCAAACAUGACCUCAAAGUUAUAAACAUGAACAAGAAGUCCUUGAAACACCAAUGAUCUCUUCUGGUAUAUAUAUGAGCUUGAUUGACAACUGUUUUAAAUACAGUUUUUUUUUUUUUUGUUUUCAAAAUCAAAACAAAUUUAUUUUUAUUUUUUAUAAAUAGUAGUUUUUUAAUAUUUUUUUUAAACCUUAUUAUGAAAAUAGGAUGUUUUCUAAUAUCAUAUUUUAAUUAUUUUCAAUUAUUUUCCCUUCUUUUAAGGAGGGCUAUUUUAAAAAUAUGAAAAAUGAUACAAAAUAAAGCAUUACAAAUAAAAAUCAUUUUUAAGAAAUAUAUGAAAAUAAUUUGAGAACAUUUGAAGUUCCUUAAUUAAACUUUUGUUCUAGAAAAUGCAAGAAAACUGUUUUUGAAAAUUGUUUUCAUAAUGAUAUGCAUUGAUCGUUUAAAAUUUAAUUACAUGAUAAAAAGACCUAUGUAAAAACCAGAGUUAUAUAAUCAGUCAUAGAUCAAAUCUACUAAAUAUGAAAAGUAAGUACAUAGUUGUAUAUGACUUAGAUGGAGCCUUCUCCGAAUGACAUUCUUUAGUCGGUACUCAUAUUUUUUUGUUUCGUGUCUUCAACAUAACACCUCAUGAUCCUUAAUAAAUCACCUGAAAACUAUAUUAGCACCUUAUUGUUUAAUAUUUCUCUAAAUUUUUUUAUUAAGCAAAUAAAUUCCAAAUUUAAAAUGACAAAUAAAAUUUAUUAAUUUUUAAAAAUAAUUUAAAACUCAAAAACCAAUUUAAUUGAUAUUAAAAGUCAUGAAACUUAAUAAUAUUAGAAAGUCAUGUAUCCAAAUUUAUUUUAAAUGACUUGUUUAAUUUCUUGUUUAUAUAUAUUAUAUUUUUAUAAUUUUUUUUACUAUACAAAUAAAUUUUAAAUUAAACAAAACUUAAUGCGUUGAAUUCAUUAACGAGUCUAAUAAUUUUUAAAAGUUACUUAAAAUUUAAAUACUAAAUCAAUUAGUACCACAAAUUCAUGGAAAAAAAUUGAUUUAUUACUACUAUAUUGUUUCUCUAUUGCAUAGAACCAUUAUUUUUCAAUUUUUUCAUUUGGCAAAUGAACAUCAAAUUAAACAAGACUAAGUGUAUUAAAUUCAUUAAUGGGUCUAGUAAUUUUUUAAAAUAAUUUAAAAUUCAAAUAUUGAUACUCCAAAUUAAACAAGACUUAGGUGGUGUUUGUUUUUUGGUUGAAUAGAAAAAGGUAAAAUAUUUGACUUUUUCUAUUUAGUUAAAAGUAACUUGUUGACAUCGUCCAAUAUAAUUAAAGUAAACCUAUUGAGGGCAAGUUCACUUUAAUUAUGUUGGACGAUGUCAACAGGUUACUUUUAACUCAAUAGAAAAAAUCAAAUAUUUUGACUUUUUUUUUAACUCAAAUAAUAAAUCCAUUAAUACAAAAAAAUUAUGGAUAAUUUGAAACUUUCUUUCUUUUUUUUUUUUUUUUUGCUACACAUAGCUAUAUUUUUAUAAAUUUUAUCAUUAGAGAAAUGGAUUUCAAAUCAAGUGAAACUUUGUAUUGAAUUAAUGGAUUUAACAUUUUUUAAAAAUAAUUUGGAACUAAAAAAAAAAGAUUUAAUUACUAAGAAAAUCAUAGAUCAAAACUAAUAUAUUCUGAUCCAUGAUUUUAUUAUUUUUCCUAUACAUACAAUUAUAUUUUUAUAAUUUUCUCACUAGGUAAAGAUAUUAUAAAUUAAGUGACACAUAAUUAAUAAUUUAAAUUUUUGAAUGAAUCUUUUAAUUUUAGGAAUAAUUUGAAAUUUAAAAAGUUGAUCCAAUUAAUUGUAAAUUAACUUAAAAUAUUAUAAAAUAUUAUGUUCAUAAUUAAGUACUAAAUGUAUAUAUGUAAUGAAAACUUAACUAGUUACAUGUUACAAAAGCCAAAAUUUAUUCAUUCUUUAUUUUAAAUAAAAUAUUAUUAAUAAUUAUUUUUUUUAAAAUAAUAUUUAGUAAUUAUUGUUUUUAAAUUAUUAUUAUUAAUUUUUAAUAAAAAAAUUGCAAAGUUAUUAAUAUCAUUAUAUUUCUAACAUAAAUUUAAAUAGUAUAUUUUUUAAUAUAUAUAUAUAUAUAUAUAUAUAUAUAUAUAUAUAUAUAUAUAUAUAUAUAUAAUUUAUGAUUUCAUUAUAAUAUUUUUAUUCAUGAUUGACGAAAAAUUAUUUAUUGUUUAAUUUAUUUGAAUUGCAAAACUAUUUUUCAAAAUUCAAGCGAGAAAAUAGGCCUGGAUUUGAAUUUCCUGUAGAAGAGAAGGAUGUGGAGAAUAUGUUGGGAGUAUUUGUGGAUAAAGAAAAGGCCAGGGUACUGAGAAAGGAGAGAGAACUUGCUCUUGCCAAAAGAGCCCUGCACAGGUAUUCUACUGAUUCUAAUUAUCGGUUCUUACAUGAUCAGAUUUCAGAUUUAUUUGCUGAGCUUCUGAAAUCUGAUACAGUAUUUAAACUCCGGUGAGCUUUACAAGAUUAGUCUCGCAUCCAAUUCCAAAUGGUGUCCCACAAUUGAUUCUUCUUAUGAUAAAUCCACCUUGAUAUGUGAAAAUAUUGCUCGAAAGGUUUAUCCUCGCGAGGAAUAUCCAGAAUACUAAGGAAUUGAGGAGGCUCACUAUGUUUAUAGAGUCAGGGAUAGGUUGAGAAAACAAGUAGUUGUUCCAUUACAUAAGGCCCUGGAGUUGCCAGAGGUUUUCAUGUGUUCGAACAAGUGGGGAUCACUUCCCUACAACCCUGUGGCUUCAGUGGCCAUGAAAUCAUACAAGAGCCUCUUCUCAAACCAUGAUACAGAGCGGUUUGGUGAGUAUCUUGAGAAAGUGCAAACUGGGAAGGCUAAGAUUGCAGCUGGUGCAUUACUUCCCCAUGAGAUUAUAGCUUCAUUGAAUGAGGAGGAUGCCGAGAGAGUUGCCGAGCUUCAGUGGGCAAGAAUGCUGGAAGAUUGAUCAAAGAAAGGGAGGCUCACAAAUUGCAUUGCAGUAUGUGACGUAUCAGGAAGUAUGAGUGGAACUCCAAUUGAGGUGUGUGUGGCUCUGGGGCAGUUAGUUUCAGAGCUCAGUGAAGAUCCAUGGAAAUUAAGGUAAUGUAAUUACUUUCAGUGCAAAUCCUGAGCUUCACAAGAUCCAAGGAGACAGCCUUGUAUCCAAGACUGAAUUUGUGAGGAUGAUGGAAUGGGGUGCCAACACUGACUUUCAGAAAGUUUUGACAGAAUCUUACAAGUAGCAGUGGAGGGAAAUAUGAGUGAAGAUCAAAUGAUAAAGAGGGUUUUCGUUUUCAGUGAUAUGGAGUUCGAUGAAGCUUGUGGGAGGUAUAACUAUUGUGACUAUGACUAUGAUAUGGAGGAAAUUGACGAGAGUCAGAAGGCAUCUCAGAAGUGGGAGACAGAUUAUGAAGUGAUACAGAGGAAAUUCCAGGAGAAAGGAUACAGAAAAGUUCCAGAGAUAGUGUUUUGGAACCUUAGAAACUCAUCAGCGACUCCAGUGACGGCCACAGAGAACGGGGUGGCCUUAGUAAGCGGGUUUUCAAAGAAUCUGUUGACCUUGUUUUUGGAAGGAGGUGGAAUUCUGAUCCCUCAGGAUGUGAUGGAAUUCGCCAUCUCUGAUGAAGAUUACAAGAAACUUGUUCUAUUUGAUUAAGAUAUCAAGAGAUUUAUCAAUAAUAAUAUAUUUUUUUUCUAUGUGAAAUACAUAUAAUAUUAACUGUGGAGUUAUCAAAGUUCUGGAGGUUUAAUUAUUUCUUCUUUUCAAGUUUUGUUUAUUUAAGGUUUUCUUUGUCUUUGUUAGGAAUUCCCCUUGGGUGGACCCAGCUGGGGAGUUGGAUUGAGGAAGUAAGCAGGCGAACUUGUGUUCUUCUAUGGACAGAGAAAAAAAAUAAAAUAAAAAAAUAAAAAAGGAGGUUAUUUGCAUUUGGAUGUCGUGGUUUGAGGGUACAACUACAAGCUCGAAAUUGUACAUAAUGUGAAAACUCCUGUGUCCAUUGCUGAGAACAGCAUAAAUGAUGGUGAUUUUCAAGUUGUGCCUGGUAUUCUACAGGAUGAAACAAGAAAGGAUCCAGGUGGUAUAUUGAACAAUAUCCCAAUCAUGUUGGUGGCAUCUUUAUUUAGUUAAUGGUAUUCAUUUGGUGGAAGCUGGUUGUUUAUGAUGUUUUUAAUUUUUUUUAACAUGAAGUUCGAUCAAAUACGUAUCUUAGUAUGUUUUGUUUGAGCUAAUUGGCAAAUGCGCUUUAAACAUGGUCACAUGGAUGCAGUUUUAUUUGUGAAAUGAUAAUAGUCGAUUACUUGGUCAGUAAGGUUUAUAUCUCUAACUUCAACAUCUUAUUGUAGUCUUUUAAAAUGUCAAAAGUUUAAUGCUUGAGAAAUUUUGGAAUGGAGACAUUCUAAACAAAGUUAAUAAUCCACAAGACUUGGUAAAACCGAUCAGAUGAUGCUUACGUACAUCAAUGCCUUCUUUAAGCCAUAUCCUAUUUUCAUUGAACGGGAUGUGCCAUCUAGUUUGGUUCUUUAAGCCUCCAAAUCCUAAACCUAGUCUCAAUUUAGAGCAAAUUUAGGGUGCAGGGCCUGCAUGCCUCCCCCUCCCCCUUCCACAAAUAGUAGUGACCUUGCUAUGCCUAUGCAUUGUCAAUGCCUCAUUUUCUAUGGUCUCCAAUGUAAUAUCUUAGUUUCAAUGUCUCUUUCCUUACUAUCUCCAAUGCAAUAGAUUGAUUUCAAUACCUCUUUACAACUAAGACCUCCAAAUUUUCUUGGUUCAAACCUACCAGAAUUUUUCUUCUCCUUUGCUUUCUAUCAAUAUUAGUUCCCCUAAUUUAAUAUAUACUUCUUUAUUACCUUCAACUCUACCUCUCUUUCUUUCUCUAAAAGCUUCCUCAAAGAUUUAAUUGCUUUCUUGCAUGUUUUAAGAAAACAAACAUGCUCAUAUUACAUUACCUCUACUUGAGAUCUACCUUAUACUCUACCUUCUUUCUUUACCUCCUAUAUCAUCUACUACAUUAGCUUCAAAAAUAUUAUUUAGUUUGAUACUAAAUAAGGCUCCUAAUCCUACUCUUCCUUCAACAAACUUUCUUUUUACAAGUUCCUUAAACUUUAUUUUUUAUUUUUUAUUUUUUGGAAAUUCGGGUUAGAAAGAUUCCAUUACUCUUACCUAAUAUUUCAACCAUCAAGUUGAAUCCACUUAUUGCCUAAAUCCAAGGAGUCUGCCCUCCACAAAAACAAGGAAAUUGAUCCCACAAUAACAAGGAGAUUGCCUUCCACAGAAACAAAGAGAUCUCCCUUCACAGAAGCCGAAUACAUUGCAAUCUAUUUUCUUUCUUGUAAGAUCAAAUCUUCAAUCGAGCUCCAUCUUAUGGGGGCAUAUUAGAGAAAUUUAAUAUUAUCCUUAAUUUACAUAUUAAUAUUUAUCUAUUUAUUAUAUAUUGAAUUAAAAUAGAAUAUAGAAUUUGAAUCAUAGUAGAAGUUUACUAUAAGAUUGAAUUACAAUAGUUAAUAGAGUUUAAAUUAUAAUAACUCAAAUACAUUUAUAUAUAUUUGACCUUACGAGAUUUUCUAUUUAUGUAUUUGAACUACAAUCCUUAUGAUCCUUAGGUCUCUAUACCUUCGUGAUGGGCUCCUUGACAUUUCAUAGGUUGUGCUACACAUGCAUUUGAAAUUUAGAGUGCAUUUGACAGUGAUUCUGGGAAGUGUUUUUGGCAUUUCUAACACUUAAAAUUUUUUAUUUUUCAAGUAUUAGAAAUGCUACAAACACUUUUGAAAAUUACUGUCAAACACACUCUUAGGAGCGCAUAUAGUAGAAAACUAGAAAUUGUGGUUUUUUUAGGAUUUACUGUAAUGUCAUUAGGAGGGUAGUAAGUUGAAACUGAGUAUGAAUAAAUAUUUCUUUCUUUGGGAUGUUCUUCUGGUAGGUGCUGAUGAAACUGUUCUUUUUACUGCCAAUGUCACAUAUCAGCCAGAAAUUGAAAAUUUCAGUCAAGGUGUCCUCGGUUUUAGUGGUGAGGAAAGCUAGAAAUUUUAAGGUGAAGUUCUGUUAAAAACCUUAAGUAGCUGGGAUAUCAGGCCUGUUUUGCUUGAAAAAAAAAGUUGCAAGAUAACUCAUAUGCCAAACAGGUUCUGAUAUUGUGAAUCUAUCGGCAGACAUCAGUAAUCUCAUCUUCUGAGAUGGAUGUUGGGGGUGCAUGUGGUGGUGGAGGGGCAAGGUUUCAUUUGGUUUAUUUUGUUGAUGGAUAUUGUCUAGCCCCCUGCGCCAAGUUUGAGGGGUGGUGGGUUGUGAUGGCCCUACAAUUACUAUUAAUUUCUUCCUCUUUUACCGAUUAAAGUGUCCGAACAGUCGAAGUUACCCUUAUGCAUGUCAACUUGAUCACUUACCUCUUCAAUGGAGUUUAUGCUGGUUCAUUUAGGAACUGAUUUUUAUUGUUAUGCAUUCUAUGCUGAUGUUUAGGCCUCUCCAUCAUCACUAUAUACAAAAAUUCUAGGUUGAUACUAUAGGUUGAGAUUUAUUUUUUAAAUAAAAAAUAAUAAAAAUAAAAAUUAUGGUGAUGUUUAGUUGUUUUAUGGAAAAUUUUAACAAGUUAUUUUUGGGCAAGUUUUCAAACAAAAAGAAAAGUAAAAGUUGUUUUGACAAAAACAUAUAGAAAAAAAAAAUCAUAGAAAAGAAAUAAUUUCCCCAUAUUCUAACUUUUUUUAAUUUUUCUCAAUGGGCAAAGGAAUAUCAAAUCAAGUUUGAGUAGGAUUUCUUAAUUUUUAAAAUAACUUACAAUUAAAAAAUUUUGGUGUUUUCAUUUUUGGACAAUUUUUUAUUAAGCAAAUGGACUCUGAGUCAUGCAAGAGAUAUGGUUGAUUAAUGGGUCAAACAAUUUUUUUAAAAUAAUUUAAAACUCAAAUACAUAAUCAAUGUCACAAAAUUUAUAAACAAAAAUAGGUUUAGAGAAGAUCUACACAUAAUUUUACUUUUCUAAUUUUAUUUUAUUUUAUUUUUUUGUUGGAAAAUAGUCUUCAAAUCAUGUAAGAUUUAAUAGGUUAAAUUUGUUAACAAUAAAUUUUAAAUUAUAAAAUAUAAUCUGGAACUUAAAAAUCAAUUCAAGUAAUGCUAAAAAAAAUCAAAUUUGGUAUAGAAUGACUACGUAAAAUUUUUUACAAAACAAAUGAAUUUUAAAUCAAGUGAGAUUUAAUGCAUUAGAUUUUUAUCAAAUAUAGUAAUUUUAAAAUUUAAUUUGGAACUCAACAAUAGACACAAUAAAUACCAAAAAAUAAUGAACCAAAAUUGGUUUGGAAUAACUCCACAACCUCUUUUUUUUUUUUUUGGUGCACACGAAUUUUCUUACUAGGUAUAUUGCUUUCAAAUUGAGAAAGAUUUACUAUUUAGAUUUUUUUUUUUAAUGAGUUUAAUGGUAUUUUAAAAUAAUUCAAAAUUUCAAAAAUUGACUAAUUACUAUUAUAAAUUCAUAAACCAAGACUAAUUCAAAAUGCAUUGGGGGCUAAGGGGGUUGAAAAUAGGGACAAUGGGAUGGGUUUGGGACAUGACACUCAUAUCUCAUUUCCAUUCCAAUUACAUAGUUAUCUCCCAUCCUUAUCCCAAACUUGUGUUGGAGCAAGUUGAUUUGUUCCCAUCUUUGUUGAUGAAAUGACUAAUAACCUCAUCCCCUCCUUAUCUUAGAUGUACAUUUUGUCAAAUUUGAUCAGGUAUGAUUGAUCCAAGCCCUAACCCUAAUUGGUAAUGACUGGAUACUACACCUAAUUGCAUUCUUCUUUCGUCGCAAAAUAAUGAGAUUAUAAUAAUCUAGCAAAUAAGAAAAAAUAGUAUGGAAGUUCAAUUUAACACCAUAACUAUCAAUAAUUUUAAGCUUAUAGAUGACUUAAAUGAUUAAAAACUAAUGCAAAAUACCAAAAAAAAAAGUUCAUAUAAAGAAUUCACAAGAGAACAAAAUGAACAAAAACCAAAUAUGAACAUGGGUCAACAUUAGUUAUGGAUUUGGAUUCCUUUCAAGGCCAAUCUUUGAACCAAGACUUCAUCAAAUCUACUACUUCAAAGGCUUUUGUGUUCUUCUUGGGUUGUGCUCUCAAACAAAGACUUCAAGGUGAUGCUCUAGAUGAUUGCAUUACACAUAUUUAGGGUGGAGAGAUUGGAGAAGCUUGAAGAUGCCAACGAUGGGUACAAUUGAGUGGUCAAUAAGAACAAUGUAGCCUAUGACUAGUUUGAUGUCGUGGUACAAGAGUUUUAGGCAUUGAGGUUAAAGCAAGAGCAACAUGGAAUUGAUUUUGGAGUCUUUCAAUUAGUGUAAAGGAGGAAGAAGUGGUAUUGAUUCUAGAAAUAGGGUUUUAGGUGGUGCGUUAGAGGAUGAAGAAGAAGAAAAAGAAGGAUCUGUUGGAAUUAGUGUGAGUGUGAAGAGAGAAGUAUAUAAAUAAGGGGAAGUAAAAGCAAAGUUCUAAAAGCUAUAUUUUUUUUUAUUGUUGGUGUAUGGUUGCAUGAUUAUCCCUAUAAAUAAUAGGAGUUUUUUUGGUAUUCUACUAGUAGUUGAAGGAUAAUUUCAUAAAUUUAUAUUUAGAGUGGGGUGGGGUGAGUUGUGACAAAAUUCAUACCCGUCCUAAACCUUGGUUCAGAUUUUUAAAAUAUCCUCAAACUUAUCAUAUACCCAACUUUUAUAUUUCAUACUUGUCUUGAUAGAGGCAGGUUAGGCCGGGUUACUUGAGUAACCUACAUAAUUGUCAUCCCUAGUUGAAAUACACUUUUUUGGCAGUGGCCACCAACUGAGCUAGAAGCUUGAUCGAUUGACCUACAAGAUUAGUUCUCAUCAUUUUAAAAAAAGUUUUGGCCUUGGUUGUGAGUGCAAUUGAAUCUAAACUGGCAUUUCCUUAAUGCAUCUACUUCAAUCCUAAAUUUCUUACUUCCUAAGCCUCAAUUGUUGUUAGGAUUUUGGAAAGCCCAUUUCCUUAAAUUGUAAAUUUAAGAAAAAAUAAAAUAAAAGUGAGACAUUUCUUGAUUGAAUAUUGUUAAAGGUCCCUUGGCAUUAAGACUUGGUUGAAGCCUUGGAAGAUUAGUGGAACUCUCAACUUGUGUUUGAAUCUUGAGGAGAGUGGACGUAAGCCAAAAUUUUGUCAAACCAUUAAACAAAUUGAGUUUGAAUCCUCAUUUCUUGAUUUCUUAUUUAUUUGCUUUUUCUUAUUAUUACUUGAAUUGUCAUUUGCAUUCAUUAAUGUUAAAAUUGGUUAUAAUUAACCAACACUAAUUCUCUUUCCCCUUCCCUUUCUUGGGUGUAAACCUAGGUUGGAUUAACUAGAUUAAUUUAUAAAAUCUAUUAAGAUGGUAAAAGAAUAAUUAUUCUUAACACACAUAAGAUCAUCUUCAAUCAAAUGACUCAUUGGCUAAUAUGUUGAAUUUGCUUAUUACUUGCAACUCAAAAUUGUGUUCUAGUUGAUAUGUCAAGUCCCCAGUGUAUGGACAUUAAAUUUGUAGUACGUGAUGGUAAUUAGAUGGUCCAACUCCAAGAAAGUGAUUGAAAACUAGUUCAAGAAAGGUGCAAAAGGGAAUUGUUUUGGUAUUUUCGUUUUUAUUCUUGAAGGUGGCAGAGCUAAAAUUUGUGAAAUCAAGCAAAACAUACUGAAAUUACAUUGAAAGAAAGAAAAUGGGAGUUAAUGUCUUGCAGUAGAUGAUAAGGACUUCAUGCAUGUAGUAUGACCCAUGUCUUGGACUGAUGCCAACUCACGGUUACACUUAUACCCUUGGUUCUCUCUUUACUACCUUGGCUAACCUAGAUCAGGCUAUGAGAUAGGCUCCUCACCACACCAUUACUUGCCCAUUAAUUAGAGACAUUUUCAAGCACUGAGGUAACAUGGUGACACCAAGAGGGUUUAUUCCUCGCCCUCCUCGCCCUCAACAAGUCUAGACUUGGUCUCAAAAAAAUGGAGAAAAAUGAGGUGUCGUUAUGUAGAAAUACAACAACCAUGCCUUCCUCAUUACUUUGAUUCAGAAUGUGAAGGUGAAAUUGAGAAACAGAAACUCUUGAAACCAAAAUGAAAAUUGAUACUUUUACGAAGAAUUACAACAACAUUGGAGGAAGACUACAUUCUUCCUCUUUAUUCCUACAUUUCUACACUACUUCUACUCCACUCCAUAUUUCUACAUACAUCUUUAAUCAGUCUUCCCUCCUUUAUAUAGAGCCAUCUUCACACAAAUUCCGCAAGGUAGAAAAGAGGAAUGAAACUUGGAGCAAGGUUCGACUACUGGCUGUAGCUUGUCAAGGCUGGAAGUGAACCUUUUUUCUUGGCUUUUCUGGGCAUGGGUAGUAACUUGUGGGUUCCUUUUUGGGAUACAAAUGGCUAGAACAUGUGGCACUAUCUUGUUGGAUGAUGUGUCAAGCAUGUGGCAGCCAUCUAGUGGCGAUUAUGUCAAUUUUGGGAUGGAGAGUUGGCAUCCAAUUGCAAAGAAAUAUGACGUCUACCAACAGGCAAUGUAAACCUAUGUAGAUCAUAUGAAGAUAGAGAGGAAAAAUAUAGAAAUGGAUAUAUACCUAGAACUAGCUUUUUAUUAAAUGAAACGGAGAGCCAACAAUGAAGGAAAAUAAAUUUUUUUGGCUUAUAUCAAAGAGUUCACAUUGUGCUACCCUAGGUUUUCUUAAAACUUACUUUUAUGAUAACAAAAAAAAAAAAAAACAUUAUUGUUUAAUCCUUUGUUUUAAACGCAUGUUUAGCAAGUUAUAAAAUGUAAAAAUCUUUCUAAGUUCAAAUAUGAAGAUAUGACAUCAUUUCAAGCAAGAUAGUCUCUAGGAAUUAAUGUAAAGCUAAAUUAAGGUGAAAUUAAAUUAGUUCAAUGCAUUAAUUUAAGAAACUUGACCUAUCAAAAGUACAAAAUUAGAUGAAAUCCAUUUCAAUGGUUAAAAUGAUCAAAAUCAAACUUUUUCUAAGUAUUUUUUAAAAGUAUCAAUAUUGAAAGACAAUUUUAUAUUUAGUCAGAGUUUGGACAAAACCAAAAAGCACACAAAAUCCAAGCGACCAUCUCUAGCUUGGAUGGUCGCUUGAUCUCUAGCUUGUGUACUUGGAAAGCAACAUCGAGAUGAUAUAUAUAUAUAUAUAUAUUUUAUAUAAUAUUGUUUGUCCAAAUUCCCUAAAAAUUAGGCCACCACAUGUUCAUAAUUCUCCCUUCUUGAAUUUGAAAACUCGGACAAUUGGACAAUGCGACACCUAAGUCCGGUUUCUAAAUGCUAAAGUGAAAGGGUAGGUAUGGACCAUUGAAAUGUGAUCACAACUUUUCUCUGUAGCCAUGUUGUCUCUUUUUUCUUUUGCAUGAUUUUCUCACCUUAACAGAAUCAUAGACUUGUUUAAUCUCUAAAUGGGAUUAAUUUCAUCCAGCUUUAAGCUACUAUAUUAUAUCUAGGUGGAGGACUUUUAAGAGUGCAACCGACAUAGAGCACAUGCAAGUGGGUAUAUGGGACAUGAAAUUUCUUCUUAUAAAGAUUGCAUGAUUUUUAUAUUAGAGUUGUUGGGGCGCAAUGUAUGUAGCUUGUUUUGCAGUUAAAUUAAUUGGAUAAGUAGACAUUGGCGUUUCUAAAUCUACUGUGAAGUGCUUCAUGUACGUGUGAAGUAUUAGAAAUUUCUUUCUUGGCAACUUGUUUUUUCUUUGCGGUCUACUGAUAGGUUUGACUAAAAUUAUAUUCCCUGUCAUGCUAAUUAAUUUUCACGUGCAUGCUCAAAAGAAGAGUAUGACCUUAGUGCACCAAAAUCACUUUGAUUAAUUUGUGAUAGGUUUUUGUGCAUCAUGACAUUAGCCUUAUUCAUUUAGAUAAUGUUUAGUUUUUAGAAAGUAUUAAGAAAAGGAAAAUAAAUAUUAAGAAAAAUAUUCUUAUAUUUGAUUGUAUUAUGAAAAAUGUCAUAAAAAAAUCAAAUAUAAUUUAAAUUAAUUAAUAAUUUAUACAUUUUCAAAUUAUUUAAUCUUUAUAUUGAAGAUAUAAUAUAAAUGAAAUGAGUUUUAAGUAUUAUAUAAAAGUGAUUUAUUGAUCUUGCAUAUAUGUAUUUCUUUUUUUUUUCUUCUAUUUUUUUUCUUUAUUUUAUUUUCCUUAUGUUUUCCUCAACAUUUUCCGGAACCAAACAUAGCCUUAGGAAAUCCACAAUUACCUUCAACUGAGUAUAUUCGGUUGUUUUAGCAAUGUUAGGCUGCUAACUUGUGUUGGUACGAACCUGUUAAGCCUAAAGAUGUAAUUAGUUAGGAUAUUCUUUUCCCUCUAGUCUUGUAGCUCCACGUGUAUAGUUGGUUAGGACCUCAUUGUAUAUAAUGCCUGCCCUGUUAUUGUUGAAGACAACAGAGAUAAAUAAUAUUAACAUUUUUCCUCUCAUCUCUCUUUGUUUCCCUCUGUUUUCAUCUCCUCUCUCAUCUUGGUAUCAGAGCCUCCAUGGAUUCUUUCAAAGAAACCUCCGAAUCACCUUCUGCUAGCAUUGUUAAUGUGCAAAACCCAUUAUCUCAGUCAAACAACCUUCCUUCACCAGCAGCCACACCCUCUUUUUCUUUCUUGUCUAUGAAUCAACCUCUCACAGUGAAGCUGGAUAAUGGAAACUACCUCAUCUGGAAGAAUUAGCUUCUGAAUGUCAUCAUUGCGAACAGACUCGAUGAUUUCAUUUAUGGAACUCGACCCUGCCCUCCUUGAUUUCUCAAUCUGCAACAACAAACCCUCACUCCAGAGUACUCGGUCUAGCAGAGAUACAAUCGACUUCUAAUGAGUUGGCUGUACGCAUCCUUGUCCGAAGAUAUAAUGACUCAGAUUGUUGGGUAUUCAACAACUGUGGAGAUUUGGAACGUCCUUAAUCAGAUUUACUCUGCCUCUUCAAUGGCGUGGGUUACCGAGCUUCACACCAAGCUUCAAACGCUCAAGAAAGAUGGACUCUCAGUUGGUGAAUAUAUUCAAAGGCUCAAAUCCAUUUGCAAUAGUCUUGCAGCAAUAGGAGAACUAGUUUCUGAGAAAGACCAGCUUAUCUAUUUGUUCAAUGGAUUAUAUUGUGAGUAUAAUUCUUUUGUUACCUCCAUUCAAAAUCGAUCUGACCAACCAACUAUUGAGCAAAUCCAUAGCCUAUUGCUUAGCUAUGACUUUCGGCUUGAACAACAAAACUCUGUUUCUCUCCAUUAUGCCCAAGUCCGUAUGGCUCAUCUGAACAAGAAACCUUAUAAAUCAACUCCUCAACCUACAUUCAAUCAUAUUCACAUUCAACCUAGAUACUCUUCUCCACCUUUUAAGCCAACCACUAGUCAAUAUCAACCCAGGAUUUUGGGCAAACCACAACCACAACCAUGACAGCCUCAACCUCAAUGGAAACCACAUUUUUCAAUCCAGAAUCAAAAGCCUCAGUGCCAAAUUUGUGGUAAAUUUGGACACACUGCUCUUAUUUGCUUCCAUUGCACAAAUUUGAACUAUUCACCCCAACCUUCUCCUAAAUCUUUCAAUACUGUUCUCACCACAAAUUCCCAGCUCCCUAAUCCUCCAAAAUUUUCUUACCCUACAAUGGCUCAUCCUGCUGCUACGCAUAACACGAUUCCUGAUACAAAUUGGUACAUGGACUCAGGUGCUACACAUCACUUUACUCCGGACAUCAACAUGCUUGACACUGUGACACCAUUUAGUGGUUUAGAACAGGUGACAGUUGGGAAUGGUAAGCAACUCUGUAUCUCACAUCUUGGUACUGCAAAACUACCAUCCUCGUAUUCUCCUCUUGUUCUACAUCAGGUAUAUCACACUCCAAAAAUUUCAAAUAAUCUUAUUAGUGUUAGAAAAUUGUGUUCUGAUAAUAAAGUUUUUGUUGAAUUUUAUGCCACUCAUUUUCUUAUCAAAGAUCAAGUUUCGAAGAGAGUUCUCUUUCAAGGUCAACUUGAUAAUGGCUUAUACAAAGUUCAGUCGUCAUGCUCUCCUUCUACUAUUUCCUUUCAUCCUCAAGUUUUCAUAGCCAACAUCAAGGAUCAAAAUUUGUGGCACAAGAGACUAGGCCACCCAGCUUUAUCUGUUAUUAAUCAAAUCUUGGAUUCUUGUAACAUUGCUCGAACACAGAAAAUUGGUUUUAAUUUUUGUAGUUCUUGUCAAUUAGCAAAAAGCCACAGGCUUCCUUUUUCUCUGUCUCCAUCCAUUGCAGAAAAACCUUUUGAGUUAAUUCAUACAGACCUAUGGGGUCUUUCUCCUGUUCGCUCUAUUUCUGGUGCUCGUUAUUUUUUACUUUUCAUUGAUGAUCAUACUCGUUUUACUUGGUUUUAUUUGCUCAAAACAAAAGAUGAAGCAUAUCCUACUUUUCUCAAGUUUCAAGCUCUCAUUGAAAAUCAAUUUAAUACCAAGAUUAAGGUUGUCCAAUCUGAUUGGGGAGGUGAGUUUCGAUCUCUCUCCAUACUGUUUUCAAAUAUGGGCAUUGUCUAUCGUUUAUCAUGUCCAUACACCUCACAACAGAAUGAGUGGGUUGAGCGAAAAAAUCACCAUGCGGUUGAAAUGGGAUUGUCCUUUCUUGCUCGCUCGGGUAUGCCCUUAUCUUAUUGGCCUUAUGCCUUUCAAACUGCCACUUACCUUAUUAAUCGUCUCUCUACCCCUGUGCUGCACCAUCAAUCCCCUUACUUCGCACUCUAUCACAAAUUCCCAGCUUAUACUCAUCUUAAGGUCUUUGUUCCUCUUGUUUUCCAUAUUUACGCCCUUAUAAUACCCAUAAACUCCAAUACAGGUCACUGGAGUGUGCUUUUCUUGGUUGCAGUUCACACCACAAAGGUUAUCUAUGUCUUGACAUUCAUUCUAGCAGGGUGUAUAUUUCUCGCCAUGUGAUUUUUAAUGAAGAUUCUUUUACAUUCAAGAAUUUGAAAUCUUCUCUCUCUUAGUCUAUUUCUUCUUCCUCUUCUUUAUUAGUUCCUCUGUUCAUUUCCUUGCCUCCCCUCUCCCCAUAUCCUCCUAUUUCUCCAUCUAUAUCUCAUUCUUUUCUCUCUUCUUCUUCUACCUCUAGUACUUGUUCCCCUCUCGUUGCUCCUACCUCUCUUCCUCCCUCUUCACACUUUGUGUCCCAUCUAUUCCACCUCCUUCUCCACCUUCUUCGAGUGUGGACCUGCUUGUACCUUGUGUGAAUACAAAUUUACUUACUUUUUCUCGCACUCACAAUAUUCAUCCUAUGGUGACCAGAUCUAAGGGUUUGUAUCUAUAAACCUAAGUUGCUAUUGAGUGUCUCCAUAGGUUCUCUCACUAAGCCUACUUCCUUUCUUCAAGCUAUUAAAGAUCCUUCAUGGAAGCAAGCCAUGGAAUUGGAGUUUGCUGCCCUUCAACACAACAAGACCUGGCAUCUAGUUCAUUCACCUUCCUCAGGCAAAGUAAUUGGUUGUAAAUGGGUCUAUAAGAUAAAGCUUUAGCCUGAUGGCUAAUUGAGAGAUACAAGGCCCGCUUAGUAGCUUAGGGUUAUCAUCAAACUGAAGGUAUUGACUACUUCGAAACAUUCAGCCUGGUUGUCAAGCCUUCUACUACCGUAUUGUGCUCAGUCUUACUUUUUCCCAGAAUUGGUGUAUUAGACAGCUGGAUGUUCAUAAUGCCUUCUUACAUGGUGACUUAGCUGAAGACGUUUUCAUGGAACAACCACCUGGAUUUGUUGAUCCUCUCUAUCCUACUCAUGUCUGCAAGUUGGAUAAGUCUCUCUACGGUCUUAAUAGUCACCUCGGGCUUGGUAUACUAAGCUGAGUACUUCUCUACUACACUUGGGAUUUGUUACUUCUAAGAAUGACUCUUCCUUAUUUAUUUGUCAUUCGUCUCAUGGGUUACUUCUUGUUCUUGUCUAUGUGGAUGAUAUAAUCGUCACUGGGAGCCACUCUCCUCAAGUUACUCACCUUAUCCAAUAGUUGCAUCAUCAGUUUUCUUUAAAGGAUCUUGGUCAUUUACACUAUUUUCUGGGCUUGGAGGUUCAUCACACCCCUACUGGUAUUCACCUCAGCCAAGCAAAGUAUAUCACUGAUCUCCUUACCCGGGCGGCUAUGUUGGAUGCCAAGCCAUGUCCCACUCCUAUGUCCUCCAACACAUAUCUUUCUCUUCAUGAUGGAGUGGCUCUUGAAAAUGGUUCAGAUUAUUGAAGUUUUGUUGGUGCCCUUUAGUAUUGUACCAUGACACGCCCAGAUAUAGCUUUUGCAGUAAAUAAAGUGUGUCAAUUCAUGCACCAUCCCUCUGAUGUUCACUGGCAGGCUAUAAAACGUAUUCUCCAGUACUUAAAGGGCACAUCUCAUUUUGGUCUCUUCCUACAGCCUUCCUAUGACUUCAACAUCACUUGCUAUACAGAUGCCGACUGGGCUUCCUGCCUUGAUGACAAGUGUAGCACCAGUGGCUACUGCCUCUUUCUUGCCUCUAAUCUGGUUUCUUGGUCAUCUUCCAAACAAAAAGUGGUCUCCCGCUCCAGCGCCAAAUCAGAGUACCGAGGGGUAGCAAAUGGGGCUGCUGAAAUUGCUUGGACUGAAUCUCUUCUUUGUGAACUUUCCACCCACUCGACCUCCCCUCAUUGUCUGUGACAAUAUCAGUGCCACAUACUUAGCUGUCAAUCCUAUUUUGCAUGCCCGCACCAAAACAUGUGGAAAUCGACUAUCACUUUGUCUCGGAACGUGUUCUUCAACGCUCUCUCUCUCUCCAGUUUACACCUUCGGAUGAUCAACUUGCUGAUUGCAUGACCAAGCCUCUCUCCACCCAACGUUUCAUCACUCUACGCUCCAAGCUCACUGUUCUCACUAGACCAAUGAGCUUGAGGGGGGAUGUUAAGCCUAAAGAUGUAAUUAGUUAGGAUAUUCUUUUCCCUCUAGUCUUGUAGCUCCACGUGUACAGUUGGUUAGGACCUCAUUGUAUAUAAUGCCUGCCCUGUUAUUGUAGAAGACAACAGAGAUAAAUAAUAUUAACAUUUUUCCUCUCAUCUCUCUCUCUGUUUCCCUCUGUUUUCAUCUCCUCUCUCAUCUGAACCAAAUGAUCCAUGUUAACCUUGGCUUGGUUUGAUUUGGCUCUAUCUUAGAGAGCUCAAGGAUCACGUCAACUCUGGUUUCUACUAUUCAGGUCCAUUCCCAUAUGAACUGGUUCAAAUUUGAGAAAAUGGUAACAGACCUUUAGUGAUGUUGGUUUGGAGCCAGUUGCCAAACCCGCCCUGAGCUUUACCACUAAUGUCAAGGGAGAAAGCCUUUUGAACAAAAACAAUAGCUUCAAGAGACUGAAUCGUGGAUGAAAUCUGAUCCACAUUUCUUCUCAUUUUGGAAACAAAUGAGAACUUAACUAAGAAGAUUCUACGGCCUCAUAGUGCUUUUCCUGAUCUAAGGUUGGUUCGUUUCCCAAAUUGUGAGAUGCACGGGCCAGACUUCAGAACUCUCACGCUCAGGAGUGUAUCCACGUGGUGGACAUAAGAUGGUGGCUUAAGAUCUGGUGUCGGUGGCUUUACUUUACUAGGAGAGUAGUGUGUCUUCAUCUCAUUCACUGCCGGAGGGUGGCGUAAGCAGUGACGCUAAGGUGGGGCAUAGUCAAUAUCAUUUGCAUUUGACCAUUAUAGUUUUCUCCCGGCUUGAAAGUAACCUUAUCGUGAUAAAGGAUUACUAGCACUAGUUCAGAUGACAGUCAUGUUAAAUUCGGACCAUGUUUGUGUCACAUUAUCAGCAACCAUGUGUUUAUGGUUCAUGCUUUCUGCAACUGAAAUUGAAAUUGAUAUAUAACCAGGUGAACUUCAAUCUAAAUUCUGGAAGUACUCAUGUGAGCGAUGGUGCCCAUCUGCAGAGUCCAUCAAUUGAAAAAUGGAGUGAGUGUAUCUAUAAGAGGGAAGGCUUGGCAAAUGUCCAGUUUUCUGGGAAUUCAACAAGGAUCUAAAAUAGAUUGUUUUCUUUGCUGAUUUCAAUGGUUGAAAUUUGAGAAGAUUGUGUCCCACAUAACACAACUAUUACUGGUCCUUCUGUUGCAAUUUAUCCUCUAAGGCUCUAGCAUGUCUUCCAAUUCCCACUUCCCUGUUACUCCAGGAAAGCUAUUUCUGUCAUUGUGAAGAAGAAAAGAGAAUGUAGAUAUCGAUGCUUUUAAGUGACUGGAGCAUUCAUAUCAGGUGGUCUGCAGCCAUAUAUGCCACUUUGUGAAGAUUGGAACAGUCAAUCACUAGGCUAUAUAUUAGUGUGGCCCAGCCACUUUAAUCAAGGACAAUUCUUCAUACUUAAAAGUCAAAUUCUGCCUUUAGUCUCAUUAUAAAUUGCUGUUUAAAUAUUAAGCAAACAUUUGUUUAAUGCGAUUAAGACAGUACUAACUCAAUACUUGUUCUAUUUUUGGAUGGAAAUGCUUGAUGGUUUCAUCAUUGGAUGGGAUAAAGGUGCAUUCAUGAUUAUGAAUACUUGUAGUUAUAUUUUCAUUCUCUUUUUUCUCAAUGAGACUUGUUGGCACAAUUUUUCUGUUCAGAAACCUACCUCUCCAUGGAAAAUAAGUUGUGAUUGAUAGUACUGGAUAUAUUCAAGAAAGCUAAAUAUAGAUAGCACAAAAUAUUAUCGACAUAAAUAGCAUUAACAGCGUACGUAUGUCUCAGUGCUCAUCAGCCAUAAGCAUGGGGCAAACACUUACGAUGAGCAACUUACGUCAAAAUUCCAGAAUAGGACAUAGAAGUGACAGAUCUAUAUAUAUAGAACACUGCAUAAGAGUCACAAGAAAGGAAAUUACGGGUGCAUAGCAGCUCUUAUUUCACAUACUACUCAUACUGAUCAAAGUCACUCAGUUGGGAUGGGUGGGAGUAGGAGGUUUGUGGGGUGGCUUGUGCGGAGGAGUUGGCAGCUUCUUUCCAGGACCUGGUGGCUUCUCUCCCUUAGGUGGUUUGCCAACUGGGGUUGGUGGCUUGUAUGAGUCUUCAGCAUUCUCUGCAGGAGGGUGACCAGGGUUGUGACCAUAAUGUGGUGGCUUCUCUCCCUUAGGUGGUUUGCCAACUGGGGUUGGUGGCUUGUGUUCUGGGAGUGGCUUCUCCCCCUUGGGAGGUUUUUCCAAUGGGGUUGGUUUGUGUUCAGGAGGUGGCUUCUCCACUGGAGGCUUGUGUUCAGGAGGUGGCUUCUCCACCGGAGGCUUGUGUUCAGGAGGUGGCUUCUCCACCGGAGGCUUAUGCUCUGGUGGUGGCUUCUCCACCGGAGGCUUAUGCUCUGGUGGUGGCUUCUCGAAUGGGGGAUGCUUAGGGUAAUCAGCAAGUGAGGGGGCGGUGAGAACCACCAGGCCAAGCAAGACCACUAGCAAGUAUGUAGGAGACAUCUUUGGGUUUAGACUCAGAUGGUGCAAAACUAGGAGAAUUGUCUUUUAUAGCGGAUCGCACCCAAUAAUGAAAUGACACGUGUCUUUAUGACCCAUGUGUAAUGGGGUCGAUUUGGGUCCUACAGUGUUGAAAACUUCGACAUCCACUUUUGGCCUUUUGCUUUCUCUACAGCCGCCUUGCUUUUUCCCUCUUUCCUUUUGUUUUCCUCCUGCCCCAUUCUAUCAACUAAACACAAUUAUGUAGUUGUUUAAUUCUUAAAUGAGAUAUUAUCCGUCAAUCGUAUCAUAUUUUAUCAACAGAGAACGGAGUGCAAUGUGGCAAUCCAAAGAAAGAAGAUCCAUAAUGCAGCUGUAAUUUUAUCGUUUACUUUUAUCUCUUGGACCACUGCAUUUUUGUUAAGAGGUGCAAUAAUACACGUCUUUAUCUGCCAUUCAAUGUUUACAGUAAAGAGAGGGCACAAAACUCUUCACUGCUCUGCAUGUGUCCCAAAAAUGCAAUUGGACAAAUUAUGAUUUGCAUGCUAAAAAGAGGCAAAUGAGGUUAAUUCGCACCAUAAUUAUUUUGUUUUCUGGACCCCGGGGCCCUUUGGUUGGUUUGGGGGUCAGAAAAUGAACAUCAUAGGGGGUUUUUCCCUUAUGUGCAUUUGUAUCUGAUGGCUUUAACUCGCCUUGUUACUACAAAGAAAUUGUCACAUAUAGGAACUUAUUCCAGGCUGAGUAUCUCCGCAUAGACCCUAUAAAAGAAGACAAGUCAUAAUGAACAUCUAACCUUUGUUCAAUUUGAUUCAAUGCCCCAUUGUGUCCACCUCACAAAUCUGAAUUAUUAUAUCCAUUGAAUACAUAAAUUAAUGAAGAAAAUAUGAAACCCAAGAUACAUCUCUGCACAACCUCAACCCUGGUUGCUAUGUUUCCCUUCUAUUCACAUGAGGAUAUUGAUUACGGAAUAGGGAAACCUAGCAAGGGUUUACUCGGCUCUGGUUUGAUGCUAAUUGCCAAACUUGCAACAAGCCCUGAGUUUGAAGCUCACAGAAGAUGUUAUACAGGCAGGGAAAAACCUUCAGAGUUCGCUGCCAAAGAUAAUUAUUAAGGAGAUAUCACCAAGAGAAUUCCAAGGAGUCUGAAUCAAAGACAAAUUGGUCGUUCGUGGAGGUUCUUACUUUCUUUUGGGUAUAACUCACUGAGGGCACUGUCUUUUUUAUUUUCAUUUCACAUUUAGAGUUCUGUUCUGGAAACAUAUAAAAGGAGCAUCAGUUUGUUCUUGGGUAACCCAUAGUCGUGAGUGGGUCCAUUUGCAUGCUACUUAGUUGAAAAGUUGGACCAUUUGCUCCGACGCCUACCUCCUGGAUUCCAUGCUCGGAUAAAACAAGAAUAAAAAAAUAUUUAUAAUUUACAAAUGGGGGAAAGAAAAAAAUGUCAACAACAAACUAGGAAAAAAGAGUAGUAAAAUUCAUGUCACAUGCUAGUGAGAGAAGGGGUUGUUACACUCACUCGAAGUUCUUUUCAAAAUAUCGCAUGGUAUUUUAUUUUAUGUGUGAGCGCAGUUGUGAAUGGAACGUGCAAAAGUCCAAAUUGGUGACCUUUAAUAAAUAUUUAAAACAAAAAACGAAAAAAAGGAGGGAAAAGGGAUCAGAAAAGAUAAAACAAUGUGUACAAAAGCUCAAUUAGUUUGCAAAUUACUGUUUGGAUUUUGAUAGUAUUUUAUUUGAUGUAAAAGAGAAUUUAAGAUAUUUCCGAAACAAAAGCAUUAGUUUGCUCCAUGUCAAUUUCGGCAUUUCUCAUAUGUUUCACACAUACACAGAAGAGCAUCGUUUUUUAAAGCAUGCAUUUAUGUUGGAUUAAUUUGGAUUUUGUGGGAACUGGGGCAAGGAUCACAUGGAAGAGAGGUUGACUUUUUUCAGUACUUCAAUGGUUGAGACAGGUGAAGGCCUGAUUGAUACUGAAGCCUGAAAUUGCGACUCCGUCAUUUGUCAAAACAUAUGACAGCUUCCAUGCUCUCGUUUGGUUGCAUUGUUCUGUGGUCAUGCAUACAUGCCACUUAGUGAUCAGUCUGUAACUGUCAAUCAUUGGGCUUUGACUGAACAACAUCAGCCAUGUAUAAAUACUUGCAAAUCAAACGGUCUUCUUCCUCCCAUAAGGAAUUUCGGUUUAAUUAUGAAGCAUGCAUUUGGCUGACCAUCAUAAACCACUUCUUUAAAUUGAUGAAUGAUAGUUUUUCAUUCAUUCUUUCAUUCGUUCAUAUACAGAGUAUAUAUAGAGGGUAAUCAUCAUUCUAAGAAUGGGAAAGAAUGAUACAAGGAAAUAAUGAUAUAAAGAAAUAACAACUAAUAUUCUAAUAUCUCAACUUUCCUAAUAUCUAAACAUUCCUAAUAUCUCAACACUAAAUGAUAUAAAGAAAGAAUGAUAUAAGGAAAGCAUUCCUAAUAUCUCAACACUCCUCCUCAAGUUGGUGCAUAGAUGUCAAACAUGUCCAACUUGUCUAAAAAUUUUGAGAACAGUUGACUUGAGACAUCUUUGGUGAGGAUAUCGGUCAAUUGAUCUUCUGAUCGAAUCUUAGGCAAUUCCACAAUCUUAUCAUCCAACUUUUCCUUAAUGAAAAAUCUAUCCAUCUCGACAUGCUUUGUACGAUCAUGUUGUACUAGAUUAUGAGCAAUGUCACAUGCUGCUUUAUUGUCACAAAACAAUCGGAUUGGUUGCCUAGAUAGGUAACCUAAAUCCUAUAAGAGGAGUCUUAGCCAUAAUGCCUCACAAAGUCCUAAAGUCAUACCUCUAAAUUCCGCUUCUGCACUUGAACGAGCGACGACAUUUUGCUUCUUACUUUUCCAUGUCACAAGAUUACCACCUACAAAGGUAAAGUAACCAGAUGUAGAUCGCCUAUCAUCCACUGCACCGACCCAAACAGCAUUAUACUUCUAUACUCUGAUGAUCAACAUUUUUAGCGAACAAAAUUCCCUUCCUAGGAGCAUUCUUCAAAUACCUCAAAAUACGCAUGACUACAUUCAUAUGUUGCUCUCCAGGAUUAUGCAUGUAUUGACUCACUACACUCAAUGUAUAAGCAAGAUCUAGUCUUGUAUGAGCUAAGUACAUUAAUCUCCCCACAAGUCUCUGGUAUCUUCCCUUAUCGAUUGAUACUUGAUUAGGCUCAACACACAAUUUCAGACCUUCUUCUAUUGGUGUAUUAAUAGGUUGACAUCCCGACAUUCCAGUUUCCUGUAGAAGAUCUAAGGCAUACUUUCUUUGAGACAGAAAAAUUCCUUCACUUGAUCGAGAAACUUCAAUCCCAAGAAAGUAUUUCAGACGACCAAGAUCUUUCAUUUCAAAUUCUCUAGAUAGAUACUUUUGCAAAGCUUUUCUUUCUUCAGGAUCAUUUCCUGUAACUACAUGUCAUCCACAUAUAUCAUAAGUGUCGUAAUCUUACCAUGUUGCUUUUUCAAGAACAAAGUGUGAUUUGAAUUACUUUGAUGAUAGCCAAAAGCUCUCAUUGAUUUUGUGAACCUUCCAAACCAUGCUCUCGGGGAUUGCUUCAACCCAUACAAUGACUUCUUCAAUUCGCACACCUUCUGACAUUGCUUUUCUGACACCAUGCAUCCUGGUGGAAGAUCCAUAUAUACUUCUUCAGAUAAAUCGCCAUGCAGAAAGACAUUUUUUACAUCGAACUAUUGUAAUGGCCAAUCUAGGUUUGCAGCUAAAGACAAUAAUACUCGAACUGUGUUGAUCUUAGCUACAGGUGCAAAUGUCUCUGUGUAGUCAAUUCCAUAAGUUUGAAUGUACCCACUAGUCUUGCUUUAAAUCGUUCAAUACUACCAUCUGCCUUGUACUUCACAGUAUAGAUCCAACGACACCCAACUAGCUUCUUUCCUGGUGGACAUUCUACGAGUUCCCAUGUUUCAUUUUUCUGCAAUGAUUUCAUCUCUUCAUUCAUGGUUGCUUUCCACUUUGGAUCAGCUAAAGCUUCCUGCACACUAUUAGGAAUAGCUACAGUAGAUAAUUGAUUUACAAAUGACUUAUUUGAUUCAGACAAACCAUGGUGUGGACCCGCAUUUUUCACGUGCGCCUCUACUCGAUCGGCGAGACUCGCUUUCUAUUUGUGAAAAAUUAAUUUUAGAAAAGUUGGAGUCGCCACCUAUUUUAUUUUUAUUUUGAAGGGAAAAUAAAACAAGAAAGAAAAACCCUAAAAAGUGACUCCAUAGUUUUGGAAAAAGCAUGUCUUUGGGAAACCUGAGUCUAGGUCCGGGGAUCAUGUUACUUAUUGGGAAGGUACCUCUAGGAGGUAGCACCCCUCUAAGCCUUAUGAAGGUCUCUACUAACUAAAUUAAGGGAAGUGUGGCAAUAAAUCGAUUGAUCAUAGAUACCUAAGUAGACUAGGUGAUUUUAAAGUGUGGCAUGUCAAACACAAUCAAAUUGCAAUAAAGGAGAGUUAGGGCGCGUACCUGAACCGCUUCUCAAGCGCUAUCAUAAAACAUCAAUGGUUAAUUUAAAUAAUAUAUCAUCCAGCAUGUAUUUUAUUAGAAAUAAUCAAACAAUGAAACAUGUAUAUCAGAACACUCAAGCAUUAUUAGACAUAAGCAUUAUUUCACUAUUCACAGAAUUCAGAAAGUAGGUGAUAGAGGACAUACCUGGAUAGCAUAGAUAAUUUGUAAUGUGCUUCCUCAAGUUGUAAGGGGUUAGAUAACAAAUAAUAAAAUAUAGAAAUCCUAGCAUGCUCGUUAUCUAAUUAGCAUAGCAAAAGUGAUCACAGUAUACAGAAUCAUCAAUUAUCACAUACAUCUUGUAUAUAAUUCCUAAAAAAAAUAGAUAGACAUGAUUUCAACAAGUGUCAAAUGUGGCAACAAAAAUAAAUUUUGAAAAGAUUUUCUUAUGUAGGGGUUUCACCAAUUCCCCAAAUUAAUAUACACGAAUUUAGCUUAGAAUUAUCCCAUUUAUUUGGGACUACAAGCUUUGAUUCGUGUUUUUGUUCAAAACCAAAAAUUUUUGUUGAAAAUCAAGAAGGAUGCGAACCGAACAAGAUAUGGUUGCAUAUUAUUUUUAAAUAAAUAAAUAAAUAAAUAAAGGAGAUUUUGAUCCUGAGGACUUUAAUGAGUUUUUUUUUUUAAAAUAGAUUUUUAAAAUGAUUUUUUUGAGAAAAGUAUUUUAUUUUAAAAUAAAAGGGAUUAAUUUGGGAAAAAAAUAAAAUAUAAGAAAUAAAAUACCAAACAAAACAAAAAUGAAACCUCAAAGUAAAAUUUUUUUAGUAAUUAACAAAAAUGAUAAUGGUGAUGGUAGAGGGCAAUCUUCAUGAUUUUCCAAUGGCCUCAGAAAGAAAAUCAAAUUAAAUGAAGGAUCACUAACAGGCAAGACAUUCUAAAUUAGACAAACUAACAAAGUAUCAAUUCAUGAACUAACCGCUAGGAUUUUGAAAGCAUAUAAGCUAAGAUAAGGGUGAUCAGGAACUAAUAUUAAUGAUUUUGAAAUAAAAACUAAAAAAAAGGAUCAAUUCGGGUAAGGAACUAAAAUUAUAAAAGUACCUAAACUAAUUAUGACGAGUUUGACUAAAUUAAACUAAAAACAUGAACUUUCAAACAUAGAAUUAAUUUUACUAAUGAACCAAAGCAAACUAAAAAUAUGUACUUUCAAGCAUAGAAUUAAUUUUAUUGAUGAACUAAACUAUAACAAAUAUCUAAACUAAAUAUAAUGAAUCAAAUUAAAUUAAAGCAACUUAAAAACGCAAACUUUCAAACAUAGAAUCAAUUUUAUCAAUGAAUUAAAACUAUAAAUGUAUUUGAACUAAAUAGAUGAAUCAAACUAAAUCAGAGCAAAAUUAAAAAAAAAAAAGAACUUUCUAACAUGAAAUCAAUUUUAUCAACAAAUAAAUGAAUGAAUAACAAGUAAUUAAAAGAAUAGCUACUACAUGAAUAACUGAAUGAAUAAAAUUCAAAUGUUUUCAAUCUGAAGCAAUCAAUCAAAAUUAAAUAGGGAUCAAAUCAAAAUAAUCGAAAUCGGAAAAACAAUAUGCAAUCUUUCUAAAGGUUUAACCAGACAAUUGAAUUAAAAUUAUGAAUAGAAUAAAUUAAUAAACCAAAUCGAAACCUAAAUUGUACCUAAAAAGAUUAAUUAAUUAAACUAAGAAAUCAAAAUCAAUAACAAAACUAAACUAAGGAGUAAAUUAAGACAAGACUAAUUAAAUUAAACUCACAAACACGUUUUAACUAUCAUAUGGAUUAAAACAAAAUUAGCAUGGACUUAUGAAUUACGAACAAAAAUAAUCAAAACUAUUUUAAAAAACUCACCUCUAUUAUAAGAAAAAAUCUGCCUUUGAUGCGUUGAGGUGGCUCCCCUCUCUGUGUGGAUCUCUCUGCUCCCCAGAAAAAAAAUGUCUCUUCCUCCGUUCUCUUUUGUUUCAGCAAAAUAAUAUAUCCCCUGCUGUGGAUCUCUCUACUCCCAGAAAAUAAUAUAUUCUCUCCGUGUCCUAAAGUGGACCUAGGGUGCCUAAGUGGACCUAGGGUGCCUAAAUGGGCCUAGGGUGCCUAAAUGGGCCAAGUGUAUCUAAAUAGGCUUAGGGUGCCUAAGUGGGCCUAAGUCUAAGUGAGCCUAAGUCUAAAUCAAGACUACCAAGGAUCAUAAUAAGGGGUUAGGCAAUCCCUUAACCAAAGUCUCCAAGGUGGCUAAAAAAAAGUAAGUAGUAUGAGUAGCUAUGGGUCACCAAGGAACUACUGUGGAGCAUUGAAAACGAAUUUAAAGACAUGUGCCAAAGGGACAAAAUUGAGGGUCUACAGAUGGUUAGACACAUAGUUGCUCAUGGGAUAUUUGACUUUGGUAAACAAUUCAGAUUCAUAUGUGGGUUUAGGAAUACCUUUAUUAUGACGGUGUGGUAAUCGUUUCAUGAAUGGAUCAGGUUGCAAAUUAAGAACACCCUCAGCAAACAACGAUUGGUUUGGUAUUUCAGUGAAGACAUCUUCGAACCCAAAUUGUUGACCACUCAUAUCCAACUCACCCGCUUCCUGGUUCACUAGUUCAGAUUGUCCAAAUUCAUCAUUCUCAUAGAUAUGAUAAUCAUAAUCGAGAGUCUGAAUUUCCUUAUGGUACUCCCCCUGAAGUUCAGACUUAGAUGAAAAAUACAUCGAAUAUUCAUGAAACAGCNNNNNNNNNNNNNNNNNNNNNNNNNNNNNNNNNNNNNNNNNNNNNNNNNNNNNNNNNNNNNNNNNNNNNNNNNNNNNNNNNNNNNNNNNNNNNNNNNNNNNNNNNNNNNNNNNNNNNNNNNNNNNNNNNNNNNNNNNNNNNNNNNNNNNNNNNNNNNNNNNNNNNNNNNNNNNNNNNNNNNNNNNNNNNNNNNNNNNNNNNNNNNNNNNNNNNNNNNNNNNNNNNNNNNNNNNNNNNNNNNNNNNNNNNNNNNNNNNNNNNNNNNNNNNNNNNNNNNNNNNNNNNNNNNNNNNNNNNNNNNNNNNNNNNNNNNNNNNNNNNNNNNNNNNNNNNNNNNNNNNNNNNNNNNNNNNNNNNNNNNNNNNNNNNNNNNNNNNNNNNNNNNNNNNNNNNNNNNNNNNNNNNNNNNNNNNNNNNNNNNNNNNNNNNNNNNNNNNNNNNNNNNNNNNNNNNNNNNNNNNNNNNNNNNNNNNNNNNNNNNNNNNNNNNNNNNNNNNNNNNNNNNNNNNNNNNNNNNNNNNNNNNNNNNNNNNNNNNNNNNNNNNNNNNNNNNNNNNNNNNNNNNNNNNNNNNNNNNNNNNNNNNNNNNNNNNNNNNNNNNNNNNNNNNNNNNNNNNNNNNNNNNNNNNNNNNNNNNNNNNNNNNNNNNNNNNNNNNNNNNNNNNNNNNNNNNNNNNNNNNNNNNNNNNNNNNNNNNNNNNNNNNNNNNNNNNNNNNNNNNNNNNNNNNNNNNNNNNNNNNNNNNNNNNNNNNNNNNNNNNNNNNNNNNNNNNNNNNNNNNNNNNNNNNNNNNNNNNNNNNNNNNNNNNNNNNNNNNNNNNNNNNNNNNNNNNNNNNNNNNNNNNNNNNNNNNNNNNNNNNNNNNNNNNNNNNNNNNNNNNNNNNNNNNNNNNNNNNNNNNNNNNNNNNNNNNNNNNNNNNNNNNNNNNNNNNNNNNNNNNNNNNNNNNNNNNNNNNNNNNNNNNNNNNNNNNNNNNNNNNNNNNNNNNNNNNNNNNNNNNNNNNNNNNNNNNNNNNNNNNNNNNNNNNNNNNNNNNNNNNNNNNNNNNNNNNNNNNNNNNNNNNNNNNNNNNNNNNNNNNNNNNNNNNNNNNNNNNNNNNNNNNNNNNNNNNNNNNNNNNNNNNNNNNNNNNNNNNNNNNNNNNNNNNNNNNNNNNNNNNNNNNNNNNNNNNNNNNNNNNNNNNNNNNNNNNNNNNNNNNNNNNNNNNNNNNNNNNNNNNNNNNNNNNNNNNNNNNNNNNNNNNNNNNNNNNNNNNNNNNNNNNNNNNNNNNNNNNNNNNNNNNNNNNNNNNNNNNNNNNNNNNNNNNNNNNNNNNNNNNNNNNNNNNNNNNNNNNNNNNNNNNNNNNNNNNNNNNNNNNNNNNNNNNNNNNNNNNNNNNNNNNNNNNNNNNNNNNNNNNNNNNNNNNNNNNNNNNNNNNNNNNNNNNNNNNNNNNNNNNNNNNNNNNNNNNNNNNNNNNNNNNNNNNNNNNNNNNNNNNNNNNNNNNNNNNNNNNNNNNNNNNNNNNNNNNNNNNAACCAAAGGAAGCAUGUUCCAGACGUCGAUGCCACAACCAAAUUUCAGACUUUUUCUUCUCCUCCUUAGAUCCAUCUGCCAUCAAGGCUUGUUGCAACUUAUUUGAAUCCUUUGAUUGCAAGUCCAAGUAUAGAGUUUCCCCCGCUUAAUACGACAACCAAUCGUCUGUCUUGUUUGAAUGUCCUUAAUCACACAAAAUUCAGGCCAAAAAAUGACAAUACAAGAUAAGGCUGCAGUGAUUUGAGAAACUAACAAAAGAUUGUAAUCUAAAGAUGGAACAACUAAAACAGAAUCCAAAUUCAAAGUAUCAGUAAGAGUUAAGGAUCCUUCCCCAAUGACUGGGGUUGUGUUACCAUUGGCUGUGGAAACAAUUUUUUGUGAGGAAGGUCUAAGGGGUGAAACCUGUCUAGAAUCAAAAGUCAUAUGAUCUGUAGCACCAGAAUCAAUUAUCCAUGCACUAUUAAUAACAGGUGUAAAAGUAUUUAAAAACUUACCACAAUGAUCUGUAGCGGCUACUAAUGCAGAGACUUUCUCAACAACAUUAGUCUUUGUUUUUAUUUCGGUAACAGUUGCAAUCAAGGUUUUCUUGGAAUUCUUCUUCCGUUGAUCACGAUUAUUAUCAUUAAUAACAAAGUGUUGAUAGCCUAAACAUGAUCUAAAGGUCCAUGGUGCAAACCCUCGGUUCCUCAUUGUUUUCCUGGUCAUACCAAGAGUUGUUGCUUUGAAAUUGUGGGAUAUCCAGACUGGUGGGAUCAGUUUUAUUGCAGUGAGUGCAUUUGAAUGUUGACUUAUCAAUAUUAGGGCUUGUCUUCGGAUGGUUGAUUGCUGUUGGACUACCAUAGCGACAAAAUAUCCAGGAUUUCAAUUCCAGGGCUCUGAUACCAUCUUCAAAUUGAUGAAUGAUAGUUUUUCAUUCAUUCUUUCAUGUACAGAGUAUAUAUAGAGGGUAAUCACCAUUCUAAGAAUGGGAAAGAAUGAUACGAGGAAAUAAUGAUAUAAGGAAAUAAUAACUAAUAUCCUAAUAUCUCAACUUUCCUAAUAUCUCAAUAUUCCUAAUAUCUCAACUUUCCUAAUAUCUAAACAUUCAUAAUAUCUCAACACUAAAUGAUACAAGGAAAGAAUGAUAUAAGGAAAACAUUCCUAAUAUCUCAACACCACUUCAUGAUAUAUAUAGUUUCUUACCCUUAAUCAAUGGUUUCUAAGUGAAUUUAUAUAGAAAGAAAUCCAAACUGUAGACAGCAGUAUUGGUAACACUCAAUAUUCUGUAUAUAAUAGAAUAAAUAGCGUCACAGUGAUCGUCGCCUACAAGCAAGGUACAAAUACCACAAAGAGUGACCCACAUAGACAUUCCCCAACAAGAUGUAGUAGUGACUGACACAUAGCCACAAUUAACACGUAGAAAAGGAUAAGACCGGUGCACAGUAGCUCUUAUUUUACAUACUACUUAUGCCAACCAAAGUCACUCAGUUGGGAUGGGAGGGAGAUGGAGGUUUGUGCGGUGGCUUGUGGGGCGGAGUUGAUGGCUUCUUUCCAGGAGCUUCUGGCUUUUUCAUCGGAGCUGAAGGAGGCUCAAUCUUAUGAGGCGGCUUGUACGAGUCUUCUUUGCUCUCGAAAGGAGGGUGGCCAGGGUUGUGACCAUAAUGUGGUGGUUUCUCUCCCUUGGGAGGUUUACCAAUUGGGGUUGGUGGCUUGUGUUCUGGGAGUGGUUUCUCUCCCUUGGGAGGUUUAGUGGGUGACUUGUGUUCUGGAGGUGGCUUCUCCACCGAAGGCUUGUGCUCCGGUGGUGGCUUUUUGGUUGGAGGGGGCUUGGGGUAAUCAGCAAGAGAUGGGGUGGUGAGAACCACCAGUCCAAGGAACAACACUAGCAAGUAUGUGGGAGACAUUUUUGAGUUUGGGCUGAUCAGAUGAUGCAAAACUAAAGCAUUACGUGACCUUUUAUAGCAAGUAGCUCCCAAUACCUACUUGACACGUGUUACUGUGACCCAUAAAUAUUAUGGGGUCUAUUUGUGCCCUACCGGGUUGAAAACUUGGACAAUUGGGCAAGGACCCGCCUGACUAUGGAGGACUACUGAGGUGUGAUCACAGCUUUAGGAUUUUUCUUCCUCUGCAGCCGUCUUGCCGUUGGCAUGAUUUUCUUAAUCUCAAAUAAAGGCAUAGUUAUAGAGUUGUUUAAUCUCUAAAUGGGAUUUUAUAUAUCUUCAGAUAGCCAUUAAUACAUUUGAUGAAGAAAGAAAGACAAGUGCAUACAACAUGUAUACGACUAGCUUUCAUGGAGUUCAUUUAUGAUCAGUUUUCCUGUACAUGUAAACCAAGAUCAUAUAUGUUUUUGUUCCACAACAAUUUUGGAAUCUUGUUUAUCCGUUUUUAUCAUUAUAAUGUCACAUAGGCUGCCAACUUGGGCGCUAAAUUAAAGAUCCAGUUGGGCAAGUUCGUUUCAGAAUUUCAAUGGUGGAUUCAGGAAUUGUUUUAUAAGAUAUGCAAAAUAGUAGAGGGAUGAAUAGUGUUUCAUUAAGAAAAGAGCCCUGUAAAAAUAUUGUUUAAAGGUGCCAUAGAAACUAUAAUCAAUAAAUAACUUUUUUUCCCCAUGGGUGGUGUUUCUUGUGGGGAUCAGUGACUGGUUUGAGUCAACGCCGUGUCUCUUUAGUCCAGAAAUCAACUAUUUUAUGCAUUGAAUACAUCAACAAAGAAAAUAUGAAAGCCAAAUGACACCUCCCCCGCAAAAACUAAACCCUGGUUGCUAACUUUCUAUGUUUCAGUUCCAUUCACACAAGAAUAUUAGUUCAAGUUUGAGAAAAAUGGCGACUUACCUAGUGAUAACUCGGUCUUGGUUUGCGAUUUGACUUUAACGUCAUGGGUUGAAGCCUCCUACAAUCAUCGUGUAUGCUAGUUCAAAGCUCGUGGAAGAAGUUAUACAGGGAGGGAGAAACCUCCACAGCAAGCUCCAAAAGAGAAUUAUCACAUUGAAAGCUCCAGUUGAACACUGGGUGAAAGCCAUAACAAGAUUGGUUUUCUAUCGCUCUUUUAAGUAAUGGAAGAUUAUUAUCUCUGCUUGUCACUACAACCGUGCAUGCUGCUAGAUCUUUCUAGACACUUCAAACAGUGAAACCAAGUAUGAUUCUUUUUCUCUUGAGUGGGUCCACUUGCAUGCCAAUGAACGAGUUGAAAAGUUGGACAAUUGGCCACAGCGCGCACUUACCUUCUGGAACCGAAGGUCAGUGAAGUGGGGUUCCUUUUGGCCCCUUGUGUUUCUGUUCCAACCUACUCCAGGAACCGAAGUUCAGUGAAGUGGGGCUACUUUUGGCCUCUUGUGUUUCUGUUCCAACCAAACAAAAAUGGGAGGGAAAAAUAGCAUUAUGCUUGUGCUAAAGAUCAACGCAUGAUAGCUGAAUAAGGGAGAAAAAGGCAUUGCUAUCUCAAUUUCAUAAACUUGAUAAGUAGUGACAUUAAUAGUCUUCCUCAUAGAUGGAUACAUGGUUUUAUUUUAUUUAUUUAUUUUUAUUUUUUUGUUUUAUGUCAAUGCUAAUGAAUGAAGUGCAUUAGCUUGUUUUGUGACUAGAACUACAAAUGUCCAAAUUGGAGCUUCUCCAAUAUAUUUCUCAGUGAGUUAUUGAUUAGAACUCUUGGAUUGAGUUCCAAGAUUUGAAUCAGACCCCUCUAGCAGCUUCAGGGGUACGUAGCAACCUAUAGCAUAUUAAUGAAGACUUAGGAUUUAGACUUAGGAAUACAAAUUAAUAUGUACCUCAUGCUCUGACUAGCUUCCCUGCGUAUGCACAAAAUGGAGAUGACUCCCAAAAAAAUAGCAGAAUCGCCUUAGUAUGUUUUUGUGGUUAAGAUGAUUCUCCACUUUAUAUAUCCACAUUGGUUCAUUAUGCAAAUUAAUCAACUAAGCUAUUUUUAUUUUUUCUUAAAUGUGAAAUAGGAGCUCCAAAUUAACCUAACCAUUGGCCUGAUUGAAUUGAUUUCACUUGCAUAAUGUUAUAGUAGAAGUCCGUAAUUUGAAUUUUAUUUUUGCAAAAGGUAACGUAAAUGAAGCAUUGUAAUUAAAUUUAUUUGUAAUUACAAACUAAUUUUAUUUUAUUAAGAAUUAAUUUAAUUACUCAUUUAAAAUAAAAAUCAGUUAUACUUUUACCAAGAUGAUAAUAUUCAUAUUUUUCUAGUUAACAUAUAUAAAAUAGUACACUUUUUCAUAUAAAAAAAUAAUUUAUGAUUUAUUAUAAUGUUACUAUUCACAUUUUACUAAAUUGAUGGUACAUGAUAGUGAGAGAAGGGGGUGUCACACUCAGCUAAAGUUCUUUUCAAAAUAUUGCAUGGUGUUUAAUUUUAUGUGUCGGCGCGCGUGUGAAUGGAACCUGCAAAAGUCCAAAUUGGCGUUUCUCCAUUUUCCACAUAGGAUGGUGACGUUAAUAGACAAAGAUACAAUAUCUGUAGACAUUGCUUAAAAAUCGAUGUGAAGUAUUAGAAAUUACAGGGCACUGUACUGGGGGAGCGGCUGCCCCGCCAAAGGAGGAAGAAUGUAGCAAUUUCUUCUGUUAGCCAGGCCUUAGGAUUUAUGCAUGGGAUGCCUAAUAACAAACAGAGAAAAUAUACUUUUGGGGAAGGUAUCCAACAACAGACACCAUCAUUCAGAUGGUGGGAAGGUAUCCAACAGAUGCCAUCAUUCAGAUGGUAACAUAUAUAUACAUUUAUUAGUGAGUUUUUUUAAUACCUAUAAAAAAAAAUAUACACUUUGAUAUUGUGGCUGAAUCCAUUACAUACUCAACUAACCUUGCUCAUUAGGGAUUUGACUUAACAAGGGCAACGUUGCAGUACAAGCUCAAAACUUUAUGCAGGUGACAUUACAUUUGGUAAAGAAGAGGAAAAUAACGAAAGCCAUCCAUAAAAGCAAAAUUCCACAUGGGAUGAAAUUCACAAGCUUCAUUUACGAUAGAGUCGCAUCCAGGCAAUUAAUUCCACAUUAGACCGCCUGUUGACAUGUGUACCAAUCUUUUUUCAAAAAAUAUUUAUAAAUAAUUGAUACUCACAAAAAUAAUUUAAUAUUUAUAAAGGAUAAAAAAAUAUUUUCAAAUCUAUAACAAUUUAUAAAAUAUUAAUAAAAAAUUAUCUCUUAAACUUAGUAUAGUUUUAUCAGAUUAAACUUUUAUUUUGAACAAAUAAUUUUAAUCUAAGUUUUAAAUUCUAAAAUUAUUUCCUUAAAAUAAAAUUUUAAAAUUCAACACUUCAAUUGAAAUUGUCUUUUUAAAAAAUAUCUUCUUAUUUUAAUCCUUAUAAACUAUAGUUGAUUGAAAAUACUAUUGAAGUUCUCUCUUAAAAAAAAGUCUUAUUUUAAUCUUCAUAAAUUGCCCUUGAUUUGAAAAUAAAUUUUCAGUUAUCAUAUUUUAAAUAAUAUCUAUAUUUAAAAUACUCUAUUUAAAAAAAAAUGAACUAAUUUUAAUUAUAUUAUAUUUUAUUUUUUUAUAUAUUUUUAAUGAUAAACCAAACAUAGAAAAUCAUUUUUCUAAAUAUUUUAAAAUUUCUAAGCAACCAAACAUAAUCUUCAAAAUAAAAGGAAAAUAAGGAGGGACAUUUGAGAAAUGGCGAUUAAAAAAAAGUGUACAAAAGCUCAAUUAAUUUUCUUCUAGUCUUUUAUAUAAAAAAGUAAAGGAAUUGAAAAGUAUUGAUAUGUAAAUUAAUAUUUGGAUUUUAAUAGUAUUUUAUUUGUCUUUCUCUAUCUCAUGUAAAAGAGAAUUUAAGAUAUUUCCUAAAGCAAAGCAUUAGUUAUCUGCAAUCAGUGGUGAUCAUGCCCCAUGUCAAUUUCGGACCCAUAUCUUAAAACUGUAUAAUUUGCAUUCAAACAUUACUGAUUUCUCAGAUGUUUCAUACUCCACAGAAGAGCAUUGUUUGUGAAAGCAUGCAUUUAUGUUGGAUUUUGGAUGAUGUGGGAACUGGGGCAAGGAUCAUAUGGAAGAGUGGUCGAUUUUGUUCUGUACUUUAACAUUUGAAAUAGGAGAAGCUCGGGCAUUUGUGGGGCUUAAUUGAUUUUGAAGCCUGAAAUUGCGUUUCUGUCAUUUUGUAAAAAAUAUGGCAGAUUCCAUGCUCUCAUAUGUUUGGUCUGUGGCCAUGUAUAGAUGCCCCUUAGUGACCAGUUUGUAACUGUCAAUCAUAGUGUUUUGACUCUGGCUCAACAACAUCAGCCAUUGACGGAUUUUCAUACUUGCAAAUCAAAUAGUCUUCUUCCUCCCUUAGGAAUUUCGGUUUAAAUGUUAUUAAGCAUACAUUUGGCUGACAAUUAUUAACCACUUCAUGAUAUGGUUUCUUACCCUUAAUCAAUGGUUUCUAAGUGAAUAUAUGCAGAAGGAAAUCUGAACUGUAGACAGCAGUAUUGAUAACUCUCAAUAUUCUUUAUAUAAGAGAAUAAACAACGUCAUAGUGAUCGUCGCCUACAAGAAAGGUACAUUUCCCAACAAGAUGUAGUUGUGACUGGUACAUGGACGCAAUUAACUCGUACAAAAGAAUAAGACCAGUGCACGGCAGCUCUUAUUUUACAUGCUAAUUAUGCUAACCAAAGUCACUCAGUUGGGAUGGGAGGGAGAUGGAGGUUUGUGCGGUGGCUUGUGGGGCGGAGUUGGUGGCUUCUUUUCAGGAGCUUGUGGCUUUUUCGGAGCUGAAGGAGGCUCAAUCUUAUGAGGCGGCUUGUACGAGUCUUCUUUACUCUCGACAGGAGGGUGGCCAGGGUUGUGACCAUAAUGUGGUGGCUUCUCUCCCUUAGGUGGCUUGCCAACUGGGGUUGGUGGCUUGUGUUCAGGAAGUGGUUUCUCUCCCUUGGGAGGUUUACCAAUUGGGGUUGGUGGCUUGUGUUCUGGGAGUGGUUUCUCUCCCUUGGGAGGUUUAGUGGGUGACUUGUGUUCUGGAGGUGGCUUCUCCACCGGAGGCUUGUGCUCCGGUGGUGGCUUCUCCACCGGAGGCUUGUGCUCCGGUGGUGGCUUCUUGAUUGGAGGGGGCUUGGGGUAAUCAGCAAGAGAUGGGAUGGUGAGAACCACCACUCCAAGGAACAACACUAGCAAGUAUGUGGGAGACAUUUCUGAGUUUGAGCUGAUCAGAUGAUGCAAAACUAGAAGAAUUACGGGACCUUUUAUAGCAAGUAUCUCCCAAUACCCACAUGACACGUGUUACUAUGACCAUAAAUAUUAUAGGGUCCAUUUGUGCCCUACCGGGUUGAAAACUUGGACGCUUGGCCGAGGACACACCUGACUAUGGAGGACUAUUGACGUGUGAUCACAGCUUUUGGAUUUUUCUUCCUGUGCAGCUGUCUAGCGGUUGGCAUUAUUUUCUUAAUCUUAAAUAAAGGCAUAGUUAUAGAGUUGUUUAAUCUCUAAAUGGGAUUUUAUAUAUCUUCAGAUAGCCAUUAAUAUAUUUGAUGAAGAAAGACAAGUGCAUACAACAUGUAUACGGCUUGCUUCAAUCGAGUACAUUUAUGAUCAGUUUUCCUGUGCAAGUAAACCAGUUUUUUGUUCCACAACUAUUUUGGAAUCUUGUUUAUCAGUUUCUAUCAUUAUAAUGUCACAUAGGCUGCAAACUUGGGCACCCAAAGAUCUAGGUGGGCAAAUUUGUUUCAGACUUUCAAUGGUGGAUUCAGUAAUUGUUAAAAGGUGUUUCUUCAUUAAGGAAAGAGUCCGGUAAAAAUAUUGUUAAAAGGUGUCAUAGAAACUAUAAUAAAUAAAUAACUUCUUUUCCCCAUGGGUGGUGUUUCUUCUGGGGAUCAGUGACUGGUUAGGGUCACCCAAAAUGAGUCCAGAUUAAAAUUGGUUCGAGUCAAAGCAGUCUCUUUUGUCCAGAAAUCAACUAUUUUGCGCAUUGAAUGAAUCGAUAAAGAAAAAAUGAAAGCCAAAUCACACCUCCCCUGCAAAACCUAAACCCCGGUUGCUAACUUUCUAUGUUUCAGUCCUAUUCAUAUAGGAAUAUUGGUUCAAGUUUGAGAAAAAUGGCAACUUACCUAGGGUUUACUUGGUUUUGGUUUGCGACUAUUUACGCAACCAACCAUGAGUUUGACUUUAACGUCAUGGGUUGAAGCCUCCUACAAUCAUGUAUGAUAGUUCAAAGCUCGUGGAAGAAAUUAUACAGGAAGGAAGAAACCUCCAAAGCUAGCUCCAAAAGAGAAUUAUCACAUCGAUAGCUCCAGAGAUUCCCAAGGGAACUGAAUCAAAGACAAGUUCCUCACUUUUUCUUCUUUUGAGGCCAAAUAUGAACCAAGGAUCACACGACCUCAUUCAACUUCAUAAGUUUGAUUUCAUGCAGUUGAACACUGGGUGAAGGCCAUGACAAGAAUUGAUUAAAAAAUUCUACCACUCUUUUAAGUAAUGGAAGAUUAUUAUCUCUGAUUGGCACCACAACAGCACAUGCUGCUAGAUCUUUCUAGACACUCCAUGCAAUGAAAGCACAAUGGAUCUUGUAAUGAUAGAAACUAAGCCAUGCUACAGUACUAGAUGAGGGGGUAAAACUAGUAGACAUCUUUCUAGACACUCCAUGCAAUGAAAGCACAAUGGAUCUUGUAAUGAUAGAAACUAAGCCAUGCUACAGUACUAGAUGAGGUGGUAAAACUAGUAGACAUGGCUGGCAGUUGAUUACUACUCAAAAAGUACUCUUUUAUAGCUUGAAACUAACUGUUUUAAACACUUUUGAGUAGUAGUUAAUACCUUUUAACUUAAUUGGCACAUUAAGGAACCUAGCAAGGGUUACUAAUCAACAUUUGGCAAGUUUUGAUGUUUUUGGUAGCUAUUUGAUCAUUGAAACAAGCCAAGAAUGAGGGGGAAUUUUGUGAAGUCCAUGGCAAUGCAAGUUAAAGCUCAAAUACAUGAAGAAUCCAAGCUUUGGAGCACUUCAUAGCCCUUUGCCAAGCCAAUCAAAGAUGCAAGGAAGAAAACCAAAGGAAGAAAUCCAACAAUCAGCAUUUUGGCAUGGCUAUGUGAAAUUUCGCACACCAUGCGAAACCACAAGAGGCAGCCAAAGAAUUUCGCAUGGUAUGCGAAAUCUUCUUGUGCACUGACUCUGUUAGAUUUUUAUCUUCAGAUAUUUUGUGUAAUUUCCUAGUUUCUCCUUGUAACCAACUUAGAUAUUUUCUUUUAUAUCUUUUUUUAUAUUUUUUAGGUAACAUCAUAUAUAAGAGGAGAGACAUAAGGAGGAUAUGGAUGUUUUUCAUAGAACACUUGUAAAUUUUUGGUAGUAAGAAAUAUACAAAGCUUUUUGCUCUGCCUUACCUUCUCAAGGGAUGAGUGGCUAGGUUUUCUUGGAGUGAGGGAAGCUAGGUGAAGGACCUGAAUGCAAAGGUGGGAGUUUUCCUUACUUUAAAUGAAAGUAGUUGUUAAACAUUAAUGGUUUUUAUUUUAAGGUUUAGCUUUAAAUCCCUGAAAAACACCUUGAAUGGCCAAUACUUGGUAAGCUUUUUAGAUUCUAUGGAUGCUUAUUGCUAGAUCCAUGGAUGUCUAUUAGUUAUCAUUUACGAGCCAUUGGAAGGUGAUUCAAGGUGAGGGUCUUUAGUGUUUGAAGCCAUUAAUGGGAAGCAAUUACCAUUUUUUCAUGAAUCCUUUGGAUCAAAUCUUAAUUGCUAAAUAUAAAACCGGUUUCGAGAGAUAACCACCAUCCUUUAUGUUAUUAUCCCCAACGCGAGGAGAAGAUCCGAAAUCUUCCUUUUUAUCUAAGGAACCCGAUCCUAGUGACCUAAAGCUCCAAGAUACCUUUUCUUUGUAGUUAACUUCAUUUAUUGUUUUUGCUUAACUUAAAAUCAAUCUUUGCAACCACAAUUCCAUUUUCUUUAAAAGCUAAUUUUUAUAAGGAAAAACACCAUUUUAUUUCCUUCACUAAGUCAACUGUACGAUGAAAACCCAUCCCUGUGGACGAUCCUAGAGCCACUAUACUAUGUUAGCUAUGCUACCCUAGUGUGAGGUGAUUUAGGUUUUAUAAAUUUUUUUGAUAACACCCAUCUGAGCCAGAAUCAAAUGGCACGACUGAACCAGGGACGAAUCAAAUGACGCCGCUACCAAGGAUGGUGCCAAAGUACAUUGACAUGACUUUUGGUGAACACUUGUGAUCUUCACCACAAGUUUGGUGAUUUUUCUUUUACUAAUUUUUUUUAUUUUAGCUUAUCUUUUAUUUAGUUUUUAGUUAACCUUAAAUUUUUCCUAGAAUUGUAUUUCUUUUGUUUUCUUUGUUUUUGUUUCAGUGAUCUUUAGUUGUGCAUGCCCUAUUGGAUAAGAGAUAUUGAGGGAAUACUUGUGAAGAUUGAAACUCCUCGAGAAACUGAGUUAGAAGUGUGCUUGAACAUCAUGGAUGUUCCACCUGAAGACCAGAAUAGCCAACAUGGUUAAGAGGAUAAUUUCAACACAUACCGAUCCAUGAGGAACCGCAUACAUCCACCUUGUAUGAGUGCACCGUCAGGCAUAAUGCCUCCCACUGAGCAGCUAGUAAUCUGACCUCACAUUGUGCCACUCCUACCUACUUUCCAUGGGAUGGAGAGUGAGAAUCCCUACUCGCAUAUUAAGGAAUUCGAGGAGGUUUGUAAUACAUUCCAAGAAGGAGGAGCUUCAAUUGACUUGAUGAGGCUCAAGCUAUUUCCUUUCACUUUGAAGGAUAAGGCCAAGAUUUGGCUUAAUUCUUUAAGGCCAAGAAGUAUCCAAACUUGGAUUGAUUUGUAAGCCGAGUUUCUUAAGAAGUUCUUCCCUACCCAUAGGACCAAUGGUUUGAAAAGGCAAAAUUUGAACUUCUCAGUUAAAGAGAAUGAGAAAUUCUAUGAGUGUUGGGAGAGCUACAUGGAAGCUAUUAACGUUUGUCCUCACCAUGGCUUUGACACAUGGCUCUUAGUGAGCUAUUUUUACAAUGGUAUGUCUUCUUCAAUGAAGCAACUCCUAGAAACUAUGUGUGGAGGAGACUUCAUGAGUAAGAAUCCGGAGGAAGCCAUGGACUUUUUGAGUUAUGUGGCUGAAGUUUCAAGAGGAUGGGAUGAACCAAAUGCUAGAGAGGUGGGAAGAAUGAAGUCUCAACCUAAUGCUAAGGGUGAGAUGUAUGUUUUGAAUGAAGACAUUGACAUGAAAGCAAAGGUUGCAGCUAUGGCAAGGAGAUUGGAAGAGCUAGAAAUGAAGAACAUACAAAAAGUGCAAGCCAUUUCUGAGACAUCAAUGAAAGCUAUGCCUUGUUCCAUUUGUCAAUCUUAUAAGCACCUAGUGGAGGAGUGUCCUACAAUUCCAGCAGUGAGAGAGAUGUUUGGUGAUCAAGCAAAUGUUAUUGAUCAAUUCAAGCCUAAUAACAAUGCUUCAUAUGGCAACACCUACAAUUCAAAUUGGAGGAACCAUUCAAAUUUCUCUUGGAAACGAAAGCCACCUCAAUACACACAACCUACUCAAGCACCUUAGCAAUCCUCGAAUCUUGAACAAGCUAUUGUGAACCUUAGCAAGGUUGUGGGAGACUUUGUGGGAGAUCAGAAGUCCAUCAAUGCUCAACUGAAUCGGAGAAUUGACAGUGUGGAGAGUACAUUGAACAAAAGGAUGGAUGAGAUGUAAAAUGAUCUGUCUCAAAAGAUAGACAAUGUCCAAUACGUAAUCUCAAGGCUUACCAACCUCAACACAGUGUAAGAGAAAGGAAAGUUUCCUUCUCAACCUCAUCAAAAUCCUAAGGGUAUCCAUGAAGUAGAGGCUCAAGAGGGAGAAUCUUCAAAGGUGAGGGAAGUCAAAGUAGUUAUCACCUUGAAGAGUGGUAAAGAGGUUGAUCAACCCACAUCCAAGCCAAAGCAUAAUGAAGAGAGUGUAGCAGAAAAAGAAAAGAGAGGAAAAUAAAGGAAUUAGAAUAGAGAAAAAUACAAAGAAAGAUGACCAUGAGUCUAGUGUGGAUGAAGAGCCCGAGAGGAUGGUGAUCAAGGAAGAUAUGAUGAAGAAACACAUGCCUCCACCUUUCCCCUAAGCUUUGCAUGACAAAAAAAGAACCAAUAAUACAUCAGAAAAUUUUGAAGUAUUGAGGCAAGUGAAGGUCAAUAUCCCUUUGCUAGACAUGAUCAAACAAGUGUCGACAUAUGAAAAAUUCUUGAAGGACUUGUGCACUGUAAAGAGAGGGUUGAAUGUGAACAAGAAAGCUUUAUUGACCGAGCAAGUGAGUUCCAUCAUACAGUGCAAGUCCUAGUGAAGUACAAAGAUCCGGGUUGCCGUACCAUCUCAGUGAGUAUUGGAAGGACUUGUGUGGAGAAAGCUUUGUUGGACUUGGGAGCAAGUGUGAAUUUGCUAUCCUACUCUGUCUAUAAGCAGUUGGGAUUUGGAGAGUUGAAGCCAAUAUCCAUCACUCUAUCUCUAGCGGAUAGAUCAAUGAAGAUUCCAAGAGGGAUGAUCGAAGAUGUCCUGGUUCAAGUUAACAAAUUCUACUAUCCAGUAGAUUUUGUUGUUCUUGAUAUGGAUCCGGUUGUCAAAUGAACUAAUUAUGUUCCUAUCAUACUUGGAAGACCCUUCCUAGCUACAUCAAAUGCAAUCAUCAAUUGUAGGAAUGGAGUCAUGCAACUCACAUUUGUCAACAUGACAUUAGAGCUCAACAUCUUCCAUUUGUACAAGAAGCAUAUCCAUCAGGAGGAAAAAGAAGGUCUAGAGGAAGUGUGAAUGAUUGACACUUUAGUGGAAGAGCAUUGUGAUCGAGAAUGCAAAAAGAUUUAGUUGAGAAUUUUGGGGAUCUUGAUGAAAGGUUACUUGAACCCUCAGAUUUGCUUGCUACCCUACUCCAUUGGAAGAGAAGAGAAGAAAUUCUACCCUUAUUCAAUGAGGAGGAGACGCAAAGAGCUGCAAAGGAGAAACCCCCAAAACUUAUUCUUAAGCCACUACCCACAGAGUUGAAGUAUGUAUACUUGGAAGAAGACAAGAAGUGCCCUAUUGUUAUAUCUUCAACUCUUACCAUUCAUCAGGAGGAUUGUCUACUUGAAGUCCUUAGAAGAUGUAAGAAGACAAUAAGGUGGCUAAUUUCUUAUUUGAAAGGGAUCAGCCCUUUAGUCUGCACCCAUCAUAUUUACAUGGAGGAUGAAGCUAAGCUAAUUCAUCAACCUCAGAGAAGGUUGAACCCUCACAUGCAAGAGGUGGUUCGAGCUGAAGUUCUGAAGCUACUUCAGACCAGUAUUAUUUACCCCAUAUCAAAUAGCCCAUGGGUGAGUCCUACUCAAGUUGCGCCAAAGAAGUCUGGGAUCAUGGUGGUGCAAAAUGAUAAGGGAGAAGAUGUCUCUACACGCCUCACUACAGGUUGGAGGGUGUGUAUCAAUUACAGGAGGUUGAAUGCAGUGAUAAGAAAGGACCAUUUCUCAUUGCCCUUUAUUGAUCAGGUGCUUGAGAGGGUCUCUGGGCUUUUUUUUUUAUUGUUUCUUGGAUGGCUACUCCGGGUACUUUCAGAUAGAAAUUGAUGUUGAAAACCAAGAUAAGACCAUUUUCACAUGCCCAUUUGGAACCUAUGCAUAAAGGAGAAUGCCUUUCGGCUUAUGCAAUGCACCCGCAACUUUCCAAAGAUGCAUGUUAAGCAUUUUCAGUGAUAUGGUGGAGCGUAUUAUGGAAGUCUUUAUGGAUGAUAUCACCAUUUAUGGAAGUGCAUUUGAUGAAUGCUUGGUCAACUUAGAAGCUGUUCUGAACCGAUACAUUGAGAAAGACUUAGUGCUUAACUGGGAGAAGUGCCAUUUCAUGGUACACCAAGGGAUUGUCCUUGGGCACAUUAUCUCCAAGCAAGGCAUUGAAGUUGACAAAGCAAAGGUUGAACUCAUUGUUAAGUUGCCAUCCUCAACAAAUGUCAAAGGAGUAAGGCAAUUCUUUGGCCAUGUCGGGUUCUAUAGGAGGUUUAUCAAGGAUUUCUCUAAGCUUGCAAGGCCUCUUUGUGAAAUAUUGGUGAAUGAUGUUAAAUUCAUAUGGGAUGAUGGAUUUGAAAGGAGUUUUGAAGAAUUGAAGCUAUUUUUGACAACCGUACCAAUAGUGAGGGCUCCCAACUGGCAACUGCCCUUUGAAGUAAUGUGUGAUGUCAAUGAUUUUGCUAUAGGAUUUUUUCUUGGGCAAAGAGAAAAUGGAAAACCUUAUGUGAUCUACUAUGCGAGGAAGGCAUUGAAUGAGGCACAAAGAAACUACACAACCACCGAGAAAGAAUUGUUAGCUGUAGUUUUUGCCUUGGAUAAGUUUCGCGCUUACUUGGUGGGGUCCUUCAUCAUGGUUUUUACUGAUCACUUUGCUUUGAAGUAUCUGUUGACUAAGCAAGAUGCUAAAGCAAGGCUGAUUAGAUGGAUUCUCUUACUUCAAGAGUUCAAUCUCCAUAUCAAAGAUAAGAAAGGAGUGGAGAAUGUGGUAGCAGACCACAUUUCAAGGCUAGCUAUCGCACAUAAUUCCCAUGCUUUGCCCAUUAAUGACGAUUUUCUAGAGGGGUCUCUCAUGUUGGUGGAAGUUGUCCCUUGGUACGCUCACAUUGCUAACUACCUGGUCACGGGAAAAGUUCCAAGUGAGUGGAAAGCACAAGAUAAGAAGCACUUCUUUGCAAAAAUUCAUGCCUACUAUUGGGAAGAGCCAUUUCUAUUCAAGUAUUGUAUGGAUCAGAUAAUAAGGAAGUGCGUUCCUGAAGAAGAGCAACAGGGGAUCCUUAGUCAUUACCAUGAAAAUGCAUGUGGAGGCCACUUUGCUUAUCAAAAGACAGCCAUGAGGGUGUUGCAAUCGGGUUUCUGUUGGCCAUCACUUUUCAAAGAUGCCCACACCAUGUGCAAGAGUUGUGAUCGAUGCCAGAGGCUUGGGAAGUUGACACGCAGGAACAUGAUGCCUUUGAACCCCACUUUAAUAGUUGAUAUUUUUUAUGUUUGGGGCACUAACUUCAUGGGACCUUUCCCUAUGUCUUUUGGCUACUCUUACAUCUUGGUAGGAGUAGAUUAUGUUUCUAAGUGGGUUGAGGCAGUCCCAUGCAAACACAAUGACCAUAGAGUGGUUCUCAAGUUUCUUAAAGAGAAUAUCUUCUCAAGAUUUGGGGUGCCCAAAGCCAUAAUUAGUGAUGGGGGUACUCAUUUUUGCAACAAGCCUUUUGAAACUCUCCUAGCCAAGUAUGGGGUGAAGCAUAAGGUAGCUACACCUUACCACCCUCAAACUCAUGGACAAGUUGAGUUAGCAAACAGGGAGAUUAAAAACAUAUUGAUGAAGGUGGUGAACACAAACAGAAAAGAUUGGUCAGUCAAGCUUCUUAAUUCACUAUGGGCAUAUAGAACAACUUACAAGACCAUUCUCGGGAUGUCUCCUUAUCGCCUAGUUUAUGGCAAAGCAUGCCAUCUCCCUGUGGAAUUGGAAUACAAAGCUUGGUGGGCAAUCAAGAAGCUCAACAUGGAUUUGAGCAGAGCUGGGUUGAAGAGGUUCUUAGACCUUAAUGAGAUGGAGAAAUUGAGAAAUGAUGCCUACAUCAAUUCAAAAAUUGCAAAAGAAAAAUUGAAGAGGUGGCAUGAUCAGUUGAUUUCCCGCAAGGAUUUUCAAAAUGGACAAAGAGUCUUACUUUAUGACUCUAAACUCCACAUCUUUCCGGGCAAGCUGAAAUCAAGGUGGAUAGGUCAUUUUACCAUUCACCAAGUGCAUUCAAAUGGAGUAGUGGAACUACUCAACUCCAACAAUAUCGAGAACUUCAAAGUGAAUGGCCACCGUCUCAAGCCCUUUGUGGAGUCUUUUUCUCACAACAAGGAGAAAUUCAUCCUCCUUGAUCCACAUCAAGCUUAACAAGACCAAUUUUCUUGAUGGACUUAGUCUUUCUAAAGACUAUCGAGUCCAUAACUUUUUGUUUUAUUUUUUAUUUGAGAUUUUUUCGGUAUUGUUACUUGUUUUGUUUUUUAUUUUUCGUUUUAAUUUUAUUUGGUUUGAUUUAACUUAGGUUUUUGAUGAUCAAUUACAGGGGGGAUUUCAAAUAGAGGAAAAACCAAGAUAAUUCGCACACCCUACGAAAAUUUCGCAAGGCAUGCGAAAUUUAUGGCUUAUUUUGCAUGGGGUGAAAAUUUUCGUACAUCUUACGAACCAAUUUCGAACACUUUGCGAAAAUAAACCAACCCUGCGAAAUCAUUUCGAUUACUCUACGAAAUUUUCGUAGAGCAUGCGAAAAAUUUAGCACACCAAACACCAUUUCGCAUACUAUGCAAAAACCUAAGGGGUCUGCGAAACCAUUUCGCACCUCCAAAUCCAUUUCGCACAUUGUGCGAAAACCAAGAGGCGCUGUGCGAAAAUGAAAAGUCGCCCUGUCAUCCCUUUUUAAACCCCUCGAGCCCUAAAAUCUCCAUUUCGCAAGCACCCCUGUCCUUGCGAAUCCCUCAUUUUCCUCUACUACCUUGCAACCUCGUCCCUUUCCAUUUGAUAUUGUGCCCCGCGCACAUCUCAUUUCAGAGACUCGCACUCCGCGCCCCCUCAAAGCAUGGACUCGAGACCCACCUUCCAUUUCCGACGUGGCACGGACCCAAGGAGCCCUUUCUGCCCCUUCACUAAGACACACACCAAGGCAGAAAGCCUCCUUUGCUCAAGUGCCUAGUGAUUCUCCAUCUUAGGCCUCAGAGGCCUCGGAGGCCCCGUGGAUUCCACCUUCCGAGGGUAGAGCAGCCAUUGGUCCUUCCUCUUCUACUCCUUAGCGUAGAUACGAGACGAGGAGACCACCUACUACACAAGGGGCGACUACUUCGAGCCUUGAGAAUUCAGUACGAUGCCUUCCUGCCAAGAGGGUCAAGACUUCAGGUCCAAGUGAGUCAUCCAGAGCUUCAUAGCCUAAGCCUCCUGUAGAUUCCAAGGUUCCUACUGACAUAUCACCGGAGUCUAUUAUCAGAAGCCCGAUGCUCAUAGCACCGCCCAUUGAGGGCAACUCAGAUUAUAGAGCGAGAUCUUUCCACUUGGAGCUAUAUUUUGAUCAGGAGGCCAUACGACAGCAGCCUGAGCUCCGAGACUCUUAUGGCUUACUGCAGAGGUACCAUCUUGAGGAACUUAUGACUCCUCGUGAGUUUUUUUAUCCCAGAGUAGCACUAAACUUUUACCAGUCCAUGACUACUCGUGGCGUCCCGAGUCCUACCACGAUUCACUUCACCAUUGAUAGACGUCAUGGUAUCCUCAAGGCCAGACAUAUUACAGAGGCUCUACAAAUUCCUUUCGAGCUAGAGGAUCCAUCUGUUUUUCGCUAAUGGUCCCCAGUAUCUCAGAGGGACAUGGUCCGUAUUUUAUCUAGGGGAACAUCUACAGAUUCGAUCUUUCUACGGAAGGAGCUUCGACCUGGGAUGCUCCUCUUAGAUGUGGUGCUAUGCUCCAACCUCUUUCCCUUACAACAUUCGGUACAUAGGUGAUGAGCUAUUUUGGACGCUUUAUUCCGUAUAUCAGAGGGCUUCUACUUUGGCCCGCACCACUUGAUCAUGGUCUCCCUCAUCCACUUUGAGGAGAAGGUUCAUAGGAAGAAGCUUCAGAGGGUGGACACCAUUCCAUUACUAUUCCUGAGGUUACUUUGCCAGGUCUUGGAGUACAUGGGCUUUCCUACUGAGCCUCGGCUCGAGCUUUGCCGCCUUUGUCGAGAGUGAUCCACUCUCGACAAAUGGAAUUAGUUGGCGGGCUAUUCUGCACCUCCAGGAGCCCCUCCCAUGGUAGCACCUCCAAUGUCCCCACAGGCAAAGUAGGGCGAGCUCCCGGCAAAGACUGUACCACCAAUGCCCACACUUGAGGCUAUUUCUGCUGCUCUGCCUAUGACUCCUACUGUUCCACCAGUUGGUCCUUUUACAUCCGAGCCUUCCAUCACCAUCUCGGCUUCGGAGUUUCGCGCCCUUGUGCAUACCUUUCAGACACUCACCACCACACAUACUCCUCUCUUCUAGCAAAUGGUUGAGAUGUGUGCCCAUCAGGACCGGAAGACUACUAUACUCUGCCAAAUUCAGCAGCACCUAAGACUUUUGCCUCAACCUCAACCUAACCAUCCCAUAUCAUCAGAGCCUCUAGCUCCAACUGAGGAUACUAUUCCACCUGAGAACACUACCACAGUAGAGGUCCGGUUUCCACCACCUUAAGAGGCCACCACAGCUACAUCAGAGGAUGUGUCAUCUCCACUUGAGGCUCCCACUACUUGAUCAUAGGACAUAUCUUUAUCUUAUUGUAUUUACAUAUUAUAUUACUAGAGAUUUGUCCUUGUUUUGAUACUUUAUAUUCUGGGAUUGGAUGUAUUGCCUGAUGAUAUCUCAAUUGUACUUUCUCAUAUUAAUAUAUAGACAUCAAUUUUUUUUAGUAUACUUAGCAUUUUUCUAUUUCCUCUACUCAUUACUCUUUUGUUUUUUUUUACUCAUGUGGUUUCUCUUAUACAACUCAGACUCCAUUUCACUCAGGAGGUACCACUUCCUCCCUUUAUUUUCAAUUGCUCUUGAAAUAUUGAGUGCAAUGUUGAUCUUGGUUGGGGGGAGAGUUGAGGAAGGAAGUUUUGUUAAUAAUGCUAGGUUAAUUUGUUAAUUUAGUUACUUUCUGCUUAAUUUUAAAAGUUUUCACUCUACUUUCCAUGGUUAUUAAGGAAAAAUUCUCAAAAUGAAAUGGGAGAAAUCGAAUUCUUGCAUUUUUACUUGAAUCUUAGAAUUUGUAUCAUGCUUAUUAAAGUUGAUGAAUUAUUGAAACUCCUAUUGAAUUCAACCUUAUUUUUUCCACUUUAAUCUUACCACACACGGUGCACAUUAGGUUCCAGUUAUAAGAUAAAAAACUAUCUCACCCCCUAAACUUAGAAAAAUUUACACUUGGUACCUUUGACAUCGUUUUAAUAGUGUUGGGACACCUUAUAAAAGGCCAAUGAGCCUUUAAAAAAAAAAAAAAAAAAAAAAAGAGAAAGAACAAAGUAUUGCACUUGCCUUGAAACCUGAGCAAGAUCCGAGGGGUAUACAGUGAAAGUCUUUAAAACCUGGUGCCCUAAGCCUUGAUUGGUUGGGAGUCACCGACCUCAAUGCUCGUUAUAAGGGUGAAUAGGUGGAGUUUAACAUAUUGUAGGUGCUUGGGUAUUGAAUUUCAAUCUCAAAAGUCCGGGAAAAAAUCUAAGGAGUUAGUGGUCAAAAGAUCCUUAAAGCUUGAUGCCCUAAACCUUGAUUGGUUGAGAGUCAUUGAUGGAUCCCCGCUACAUGGACAUUUUAGAAAACAAUACCUUUAGCAUUGCACGCCUACAAUGAAAAAAAAAUGUGAAAUAAAAGAGGUGCGUUCUUAGCCUAUUGGAGGUUGGUCAGUUUGCUAAAGUUUGAGAAAUCUAGGUUGGGGGGAGAGAAUAGUCCGACAUACUAUAAUAAAAAACUAAUAACCUUAACACUUAGAUUUUUGUGGAAGAGUAAGGAUUGGACCUUUAGGGGUGGAAAUUCUUUUGAUGCUUAAAUUUGCAUAAUGCCUACUCUUUAUAAAUUAUGAUUAGGCAAGAGAUUUGAUGACUCUUGUUCAAAGUUGGGUUUUUCCUCUUUGAUGUUCCAUGAGAGAGUAUAAUCCUCAUCAUGCCACUUGAAAUCUUUUUGGAGUGAUUAACAUGAUUUUGUAAAUUAUUUUACUGUCUAUUUUUCUUUAUCUCUCUUUUAUUGCUAAUGGACUAGCAAUAUGUCAGUUGGGGGGAGUGAUUACUACUCAAAAAGUACUCUUUUAUAGCUUGAAACUAACUGUUUUAAACACUUUUGAGUAGGUGUUAAUACAUUUUAACUCAAUUGGCACAUUAAGGAACCUAACAAGGGUUACUAAUAAGUUUUUGGCAAGUUUUGGUGUUUUUGGUAGCUAUUUGAUCAUUGAAACAAGCCAAGAAUGAGGGAGAAUUUUGUGAAGUCCAUAGCAAUGCAAGUUAAAGCUCAAAUACAUGAAGAAUCCAAGCUUUGAAGCACUUCAUAGCCCUUUGCGAAGCCAAUCAGAGAUGCAAGGAAGAAAACCAGAGGAAAAAAUCCAACAACCAGCAUUUUCGCAUGGCUGUGCGAAAUUUUGCACACCAUGCGAAACCACAAGAAGUAGCCAAAGAAUUUUGCACACCAUGCGAAAUUUCGCAUGGUAUACGAAAUCUUCCUAUGCACCAACUCCGUUAUAUUUUUAUCUUCAGAUAUUUUGUGUAAUUUCCUAGUUUCUCCUUGUAACCAACCUAGAUAUUUUCUUUUAUAUCUUUUUUUUAUAUUUUUUAGGUAACAUCAUAUAUAGGGGGAGAGACAUAAGGAGGAUAUGGAUGUUUUUCAUAAAACACUUUUAAUUUUCUGGUAGUAAGAAAUAUACAAAGUUUUUUGCUCUGCCUUACCUUCUCAUUUUGUUUUCACCUAUCUUUCUAGCCAAACAACCUCUGAGAAUGAUUUCUCAGGGGAUGAGUAGUUAGGUUUUACGUUUCUUGGAGUGAGAGAAGCUAGGUGAAAGACCCAAAUGCUAAGGUGGGAGUUGUCCUUGCUUUAAAUGAAAGUAGUUGUUAAAUAUUAAUGGUUUUUAUUUUAAGGUUUAGCUUUAAAUCCCUUAAAAACACCUUGAAUGGCCAAUACUUGGUAAGCUUUUCGGAUUCUAUGGAUGCUUAUUGCUAGAUCCAUGGAUGUCAUUAGUUAUCAUUUAUGAGCCAUUGGAAGGUGGUUCAAGAUGAGAGUCUUUAGUGUUUGAAGCCAUUAAUGGGAAACAAUUACCAUUUUUUCAUGAAUCCUUUGGAUAAAAUCUUAAUUGCUAAAUAUAAAACUGGUUCGGGAGAUAACCAUCCUUUAUGUUAUUAUGCCCAAUGCAAGGAGAAGAUUUCGAAUCUUCUCAUUUGUCUAAGGAACCCGAUCCUAGUGACCUAAAGCUCCUAGAGACCUUUUCUUUGUAGUUAACUUCAUUUAUUGUUUUUGCUUAACUUAAAAUCAAUCUUUGCAACCACAAUUCCAUUUUCUUUAAAAGCUAAUUUUUAUAAGGAAAAGCACCAUUUUAUUUCCUUCACUAAGUCAACUGUAUGAUGAAAACCCAUCCCUGUGGACGAUCUUAGAGCCACUAUACUAUGUUAUCUAUGCUAUCCUAGUGUGAGGUGAUUUAGGUUUUAUAAAUUUUGUUGAUAACACCCGUCUGAGCCAGAAUCAAAUGGAACCACUGAACCAGGGACAAAUCAACAGCCUAUAUGGGAGGGACACAAGUUUAAUUGAUUUGCAUUUCAGCGUUAUAGAUAAGUAUGUUUUGGAAGAUUUGUUCUGGAAAUACUGCACCAAGUACGAUUCUUUUUCUCUUGAGUGAGUCCAUUUGCAUGCCAAUUAACGAGUUGAAAAGUAGGAGCACCUACCUCGUGCUCAUGGAACCGAAUGUCAGUGAAGUGGGGCUCCUUUUAGCCUCUUGUGUUUCUGUUCCAACCAAGGCGGCGUAGGGAAAAACAACAAUAUGUCUGUGCUAAAUAUCAACGCAUGAUAGAUGUUUUUUUUUUUUUUUUUGGUAUGUCAAGGCUAACGAAUGAAAUGCAUUAGCUUGUUUUGUGACUAUAACUGCAAAUGUCCAAAUUGGAGUAUCUCCAUUUCUCACUUCGGAUGGUUAACUUUAUAAACAAGAUAUAGGAAACAUGUGAACAUCUUGAGGAACAAUUCAAAUUAUUCAUUAGAAGUCCUGGGUUAAGUUCCAAGAUUUAAAUCAGACCCUUCUAGCAGCUUCAAGGGUACUUAGCAACCUAUAACAUAUUAAUGAAGAUUUAGGAUUUAGACUCCGGAAUACAAAUAAAUAUGUAUCUCAUGCUUUGACUAGCUUCCCUACAUAUGCAUAAAAUGGAGAUGACCCAAAAAAAAUAGCAGAAUCUAGCUUCCCUACAUAUGCACAAAAUGGAGAUGACCCAAAAAAUAGCAUAAUCGCCUUAGUUUCUGUGGUUAAGGUGAUUCUCCGCUUAAUAUCCACAUUGACUCAUUAUGCAAAAUCAACUGAGCUAAUUUUAUUUAUUUAUUUAAUGUCAAAUAGGAACUCCUAAUUAACUGAUUACUGUCGAAAAGUGCUAUUUUGUAGACCUAAUUAUAAGGGUUUUAAGCACCUUUGAGUAGUAAUCAUAUUCAUUUAACCUAAUUAAUUCAUUAAGCUCCUUAGUAAUUAGUUCUAACCAUUUUUAGUGGCAAGUUUACAUGUUUUUCAUCAGCUUAUGAACCAAUUCAAGCAUGCCAAUUGAUGGAGGAGCUACUUGGGCGAGUUAAGCAAGGAUUUUGGACGUUUACAGGCUUGAAUUUCAAGUGGAAACACGAGCACAAGCAAUGGGAACACCAUUUCGCAAGGGGAGGCAAUUCACCUUGCCAAAUGACCAAUUUCGCAAGGGGAUUUUCCUCAUGGUGCAAAAUUUGGUCAUUUCGCACCAUGAAGAAACCACCUUGCAAAAUUUCGCAAGGUGGAUUUAGGCACCUUGCGAAAUGCCAAAUUUCACAAGGUGGCUUUUCACCUUGCGAAAUUUGGACCUUUCAUCUUCCCCCCUUGCGAAAUGCCUUUGAAAUCCCCUGUUUUGAGACGCUGUUGAUGAUAUUCCACUGCCGGUUCUCCAAGAUAUUUUGCUUGACUUUUAGCUUUAUAAAUACCUAUUUUACCCUUGUAAUCAACCAAUGAAAAGGUUGCUUUUGUAAUAGCUCUUGUAAUUUAGCUUUUUAUUGUCUUUAAAUAGAGGUGAAGAGCCUCAGACACGAUCAUCUUGUAACCUGUAACUUUAUAAGUUAUAAGAGCACUUUUGUUCAUACGCUUCUUUUCUCUUUUCUUUCUCAUUUUCUUAGUAGCCAAACAUCCUUGGAGGAUGAAAUCCCCAAGGAUGAGAGGCUAAAACCUUUUAGUUUCUUGAAGUAAUGGAUGCCAUGUGAAGCUCCCGUGUCAGGAUGGAGAUUUCCAAGCCAUAAAUGUAAGUAGCUGAGCGUCAUAAAUGUUUUCAUUCAAAGUAAAGCUUUUAAUCCCUCUGACUUGCUUUGAAUGGCCAAUACUUGAUAACCUUUUGGUCUCAAUGGAUUCUUAUUGUUAGAUCCACUGACGUUCAUUAGUUAUCUCCUACGAGCCAUUGUAUUGCAAGUCGAGGAGAUGACCUAUACCAAUAAAAGAGCAUUUAUGAGGUUCAACUACCCUUUUUGUAAGUUUUCAAGGACUAAAACUCAGUUGUUAAACUCAUACCGGUUCGAGAAGUAAGCAUCACCUUAGUUGCUUCCCCAACUCGAGGUGAAAAGUCCCAAAAUCUCCAUUUUUACACAGUGAGUUAAGCAUGGCUAUCCAAAGCUUUAAGAAACUUCUUUUUCCAUCUUUUAACCUAUUUUCAUGUUAGUUUAGUUUACAACACCUUCAUCUUUUUAUGUUUUCAUCUUAACCUAAUUUUUAUUAAGAAAAGUUCACUCCAUCCUCCGAACUUCACCAGUUAAAGUAAAAACCCUUCCCAGUGUUCGAUCCUAGAGCCACUAUGCUAUAGUAGCUUUGCUACUUUAGUGUAAGGACCUUAGGUAUAAAUUUUGUUGAUACCCUUACAUGCCAAGCUACCAAGAGUCGGGUUAUCAUUAACCUAACCAUUGGCCUGUGUAAAUUGAUUUCACAUGCACAAUGUUGUAGUAGAAGUCCAUAUUUUGAAUUUUAUUUUUGUAAAGGUAAGGAAAAUGAAGCAUUGUGUAAUUAUAAAAAUAACUUCAUUGGAAUUCACAAGGUUCACCCAAAAUGGAGCUACAUCUGUAUUCUAUCCUACAGUAGACUAUAUAGAUUGUACAAUAGUAAAUUGCAAAUACAAUUAAUAAGUCUUGUGCUUCCUUACUAAUAAUCCUUUGACAUGAACAUUGCAGCACUAAGGUCCUCUUGGGAAGACACCUUGCACCCAUGAGAGCACUAAGAGGAAGCAAGGCAGAGUCAUGGGUGCAAUGUCAUGACUUGUUGUUGCACCAAGAGAGGCUUGGUGAUGCCAUGGUGUUGCAGUAGCAAGAAUGUUGCCUUGGCAGGGACACGAUCUAGGGAUAGAUGCCAAGAAAGGCUUAGCACUCACAUGAGUUGCACAAAGAUGAAUGUAAUAGAGCAUCAGAGAGACGUCUUGGCAAGUAAAUGAAUGGAUCCAAGAGACAACAACAUGAGGAGUUUCAAAUGGAUAAGGAAUGACUCAAAGACAUUUGAAAGCUACAAGUUGGAUUCUAAUUACGAUUGCAAUUUGAGUUUGAGUAGGAGUUUAGAUUUUGAUUGUAAUUGUAGUAUGAGUUGGACUAGGAUUGCUUAUCCUUAGUCAAUAUAGGAGCGGUUCGUGUCACCCUAUGAAAAGAGUUUGAGUAGGGACUAGGAUUGCUUACUCCUAGUCAAAUAUGGAGUAGGUGGUGCCACACCUAUAAAAAAAAGGGACAACAUGAGAGAGAGAGAGAGAGAGAAAGAGAGAGUGAAUUCACUAAAGAUAUUGUGGGAGUUUUGCUUUGUUACGUCUUGUAUUAUUACUUAGAAUAGGAAUAAAAUACAAGUUGGGGCUAGAGCCCCAUAAUUAAUCUCGUGUGCCUUUGUGGUUAUUCUUUAUUUGUCAUCUCGUGUGGAUUGGAUUAGGUUGACUUAGAGGGCUUCUAAGCACCACCUUUGUGGGUUAUUAUUUAUUUUCCAUCUCUUGUGGAUUAGAUUAGGUUGACUUAGAGGGCUUCUGAGCACCACCUUUGUGGGUUAUUAUUUAUUUUCCAUCUAUUGUGGAUUAGAUUAGGUUGACUUAGAGGGCUUUUAAGCACCACAUUUGUGGGUUAUUCUUUAUUUUCCAUAUCGUGUGGGUUGGAUUAGGUUGACAAGGAGAAAAAUUAUGUGGGAAAUUUGUGUUGGGACACUUACCAUAACCAAGUAAAAUCUACCAAGUCCUUUGUAAUAUCUUCAACAAAUAUUUUAGACUAGUUCUUUCAGUUAGUGUAAAGGAGGAAGAAGUGGUAUUGAUUCUAGAAAUAGGGUGUGUGUAUUUGAACUACAAUCCUUAUGAUCCUUAGGUCUCUAAACCUUCGUGAUGGGCUCCCUGACAUUUCAUAGGUUGUGCUACACAUGCGUUUGAAAUUUAGAGUGCGUUUGACAGUGAUUCCGGGAAGUGUUUUUGGCCUUUCUUACACUUGAAAAUUUUUAUUUUUCAAGUAUUAGAAAUGCUACAAACACUUUUGAAAAUUACUGUCAAACACACUCUUAGGAGCGCACAUAUAUAGUAGAAAACUAGAAAUUGUGGUUUUUUUAGGAUUUACUGUAAUGUCAUUAGGAGGGUAGUAAGUUGAAAUUGAGUAUGAACAAAUAUUUCUUUCUUUGGGAUGUUCUUCUAGUAGGUGCUGAUGAAACUGUUCUUUCUACUGCCAAUGUCACAUAUCAGCCAGAAAUUGAAAAUUUCAGUCAAGGUGUCCUCUGUUUUAGUGGUGAGGAAAGCUAGAAAUUUUAAGGUGAAGUUUUGUUAAAAACCUUAAGUAGCUGGGAUAUCAGGCCUGUUUUGCUUGAAAAAAAAAGUUGCAAGAUAACUCAUAUGCCAAACAGGUUCUGAUAUUGUGAAUCUAUCGGCAGACAUCAGUAAUCUCAUCUUCUGAGAUGGAUGUUGGGGGUGCAUGUGGUGGUGGAGGGGCAAGGUUUCAUUUGGUUUAUUUUGUUGAUGGAUAUUGUCUAGCCACCUGCGCCAAGUUUGAGGGGUGGUGGGUUGUGAUGACCCUACAAUUACUAUUAAUUUCUUCAUCUUUUACCGAUUAAAGUGUCCGAACAGUCGAAGUUACCCUUAUGCAUGUCAACUUGAUCACUUACCUCUUCAAUGGAGUUUAUGCUGGUUCAUUUAGGAACUGAUUUUUAUUGUUAUGUAUUAUAUGCUGAUGUUUAGGUCUCUCCAUCAUCACUAUAUACAAAAAUUCUAGGUUGAUACUAUAGGUUGAGAUUUAUUUUUUAAAUAAAAAAUAAUAAAAAUAAAAAUUAUGGUGAUGUUUAGUUGUUUUAUGGAAAAUUUUAACAAGUAAAAGUUAUUUUUGGGCAAGUUUUCAAACAAAAAGAAAAGUAAAAGUUGUUUUGACAAAAACAUAUAGAAAAAAAAAUCAUAGAAAAUAAAUAAUUUCCCCAUAUUCUAACUUUUUUGAAUUUUUCUCAAUGGGCAAAGGAAUAUCAAAUCAAGUUUGAGUAGGAUUUCUUAAUUUUUAAAAUAACUUACAAUUAAAAAAUUUUGGUGUUUUCAUUUUUGGACAAUUUUUUAUUAAGCAAAUGGACUCUGAGUCAUGCAAGAGAUAUGGUUCAUUAACCGGUCGAACAAUUUUUUUAAAUUAAUUUAAAAGUCAAAUACAUAAUCAAUUUCACAAAAUUUAUAAACAAAAAUAGGUUUAGAGAAGAUCUACACAUAAUUUUACUUUUCUAAUUUUAUUUUAUUUUAUUUUUUGUUGGAAAAUAGUCUUCAAAUCAUGUAAGAUUUAAUAGGUUAAAUUUGUUAACAAUAAAUUUUAAAUUAUAAAAUAUAAUCUGGAACUCAAAAAUCAAUUCAAGUAAUGCUAAAAAAAAAUCAAAUUUGGUAUAGAAUGACUUUGUAAAUUUUUUUACAAAACAAAUGAAUUUUAAAUCAAGUGAGAUUUAAUGCAUUAGAUUUUUAUCAAAUAUAGUAAUUUUAAAAAUAAAUUUGGAACUCAACAAUAGACACAAUAAAUACCAAAAAAUAAUGAACCAAAAUUGGUUUGGAAUAACUCCACAACCUUUUUUUUUUUUUUUUGGUGCACACGAAUUUUCUUACUAGGUAUAUUGCUUUCAAAUUGAGAAAGAUUUACCAUUUAGAUUUUUUUUUAAUGAGUUUAAUGGUAUUUUAAAAUAAUUCAAAAUUUAAAAAAUUGACUAAUUAAUAUUAUAAAUUGAUAAACCAAGACUAUUUCAAAAUGCAUUGGGGGCUAAGGGGGUUGAAAAUAGGGACAAUGGGAUGGGUUUGGGACAUGACACUCAUAUCUCAUUUCCAUUCCAAUUACACAGUUAUCUCCCAUCCUUAUCCCAAACUUGUGUUGGAGCAAGUUGAUUUGUUCCCAUCUUUGUUGACGAAAUGACUAAUAACCUCAUCCCCUCCUUAUCUUAGAUGUACAUUUUGUCAAAUUUGAUCAGGUAUGAUUGAUCCAAGCCCUAACCCUAAUUGGUAAUGAGUGAAUACUACACCUAAUUGCAUUCUUCUUUCAUUGCAAAAUAAUGAGAUUAUAAUAAUCUAGCAAAUAAGAAAAAAUAGUAUGGAAGUUCAAAUUAACACCAUAACUAUCAAUAAUUUUAAGCUUAUAGAUGACUUAAAUGAUUAAAAACUAAUGCAAAAUCCUAAAAAAAAUAAAAAUCAUAUAAAGAAUUCACAAGAGAACAGAAUGAACAAAAACCAAAUAUGAACAUGGGUCAACAUUAGUUAUGGAUUUGGAUUCCUUUCAAGGCCAAUCUUUGAACCAAGACUUCAUCAAAUCAACUACUUCAAAGGCUUUUGUGUUCUUCUUGGGUUGUGCUCUCAAACAAAGACUUCGAGGUGAUGUUCUAGAUGAUUGAAUUACACAUAUUUAGGGUGGAGAGAUUGGAGAAGCUUGAAGAUGCCAACGAUGGGUACAAUUGAGUGGUCAAUAAGAACAAUGUAGCCUAUGACUAGUUUGAUGUCAUGGUACAAGAGUUUUAGGCAUUGAGGUUAAAGCAAGAGCAACAUGGAAUUGAUUUCGGAGUCUUUCAGUUAGUGUAAAGGAGGAAGAAGUGGUGUUGAUUCUAGAAAUAGGGUUUUAAGUGGUGCGUGAUUACUACUCAAAAAGUGCUAUUUGAUAGCCUUUAAUUAAUCCUUUUUAACACUUUUGAGUAGUAGUUUAGGCCUUUUAACUCAAUUGGCAUGUUAAGGAUCCUUUAAAGCAAUUUUGAUCACUUUGUGCAAGUUUUGGUGUUUUUGUUAGUAUUUUGAUCACCAAAGCAAGUCAAGAAUGAGGAGAACUAUGAGGAAUCAUGGGCAAAGCUUAGAAUUCAAUUGCCAAGAGUGAAUCCGGAUUGCAAGGAGAAAAAGCAAAGAGAAUCUGUCAUGAAGCCUAUUCUUGAUGACAGUCGUAGCAGCCACUUUUGGAGCACUUUCUGAAGUCCAAAUGAUGCAAGCUAUAUACCAUUUCAAAGAUCAGGAAGUCAACAAUCCAAUGCUUCAAACGGUGCGCGAUUCGGAGUUGAAACGAAGAAGUUGCAGCCAUUACAAGCCAGUCACUCUAAAGUGUUGCGGAAUCAGCCUUUUGUUGCGAGAAUUUCGCAGCACUUUUGUACAGUAAGGUGUUUCUCCUUCUGACGAUGCACGAACCAUGCCGCGAGAGGGAAGCUAGGAACUUCAAGAUGGAAGCCAACUUUGCAGCCUGGUGAAGAUAGCUUGGUCUUGCGAAAUAAUUUCGCAGCCCUCUUGGGUGUCUGCGAAAUUUCGCAGGCACCACUUUUUUCCUGCGAAAUGGCUCCGGAAGCCUCCCGAAGCUUGCUACCGACAUUGGGAGAUAUUUUCCAUUAGAUUUUUGUUGUCUAAAUUCCAAAAUACUCCUUGUAAACCACCAAUUACAUGAUUCCUUAGUUUUUAAGUUAGUAAAAAGACCAAAUAUCUAUGUAAUAAUUAGUUUUAUAUUAGUUUGCUAUAAAUACCUCUCGGGAGCAUGUUCUCAGAGAGGAGUUCCUUCUGUAACCAUUUUGGUAAGCAAGUAAAGUCUUUUCUUUCUACUGCCUUACCUUCUCACUUUGUAUUUUCAUUUUAUUUCUAAGUUAUGAAUUCUCUGAGGAGCUUUCCCCAGAGAAUGAGUAACUAAACCUCCAAUUCCUUGGAGCUAAGGUUGCCGGGGAAGGUUCCAAGUGCAAGAAUGCAAAGCUCUGUGGUUUUAGCUAGUAAUGAAGAGGAAGUGAAAUCCUUUAGUGAUUUCAAUGUUUUUAGUUAACUUAAAACACCUUGGAGUCACCUGGGCCAACACUUGGUAAGGCAAGUGAUUUCCAACCGUGGAAAUGCACUAGUUUACCCCUUGCGAGCCUCUGGUAGGUGACUUCAAGGUAGGAUUUUCUGGAAUUACCAACACUUGGUAAGCUUUUGGACUCCUAGGAGACAUCCAUUAGUUAUCUCUUGCGAGUUUGUGAAGGGGAAUCCAAGGUUAAAGAUCACCUUGAAUGGUAAGUGCUCGUGAGAGGCAUGAACCAUUGCAAGUUGUAUCAGUGAGAGAAUUAAAGUGAAAUCUAAUUGAAGGAGUCUCUGUACAUCACCGGUUAGAGAAUUGACUAUAAGUUGAAUCUCUAAUGCGAGGAAAUGAACCAUCUGACCGGAGCUAUGUCUUUUGCAUGAGGAACCACCCCAGUGAACCUAAAUCUCCAAGGAAUGCUUUUCUUCCUAAAUUAUUCCAAACUUCUGUUAAGUUAGUUAGUUUAAGUCUAAACCUUUACCAAUCAAACUUUGUGUUUUAUUUCUUAAGCUAACCGUGAAAUGAAACAAAACCAAUUCACUUGGAAUUGGUAUCCUUGAUUGCUUGCAAAUCAUUCCCAGUGAACGAUCCUUAGAGCCACUAUACUAUAGUAGCUUUGUAUUUGCUACCCUAGUGUAUGGUGUUAUAGGUAUAAAUUUUGUUGAUCACUUCCUCAAUCAAGGAACACCAGCUGAACACAAAUCAGCUGAGACACCAAUUGGGCAUGAGUCAAAUGGCGCCGUUGCCGGGGAAUGAGUGUCAAGAUCAUUGUGAUACCAUUUUUGAGCACUUGUGAUUUUCAUCACAAGUUGGUAAAGUUUCUUUCACUUUACUAAUUUUCAUUCUCUCUUUGUUUAUUUACAAUCUAAGUUUAUCUUUUUAAAAUUUAGUCUAGUUUAAUUUUGCUAUUGUAGCCUUGUUUCUCUUGUUGUCCUCUGUUCUUGUUGUCCUCUGUUUUCAUUUUAGUUGCAGCUGAAUACUAGUUGUGUAUGCCAAAGUGGAUACGAGACAUUGGAGGUAGGCUUAUUAAGUGUGAUACACCUCAGAGAGGAGAAUUGGAAGUAAUCUUGAAUAUCAUGGAGGCUGCACCUGAAGAUCAGCAUAGUCACCAAGGUCGUCAAGACAAUCUCAAUGAAUUCAGAUCAAUGAGGGACCGUAUGCAUCCACCUCGUAUGAGUGCACCAUCAUGUAUAGUGCCCCCUACAGAGCAACUAGUGAUCAGACCAUAUCUUGUUCCACUUCUACCAACUUUCCAUGGGAUGGAAAGUGAGAAUCCGUAUGCACACAUCAAGGAAUUUGAAGAUGUUUGUAAUACAUUCCAAGAGGGAGGAGCUUCAAUUGAUUUGAUGAGGCUUAAGUUAUUUCCUUUUAAUUUAAAGGAUAAGGCCAAAAUUUGGCUUAAUUCUUUAAGGCCAAGGAGUAUCCGCUCUUGGACUGAUUUACAAGCUGAAUUCCUCAAGAAAUUUUUUCCUACUCAUAGAACAAAUGGCUUGAAAAGGCAAAUUUCAAACUUCUCAGCUAAAGAGAAUGAGAAAUUCUAUGAGUGUUGGGAAAGAUACAUGGAAGCUAUAAAUGCUUGUCCUCACCAUGGCUUUGAUACUUGGCUACUGGUGAGUUAUUUUUAUGAUGGUAUGUCCUCCUCAAUGAAGCAACUCCUCGAGAAAAUGUGUGGAGAAGAUUUCAUGAGCAAAAAUCCAGAGGAAGCUAUGGAUUUCUUGAGCUAUGUAGCUGAUGUUUCAAGGGGAUGGGAUGAACCAACUAAAGGAGAAGUGGGAAAGAUGAAGUCUCAGUUGAAUGCUUACAAUGCAAAGGCUGGGAUGUAUACUUUAAAAGAGGAUGAUGACAUGAAAGCAAAGUUGGCAGCUAUGACAAGAAGAUUGGAGGAGCUGGAGCUGAAAAGAAUGCAUGAAGUGCAAGCUGUUGCUGAAGCACCAGUGCAAGUGAAGUUGUGUCCCAAUUGUCAAUCGUUUGAACAUUUGGUAGAGGAAUGCCCUGCAAUUUCAGCUGAAAGGGAAAUGUAUAGAGAUCAAGCAAAUGUUGUUGGACAAUUCAGGCCCAAUAACAAUGCUCCUUAUGGAAAUACCUACAAUUCAAGUUGGAGGAAUCAUCCAAAUUUUUCAUGGAAGGCCAGAGCAACUCAAUACCAACAGCCGGAUCCACCAUCUCAACAAUCUUCAAGUAUUGAACAAAUAAUAGCUAAUCUCAGCAAGGUAGUGGGAGAUUUUGUGGGAAAGCAAGAAGCCACCAAUGCUCGAGUGGAUCAAAGAAUGGACAGAGUGGAUCAAAGAAUGGACAGAAUGGAGAGUAUGUUGAACAAAAGAAUGGAUGGAAUGCAAAAUGAUAUGAAUCAAAAAUUUGAUAACAUCCAAUAUUCAAUUUCAAGGCUUACAAAUUUGAAUACACUGCAAGAAAAGGGAAGAUUUCCUUCUCAACCUAACCAAAAUCCCAAAGGUGUCCAUGAAGUGGAAAGCCAUGAGGGAGAAUCAUCACAGGUGAAAGAUGUGAAAGCUUUGAUCACUCUAAGGAGUGGUAAGAAAAUUGAGCAGCCAACACCCAAGCCACAUGUUGAGAAAGAAGAAGAGAUGAAGAAAGGGAAGGAAAUGGAAGAUAAAGGCAGUGAGAUCAGUGAAGAAAAGAAGGACUCUGAUGCAACAAUGAAAGUAAUUCCAGAGAAGGAGCUUCUGAAGGAAGAAAUGCUGAAGAAAUCAACUUUUCCACCUUUUCCUCAAGCAUUACAGGGGAAAAAGGGGGUUAGAAAUGCAGCUGAAAUCCUAGAAGUAUUGAGGCAAGUGAAAGUUAAUAUUCCACUGCUGGAUAUGAUCAAACAAGUUCCAACGUAUGCAAAAUUCCUAAAGGACUUGUGUACUAUCAAAAGAGGGUUGACUGUAAACAAGAAAGCCUUCUUGACUGAGCAAGUAAGUGCAAUCUUACAGUGUAAGUCUCCUUUGAAGUACAAAGACCCUGGAAGUCCUACCAUUUCAGUCAUGAUUGGAGGAAAGGUAGUGGAGAAAGCCUUGCUAGACUUGGGAGCAAGUGUGAAUUUGCUUCCAUAUUCUGUCUACAAGCAACUGGGACUUGGAGAGUUGAAGCCAACAGCAAUCACUUUGUCUCUGGCAGAUAGAUCAGUGAAAAUUCCAAGAGGGGUAAUUGAGGAUGUAUUGGUUCAAGUAGAUAAUUUCUACUAUCCUGUAGAUUUUGUUGUUCUUGAUACAGAUCCUACUGUAAAGGAAGCUAAUUUAGUUCCUAUCAUCCUUGGAAGGCCAUUUCUUGCAACUUCAAAUGCAAUCAUCAACUGUAGAAAUGGGCUUAUGCAACUCACUUUUGGUAACAUGACACUGGAUCUAAAUAUUUUCUAUAUGUCUAAAAAGCAAAUCACUCCAGAAGAAGAAGAGGGUCCAGAAGAGCUAUGUAUUAUUGAUACUUUGGUGGAGGAGCACUGCAAUCAACAUAUGCAAGAUAAGUUGAAUGAAAGUUUUGUGGAUAUUGAGGAAGGUUUUUCUGAAUCUCCUAAUGGGCUUGCUACUCUACAAAGUUGGAGAAAGAUAGAAGGAAUUCUACCUUUGUUCAAUGAAGAAGAGGAGGCAGCUGUUGAAAAAGAAAUUCCAAAACUCAAUCUGAAGCCUUUACCUAUGGAGCUGAAAUAUACAUAUCUUGAAGAAAAUAAUCAAUGUCCUGUCGUAAUAUCUUCAUCUCAAACCAAGUCUCAAGUGAAGGAUGCAAGCUUCAAAUGGGAUCCGGGCAAACUGAAUCAGGAAGGGCAAAAAGUUUUGAUGUAUGACACAAGACUCCAUAUCUUUCCUGGGAAGCUCAAGUCAAGGUGGAUUGGUCCAUUUGUUAUUCACCGAGUAUAUUCCAAUGGAGUGGUGGACUUAUUGAAUUCCAAUGGCAAGGACAGCUUUAGAGUCAAUGGAUAUCGUCUUAAGCCGUUCAUGGAGUCAUUCAAAUCAGAAAAGGAGGCAAUCAACCUCCUUGAACCUCAAAAAGCCUAAGUGAAAUGGGUUUGCUGGACGUGGUUUUACCACAGUCCAAAAAUUUUUGUAAAUUUUGUAAAUUUUCAAGUUGUUUCCAUGCUUUUAAUCUUAGUUUUUGAUUUUAAAUCAUGUUUUUAGGUGUGUUUUAAUCGUUUUAUAUGAUCCCAGGCGGAAGAAAUUUCAAGGGGAUUGAAAAGAAAAAAAUCGGGUCGAAAUUGGAGCCGAAACAGAGCAAAAACAGGGGAAAAACAGAGCUCUGCGAAAUUUCGCAGGGUGAAGGAAACUUCUGCGAAAUUGGCAUUUUGCUGCCAAACCAUUCCGCAGCACUGUAGAAGCCUCUGCGAGUGUAUUUCGCAAUUGCGAAAGUGGAUUUGGCACACGAGUGCCACUUCGCAGCACAGUGACAUCAAUUUCGCAGCUGCGAAACUCACUGCGAAGUUGCUGCGAAAAUGGCAAGUUGCUGCGAAAUUGGCGUUUUGUUGCGAAACGUAAUCUGACCCCUGGGCUUCCGUUUUUCCUAUUUAUACCUGUCAAAAGUGCUGCGAAAAAGGUUUCAAAAAUUAGAGCACCAUUCUCGCAGCCCUUUCAUCUUCUUCGCCAAGCCACGCCGUCCGUUUCUCCGGUCGUCUUCUCCGUUUAGCAGCGCCGGCCAAAGAUCGAUAGCCCAAAAAUGGCACGAACGCGAGGGGCAAAGUCUUCAUCCCCUUCGAACCGCAAAAGGAGUCUGCGAAAGGAGCCAAGUUCAGGCUCUGUUCCAGAACCUGCUCCAAAGCCUUCGCCGUCGAGACCACAACCUUCUCCAGUGAAGCCGGCGCCACCAAAGCCGCCGGCAAGGCGAUAUUUAACCAGGUCAGGUGGUCAGCCAUUGAAGAAGAAAGCCAGAGUUGAGAGCUCUGAACCAAUCGAUUUGACUGAGCAAUCCCCUGAGAAAUCACCAAAUCCUUCACCGGUACAAAUUCCAGUGCCAUCACCGGUUCCCUCGCCAAUUCCCUCACCAGAAGCAACUCCAAUUCCAUCGCCGGUACCAUCUCCGGCACCCCAAGAAAAAGCUCAGGAGCCUCAAGCGCCAAUUCCAGAGCCCCAAAUUGCAGCUGAAGCACCUCUGGAAGAAGUGAUCCGAAGGCCAAUGCUGCCUCAGCCCCCAAUCGAAGGAAACCUGGAUUGCCGAACUCGGGCAUUCCAUUCUGAGCUUUGCUUCGAUUUAACAGCAUUCAGAGUGAGGCCAGAGCUUGCCCAAUCCUUCCAACUGCUGAGGAGAUAUCAUAUGGAGCAUCUGCUAGCUCCAAGGGAUUUUUUCUAUCCCCGGGUAGUCACGGAUUUCUACCAAACCAUGACAACCAAAGAAGUAAGAAAUCCAACUCUGAUUCAUUUCAUAAUUGAUGGAAGGCAUGGUAUUUUGGGAGCAAGACAUAUUGCUGAAGCCCUGCAAAUUCCUUUUGAGCCAACUCAAUUCGACAAUUUUAAAGCUUGGACAAAUCCUACUGAGUUAGAGAUGGUUAGCACACUAACCAGAGGAGCUGCAAAUCGAUCGCAUUUGUUGAGGGGGGAGCUACCUCCAGUUAUGUUUUUGAUUGAUGCCUUUUUGAGGCAUAAUAUCUAUCCCCUGCAGCAUUGGACCCAAAGAAGGGGAAUUCUCCUAGAAGCCUUGUACAAAAUGUCUGAAGGAUUCUUCUUUGGGCCUCAUCAUCUGAUCAUGGCAGCCCUUCUAUACUUUGAGGAGAAGGUUCACAAGAAGAAGCUUCAAAGAGCAGAUUGCAUUCCACUCCUCUUCCCAAGGCUGCUAUGCCAAGUUUUGGAGCAUCUCGGAUACCCCUCUGAGCCUCAGCAGGAAAGAAAGAGAAUAUGCCGUGAGCCUUUUACCCUUGAUAAAUGGAAUAAUAUGACGGCCUACAAAAUUGAUCAGCCUGGGCAGCCUCAGCCAGCAGCAAGGAGAGUCUCCCCAAGACAUAUACCUGAAGGUAUAACACUUGCUACUCCUGCCAUCCCUCGAGCUCCACCAGCUGCACCUGCUCCAUCACAGCCAUCCACAUCAGCUGAGCCGAGGAUGGCCAUCCCUAUAUCCGAAUAUCGAGAGCUGUGCCGUGCAUUGGAGACUCUUACAGCUUCUCAGAGCAAUCUUGCUCAGGAGUUGGCAGCCAUUAAAGCAUGCCAGGAGCAGAUGUUAGCCUCUCAGACUCAACAAGCUGCCAUCCUAAGGCAGCUUCAAGUCCAUUUCGAUCUGCCACAAGCUGUAGAGCCCUCUAUUCCUACUCCACCAGAGCCACACUCUCAGCCUUCAGAGUCUCAUCCUCCAGAACCCGAAGCACCAGCUGAUCCACCUACUGAGGAGGCAGAUCCUUCUGCCUAGCACCAUCACCCCCCUCAUCAGACAUUAUAUAUAUAUUUGCUGUUUAUGUUUUUAUGCAUGUUUGUUUUGUUUUAGUUGAAAAGAAAUCCCAGUAUUUUGGUACUAUAUAUGGGAUUCCUUGUGUUACUUGUCUUUAGUAUUGUAAUCACAUGAACUCAAAGUAAUACAAGUUGACUAUUUCUUGUUAAAAGUUAGCAUUAAAGUUUCCUUAUUUCCUUUUCUCACAUAUUCUAUUCUUUUUGAAACAUGUGGUUUUCCCCAAUCAAUAUUCGAAUUUGAUAUCAGCAUGGAGGUACCACUUCCUCCCUUUUAUUACAGUCACUCAAAUCACAUUGAGGACAAUGCUCAGUUCGGUUGGGGGGUAUGAGGAAGGAAGUAUUCUAAACCUUUUUGGUAUUGCAAUUAUAUUGGUUAAUUAGUUGUAGAUUUUACUUUUUACUAGUGUUACUCUAUUCUCCAUGAAUUUUGAGGAAAAAUUUUCAAAUUAAACCAAGAGAAAUUGAACUGUUGUUUUUCACUUGACUUAGAGUAUGGAUUAUGCUUACUAAAGUGGUUCAAUUGUUGAAACUUCUACUGAAAUUGAAUUGAGUUCUUCCACUUUAAGCUAUCCACACACUGUGCACAUUAGUUUCCGAUUAUAAGAUGAAAAGCUAUUUCCCUCUUGACUUAGUAUAUUUUUGGGACUUGGUAUAUUUGACCUCAUUUGAUAAAAAUUGAAACACCCUGCAAAAGGCCAAUGAGCCUUUGAAAUAAAGAAAGUUGUUUGCUUGCCUUGAAACCCGAGCAAGGUCUGAGGGGUAUAUGGUGAAAAUCUUUAAAGCCUGGUGCCCUAAGCCUUAAUUGGUUGGGAGUCACCGACCUCAAUGCUCGUUACAAGGGUGAAUAGGUAGAGUUAGCAUAUGGUAGAUGCUUGGGUAUUAGAAAUUCAUUCUUAAAAGUCCGGGGAAAAAUCCGAGGAGUUAGUGGUUGAAAGAUCCUUAAAACUUGGUGCCCUAAACCUUAAUUGGUUGGGAGUCAUCGAUGGACCCCCAUUACAUGGACAAGUCAGAAAGAGUACCCCAUAAAGCUACCUUAAAAAAAAAAAAAAAAAAAAAAAAAAAAAAAAAGAUGAAAGUGUGUUCUUUUCUUAUUGAUUUUGGUCAGUUUGCUAAAGUGUUGAAAAGAGAUAGGUUGGGGGGUGAGAUUAGUAGCAUAUUAUUCUCGGAACCUAAGGAACCAAUACACAUAGAUUUUUGUGGAAGAUUGAAGUUUAGUUCUUAGAAAAUGAAAUGAUUUUAAAACUUCAGUUUGCAUAAUGCACUCCCUUGAUUGACAGUGUUUAGCAUAGGUGUUAUGACUCUUGUUGAGAUUUGGGUUUGUAUUUCUUUAAUGAUUCAUGUGAGAAAUAGAUCAUCAUGCCACUUGAGAAUUAUUUUCCUUUUAGCAUGAUGUUGUAAAUUUUAGAUUAGUUUGCUAUUUAUUUUUUAUUUUCUCUCCUAUAUUGCUAAGGGACUAGCAAUAUGUCGGUUGGGGGGAGUGAUUACUACUCAAAAAGUGCUAUUUGAUAGCCUUUAAUUAAUCCUUUUUAACACUUUUGAGUAGUAGUUUAGGCCUUUUAACUCAAUUGGCAUGUUAAGGAUCCUUUAAAGCAAUUUUGAUCACUUUGUGCAAGUUUUGGUGUUUUUGUUAGUAUUUUGAUCACCAAAGCAAGUCAAGAAUGAGGAGAACUAUGAGGAAUCAUGGGCAAAGCUUAGAAUUCAAUUGCCAAGAGUGAAUCCGGAUUGCAAGGAGAAAAAGCAAAGAGAAUCUGUCAUGAAGCCUAUUCUUGAUGACAGUCGUAGCAGCCACUUUUGGAGCACUUUCUGAAGUCCAAAUGAUGCAAGCUAUAUACCAUUUCAAAGCUCAGGAAGUCAACAAUCCAAUGCUUCAAACGGUGCGCGAUUCGGAGUUGAAACGAAGAAGUUGCAGCCAUUACAAGCCAGUCACUCUAAAGUGUUGCGGAAUCAGCCUUUUGUUGCGAGAAUUUCGCAGCACUUUUGUACAGUAAGGUGUUUCUCCUUCUGACGAUGCACGAACCAUGCCGCGAGAGGGAAGCUAGGAACUUCAAGAUGGAAGCCAACUUUGCAGCCUGGUGAAGAUAGCUUGGUCUUGCGAAAUAAUUUCGCAGCCCUCUUGGGUGUCUGCGAAAUUUCGCAGGCACCACUUUUUUCCUGCGAAAUGGCUCCGGAAGCCUCCCGAAGCUUGCUACCGACAUUGGGAGAUAUUUUCCAUUAGAUUUUUGUUGUCUAAAUUCCAAAAUACUCCUUGUAAACCACCAAUUACAUGAUUCCUUAGUUUUUAAGUUAGUAAAAAGACCAAAUAUCUAUGUAAUAAUUAGUUUUAUAUUAGUUUGCUAUAAAUACCUCUCGGGAGCAUGUUCUCAGAGAGGAGUUCCUUCUGUAACCAUUUUGGUAAGCAAGUAAAGUCUUUUCUUUCUACUGCCUUACCUUCUCACUUUGUAUUUUCAUUUUAUUUCUAAGUUAUGAAUUCUCUGAGGAGCUUUCCCCAGAGAAUGAGUAACUAAACCUCCAAUUCCUUGGAGCUAAGGUUGCCGGGGAAGGUUCCAAGUGCAAGAAUGCAAAGCUCUGUGGUUUUAGCUAGUAAUGAAGAGGAAGUGAAAUCCUUUAGUGAUUUCAAUGUUUUUAGUUAACUUAAAACACCUUGGAGUCACCUGGGCCAACACUUGGUAAGGCAAGUGAUUUCCAACCGUGGAAAUGCACUAGUUUACCCCUUGCGAGCCUCUGGUAGGUGACUUCAAGGUAGGAUUUUCUGGAAUUACCAACACUUGGUAAGCUUUUGGACUCCUAGGAGACAUCCAUUAGUUAUCUCUUGCGAGUUUGUGAAGGGGAAUCCAAGGUUAAAGAUCACCUUGAAUGGUAAGUGCUCGUGAGAGGCAUGAACCAUUGCAAGUUGUAUCAGUGAGAGAAUUAAAGUGAAAUCUAAUUGAAGGAGUCUCUGUACAUCACCGGUUAGAGAAUUGACUAUAAGUUGAAUCUCUAAUGCGAGGAAAUGAACCAUCUGACCGGAGCUAUGUCUUUUGCAUGAGGAACCACCCCAGUGAACCUAAAUCUCCAAGGAAUGCUUUUCUUCCUAAAUUAUUCCAAACUUCUGUUAAGUUAGUUAGUUUAAGUCUAAACCUUUACCAAUCAAACUUUGUGUUUUAUUCCUUAAGCUAACCGUGAAAUGAAACAAAACCAAUUCACUUGGAAUUGGUAUCCUUGAUUGCUUGCAAAUCAUUCCCAGUGAACGAUCCUUAGAGCCACUAUACUAUAGUAGCUUUGUAUUUGCUACCCUAGUGUAUGGUGUUAUAGGUAUAAAUUUUGUUGAUCACUUCCUCAAUCAAGGAACACCAGCUGAACACAAAUCAGCUGAGACACCAAUUGGGCAUGAGUCAGUGCGUUAGAGGAUCAAGAAGAAGAAAAAGAAGGAACUGUUGGAAUUAGUAUGAGUGUGAAGAGAAAAGUAUAUAAAUAAGGGGAAGUAAAAGCAAAGUUCAAAAAGCUAUAUUUUUUUAUUGUUGGUGUAUGGUUGCAUGAUUAUCCCUAUAAAUAAUAGGAGUUUUUUGGUAUUCUACUAGUAGUUGAAGCAUAAUUUCAUAAAUUAAUAUUUAGAGCGGGGUGGGGUGAGUUGUGACAAAAUUCAUACCCGUCCCAAACCUUGGUUCAGAUUUUUAAAAUAUUCUCAAACUUAUCAUAUACCCAACUUUUAUAUUUCAUACUUGUCCUAAUAGAGGCACGUUAGGCCGGGUUACUUGAGUAACCUACAUAAUUGUCAUCCCUAGUUGAAAUACACUUUUUGGCAGUGGCCACCAACUGAGCUAGAAGCUUGAUUGAUUGACCUACAAGAUUAGUUCUCAUCAUUUUAAAAAAAGUUCUGGCUUUGGUUGUGAGUGCAAUUGAAUCUAAACUGGCAUUUGCUUAAUGCAUCUACUUCAAUCCUAAACUUCUUACUUCUUAAGCCUCAAUUGUUGUUAGGAUUUUGGAAAACCCAUUUCCUUAAAUUGUAAAUUUAAGAUAAAAUAAAAUAAAAGUGAGACAUUUCUUGAUUGAAUAUUGUUAAAGGUCCCUUGGCAUUAAGACUUGGUUGAAGCCUUGGAAGAUUAGUGGAACUCUCAACAUGUGUUUGAAUCUUGAGGAGAGUGGAUGUAAGCCAAAAUUUUGUCAAACCAUUAUACAAAUUGAGUUUGAAUCCUCAUUUCUUGAUUUCUUAUUUAUUUGCUUUUUCUUAUUAUUACUUGAAUUGUCAUUUGCAUUCAUUAAUGUUAAAAUUGGUUAUAAUUAACCAACACUAAUUCUCUUUCCCCUUCCCUUUCUUGGGUGUAAACCUAGGUUGGAUUAACUAGAUAAAUCUAUUAAGAUGGUAAAAGAAUAAUUAUUCUUAACAUACAUAAGAUCAUCUUCAAUCAAAUGACUCAUUGGCUAAUAUGUUGAAUUUGCUUAUUACUUGCAACUCAAAAUUGUGUUCUAGUUGUGUCAAGUCCCCAGUGUAUGGACAUUAAAUUUGUAGUACGUGAUGAGUAAUUAGAUGGUCCAACUCCAAGAAAGUGAUUGAAAAGUAGUUCAAGAAAGGUGCAAAAGGGAAUUGUUUUGGUAUUUUCGUUUUUAUUCUUGAAGGUGGCAGAGCUAAAAUUUGAGAAAUCAAGCAAAACAUACUGAAAUUACAUUGAAAGAAAGAAGAUGGGAGUUAAUGUCUUGCAGUACAUGAUAAGGACUUCAUGCAUGUAGUGUGACCCAUGUCUUGGACUGAUGCCAACUCACGGUUACACUUAUACCCUUGGUUCUCUCUUUACUACCUUGGCUAACCUAGAUCAGGCUAUGAGAUAGGCUCCUCACCACACCAUUACUUGCCCAUUAAUUAGAGACAUUUUCAAGCAAUGAGGUAACAUGGUGACACCAAGAGGGUCUAUUCCUCGCCCGGAACAAGUCUAGACUUGGUCUCAAAAAAAUGGAGAAAAAUGAGGUGUCGUUAUGUAGAAAUACAACAACCAUGCCUUCCUCAUUACUUAGAUUCAGAAUGUGAAGGUGAAAUUGAGAAACAGAAACUCUUGAAACCAAAAUGAAAAUUGAUACUUUUACGAAGAAUUACAACAACAUUAGAGGAAGACUACAUUCUUCCUCUUUAUUCCUACAUUUCUACACUACUUCUACUCCACUCCAUAUUUCUACAUACAUCUUUAAUCAGUCUUCCCUCCUUUAUAUAGAGCCAUCUUCACACAAAUUUCGCAAGGUAGAAAAGAGGAAUGAAACUUGGAGCAAGGUUCGACUACUGGUUGUAGCUUGUCAAGGCUGGAAGUGAACUUUUCUUGGCUUUCUGGGCAUGGGUAGUAACUUGUGGGUUCCUGUUUGGCAUAAAAAUGGCUAGAACAUGUGGCACUAUCUUGUUGGAUGAUGUGUCAAGCAUGUGGCAGCCAUCUAGUGGCGAUUAUGUCAAUUUUGGGAUGGAGAGUUGGCAUCCAAUUGCAAAGAAAUAUGACGUCUACCAACAUGCAAUGUAAACCUAUGUAGAUCAUAUGAAGAUAGAGAGGAAAAAUAUAGAAAUGGAUAUAUACCUAGAACUAGCUUUUUAUUAAAUGAAACGGAGAGACAACAAUGAAGGAAAAUAAAAUUUUUUGGCUUAUAUCAAAGAGUUCACAUUGUGUUACCCUAGGUUUUCUUAAAACUUACUUUUAUGAUAACAAAAAAGAAAAAACCAUUAUUGUUUAAUCCUUUGUUUUAAACGCAUGUAAGGUGUAAUUAAGUUAGUUCAAUGCAUUAAUUUAAGAAACUUGACCUAUCAAAAGUACAAAAUUAGAUGAAAUCCAUUUCAAUGGUUAAAAUGAUCAAAAUCAAACUUUUUCUAAGUAUUUUUUAAAAGCAUCAAUAGUGAAAGACAAUUUUAUAUUUAGUCGGAGUUUGGACAAAACUGAAAAACACACAAAAUCCAAGCGACCAUCUCUAGCUUGGAUGGUCGCUUGAUCCCACCUAGAGAUGUGCAUGAGUAAAAGGAUUUGAAAAUGGAAAUUGACUAUGUAGUCGAUCAAUUAACUUUGCAACAUCAUAUGCAAUCCUAAUUGCUAGUCAUCUAAUCAAUUAGGUAGUCAAUCAACAGGCCAAAAAUAUGUUUAUAAUGACUAUUUUGUACAAAAACCACCUGUAUAGUUAAAUAUAAUGCAUUUCAUUUAUAAAUCUUCUAAUUCUUGAAUAACGAUCCUAUCAUCCUUUGAAAGUUUUUAUUACACUUUUUUUACUUUUGUUCUAAAACUUACACAUCACCCUUAAUUGUACCAUGAGAACCUAGCUAUUUUUUAUUUUUUUUUUUGUAAUUCAUCAAAGUUAGCUUUUGUAUUCAUUGUUGUAUUAUUUUUAGUAUAACUUAGAAAGCUAGUGUUUUCAAGUGAGUAAAAUUAACUUGUAAAUAUUGUAAAGAUUCAUCGACAUGUAUCUUAAACUAAGUGUACAAGUUAAAACAUUUGCUAGUAGAUUUUCUCAAAAUUUAGAAUAGAGCUUGAGACUAUUGAAAUAGGUGGGGUUGCACCAAACCACAUCACAUCGUUGUUUGCACCUUUUUUCACUCUCUUUUACUUAGUUGCUCUAUAUUUGUUGUCUAGUAAUAUCCUAUAGGCUUGAUGGGUUAGGGAGCAUCCCUUUGUGAAAAAAUUUUAUUCAAUCCUUAGUUGUAUCACGCAUAUAUAAAAUGCCUCAUUGUUUUAAUGGUAUUCAGUCGUGGCAUCACAGAUAUGGGCAUCUAAAUUUUAAAAGUUUGAAACUUUUAUCUAAAGAAAAUAUGGUGCUUUGCCUUUUUGUAAAGCAUGUUGAUGAAAUCCAUGAGAAUUGUGUACUUGGGAAGCAACACCGAGAUGACUUUUUUUUUUUUUUUAUAAUAUUGUUUGUCCAAAUUCCCUACAAAUUAGGCCACCAGAUGUUCAUAAUUCUCCCUUCUUGAAUUUGAAAACUCGGACAAUUGGACAAUGCGACACCUAAGUCCGGUUUCUAAAUGCUAAAGUGAAAGGGUAGGUAUGGACCAUUGAAAUGUGAUCACAACUUUUCUCUGUAGCCAUGUUGUCUCUUUUUUCUUUUGCAUGAUUUUCUUACCUUAACAGAAUCAUAGACUUGUUUAGUCUCUAAAUGGGAUUAAUUUCAUCCAGCUUUAAGCUACUAUAUUAUAUCUAGGUGGAGGACUUUUAAGAGUGCAACCGACAUAGAGCACAUGGAAGUGGGUAUAUGGGACAUGAAAUUUCUUCUUAUAAAGAUUGCAUGAUUUUUAUAUUAGAGUUGUUGAGGCGCUAUGUAUUUAGCUUGUUUUGCAGUUAAAUUAAUUGGAUAAGUAGACAUUGGCGUUUCUAAAUCUACUGUGAAGUGCUUCAUGUACGUGUGAAGUAUUAGAAAUUUCUUUCUUGGCAACUUGUUUUUCUUUGCGGUCUACUGAUAGGUUUGACUAAAAUUAUAUUCCCUGUCAUGCUAAUUAAUUUUCACGUGCAUGCUCAAAAGAAAAGUAUGACCUUAGUGCACCAAAAUCACUUUGAUUAAUUUGUGAUAGGUUUUUGUGCAUCAUGACAUUAGCCUUAUUCAUUUAGAUAAUGUUUAGUUUUUAGAAAGUAUUAAGAAAAGGAAAAUAAAUAUUAAGAAAAAUAUUCUUAUAUUUGAUUGUAUUAUGAAAAAUAUCAUAAAAAAAUCAAAUAUAAUUUAAAUUAAUUAAUAAUUUAUACAUUUUCAAAUUAUUUAAUCUUUAUAUUGAAGAUAUAAUAUAAAUGAAAUGAGUUUUAAGUAUUAUAUAAAAGUGAUUUAUUGAUCUUACAUAUAUAUAUUUCUUUUUUUUUUCCUUCUAUUUUUUCUCUUUAUUUUAUUUUCCUUAUGUUUUCCUCAACAUUUUCCGGAACCAAACAUAGCCUUAGGAAAUCCACAAUUACCUUCAACUGAGUAGAUUCUGUUGUUUUAGCAAUGUUAGGCUGCUAACUUGUGUUGGUACGAACCUAUUAAGCCUAAAGAUGUAAUUAGUUAGGAUAUUCUUUUCCCUCUAGUCUUGUAGCUCCACGUGUACAGUUGGUUAGGACCUCAUUGUAUAUAAUGCUUGCCCUGUUAUUGUAGAAGACAACAAAGAUAAAUAAUAUUAACAUUUUUCCUCUCAUCUCUCUCUGUUUCCCUCUGUUUUCAUCUCCUCUCUCAUCUUGGUAUCAGAGCCUCCAUGGCUUCUUUCAAAGAAACCUCCGAAUCACCUUCUGCUAGCAUUGUUAAUGUGCAAAACCCAUUAUCUCAAUCAAACAACCUUCCUUCACCAGUAGCCACACCCUCUUUUUCUUUCUCGUCUAUGAAUCAACCUCUCACAGUGAAGCUGGAUAAUGGGAACUACCUCAUAUGGAAGAAUUAGCUUCUAAAUGUCAUCAUUGCUAACGGACUCGAUGAUUUCAUUGACGGAUCUCGACCCUGCCCUCCUCGAUUUCUCGAUCUGCAACAACAAACCCUCAAUCCAGAGUACUCAGCUUGGCAGAGAUACAAUCGACUUCUGAUGAGUUGGCUGUACGCAUCCUUGUCCAAAGAUAUAAUGGCUCAGAUUGUUGGGUAUUCAACAGCUAUGGAGAUUUGGAAUGCCCUUAAUCAGAUUUACUCUGCCUCUUCUAUGGCGCGGUUUACUGAGCUUCGCACCAAGCUUCAAACGCUCAAGAAAGAUGGACUCUCAGUUGGUGAAUAUAUUCAAAGGCUCAAAUCCAUUUGCAAUAGUCUUGCAGCAAUAGGAGAACCAGUUUCUGAGAAAGACCAUCUUAUCUAUUUGUUCAAUGGAUUAGAUUGUGAGUAUUAUUCUUUUGUUACCUCCAUUCAAAAUCGAUCUGACCAACCAACUAUUGACAAAAUCCAUAGCCUAUUGCUUAGCUAUGACUUCCGGCUUGAACAACAAAACUCUGUUUCUCUCCAUUCUGCCCAAGUCCAUAUGGCUCAUCUGAACAAGAAACCUUAUAAAUCAACUCCUCAACCUACAUUCAAUCAUAUUCACAUUCAACCUAGAUACUCUUCUCCACCUUUUAAGCCAACCACUAGUCAAUAUCAACCCAACAUUUUGGGCAAACCACAACCACAACCAUGACAGCCUCAACCUCAAUGGAAACCACAUUUUUCAAUCUAAAAUCAAAAGCCUCAGCGCCAAAUUUGUGGUAAAUUUGGACACACUGCUCUUAUUUGCUUCCAUCACACAAAUUUGAACUAUUCACCCCAACCUUCUCCUAAAUCUUUCAAUACUGUUCUCACCACAAAUUCCCAGCUCCCUAAUCCUCCAAAAUUUUCUUACCCUACAAUGGCUCAUCCUGCUGCUACGCAUAACACGGUUCCCGAUACAAAUUGGUACAUGGACUCAGGUGCUACACAUCACUUUACUCUGGACAUCAACGUGCUUGACACUGUGACACCAUUUAGUGGUUCAGAACAGGUGACAGUUGGGAAUGGUAAGCAACUCUGUAUCUCACAUCUUGGUACUGCAAAACUACCAUCUUCGUAUUCUCCUCCUGUUCUACAUCAGGUAUAUCACACUCCAAAAAUUUCAAAUAAUCUUAUUAGUGUUAAAAAAUUGUGUUCUGAUAAUAAAGUUUUUGUUGAAUUUUAUGCCACUCAUUUUCUUGUCAAGGAUCAGGUUUCGAAGAGAGUUCUCCUUUAGGGUCAACUUGAUAAUGGCUUAUACAAAGUUCAGUCGUCAUGCUCUCCUUCUGCUGUUUCCUUUCCUCCUCAAGUUUUCAUAGCCAACAUCAAGUAUCCAAAUCUGUGGCACAAGAGACUAGGCCACCCAGCUUUAUCUGUUGUUAAUCAAAUCUUGGAUUCUUGUAACAUUGCUCGAACACAGAAAAUUUGUUUUAAUUUUUUAAAUUCUUGUCAAUUAGCAAAGAGCCACAGGCUUCCUUUUUCUCUGUCUCCAUCCAUUGCAGAAAAACCUUUUGAGUUAAUUCAUACAGACCUAUGGGGUCUUUCGCUCGUUCGCUCUAUUUCUGGUGCUCUUUAUUUUUUACUUUUCAUUGAUGAUCAUACUCGUUUUACUUGGUUUUAUUUGCUCAAAACAAAAGAUGAAGCAUAUCCUACUUUUCUCAAGUUUCAAGCUCUCAUUGAAAAUCAAUUUAAUACCAAGAUUAAGGCUGUCCAAUCUGAUUGGGGAGGUGAGUUUCGAUCUCUCUCCAUACCGUUUUCAAAUAUGGGCAUUGUCUAUUGUUUAUCGUGUCCAUACACCUCACAACAGAAUGGGCGAGUUGAGCGAAAAAAUCGCCAUGCGAUUGUCCUUUCUUGCUUGCUCUAUGCCCUUAUCUUAUUGGCCUUAUGCCUUUCAAACUGCCACUUACCUUAUUAAUCGUCUCUCUACCCCUGUGCUGCAUCAUCAAUCCUCUUACUUCGCACUCUAUCACAAACUCCCAACUUAUACUCAUCUUAAGGUCUUUGGUUCCUCUUGUUUUCCGUAUUUGCACCCUUAUAAUACCCAUAAACUCCAAUACAGGUCACUAGAGUGUGCUUUUCUUGGUUACAGUUCACACCACAAAGGUUAUCUAUGUCUUGACAUUCAUUCUAGCAGGGUGUAUAUUUCUCGCCAUGUGAUUUUUAAUGAAGAUUCUUUUCCAUUCAAGAAUUUGAAAUCUUCUCUCUCUCAGUCUAUUUCUUCUUCCUCUUCUUUAUAAGUUCCUCUGUUCAUUCUCUUGCCUCCCCUUUCCCCAUCUCCUCUUAUUUCUUCAUCUAUACCUCAUUCUUUUCCCUCUUCUUCUUCUACCUCUAGUACUUGUUCCCCUCUCGUUGCUCCUACCUCUCUUCCUUCCUCUUCACACUCUGUGUCUCCAUCUAUUCCACCUCCUUCUCCACCUUCUCCGAGUGUGGACCUGCUUGCACCUUGUGUGAAUACAAAUUUACAUACUUCUUCUCGCACUCACAAUAUUCAUCCUAUGGUGACUAGAUCUAAGGUUUGUAUCUAUAAACCUAAGUUGUUGUUGAGUGUCUCCAUAGGUUCUCUCACUAAGCCUACUUCCUUUCUUCAAGCUAUUAAAGAUCCUUCAUGGAAGCAAUCCAUGGAAUUCGAGUUUGCUACCCUUCAACACAACAAGACCUGGCAUUUGGUUCCUUCACCUUCCUCAGGCGAAGUAAUCGGUUGUAAAUGGGUCUAUAAGCUAAAGCUUCAGCCUGAUGGCUAAAUUGAGAGAUACAGCCUGCUUAGUAGCUAAGGGUAUCAUCAAAUUGAAGUAUGGACUACUUCGAAACAUUCAGCCUGAUNNNNNNNNNNNNNNNNNNNNNNNNNNNNNNNNNNNNNNNNNNNNNNNNNNNNNNNNNNNNNNNNNNNNNNNNNNNNNNNNNNNNNNNNNNNNNNNNNNNNAGCUUCAGCCUGAUGGCUAAAUUGAGAGAUACAAGGCCUGCUUAGUAGCUAAGGGUUAUCAUCAAAUUGAAGGUAUUGACUACUUCGAAACAUUCAGCCUGAUUGUCAAGCUUUCUACUAUCUGUAUUGUGCUCAGUCUUACUUUUUCCCAGAAUUGGUGUAUUAGACAGCUGGAUGUUCAUAAUGCCUUCUUACAUGGUGACUUAGCUAAAGACGUUUUCAUGGAACAACUGCCUGGAUUUGUUGAUCCUCUCUAUCCUACUCAUGUCUGCAAGUUGGAUAAGUCUCUCUACUGUCUUAAAUAGUCACCUCGGGCUUGGUAUACUAAGCUGAGUACUUCUCGCUACACUUGGGAUUUGUUACUUCUAAGAAUGACUCUUCCUUAUUUAUUUGUCAUUCGUCUCAUGGGUUACUUCUUGUUCUUGUCUAUGUGGAUGAUAUAAUCGUCAUUGGGAGCCACUCUCCUCAGGUUACUCACCUUAUCCAACAGUUGCAUCAUUAGCUUUCUUUAAAGGAUCUUGGUCCUUUACAUUAUUUUCUGGGCUUGGAGGUUCAUCACACCCCUACUGGUAUUCACCUCAGCCAAGCAAAGUAUAUCACUGAUCUCCUUACCCGGGCGGCUAUGUUGGAUGCCAAGCCAUGUCCCACUCCUAUGUCCUCCAACACAUAUCUCUCUUUUCAUGAUGGAGUGGCUCUUGAAAAUGGUUCAGAUUAUCGAAGUUUUGUUGGUGCCCUUUAGUAUUGUACCAUGACACGCCCAGAUAUAGCUUUUGCAAUAAAUAAAGUGUGUCAAUUCAUGCACCAUCCCUCUAAUGUUCACUGGCAGGCUAUAAAACGUAUUCUCCGGUACUUAAAGGGCACAUCUCAUUUUGGUCUCUUCCUACAGCCUUCCUAUGACUUCAACAUCACUUGCUAUACAAAUGCCGACUGGGCUUCCUGUCCUGAUGACAAGUGUAGCACCAGUGGCUACUGCCUCUUUCUUGCCUCUAAUCUGGUUUCUUGGUCAUCUUCCAAACAAAAAGUGGUCUCCCGCUCCAGCGCCGAAUCAGAGUACCGAGGGGUAGCAAAUGGGGCUGCUGAAAUUGCUUGGACUGAAUCUCUUCUUUGUGAACUUUCCAUUACUCCCCCUCCCCUCAUUCUCUGUGACAAUAUCAGUGCCACGUACUUAGCUGCCAAUCCUAUUUUGCAUGCCCGCACCAAACAUGUGGAAAUCGACUAUCACUUUGUCACGGAACGUGUUCUUCAAUGCUCUCUUUUUGUCCAGUUUACACCUUCUGAUGAUCAACUUGCUGAUUGCAUGACCAAGCCUCUCUCCACCCAACGUUUCAUCACUCUACGCUCCAAGCUCACUGUUCUCACUAGACCAAUGAGCUUGAGGGGGGAUGUUAAGCCUAAAGAUGUAAUUAGUUAGGAUAUUCUUUUCCCUCUAGUCUUGUAGCUCCACGUGUACAGUUGGUUAGGACCUCAUUGUAUAUAAUGCCUGCCCUGUUAUUGUAGAAGACAACAGAGAUAAAUAAUAUUAACAUUUUUCCUCUCAUCUCUCUCUCUGUUUCCCUCUGUUUUCAUCUCCUCUCUCAUCUGAACCAAAUGAUCCAUGUUAACCUUGGCUUGGUUUGAUUUGGCUCUAUCUUAGAGAGCUCAAGGAUCACGUCAACUCUGGUUUCUACUAUUCAGGUCCAUUCCCAUAUGAACUGGUUCAAAUUUGAGAAAAUGGUAACAGACCUUUAGUGAUGUUGGUUUGGAGCCAGUUGCCAAACCCGCCCUGAGCUUUACCACUAAUGUCAAGGGAGAAAGCCAUUUGAACAAAAACAAUAGCUUCAAGGGACUGAAUCGUGGAUGAAAUCUGAUCCACAUUUCUUCUCAUUUUGGAAACAAAUGAGAACUUAACUAAGAAGAUUCUACGGCCUCAUAGUGCUUUUCCUGAUCUAAGGUUGGUUCGUUUCCCAAACUGUGAGAUGCACGUGCCAGACUUCAGAACUCUCACGCUCAGGAGUGUAUCCACGUGGUGGACAUAAGAUGGUGGCUUAAGAUCUGGUGUCGGUGGCUUUACUUUACUAGGAGAGUAGUGUGUCUUCAUCUCAUUCACUGCCGGAGGGUGGCGUAAGCAGUGACGCUAAGGUGGGGCACAGUCAAUAUCAUUUGCAUUUGACCAUUAUAGUUUUCUCCCGGCUUUAAAGUAACCUUAUCGUGAUAAAGGAUUACUAGCACUAGUUCAGAUGAUAGUCAUGUUAAAUUCGGACCAUGUUUGUGUCACAUUAUCAGCAACCAUGUGUUUAUGGUUCAUGCUUUCUGCAACUAAAAUUGAUAUAUAACCAGGUGAACUUCAAUCUAAAUUCUGAAAGUACUCAUGUGAUAGAUGGUGCCCGUCUGCAGAGUCCAUCAAUUGAAAAAUGGAGUGAGUGUAUCUAUAAGAGGGAAGGCUUGGAAAAUGUUCAGUUUUCUGGGAAUUCAACAAGGAUCUAAAAUAGAUUGUUUUCUUUGCUGAUUUCAAUGGUUGAAAUUUGAGAAGAUUGUGUCCACAUAACACAACUAUUACUGGUCCUUCUGUUGCAAUUUAUCCUCUAAAGCUCUAGCAUGUCUUCCAAUUCCCACUUCCCUGUUACUCCAGGAAAGCUAUUUCUGUCAUUGUGAAGAAGAAAAGAGAAUGUACAUAUCGAUGCUUUUAAGUGACUGGAGCAUUUAUAUCAGGUGGUCUGCAGCCAUAUAUGCCACUUUGUGAAGAUUGGAACAGUCAAUCACUAGGCUAUAUAUUAGUGUGGCCCAGCCACUUUAAUCAAGGACAAGUCUUCAUACUUAAAGUCAAAUUCUGCCUUUAGUCUCAUUAUAAAUUUCUGUUUAAAUAUUAAGCAAACAUUUGUUUAAUGCGAUUAAGACAGUACUAACUCAAUACCUGUUCUAUUUUUGGAUGCAAAUGCUUGAUGGUUUCAUCAUUGGAUGGGAUAAAGGUGCAUUCAUGAUUAGGAAUACUAGUAGUUAUAUUUUAAUUCUCUUUUUUCUCAAUGAGACUUGUUGGCACAAUUUUGCUGUUGAGAAACCUACCUCUCCAUGGAAAAUAAGUUGUGAUUGAUAGUACUGGAUAUAUUCAAGAAAUCUAAAUAUAGAUAGCACAAAAUAUUAUCGACAUAAAUAGCAUUAACAGCGUACGUAUGUCUCAGUGCUCAUCAGCUAUAAGCAUGGGGCAAACACUUACUAUGAGCAACUUACGUCAAAAUUCCAGAAUAGGACAUAGAAGUGACAGAUAUAGAACAUUGCAUAUGAGUCACAAGAAAGGAAAUUACGGGUGCAUAGCAGCUCUUAUUUUACAUACUACUACUCAUACUGAUCAAAGUCACUCAGUUGGGAUGGGUGGGAGUAGGAGGUUUGUGGGGUGGCUUGUGCGGAGGAGUUGGCAGCUUCUUUCCAGGACCUGGUUGCUUCUCUGCUGGAGUUGAAGGAGGCUUAAUCUUCCGAGGUGGCUUGUAUGAGUCUUCAGCAUUCUCAGCUGGAGGGUGACCAGGGUUGUGACCAUAAUGUGGUGGCUUCUCUCCCUUAGGUGGUUUGCCAACUGGGGUUGGUGGCUUGUAUGAGUCUUCAGCAUUCUCAGCAGGAGGGUGACCAGGGUUGUGACCAUAAUGUGGUGGCUUCUCUCCCUUAGGUGGUUUGCCAACUGGGGUUGGUGGCUUGUGUUCUGGGAGUGGCUUCUCCCCCUUGGGAGGUUUUUCCAAUGGGGUUGGUUUGUGUUCAGGAGGUGGCUUCUCCACUGGAGGCUUGUGUUCAGGAGGUGGCUUCUCCACCGGAGGCUUGUGUUCAGGUGGUGGCUUCUCCACCGGAGGCUUAUGCUCUGGUGGUGGCUUCUCGAAUGGGGGAUGCUUAGGAUAAUCAGCAAGUGAGGGGGCGGUGAGAACCACCAGGCCAAGCAACACCACUAGCAAAUAUGUAGGAGACAUCUUUGGGUUUGGGCUCAGAUGGUGCAAAACUAGGAGAAUUGGCUAGCCUUUUAUAGCGGAUCGUACCCAAUAAUGAAAUGACACGUGUCAUUAUGACCCAUGUGUAAUGGGGUCGAUUUGGGUCCUACAGUGUUGAAAACUUCGACAUCCACUUUUGGCCUUUUGCUUUCUCUACAGCCGCCUUGCUUUUUCCCUCUUUCCUUUUGUUUUCCUCCUGCCCCAUUCUAUCAACUAAACACAAUUAUGUAGUUGUUUAAUUCUUAAAUGAGAUAUUAUCCGUCAAUCGUAUUAUAUUUUAUCAAGAGAGAACGGAGUGCAAUGUGGCUGUAAUUUUAUCGUUUAGUUUUAUCUCUUGGACCACUGCAUUUUUGUUAAGAGGUGCAAUAAUACACGUCUUUAUCUGCCAUUCAAUAUUUACAGUAAAGAGAGGGCACAAAACUCUUCACUUCGCACCAUAAUUAUUUUGUUUUCUGGACACCCCGGGGCCCUUUGGUUGGUUUGGGGGUCAGAAAGUGAACAUCAUAGGGGGUUUUUCCCUUAUGUGCAUUUGUAUCUGAUGGCUUUAACUCGCCUUGUUACUACAAAGAAACUGUCACAGAUAGGAACUUAUUCCAGGCUGAGUAUCUCCUCAUAGACCCUAUAAAAGAAGACAAGUCAUAAUGAACAUCUAACCUUUGUUCAAUUUGAUUCAAUGCCCCCAUUGUGUCCAUCUCACAAAUCUGAAUUAUUAUAUCCAUUGAAUACAUAAAUUAAUGAAGAAAAUAUGAAACCCAAGAUACAUCUCUGCACAACCUCAACCCUGGUUGCUAUGUUUCCCUUCUAUUCACAUGAUUUGAUGCUAAUUGCCAAACUUGCAACAAGCCCUGAGUUUGACACCUAGUAUCGAUGGGCGAAUUUAAAGUCUCCUCCAAACAUAUAUUCCACAGCUUGAAGCUCACAGAAGAUGUUACAGGCAGGGAAAAACCUUCAGAGUUCGCUACCAAAGAUAAUUAUUAAGGAGAUAUCACAAAGAGAAUUCCAAGGGGUCUGAAUCAAAGACAAAUUGGUCGUUCGUGGGGGUUCUUACUUUCUUUUGGGUAUAACUCACUGAGGGCACUGUCUUUGUUAUUUGCAUUUCACAUUUAGAGUUCUGUUCUGGAAACAUAUAAAAGGAGCAUCAUUUUGUUCUUGGGUAACCCAUAGUCGUGAGUGGGUCCAUUUGCAUGCUACUUAGUUGAAAAGUUGGACCAUUUGCUCCGACGCCUACCUCCCGGAUUCCAUGCUCGGAUAAAACAAGAAUAAAAAAAAUAUUUAUAAUUUACAAAUGGGGGAAAGAAAAAAAUGUCAACAACAAACCAGGAAAAAAGAGUAGUAAAAUUCAUGUCACAUGCUAGUGAGAGAAGGGGUUGUUACACUCACUCGAAGUUCUUUCCAAAAUAUCGCAUGGUAUUUUAUUUUAUGUGUCAGCGCAGUUGUGAAUGGAACGUGCAAAAGUCCAAAUUGGCGUUUUUCCUUUUCCCGUGUAGGAUGGCGACCUUUAAUAAAUAUUUAAAACAAAAAACGAAAAAAAGGAGGGAAAAGGGAUCAGAAAAGAUAAAACAAUGUGUACAAGAGCUCAAUUAGUUUGCAAAUUACUGUUUGGAUUUUGAUAGUAUUUUAUUUGUCCAUCUAUAUUUGAUGGAAAAGAGAAUUUAAGAUAUUUCUGAAACAAAAGCAUUAGUGUAAAACUAAAUUAAGGUAUAAUUAAGUUAGUUCAAUGCAUUAAUUUAAGAAACUUGAUCUAUCCAAAGUACAAAAUUAGAUGAAAUCCAUUUCAAUGGUUAAAAUGAUCAAAAUCAAACUUUUUCUAAGUAUUUUUUAAAAGCAUCAAUAUUAAAAGACAAUUUUAUAUUUAGUCGGAGUUUGGACAAAACCAAAAAGCACACAAAAUCCAAGCGACCAUCUCUAGCUUGGAUAGUCACUUGAUCCCACCUAGAGAUGUGCAUGAGUAAAAGGAUUUGAAAAUGGAAAUUGACUAAAUAUUUAGUUGAUCAAUUAAAUUUGCAAUGUCAUAUGCAAUCCUAAUAGCUAGUCAUCUAAUCAAUUAGGUAGUCAAUCAAGUGUUUGUAAUGACUAUUUUGUACAAAAAACCACAUGUAUAGUUAAAUAUAAUGCAUUUCAUUUAUAAAUCUUCUAAUUCUUGAAUAACGAUCCUAUCAUCCUUUGAAAAUUUUUAUUACACCUUUUUUACUUUUGUUCUAAAACUUACAUAUCACCCUUAAUUGUACCAUGAGAACCUAGCUAUUUUUUUUUUUUUUGUAAUUCAUCAAAGUUAGCUUUUGUAUUCAUUGUUGUAUUAUUUUUAGUAUAACUUAGAAAGCUAGUGUUUUCAAGUGAGUAAAAUUAACUUGUAAAUAUUGUAAAGAUUCAUUGAUAUGUAUCUUAAACUAAGUGUACAAAUUAAAACAUUUGCUAGUAGAUUUUCUCAAAAUUUAGAAUAGAGCUUGAGGCUAUUGAAAUAGGUGGGGUUACACCAAACCACAUCACAUCGUUGUUUGCACCUUUUUUCACUCUCUUUUACUUAGUUUCUCUAUAUUUGUUGUCUAGUAAUAUCCUAUAGGCUUGAUGGGUUAGGGAGCAUCCCUUUGUGAAAAAAUUUCAUUCAAUUCUUAGUUGUAUUACGCAUAUAUAAAAUGCCUCAUUGUUUUAAUGGUAUUCAGUCGUGGCAUCACAGAUAUGGGCAUCUAAAUUUUAAAAGUUUGAAACUUUUGUAAAGCAUGUUGAUAAAAUCCAUGAGAGUUGUGUACUUGGGAAGCAACAUCGAGGUGACUUUAUUUUUUUUUCCUUUUAUAAUGCCACACCUAAGUCCGGUUUCUAAAUGCUAAAGUGAAAGGGUAGGUAUGGACCAUUGAAAUGUGAUCACAACUUUUGGCCUUUUCCUUUCUCUGCAGCCAUGUUGUCUCUUUUUUCUUUUGCAUGAUUUUCUUACCAAAACAGAAUCAUAGACUUGUUUAGUCUCUAAGCUACUAUAUUAUAUCUCGGUGGACUUUUAAGAGUGCAACCGACAUAGAGCACAUGCAAGUGGGCAUAUGGGACAUGAAAUUUCUUCUUACAAAGAUUGCAUGAUUUUUAUAUUAGAGUUGUUCACGUGCAAUGUAUUUAGCUUGUUUUGCAGUUAAAUUAAUUGGAUAAGUAAACAUUGGCAUUUCUAAAUCGACUGUGAAGUGCUUCAUGUACGUGUAAAGUAUUAGAAAUUUCUUUCUUGGCAACUUGUUUUUUCCUUGCCAUCUACUGGUAGGUUUGACUAAAAUUAUAUUCCCUGUCAUGCUAAUUAAUUUUCAUGUGCAUGCUCAAAAGAAGAGUAUGACCUUAGUGCACCAAAAUCACUUUGAUUAAUUUGUGAUAGGUUUUUUUGCAUCAUUUAGAUAAUGUUUAGUUCUAAGAAAAAUUUAUAUAAAAAUGGUUUAUUUAUCUUACAUAUAUAUAUAUAUAUAUAUAUUUUUUUUUUUUUCAUUUUUUUUUCUUCUAUUUUAUUUAUUUAUUUUAUUUUCCUUAUGUUUUCCUCACAUUUUCCGGAACUAAACAUAGUCUUACGAAAUCAACAAUUGCCUUCAACUGAGUAGAUUCUGUUGUUUUAGCAAUGUUAGGCUGCUAACUUGUGGUGGUACGAACCAAAUGACCCAUGUUAAUCUUGGCUUGGUUUGAUUUGGCUCUAUCUCAGAGAGCUAAAGGAUCACGUCAACUCUGGUUUCUACUAUUCAGGUCCAUUCCCAGAUGAACUGGUUCAAAUUUGAGAAAAUGGUAACAGACCUUUAGUGAUGUUGGUUUGGAGCCAGUUGCCAAACCCGCCCUGAGCUUUACCACUAAUGUCAAGGGAGAAAGCCAUUUGAACAAAAACAAUAGCUUCAAGAGACUGAAUCGUGGAUGAAAUCUGAUCCACAUUUCUUCUCAUUUUGGGAAAAAAUGAGAACUUAACUACAAAGAUUCUACUGCCUCAUUCAUAGUGCUUUUCCUGAUCCAAGGUUGGUUCGUUUCCCAAAUUGUGAGGUGCACGUGCCACUCUCACGCUCAGGAGUGUAUCCACGUGGUGGACAUCAGAUGGUGGCUUAAUAUCUGGUGUCGGUGGCUUUACUUUACUAGGAGAGUAGUGUGUCUUCAUCUCAUUCACUGCCGGAGGGUGGCGUAAGCAGUGACGCUAAGGUGGGGCACAGUCAAUAUCAUUUGCAUUUGACCAUUAUAGUUUUCUCCCGGCUUGAAAGUAACCUUAUCGUGAUAAAGGAUUACUAGCACUAGUUCAGAUGACCGUCAUGUUAAUUCGGACCAUGUUUGUGUCACAUUAUCAGCAACCAUGUGUUUAUGGUUCAUGCUAUCUGCAACUAAACUUGAUAUAUAACCAGGUGAACUUCAAUCAAAAUUCUGGAAGUACUCUUGUGAUAGAUGGUGCCUGUCUGCAGAGUCCAUCAAUUGAAAAAUGGAGUGAGUGUAUCUAUAAGAGGGAAGGCUUGGCAAAUGUUCAGUUUUCUGGGAAUUCAACAAGGAUCUAAAAUAGAUUGUUUUCUUUGCCGACUUCAAUGGUUGAAAUUUGAGAAGAUUGUGUCCACAUAUCACAACUAUUACUGGUCCUUCUGUUGCAAUUUAUCCUGUAAGGCUCUAACAUGUCUUCCAAUUCCCACUUCCCUGUUACUCCAGGAAAGCUAUUUCUGUCAUUGUGAAGAAGAAAAGAGAAUGUACAUAUCGAUGCUUUUAAGUGACUGGAGCAUUCAUAUCAGGUGGUCUGCAGCCAUAUAUGCCACUUUGUGAAGGUUGGAACAGUCAAUCACUAGGCUAUAUAUUGGUGUGGCCCAGCCACUUCAAUCAAGGACAAGUCUUCAUACUUAAAGUCAAAUUCUGCCUUUAGUCUCAUUAUAAAUUGCUGUUUAAAUAUUAAGCAAACUUUUGUUUAAUGCGAUUAAGACAGUACUAACUCAAUACUUGUUCUAUUUUUGGAUGCAAAUGCUUGAUGGUUUCAUCAUUGGAUGGGAUAAAGGUGCAUUCAUGAUUAUGAAUACUUGUAGUUAUAUUUUCAUUCUCUUUUUUCUCAAUGAGACUUGUUGGCACAAUGUUGCUGUUCAGAAACCUACCUCUCCAUGGAAAAUAAGUUGCGAUUGAUAGUACUGGAUAUGUUCAAGAAAGCUAAAUAUAGAUAGCACAAAAUAUUAUCGAUAUAAAUAGCAUUAACAGCGUACGUAUGUCUCAAUGCUCAUCAGCUAUAAGCAUGGGACAAACACUUACUAUGAGCAACUUACGUCAAAAUUCCAGAAUAGGACAUAGAAGUGACAGAUCUAUAUAUAUAGAACACUGCAUAUGAGUCACAAGAAAGGAAAUUACGGGUGCAUAGCAGCUCUUAUUUUACAUACUACUACUCAUACUGAUCAAAGUCACUCAGUUGGGAUGGGUGGGAGUAGGAGGUUUGUGGGGUGGCUUGUGCGGAGGAGUUGGCAGCUUCUUUCCAGGACCUGGUUGCUUCUCUGCUGGAGUUGAAGGAGGCUUAAUCUUCCGAGGUGGCUUGUAUGAGUCUUCAGCAUUCUCAGCUGGAGGGUGACCAGGGUUGUGACCAUAAUGUGGUGGCUUCUCUCCCUUAGGUGGUUUGCCAACUGGGGUUGGUGGCUUGUAUGAGUCUUCAGCAUUCUCAGCAGGAGGGUGACCAGGGUUGUGACCAUAAUGUGGUGGCUUCUCUCCCUUAGGUGGUUUGCCAACUGGGGUUGGUGGCUUGUGUUCUGGGAGUGGCUUCUCCCCCUUGGGAGGUUUUUCCAAUGGGGUUGGUUUGUGUUCAGGAGGUGGCUUCUCCACUGGAGGCUUGUGUUCAGGAGGUGGCUUCUCCACCGGUGGCUUGUGUUCAGGAGGUGGCUUCUCCACCGGAGGCUUAUGCUCUGGUGGUGGCUUCUCCACCGGAGGCUUAUGCUCUGGUGGUGGCUUCUUGAAUGGGGGAUGCUGAGGGUAAUCAGCAAGUGAGGGGGCGGUGAGAACCACCAGGCCAAGCAACACCACUAGCAAAUAUGUAGGAGACAUCUUUGGGUUUGGGCUCAGAUGGUGCAAAACUAGGAGAAUUGGCUAGCCUUUUAUAGCGGAUCGUACUCAAUAAUGAAAUGACACGUGUCAUUAUGACCCAUGUGUAAUGGGGUCGAUUUGGGUCCUACAGUGUUGAAAACUUCGACAUCCAGUUUUGGCCUUUUGCUUUCUCUACAGCCGCCUUGCUUUUUCCCUCUUUCCUUUUGUUUUCCUCCUGCCCCAUUCUAUCAACUAAACACAAUUAUGUAGUUGUUUAAUUCUUAAAUGAGAUAUUAUCGGUCAAUCGUAUUAUAUUUUAUCAAGAGAGAACGGAGUGCAAUGCAGCUGUAAUUUUAUCGUUUACUUUUAUCUCUUGGACCACUGCAUUUUUGUUAAGAGGUGCAAUAAUACACGUCUUUAUCUGCCAUUCAAUGUUUACAGUAAAGAGAGGGCACAAAACUCUUCACUGCUCUGCAUGUGUCCCAAAAAUGCGAUUGGACAAAUUAUGAUUUGCAUGCUAAAAAGAGGCAAAUGAGGUUAAUUCGCACCAUAAUUAUUUGGUUUUCUGGACACCAUAAAAAGAUGUUAUACAGGCAGGGAAAAACCUUCAGAGUUAGCUACCAAAGAUAAUUAUCAAGCAGAUAUCACCAAGAGAAUUCCAUAGAGUCUGAAUCAAAGACAGAUUGCUCGCUCGUGGGGGUUCUUACUUUCUUUUGGGUAUAACUCACUGAGGUCACUGUCUUUUUUAUUUGCAUUUCACAGUUAGAGUUCUGCUCUGGAAGGUUUGUUCUGGAAACAUAUAAAAGGAGCAUCAUUUUGUUCUUGGGUAACCCAUAGUCGUGAGUGGGUCCAUUUGCAUGCUACUUAGUUGAAAAGUUGGACAAUUUGCUCCGACGCCUACCUCCUGGAUUCCAUGCUCGGUAAAACAAGAAUAAAAAAAAAUAUAUAAUUUACAAAUGGGGGAAAGAAAAAAUGUCGGAAAAAAUAGUAAAAUUCAUGUCACAUGCUAGUGAGAGAAGGGGUUGUUACACUCACUCGAAGUUCUUUUCAAAAUAUCGAAUGGUAUUUUACUUUAUGUGUCAGCGCAGUUGUGAAUGGAACGUGCAAAAGUCCAAAUUGGCGUUUUUAUUUUUCCCAUGUAGGAUGGUGACCUUUAAUAAAUAUUUAAAACAAAAGACGAAAAAAAAAAGGAGGGAAAAGGGAUCACAAAAGAUAAAAUAAUGUUUACAAAAGCUCAAUUAGUUUGCAAAUUACUGUUUGGAUUUUGAUAGUAUUUUAUUUGUCGUUCUAUAUUUGAUGUAAAAGAGAAUUUAAGAUAUUUCCGAAGCAAAAGCAUUAGUUUGCUCUGUGAUGUCCCACAUCGAAUAGGGGAGAAAGUUUCUGGCGCUAUAUAUGUAGAGGCUCCUCUUAACCAAGUAGAUGCGUUUUAAAACCAUGAGGGCCCCCUUAGGUCCAAAGCGGACAAUAUCUACAUGAUUGGGUGUAAGUCAUUACAAAUGGUAUCAGAGCCGAUCCCCGACCCCGGUGUGGGGGUUUGUUUGGCCCUGUAAGGGGUGUUUGUCUGUUUGACCCCACAAUCCCAUGGGACACAACGAGGACGUUGUGUCUGCAUGGGGGGGCGUUUGUGAUGUCCCACAUCGGAUAGGGGAGAAAGUUCCUAGUGCUAUAUAUGUAGAUGUUUCUCUUAACCAAGUAGAUGCAUUUUAAAAUUGUGAGGGCCUCUUUGGGCCCAAAGCGGACAAUAUCUACAUGGUUGAGUGUAAGUCAUUACAUGCUCCAUGUCAAUUUCAGCAUUUCUCAUAUGUUUCACACAUACACAGAAGAGCAUCGUUUUUUAAAGCAUGCAUUUAUGUUGGAUUAAUUUGGAUUUUGUGGGAACUGGGGCAAGGAUCACAUGGAAGAGAGGUUGACUUUUUUCAGUACUUCAAUGGUUGAAAUAUGUGAAGGCUUGAUUGAUACUAAAGCUUGAAAUUGCGACUCUGUCAUUUGUAAAAAAAUAUGACAGCUUCCAUGCUCUCGUUUGGUUGCAUUGUCCGGUCGAGAGGUGCAAAAAGCAUUCUCUCUCUUCUAAUAGUCUUUUCGUUUAAAUCAAGGGAUUUGCCUUCCCGGUCGAGGUCCAAUAGAGGGUAACGGUCACCUACUAAACAUUAAAUGCUCCAACAACUAGUGAACUGAUCGACCCCAGCUCGACUAGUUGAGGUUACUUUUUGGUUUUCUUGUCUCCCGAGGUUAGAAACCUAUAAAUAGAGAGCUUCACUUCAUUUAUGAGUAAGAGAACACCUAAAUUUAUUUGUUUACCUACUUGUUUUUGCCAUAAAAGCUCUCAUUUCUUUUCUUGGUGUAUUAAAUCUCCAUUUGCAUAUCCUUUAGUGCACCUUUGUGAUUCAUUCUAGCCUUGAGUUGUAUUUAAGCCUUUGUUGAGCUAGGUUGAGAGUUUCAUACUUGUUUAUUGAGUGUUAAAGCCUUCAAGUGAGUUAAAACUUGAAGAGAUUGUGUAAGAGCCCAUUGGAGUCGGAAUCCAAGUGUAAAGGUGAUUAAAAGCUUGGUUGAAGCUUCAAGUUAGUGGAACUCUCACUCGGUUAUGAGCUUGAGAAGAGUGGACAUAGACAAGGCAGUGUCGAACCACUAUAAAAUCUGAGUUUGAUUUCUCUAACCUUAUCUCUUUAUAUUUGCUUCUCUUGUGCUUAAAUUUUUUGUGUUUAAAAAGAAUUUUUAAAAACUCAAUUCACCCCCUUCUUGGGAGUUUUUCUCUUUUAAGAUCAGCUUUUAUUUUCUCAAUUGGUAUCAGAACUAUGCCUCUUGUUUAAGACUUAAUCGUCUAAGAGGAAAUGGCUAAUCCAUCAAGUUCAUCUCACAUUGAAAGUUUUGCAACCAAUAGACUUCUUUUUUUUUUUUUGCGGGAACUGAUUAUCCCUAUUGGAAAACUAAAAUGACUUGGUUUUUACAAUCAAUUGAUUUAGAUGUAUGAGAUGCCAUUGAAGAUGACCUAACUUUUCCUUCAAAACUAGUUGAUGGAGUCAUGGUUCCAAAACCUAAGCAAGAAUGGGAUGAGCGUGAUUGAAGAAAUUUUCAAUUAAAUGCUAAAGUCGUUUAUACUUUGCAAUGCUCUAUGGACAGAAAUGAAUAUAAUAGAAUAUGUCAAUGCAAAUCGGUUAAAGAAAUUUGGAGAUUGCUUGAAAUAACUCAUAAAGGAACAAAUCAAGUUAAAGAGUCAAAAAUCAAUUUACUUGUUCAUAGAUAUGAAUUGUUUUUUAUGAAAGAUAAUGAAACUAUUGUUAAGAUGAUCACUAGGUUCACCAACAUUGUUAAUGGUCUUAAAGCCUUGGGAAAGACCUACAAGGAAUCCGAAAACGUGAUGAAGAUCUUGAGGUCACUUCCAUCAAAGUGGCAUACCAAGGUCACCGCAAUUUAAGAAGCAAAAGACUUGAUCAAGCUACCUUUGGAGGAGUUCAUAGGGUCAUUGAUGACAUAUGAAAUCAAUUUGGCAAAGAAGUAACAAAAAGGUGAAGACAAAAAGAAGAAGAACAUAACUCUCAAAGCUACAACUAAGGAAGAAGAAGUUGAAGAAGAAAAACAAAUUGAAGAAGAUGAAGAUUUAGCCCUCAUCACAAGAAAGUUCAACAAAUUCAUGAGGGGUGAAAGGUUUAGAAGAAGAAGGUUCACUUCUAGAAGAGACUUUUCUAAAAAGGAAUCUUCAUCUAAUGGUGACAAAAAGAGAUGGGAAGAGAAAAGAGACUUGGUGUGUUUCAAGUGCAAGAAACCGGGACACAUUAAAUAUGAUUGUCCUCUCUACAAAAGUGAAGUCAAGAGGAAAAAGAAUAAGGCAAUGAUGGCCACUUAGAGUGAAAGUGAAGAUGAAUCAUCCGAAGAAGAAAAUGAGAAAGAAGUGGCAAACAUGUGUUUCAUGGCAAUAGAUGAACUUGAUGAGGUAAAAUCUAACCUUAGUGAUUAAGAUAUACAUGAUGCAUUUGAAGAAUUGUAUGAGGAUUUUUAAAAACUUAGUUUGAAAAAUAUUUCUCUUAAAAAGAAAGUUCAACAACUUGACAAAGAACUUAGAGAAGUAAAAGAAAAAUUUUCAAAUGUUAAAGUUUCUAAAACUCAUCUUGAAAAAGAAAAUGAGAUUCUAAGAAAGAAAAAUGAAUAGUUGAACUCCUCUCUUUCAAUCUUUUCUUCUAGACAAAAAUCUUUUGAAAUGAUUCUAACUAGCUAAAAAUGUGUUUUUGACAAACAAGGGUUAAGAUUUAAAUCUUCAAAAAAUCAAAAGUAUUUUAAAAACUAUUUUGUAAAGGAAUCCACAAGUGCAAGUCCUUCCACUACUUGCAACUUUUGUGGAAGAGAAUGGCACAUUAGUAGUACGCCCUUUAAGAAAUGGUUCUCAAAAGAAUUUAAAUGCAAAAACUAAAAAAGAUUUGGAUUGAGAAAUCCAAGGUCACUAACCCUCAAGGACCCAAAAAGAUAUAGGUACCUAAAUCAACUUGAGUUUUAUGUUGUAAGGUUCAAAGAAUGAUAAGUGGUUCUUAGAUAAUGGUUGCUCAAGACACAUGACCGGAGAUGAAUCCAAGUUUGCUUUUCUUAAAAAGAAAAAUGGAGGAUAUGUUACCUUUGGAGACAAUGCAAAAGAAAGGAUGAUUGGUCAAGGCAACAUUGGUAAUGGCACAUCCUCUCUCAUUGAAAGUGUUUUAUUAGUAGAUGGUUUCAAACAUAACCUUUUAAGCAUUAGUCAAUUUUGCGACAAAGGUUUUUAAGUGAUUUUUUAAGCAUCUCAUUGCAUCAUCAAGGAUAUUCAAAAUGAUAAAACCAUUUUCAUGGGCCAUAGAUGUGAUAAUGUUUAUGCUAUAAAUAUUUCAAAAUAUGAUGGCCAUGAUAGAUGUUUUUCAAGCAUGCAUGAUCAAAGUUGGUUGUGCCAUAGGAGAUUGAGACAUGCUAACAUAGACCUCAUUUCCCAACUCAACAAAGAUGAACUUGUUAGAGGCCUUCCCAAAAUAAUUUUUUAAAAAGAUAAAGUUUGUGAAGCUUGUCAAGUGGGAAAGUAAAUCAAAAACUCUUUUAAAAACAAAAACUUCAUUUCCACAUCUAGGCCACUUGAGUUGUUGCAUAUGGAUUUAUUUGGUCCCUCUAGGACACCAAGUCUUAGAGGAAAUUCUUAUGCAUAUGCUAUUGUGGACGACUUCUCUAGAUACACAUGAGUCUUGUUUUUUAGUCAAAAGAAUAAAGUUUUUUAUGAGUUUUCAAAGUUUUGCAAUAAGAUUCAAAAUGAAAAAGGUUUUUCAAUUACUUAUAUAAGAAGUGAUCAUGGGAGAGAAUUCGAAAAUAUUGAUUUUGAAGAGUAUUGCAAUGAGCAUGGAAUUGACCACAAUUUUUUGGCUCUUAGAACUCCUCAACAAAAUGGGGUAGUUGAAAGGAAAAAUAGAACUCUUCAAAAAAUGACAAGAACCAUACUAAAUGAAAACAACUUACCAAAAUAUUUUUAGGCCAAAACGGUUAACACUUCUUGUUAUGUUUUAAAUAGAGUAUUAUUGAGGCUCAUACUUAAGAAAACUCCCUAUGAGCUUUGGAAAAACAAAAAACCCAACAUUAGUUAUUCCAAAGUCUUUGGAUGCAAUAUUUUAUAAUAAACACCAAAGACAAUCUUGGAAAAUUUGAUGCAAAAUUGGAUGUUGGAAUUUUCCUUGGUUACUCAACUUCAAGUAAAGCUUUUCGAGUUUUAACAAAAGAACCAUGGUUGUAGAGGAGUCCAUCCAUGUUAUUUUUUAUGAAUCUCCAAGAAAGAGAGAGGAUUGAUGAUGAUUUAGGUUUGAAGACCUCUAUAGGAAGAUUGCAAAUCGAAGAUAGAAGACAACAAGAAGAAAAUGGAGAGAAUCCAAAGAAAGAAGGAUCACCAUUGGCACUACCCCCUCAUCAACAAGCGCAAGGUGAAUCAAGUCAAGAGCUUCCUAAAGAAUGGAAGUUUGUCAUCAAUCACCCACAAGAUCAAAUUAUAGGCAAUCCAUCUAGUGGGGUAAGAACUAGAUCCUCUCUUAGAAAUAUUUGCAAUAAUCUAGCUUUUAUCUCUCAAAUUGAGCCUAAAAAUAUAAAUGAUGUUUUAGAUGAUGAAAAUUGGAUAAUUGCAAUGCAAGAAGAGUUAAAUCCAUUUGAAAGAAGUGGAGUAUGGGAAUUAGUACCAAGACCUUCAAAUCAAAGUGUUAUUGGAACUAGAUGGAUCUUUAGAAAUAAAAUGGAUGAAAAUAGCAUAAUUGUUAGAAAUAAAGCAAGAUUGGUAGCCCAAGGUUUUAAUCAAGAAGAAAUGAUAGAUUAUGAAGAAACCUUUGCCCCCGUAGCUAGGUUGGAAGCCAUUAGGAUGCUACUUGCCUUUGCAUGUUUUAAAGACUUUGUUUUAUAUCAAAUGGAUGUGAAAAGUGCUUUUUUAAAUGGUUUUAUAAAUGAAGAAGUAUAUGUUGAACAACCACCCGGUUUUCAAAGUUUCAACUUUCCUAACCAUGUUUUUAAACUUAAAAAGACACUUUAUGGUUUGAAACAAGCACCUAGAUCAUGGUAUGAAAAAUUGAGUAAAUUUCUUUUGAAAAAAAUGUUUUAAAAUGGGAAAAAUUGACACAACUCUUUUUAUAAAAACCAAAGAAAAUGAUAUGCUCUUAGUUCAAAUAUAUAUUGAUGAUAUCAUUUUUGGUGCUACUAAUGUCUCUCUUUAUGAAGAAUUUUCUAAGUGCAUGCAUAGUGAGUUUGAAAUGAGCAUGAUAGGAGAACUCAACUUCUUCCUUGGACUUCAAAUCAAGCAACUAAAGGAAUGAACCUUCAUCAAUCAAGCAAAGUAUAUAAGAGAUCUUCUCAAAAGGUUCAACAUGGAAGAAGCCAAAACAAUGAAGACUCUAAUGAGCUCAUCCAUUAAGCUUGAUAAGGAUGAGAAAGGUAAAUCCAUUGACUCUAUUAUGUAUAGAGGCAUGAUAGGUUCUUUGCUCUAUUUGACCACUAGUAGACCUUACAUUAUGUAUAGUGUGUGUUUGUGUACUAGAUUUCAAUCUUGUCUUAAAAAAUCUCACUUAAGUGUCGUGAAAAGAAUCCUCAAAUAUUUGAAAGGGACAAUGGACAUAGGCUUAUGGUAUCCUAAGAGUGAUAACUUUGAAUUAAUUGGUUUUUUGGAUGCUGAUUUUGUCAGUUGUAGGGUUGAAAAAUAAAACACUAGUGGCACUUUUCAUUUCUUAAGACACUUACUUGUCUCAUGGCAUAAUAAGAAGCAAAAUUUGGUAGCUUUGUCAACAGCAGAAGCUAAAUACAUAGCAACUGGUUUAUGUUGUGCACAAAUCCUUUGGAUGAAAUAAACACUUAGUGAUUUUGAUUUAUCUUUUGAGCAUAUUCCUAUUAAAUGUGAUAAUAGUAGUGCCAUAAGUAUAUCAAAAAAUCUCGUGCAACACUCUAGGACUAAGCAUAUAGAGAUUAGACAUAAUUUUCUUAGAUAUCAUACACAAAAGGAUGAUAUAACACUUGAAUUUGUAAGCAUAAAAGACCAACUUGCCGAUAUCUUUACAAAACCUCUAAGAACAUUUUGUUGAUAUUAGAGGACAAUUAGGAGUGAUUUCUUUAUGAUCUAAUGUGAUGAAUUCUUGAUGAAUAUACUUUUUGAUUGCAUGAAUUUCAUGUCAUAUAUGCAUCAUAUAGAAAUAUACUUAGAUAAUGGUCAAAUUUCGACCAAAAAUCAAAAUUCCCAUGGCAUUAGGCAUAAAAAUUUUGGAAUUUCAACUGAAAAUGGUAGGAGGAGGAUCACAAAAUGAGAAAGUAUGCAAAAAUUGAAAAAUCAAAACGUUGACCAAGCGGUCAAUCGGACUAGACCGAUCGACUAGUUUGUCGAGAUUUAGGAUUUUUAAGAGACUCCAACGCUUCAAUUUUUGCACCGUUCUCCUCUAUUUCUUCACGGUUUCUCUGAUUUUGUCUUUUAGAGACUAAUUUGAGUGCGUUUUGGAUCAAUUGAAGCAUUUUGGAUUGGAUUUUAGGAAGAUUGAAAGUUAAGGUUUCGGAUUUGGGUCGCCUUCUCUUCCUCUCGCGUGUCACAAUCAGCUUUAGCAUUGUUCUCUUUCCAUUUUCACACACCUAGGGUUUCAGUUGUGAGCAUCUCUCUCUCUUUACCAACCACUACUCCCUUGCUUCUUCCAUAUGGCUCCUAGGCGAGAGUCCGCUACUUCUAGGGCACAAGGCAAGCACCCAACUGAGUCGUCUCAGUCAAAGGCACGUCGAAAAGUGAGAUUUGACAUUGCCUUGUUCAGUUCCAUGGAGGACUACCAACUAUACAAGCAACACUUUGCUUAGAGACGAGUAGUUCCCAAGAGAAAUAUUAAUUUUCCUCAACUUCAGCAUUUCGAAUUUAAGGGUCUAUUUACUAGGAUGGUUGGUUGUCUAUUGUCACAAUUUCGGAGCCGGUUUUCCUGACCUUAGUGCGAGUUUUUUACUCGAGGGCGACUUAUGGCAUGGGUGGCAUGAUCAUUUCUACUGUUGGAGGAGUUGAGAUCUGUCUGGACCCAGAGAGCAUCUGCCAUAUUUUCGAUAUUGCUCUGGUUGGACUCAAAGUAUACAAGUCCAAAAUGUGGCCCAUUGUGCCAGGAUUUGAGCUUAGAGAGGUCAUUCAGAGGAUUUGUGAACUUCCAGACGCCCAGGAGAUGGGCAAACCAUUGCCACACAGUUUGACGGUCAUCAACAGGGUGCUACACCAUAUAUUGUGCUCUAUCUUUCUACCACGAAGUGGACAUUGAGAUGAGGUCUCUUAUUAUGAGGCAUUCCUUAUUGACUCCAUUCUAACGGAGAGACGAAUUCAUCUACUAUGUCAUCAUUCACUAAGCCUCCUCACAGUGACAUACCACCUCAUCAGGCACCUCUUGCUCCUGACCAUGCUCCAUUGAUGGAUUUAUUUACUCAUAUUAGCUCUCUAGGCACUCGCAUGAAGGAGUUUGUUGUAGUUAGUGAUACAUGGUUCUACUCCAUAGAGGAUCGCAUGGAUCAGUAUCAGACUGGCUUCACGUCACAGUUUGAGUAUCUCCAAUAGAGGAUUGAGCAUAUUGAGGAUCACUUGAGCAUGAGAAGAUGAUGGCUUUUCUAUGCUCUGUGUUUCCACCUCCACCUCGUCAACCUUGAUUUCUUAGAGACCCAUUGUUUUCAUUUUGUAAUGUUGCCAAAAGGGGGAGAUAUUUAGGAUCUAGGACUCUAUAGGAGACUUACAUGCAUAUCAUUUUCAUAUCAUUGUUUGGAUCGUACAUAUUGGAUAGUGAUACUUUUUACUUAUAUAUGAUAUGCCUAUAUGUUUCAUGUCUUACAUUGUUUCUUAUUGCAAAUUAUCUCUAACAUGUCUUGAUUAUCUUUUUUUUAACUUCAUAAAUUUUGAUUGUUAACCCAUGAUUGGUUUGAGGGGAAGAUUCUUCUUCUCCUAGAUAACCAAGGUUUGUCAUCAUAAAAAAAUUGGAGAUUGUUAGCCCAAGGGUUCUCCUAAUCAUGUUUUGAUGAUAACAAACCAUGCUUAAGUUACUAAUUGGUUUGAAUUAUAAAGAAUUUCAAGUGUUAAUUUGAAAAUUCAUCAAAGAACCUAAUGGAUGCAAGAUCAAGAUUUUUGGAAGACCUUUAAUCAUAAGAAACAUAUGUAAGAUGAAUGCAUGGGUGCACUUAAGAUUUGCAUAUCAUUUCAUGCAUAUUUGGAAAACACGGUUUAUGCUUUAAAGUUACAUUUCCAUCAAAAUUUGAGAUCCAUCAAAUGAACCUUAGGAAAAAUGUUUUAAAAUUGGCAUAUAAUUUUACCUAAAGACCUUGCCUAAGUGUUAGAAGCAAAAGGACAAAAAAAAUAUAGGUUUUCUGGUCAAAAAUGGUGAACCAGUCAAGGCAUUGUCUAAAUCAGCUCAAUCGGCCAAGGUACCGGUCGAUCGGUUUCCCUUUCCCUGUCGAGAUCUAGUCAAGAGGUACAAAAAUCACAAUCUCUGUCUCUUUCUCUCUUUGUCUAUCUUCCAGUAGUCUUUCCUUCCCGGUCGAGGGAUUUGCCUUCCCGAUUGAGGUCCGAUUGAGAGUAAUAGUCACUUGCCAAAUAUUAAAUGCUCCAACAGUUAGUGAACUGGUCGACCCCCACCUUGCCCAGUUGAGGUUACUUUUUGGUUUUCUUGGCUCCCGAUGUUAGAAACCUAUAAAUAGAGAGUUCCACUUCAUUUAUGAGCAAGAGAACACUUGCAUUUAUUUGUUUACCUACUUGUUCUUGCCUUAAAAGCUCUCAUUUCUUUUCUUGGUGCAUUAAAUCUCCAUUUUGAUAUCCUUUAGUGCACCUUUGUGAUUCAUCUUAGCCUUGAGUUGUAUUUGAGCCCUUUUUUUAGCUAGGUUGAGAGUUUCAUACUUGUUAAUUGAGUGUUAAAGCCUUCAAGUGAGUUGAAACUUGUAGAGAUUAUGUGAGAGUCGAUUGGAGCCGAAAUCCAAGUGUAAAGGUGAUUAGAAGCUUGGUUGAAGCUUCAAGUUAGUGGAAUCCUCACUCAAUUAGGAGCUUGAGGAGAGUGGACGUAGCCAAGGAAGUGUCGAACCACUAUAAAAUUUGAGUUUGAUUUCUCUAACAUUGUCUCUUUAUAUUUGUUUAUCUUGUGCUUAAAUUUAUUGUGUUUAAAAAGAAUUUUUAAAUACCCAAUUCACCCCCCUCUUGGGUGUUUUUCUCUUUUAAAAUUAGCCUUUAUUUUCUCACAAACUAUUGUAGUAUAGUGGUUUUUAGGUGUCAUCCAUUAGGAUGAAUUGUUCUCGGUAAUUAAGGCGUGAAUGAGAGGAGAAUUAAUGAUUGUGAUUAAGUAAAAUUGAUUUGAAAAUUCAUGGUGAAAAAUCAAUUUAACAAUGGUUUCUAAUUGAGAAAAACAAUGAAAUGUGAAAUAAAAUAAAAUUAAUAGGAAAUGAAAUUCUCGAAGUUAGAAUUUUCUAAAAAACAAAUUCCAUGGUGAAUGGAUGUUGAGAUCUAAUUUUCAUCAAGUUAGAUUGAAAACCGAAAUUUUCAUAUAAACUGAUUUUUUAUUUAGUUUUAGGUCUAGAUUUAAUUUCCCUUAAAAUUAGGUUAUUUAAUCCAAGAAAUCAAUUCAAAUCAUAUAUUCAAUUCAUCUUAAAUUAUCUUCCAAUUAUUCACACAAUGCAACUAUUCAAUCUCAUCAAAUCUAGCUUUUAAGAAUUUAAUGAAUCUACCUAGUUUGCAUUGUAAUAGUCAUCCAUGACAAUUUGAAGAGAAAAAUAAUUCAAUUAAUCAAUCACUUGGAUCAAAUUACCUUUGCAAUUAAAGUUCAUUUCUCUAAUUCACCACAGAUUUUGUCUCUAGAUCCUCCUUUCUCAAAGAAAAAUGAGAUUUAGCCACACAUGAUUGGAGAUUUGGUCUCAUAAGGCAUGUUUAGCUAGUGAUAAAAUGAGAGAAAAUAAAGAAAAAUAGAGAAUUCGAUUAAGAAAGAAAAUCUAAAAAAUUCUACAAUUAGAAAUGUCCAAAAAGCUUUUUCAUGAGAAAAUCAAGUUUCUAUUUAUAGGCCAAGGUCAAGUGGACACUUGACAUCAUCUAAGAGGUCUUCCGGAAGCUUCUUCAUCAAGAAAUCUGGAGUUUAAUAAUAAAAUGGUCAUUUCACAAGAGCUCAAACAAUUUCGCAUGAUUAUGUGAAAUAAAAAAUGCAACAACAGCAAUUUACAUCUUCUUGGAGCAUUUCGCAUGACUGUGUGAAAUUUUCACAUGAUCAUGUGGAAUCGACUUGACAACUCUCAUUUAGCCUACAACAUAAUUCCACCUUUUGGUCCAUUUUUCAUAGUCAUGCGAAAUGGAAAUAUUUGAUUUUUAAGUUUUCUUUUGUCAUUUCUUUCAUUUCCUUCUCUUGAUUCCACUUCAACUACCUCCGAAUCCUGGUCCAAACCAAUUGCAUUACUUCUUUCAUUAUGCAUUUGGAUCAUCAUCAACAUUAUUUGUUCUCUUCAAUUUGAUUCAUCUCUUUUGUCACCAAUUUAUCAAAAUCAUACCUUGAAAUGACUCCAAAACUUCAUAAAACUUGUUAGUAACUCUUGCAAGGGCAACAACAUAUUAAUUAAGUGUUUUAGGCAUAGUUACUACUCAAAAGAUGCGAAACUCAUGAUAAUUAUUAUAUAAAAUAUGCUCUUUUUGAGUAGUAAUCAACUUUCUUGCAUAAGCAGACCUUUUAGGGUGGAGUACUAAAGACCAAUAUGCUUGUCCUUGUUGUAAUAAAGAAACUUGCUCUUAUUGAUUGCACCAUGGGAGAAAAUUUUGCUACAUGAGUUAUCAUCAAUUUCUUCCCACCAAUCAUAGAUUUAGACGUGACAAGAGGCCUCUUAAUGGCAAGGAGGAACUGACACUCACACUUAUACAAUUAUCGGGCAUUGAUGUGUUGCAACAAUUAGAAUAACUUACACCAAUUAUGUUGGGGAAGUCACAAAAGGCAAACAUGAAAACUAAAAGGAAAAAAGAAAAAUGUUACAUAUCACCACAACUGGAAAGAAAAAAGUAUUUACUUUCAUUUGCCAUAUUGGAAAGCACUUAUUUUACAUCAUAAUAAUUUAGACAUAAUGCAUAUUGAGAAAAAUGUGUGACAAUAUAAUUGAGACAUUGUUCAGUAUUGACGAAGAAACAAGGACAACCUAAAUAGUCAUCUCGAUUUACAAGCUCUAACUAUUAGAAAUGAGAUUCACCCAAUAGAAAGCAGGACCAAAUUUAUUUUGCUUGCAACAUGCUACUCACUCACCCCAAAUGAGAUUAAGGAAUUUUGCAAGUUUUUGAAAUCAAUAAAGGUCCCCAAUGGCUAUUCUUUCAAUAUCUCUCGUUAUGUGCAACUCAAUGAAAGGAAGAUAUAUGAGCUCAAAUUGUAUGAUUGUCAUGUCCUAAUGCAACAACUUCUCUCACUUGUAGUUCGUGGAGUUCUACAUAAGAAUGUUUGUGGAGUUAUCAUAGAAUUGCGUAAUUUUUUCAAGCAAUUGUGCUCAAAGGUGUUAGAAACAAAUCACUUACACCAACUUGAGAACAAUAUUAUUGUCAUACUAUGUAAAAUGGAGCAAAUAUUUCUUCCAUCAUUCUUUGAUAUUAUGGUGCAUUUACUUGUGCAUCUAGUAAGGCAAAGGUUGCAAGACUUGUGCAAUAUUGUUGGAUGUACCUAAUUGAACGAUAUUGUUAUAAUUUCAUAUGAAUCAUUUAAUUUUAUUUUAUAUUAUGUUCAGUUCAUUAACAUGUACAUUGGUCUACAUAUGGAUGAUGAUAGGUACCUAAGCACUUUAAAGUCAUAUGUGCGUAAUAGAACUUUUCUAGAAGGUUCUAUUGUAGAAAGGUACCUUGCAAAAGAAUGUACAACAUUUUAUUCUAGGUACUUGAAUGAUGUGGAAAUAAAGUAUAAUCACAAUGAUAGAAACUUUGUUGGUUUCAACACUAGAGGAGAUGAAAGGGGUUAUCUUUAAACAUAUUGGACAUGCAUUGGGAAAGCCCAUAUUUCAUUAACUUAGUUCAAAAGAGUGGUCACAAGCACAUUUAUAUGUGUUGACAAAUUGCGAAGAUGUCAUACCAUUCAUUGAGUAAAAAAUUUAUUUGAAUUUUAAUUAAAGCUCUAGUUUAUAUCCUUAAUCAAUGUUUUUUAAAUUCACAAGGAGCACAAGCAAACCAUCAAGGCUAGACCACAUAUACGUGUUUGAGACGUAGAUUUAAUUCAUAACAAGGAAUUUAUCAAGUGGUUUGAAAGACAUGUAAGUAUAUUCCUUAUUAUAAGGGAUUUAUUUCACAUUAUGUUUAUAUUGAAUCCAAACCUAUUAUUGAAUUGUAGGUUGAACAAUUACAUAAUGAAGGUCAUAUAUCUGAACACCUUCUCACAUUAUCAUGUGUUCCAAAUUCAUUAGUUACAUGCUUCAAAUGAUAUAUUGUCAAUGGAUUUAGAUCCCACAUUAAAGAACGUGAUAAAAAAGUUUUUAAAAAAAGACUCAGAAUAAUGGAAUUGUUGUAGUUGCAAAAACGUCAAGCUUUACAAGUGCAUGUGAUAUGAGUCCAAUUAUUAGUGAUGCUCUCUACUAUGGUGUUCUAACUAAAGUUGUUGAGUUACAUUAUCUUGGUGAAAAUAAGGUUGUUUUAUUCGAGUUUGAUUGGUGGGAUGUUACAAAUAUUGGAAAAUUGAUAAAAGAUGAUGAGUACAAUUACACAUUUGUUAACUUUGCAUGAAUUCUAACCACGAACGAACGAUUUGUACUUGCAUCUCCAGCAAAGUAAGUGUUCUAUGUGAAGAAUGCGAAUGAAUCAGAUUGGCAUACUAUCAUGGAGAUGCAACCUCAAGACCUCUAUAAGAUGAACGGGAUAGGAUCCAAUGGUGAUUUUGAACCAUUUCAACAAAGUGAACUACAUGAUCACUAAUAUAUCUCAGAUUUAGUUGAUGAAGAUAUAAUCAAGUGGAACAAAAGUGAUGUUUUAGGACUAAUCAUCCUAAAAAAUAUUGUAGUUUCUUAAAAAAAAAAUGAAAAUGAAGAAGAUAAUUGAACCUUUGUCAUACUUUAAAAAGCAACUAUGCAUUGUUCAUUUUGUAUGUUUUGGUUUUCUUCAUUUAAUUUCCUGAUUUUUGUGAUUCAAUGUCAUAUUAUUGAUCUUGAAAUAUUUUUCUAAUUUUUCAUUCUACGAUGGUUUCAACAAGGAUGACAUCAAGUCAAAAAAGGAAAUGUGGUCCCACACACAAUAUUGCAUUACAGGGAUUAAGGUCAGGGAAGAAGGUAAAAGUUGCAUUUAAUGAGUACAAUCAAUUGGUUAAACAGAAAAAUGGAAAACACUUAUCGAGCUACAUAGGGACACUUGUAUCUAACCAACACAAUGUACCUCUCCAAGCUAGUGAUUGGAAAAAUGUUCCAAAUGAUGCAAAAGAGAAAGUAUGGCCUUUGUUUUGGUAUGUUGUAUUUCUCACUAUAUGAUGUCAUUUCACUGUUAUUCUAUUUUGUGACUAACGUUUGAAUCAUAUGUAAGAAAAAUUUGAAGUAGAUAAAGACUGAAAAGAUUACAUGUUGGGUAUAGCCUCAAAUAAAUAUAGAAGCUAUAAAAAUAUGAUGAAUGCAAAAUACUAUGACCCUUGGCAUAAGGAUGCAUGAGGAGAGGUUAAUACAUAAAUCACCAUUUGUCUCUGAUGUUGAUUGGAAGUGGCUUGUCUCUGAUGCAUAAACCAAAUCCCCCACUGAAUGUUUGAUAUUUGAUAGCAGGAAAAACACACCCGCAGCUAUACACCUCCAUCAUUCAGAUAAUUAUAGUGGGGGAGAUGAUUCAUGGUUGCCCUUAUACCCUUUAUUUGCACCAUCUAUUGAGAUUCUUUAUCAUGGCCAGGUUUUACUGCAGCAAUAAGAUAUGGUGGCAACAAUUUUAUCUAUAGGUGCGGUUCCAGACCGCCUCCAUAGGUGCGGUUCCUGACUGCCUCCAUAGGUGCCUCUUCUUGUAAUGUUUGUUCUGGGAAUUACACUUGAAAGCCUUAUCGUGAUAAGGGAUUACAAACACUAGUUCAGAGGACAGCCAUGUUAAACUUCCACUAUGUUUGUGUCACAUUAUCAGCAGCCUAGUGUUUAUUGGUCAUGCUAUCUGCAACUAAUAUAACCCGGUGAACUUCAAUCUAAAUUCUGAAAGUACUCAUGUGACAGAUGGUGCCUUUCAGCAGAUAUCAUCAAUUUAAAAGUAGUGUGUGUGCCUAUAGGUGGGAAGGCCUUGGCAAAUGUUCAGUAUUCCGGUAAUUCAAGAAGGAUAUAUCUAAAAUAGAUUUUCUUCUUGCCCAUUUCAAUAGUUAAAAUUUGAGAAGAUUGUGUCCACAUCACACAAAUAUUAUUGGUCCUUCUGUUGCAAUUUACCUCUGAACAUGUCUUCCAAUUCCCACGGUCCUGUUACUCCAGGAAAACUAUUUCGGUCAUAUUGAAAAAAAAAAUAUUAAAGAAGGUACACAUGCUUUUAAGUGGACUGGGGCAUUCAUAUCAGGUGGUCUGUAUCCACAUAUGCCACUUCGUGAAAGGUGGAACAGCCUAAUCACUAGGCUAUUUAGUGUGGCCCAGCCACGUUAAUCAAGCACAAGUCUUCAUACUUAAAGUCAAAUGGUGUCUUUAGUCUCAUUACACAUCGCUAUUUGAAGAUUAACUCAUCACUAGUGUAAUGCGAUUAAGACAGUCCUAACUCAAUAUUUGUUCUAGUUUUGGAUGCAAAUGCUUGCUGGUUUCAUCAUUGGAUGGGAUAAAGGUGCAAUCAGGACUAUGAAUACGUGCAGUAAUACUUCAUUCUCUUUUUUCUCAAUGAGACUUCUUGGCACAAUUUUGCUGCUCAGCAACCUACCUUUCCAUGGAAAAUCAGUUGUGACUGAUAGUAAUGGAUAUAUUCUAGAAAGCUAAACAUAGAUAGCAUUCAAUAUUAUCGAUAUAACAUUAACAGCGUAUGUCUCAAUGCUCAUCAGCUACAAGCAAUGGACAAACACUUUGAGUAACUCACAGCAGUCAAAAUUCCUAAACAGGACAGACGUGACAGAUCUAUAUAUAGAACACUGCAUAUGAGUCACAGGAAAAGAUAAUACGGGUACAUAGAAGCUCUUAUUUUACAUAUUACUCAUACUGAUCAAAGUCGCUCAGUUGGGAUGGAUGGGAGAAGGAGGUUUGAGGGGUGGCUUGUGCGGGGAAGUUGGCAGCUUCUUUCCGGGAGCUGGUUGCUUCUUUGCUGGAGUUGAAGGAGGCUUAAUCUUCCGAGGUGGCUUGUAUGAGUCUUCAGCAUUCUCAGCAGGAGGGUGACCAGGGUUGUGACCAUAAUGUGGUGGCUUCUCUCCCUUAGGUGGUUUGCCAACUGGGGUUGGUGGCUUGUUUUCUGGGAGUGGCUUCUCUCCCUUGGGUGGUUUGCCAACUGGGGUUGGUGGCUUGUGUUCUGGGAGUGGCUUCUCCCCCUUGGGAGGUUUUUCGAAUGGGGUGGGUUUGUGUCCUGGUGGUGGCUUCUCUCCCUUGGGAGGUUUACCAAUUGGGGUCGGUGGCUUGUGUUCUGGGAGGGGCUUCUCUCCCUGGGGAGGUUUAGUGGGUGGCUUGUGUUCUGGAGGUGGCUUCUCCACCGGAGGCUUAUGCUCUGGUGGUGGCUUCUCGAAGGGGGGAUGCUCAGGGUAAUCACCAAGUGAGGGGGUGGUGAGAACCACCAUGCCAAGCAACAACACUAGCAAGUAUGUAGUAGACAUCUUUGGGUUUGGACUCAGACAGUGCAAAACUACGAGAAAUCGCUAGCCCUUUAUAGCGGCUCGGACCUAAUACUGACAUAAUAUAAAAUAAAUAUUAUAUUUUAUCAAGAGAGAACAGAGUGUAAUUUUAUCAUUAAUACCGAUCGAGGCCAAAGAAAGAAGACCCAUAAUCCAUUUCCCACAAGCAUACACAAUGCAGCUGUAAUUUUAUCAUUUACUUUUAUCCCUUGGACCACUGCAUUUUUGUUGAGAGACACAAUAACACAUUUUUAUCUGUCAUUCAACAUUUACAGUAAAGAGAGGGCACAAAACGCAAUUAGAUAAAUUAUGUUUUGCCUGCUAAAAAGAGGCAAAUAACUUUAUUUGCAACAUAAUUAUUUUGGUUUCUAGUGACCCCGGGGCCUUUCGGUUGGUUUGGGAUCGGAAAAUGAACAUCAUAGGGGGGGUUGUGCCCUUAUGGGCAUAUAUAUCUGAUAGCUUCAACUGGCCUUGUUCCUAGAAAGAAAUUGCCAAAGAUAUAAACUUAUUCCAGGCUGAAAGUAGAUGAGAGUCAUAAUGAACAUCAACCUUUGUUCAGUUUGAUUCAAUGCCCCCAUAGUGUUCAUUUCACAGAUCUGAAUGAUUAUAUCCGUUGAAUACAUAAAUUAAUGAAGACAAAUAUGAAACCCAAGAUACAUCUCUGCAUAACAACCCCAACCCUGGUUGCUAUGUUUCCCUUCUUCUAUUCACAUGAGGAUACUGGUUAUAAUUGUCAAACUUGCAACAAGCCCUUUGACACCUAACGUCAAUGGACGAAUUAAAAGUCUCCUUCAAACGUCUAUUUCACAGCAUGAAGCUUAUAAAGGAUGCUGACAACCUUCAGAGUUAGCGACAAAAGAUAAUUAUCAAGGAGAGAUAGUUCCAUGAGAAUUCCAAGGAGUCUGAAUCAAAGACAAAUUGCUCACUCAAGGGUUCUUAUUUUCUUUUAGGUACAAAUCUCUUGAGUGUUGUUAAAGAAACACGUCACUGUCAUUUUGAUUUGCAUUUAACAUUUCACUUUUGUUCUGGAAGGUUUGUUCCGGAAACAUAUCAAAUGAGCAUCAUUUUCUUCUUCGGUGACACAUGGUCGCGAGUACGUGGGUCCAUUUUCAUGCCACUUAGUUGAAAAGUUGGAAAGAAAAAACAUGCCAACAAGAAGAUAGUGAGAGAAGGGGCACUUCAAGCCUUUAACAUGAACAAACAGUAAAUAAAAGAUGUUUCUCCACUCAUAAAAGUGUGUUAGAUAGCAAUAUAACGAAUCACAUCCAAAAUCUUUACUAGGCUCAAACAUAAAGAAGACUCAUUUUUAAGAAAAGAUAAAAAUGGCAUUGUCUGAUAGUAUCCAAUACACGAGAUGGCACUUAAUUUGUACAAGAUCUGUCAAUGCUGACGCACAUUUUCUGAUUAAAAAAAAACUGAUCAGUCAAAAGCAAUGAAGAGAAGUGAUGACAAUGAAUGAUGCUUCCAAUAUUUUCACCCCUUAUAGUGUUCUUCAUGAUUCAGAUAUAUAAUUGGAAAUAGAACAACCCUAUGCCAUACAUUCGUCUAAGUAUGGUGUCUAAUUUUUUGUGUCAGCGGUUGCGAAUGGAGCGUGCAAAAGUCCAAAUUGGCGUCUCUCCAUUUCCACAUAGGAAGGUGACCUUUAUUGACAAAUACCCAAUAUUUGUAGACAUUCCUUAAAUAUCAUAACUUCUUGUUGAUUUGAAAAUCAUUUUUCAACUACCAUGUUUUAAUAAAUAUUUUUUAAAAUGUAUUUUUAUCAAAGUCCACCAUGAUGGAUAAUAUUCACCAUGCAAUAAUUAAUAAAGUACAAACUAAGCGAAAUGAAAAGCAUUUUCUUUGCUUUGAGUUGAUUUUGGUUGCAUUGAGUUGAUUUUGGUUUCAUGGUUUUUUCAACUCUUAUUUUGAUUGGAAGAUGUCAAGAAAAGAAAACAUAAAGAAAAAUUAAAAGGGAAAAAAGAAGAAAAAUAAAAAAAAAUAGAUUUAAAAGUUAAUAAAUUAUUUUUUAUAUUUAUUUUAAUUCAUUUCACUUAUUUUUCUUUUACUAUAUAAAAUUUAAAUAAUUUAAAUUUUAUAAUUAAUUUAAUUACAUUUCAUUUUCUUCUAUAUUUAAAUAUUGGAAAAAUAUUUUACUUAAUAUUUUUUUCUUUAAUUUCUUUGGCAUUUUGGGAACCAAACUUAGCCUUUAAAAUAAAAAACAAAAAAAAAAUGAAAAUAAGGAGGGAAAAGUGAGAAAAGAUAAAAACAAUAUGUAAAGGAUUUGAAAAGUAUUAGUUUGUAAUUACUAUUUGGAUUUCAAUAGUAUUUUAUUUGUCUUUCUAUAUUUCAUGUAAGAGAGAAUUUAAGAUAUUCCCCAAGGCAAAGCAUUAGUUACCUGCAAUCAGUGGUGAUAAGGCUCCAAGCCAAUUUUGGGCCCCAUAUCUUAAGACAGUACAAUUUCCAUUUCAACAUUUCUGAUUUCUCAGAUGUUUCACAUACCACAGAAGAACAUUGUUUGUGAAAAUAUGCAUUUAUGUUGGAUUUUGUAUGCUGUGGGGACUGGGGCAAGGAUCAUAUGGAAGAGUGGUUGACUUUUUCUGUACUUUAACGGUUGAAAUAGGAUAAGCACGGGCAUUUGUGAGGCUUAAUUGAUUUUGAAGCCUGAAAUUGCGUUUCUGUCAUUUUGUCAAAAAAAUGGCAGAUUCCAUACUCAUAUGUUUGGCCUGUGGCCAUGUACAGAUGCCAUUUAGUGACCAGUUUGUAACUGUCAAUCGUUGCGUUUUGACUCUGCCUCAACAACAUCUGCCAUUGACGGGUUUUCAUACUUGCAAAUCAAAUAGUCUUUCGUCCCAUCAGGAAUUUCGGUUUAAAUAUUAUUAAGCAUACGUUUGGCUGACAAUCAUUAUCCAGUUCAUGAUUUGGUUUCUUACCCUUAAUCAAUGGUUUCUAAGUGAAUAUAUGUAGAAGGAAAUCCGAAGUGUAGACAGUAGUAUCGAUAACUCUCAAUAUUCUCUAUAUAAUAGAAUAAACAGCGUCAUAGUGAUCGUCGCCUACAAGCAAGGUACAAAUACCAAAACGAGUGACUCACAUAGACAUCUCCCAACAAGAUGUAGUAGUGACUGACACAUGGACACAAUUAACUCGUAGAAAAGGAUAAGACCAUUGCACAGCAGCUCUUAUUUUACAUACUACUUAUGCUAACCAAAGUCAAUUAGUUGGGAUGGGUGGGAGAUGGAGGUUUGUGCGGUGGCUUGUGGGGCGGAGUUGAUGGCUUCUUUCCAGGAGCUUCUGGCUUUUUCAUCGGAGCUGAAGGAGGCUCAAUCUUAUGAGGCGGCUUGUAUGAGUCUUCUUUACUCUCGACAGGAGGGUGGCCAGGGUUGUGAUCAUAAUGUGGUGGCUUCUCUCCCUUAGGUGGCUUGCCAACUGGGGUUGGUGGCUUGUGUUCAGGAAGUGGUUUCUCUCCCAUGGGAGGUUUAGCAAUUGGGGUUGGUGGCUUGUGUUCUGGGAGUGGCUUCUCUCCCUUGGGAGGUUUAGUAGGUGACUUGUGUUCUGGAGGUGGCUUCUCCACCGGAGGCUUGUGCUCCGGUGGUGGCUUCUUGGUUGGAGGGGGCUUGGGGUAAUCAGCAAGAGAUGGGGUGGUGAGAACCACCAGUCCAAGGAACAACACUAGCAAGUAUGUGGGAGACAUUUUUGAGUUUGGGCUGAUCAGAUGAUGCAAAACUAAAGCAUUACGUGACCUUUUAUAGCAUGUAGCUCCCAAUACCCACUAAGUAUUGUGGGGUCCAUUUGUGCCCUACGGGGUUGAAAACUUAGACAAUUGGGCAAGGACCCACCUGACUAUGGAGGACUAGUGAGGUGUGAUCAUAGCUUUAGGAUUUUUCUUCCUCUGCAGCCGUCGUGCCGUUGGCAUGAUUUUCUUAAUCUUAAAUAAAGGCAUAGUUAUAGAGUUGUUUAAUCUCUAAAUGGGAUUUUAUAUAUAUCUUCAGAUAGCCAUUAAUAUAUUUGAUGAAGAAAGAAAGACAAGUGCAUACAACAUGUAUACGACUAGCUUUCAUGGAGUUCAUUUAUGAUCAGUUUUCCUGUACAUGUAAACCAGGAUCAUAUAUAUGUUUCUGUUCCACAACUAUUUUGGAAUCUUGUUUAUCAGUUUUUAUCAUUAUAAUGUCACAUAGGCUGCCAACUUGGGCGCUAAAAGAACCAGUUGGGCUAGUUCGUUUCAGAAUUUCAAUGUGGAUUCAGGAAUUGUUUUGUAAGAUAUGCGAAAUAGUAGAGGGAUGAAUAGUGUUUCAUUAAUAAAAGUGUCCUGUAAAUUAGAAGGUGUCAUAGAAACUAUAAUCAAUAAAUAACUUUUUUUCCCCACGGGUGGUGUUUCUUGUGGGGAUCAGUGACUGGUUUAGGUUCACCCAAAAUGAGUUCAGACUAAAAUUGGUUUGAGUCAAUGCCGUGUCUCUUUUUUCCAGAAAUCAACUAUUUUAUGCAUUGAAUAAAUCAUACAAAGAAAAUAUGAACGCCCGCAAAACCUAAACCCUGGUUGCUAACUUUCUAUGUUUCAGUUCUAUUCACGCAAGAAUAUUAGUUUAAGUUUGGGAAAAAUGGCAACUUACCUAGUGAUUACUUGGUUUUGGUUUGCGACUAUUUACGCAACCAACCAUGAGUUUGACUUUAACGUCAUGGGUUGAAGCCUCCUACAGGAAGGGAGAAAGCUCCACAGCUAGCUCCAAAAGAGAAUUAUCACAUUGAUAGCUCCAGAGAUUCCCAAGGGGACUGAAUCAAAGACAAGUUCCUCACUUUUUCUUCUUUUGAGGCCAAAUAUGAACCAAGGAUCACACAACCUCAUUCAACUUCAUAAGUUUGAUUUCAUGCAGUUGAACACUGGGUGAAGGCCAUGACAAGAAUUGAUUCAAAAAUUCUAUCACUCUUUUAAGUAAUGGAAGAUUAUUAUCUCUGAUUGGCAUCACAACAGCACAUGCUCCUAGAUCUUUCUAGACACUCCAUGCAAUGAAAGCACAAUGGAUCUUGUAACGAUAGAAACUAAGCCAUGCUACAGUACUAGAUGAUGAGGUAAAACUAGUAGACACGGGUGGCAGCCUAUAUGGGAGGGACACAAGUCUAAUUGAUUUGCAUUUCAGCAUUAUAGAUAGGUAUGUUUUGGAAGAUUUGUUCUGGAAAUACCGCACCAAGUAGGAUUCUUUUUCUCUUUAGUGGGUCCACUUGCAUGCCAAUUAACGAGUUGAAAAGUAUGAGCACCUACCUCGUGCUCGUGGAACCGAAGGUCAGUGAAGUGGGGCUCCUUUUGGCCUCGUGUAAACUUGAUUCAGAAGUGAAGUUAAUAGUCUUCCAUUCAGAUGGAUACAUGGGAAUUUUUCUCUUUUAUUUAUUUAUUUAUUUUUUUUUUGUGUGUGUAUGUCAAAGGAUAAUGAAUGAAGCGCGUUAGCUUGUUUUCUGACUGGAACCGCAGAUGUCCAAAUUGGAGUUCCUUCAUUUCUUACUUAGGAUUGUUACAUGUAUAAACAAGGUAUAAGAAAUAUGCCAACGUGUCUUGAGGAGUUAUUGAUUAGAAAUAACAAGUCACCCGACUGUAGAGUUCCAAGAUUUGAAUCUUCAGACCCUAUAGCAGCCUCUGGGGUACGUGGCAUCCUAUAGCAUAUUAAUGAAGGCUUUUUCGAUUUAGACUUCACAAUACCAAUUAAUAUGUAUGCACAAAAUGGAGAUGACCCCAAAAAAAACAGAAUCGCCAUAGUUUAUGAGGUUAAGGUGAUUCUCCACUUAAUAUCUACAUUAGCUAAUUAUGUAAAUCAAAUGAACUUCUAUUUUUCCUUUUUUUUUUUGGUUUAUGUCAAAUAGUAGCCCAUAAUUAACCCAACCAUUAGCCUGUUUGAAUUGAUUUCACAUGCACAAUGUUGUAGUAGUUCAUAUUUUGAAUUUUAUUUUUACAAAGGUAGUUAAGGAAAAUGAAGUAUAAUAAUUAUAAAAGCAGACUAUAUACACUACAAUAAUUGUUAGAAUGGUAUCUCAAAUUCUAAUUUAAAAUAUUAUUUUUUGUAAAAGAAAUAUUAUAUAGAAUAUUUCCUAAUUUUAUAAAUGAUUAUAAUUAGAUCUUUAUAAAAUAAGGAAAGUUGGUAAGAAUAUCUUUAUAAAUAUUUUAGGUCAUGAGAGAAAGAAAUGGGAUAAAAAUGUGAUGAAGAGGUGAAAUAAGAGAGUUGAUUAGGAUAUAGAUGUGAAGAAGAAAGGGAUUCAAUAUAUAUAUAUCUUUCAAUUACCACAUUAAAACCCUGUGAACCUUUUAUAUGGUUUACUUUAUUUUUAUAUUCCUCCUUUAAUAUAUUUACAUUAAUGCUUCCAUUGGCACAACAAUAACGAAUUACAAAUACAAGCAACAAGUCCCAUGUUUUAUUACCAAAAGCAGGUAAAAUCCACCUAAUAUAUUACAAUAUAUUCAUCCAAUAUUUUAGACCAAUUCUUCACCAUAAAUAUCAUAAUGUGGCUUUUGUUCUUUCUUAAAUUUAAAUUGAAUUGUCUUAUAUCAAUUUGUUUGUGAUUUUUUCAUUAACUUCACUUUCAUUUGGUUAUCUUUGGUUUUUGAAAAGUAUUAAGGAAUUAAUUAACAAAAUAAUGUUAAGAAAAAUAAUUUUCUCUCUUUUGAUUUUGAUUUUGUAGUAGAAAAAUAUAAUUAAAAUUAUUUAAAAAGUAUGUAAUUUUAAAUUAUUUAAUAUUUAGAUAAAAAAAAUAAGUCUAAUGAGUUUAAAAUAACAUAUAAAAAUAAUUUAUUUAUUUUAAAUUUAUUUUUUAUUUUCCAUUAUGUUCUCUUUCUCUUUUACUUUUUCAUAUUUUUUCUUACGAAGAAUCAAACACAACCUCAUAUUAUAUGUCAAGUGUUUGUCUAUAUUUGAGCAAUGUUAGAUACGGCCAUGGAUUCAUCAAACUAAACUGAUUUUAAUAGAUACUUCACAAAUUGAUUUAUACACUAAAUCAUUGGAUAGCAAUGAUGCAUUGGAAUUAAACGUAGGAUGAAGCUCGAAGAACACUGUUUGUGUAACAACAUAUUUAUGAAAUUAUGCAAAGGAUGAGCUUCGGGGUAGUAGUACAAGGUCAUUAAUGGAGAGCCGUGUUAAACCUUGAUUGUGAUUGGAUUCCGUUAUCAGCAACAGCAACCUUGUUUGUAACCUUGAAAGUCAUUCUGUCCACAUCGAAACUCCAAUUUGACGUUUGUAAUUACCAUUCCUGGAGUGUUCCUUGAUUGAAAUUUAAAUAAUAAUUGCGGCCCACAAGGAAUAUUUUCGAUUCUGUGGGAAUUUGACAAGGUUUGUUAGAGAAGACUGGUGACAUGUUGACUUCAAUGGUUCAAAUAGGAGACGUAUGUGGAUUUGGGGGGUUUAAUUGAAACUGAGUCCCUAUGGCUUUUUAAUAUUUGCAUUGAGCAGUCUCCAUGUGACUUCCUAAUUCCCACCAACCCUCCUGUCCAUGCUGUGAAACUAAAUUGUAAUUUAUCAGCCUUUGUCAAUGGUUUCUAAAUUAAAGAUAUAGACCAUGCAUGUACUUUAAUAAAAGCAAAUCUAAAGUGUAGAUAGCAGCAAUGGUGACACCCAAUAUUCUCCAUAAAAUAGAAUUAGAAUAAGCAGUGUUACAUUGUUCAUGAUCACCUACAAGCAUACAAGAACUUCCAUGAAUAACUCAUAGCAAUUGCCAACAGGGCGUCGUAGAGACUCAUACAUAGAACACUAUCCACCCAGAGGAAAGGACAAGACCAGUGCGCUGCAGCUCUUAUUUUUCACAUGUAUACCACCACUCGUAAUAACCAAAUUCACUCAGUUGGGAUAGGUGGGAGAUGGUGGUUUGUGGGGUGGCUUGUGGGGAGGAGUUGGAGGAGGCUUUAUUUUCUGAGGCGGCUUGUAUGAGUGUGCAGGAGGAUGCCCGGGAGUGUGACCAUAAUGUGGUGGCUUCUCUCCCGUAGGUGGUUUGCCAAAUGGGCUUGGUGGCUUCUCUCCCUUAGGAGGUUUACCAAUUGGGGUUGGUGGCUUGUGUUCUGGGAGUGGUUUCUCUCCCUUGGUAGGUUUGCCAAUUGGGGUUGGCGGCUUAUGUUCUGGGAGUGGCUUCUCUCCCUUGGGAGGUUUGCUAAUUGGGGUUGGCGGCUUAUGUUCUGGGGGCGGCUUCUCUCCCUUGGGAGGUUUGCCAAUUGGAGUUGGCGGCUUAUGUUCUGGGAGUGGCUUUUCUCCCUUGGGAGGCUUGCCAAUUGGGGUUGGCGGCUUAUGUUCUGGGGGUGGCUUCUCUCCUUUAGGAGGUUUGCCAAUUGGAGUCGGCGGCUUAUGUUCUGGAAGUGGCUUUUUUCCCUUGGGAGGUUUGCCAAUUGGGGUUGGCGGCUUAUGUUCUGGGGGUGGCUUCUCUCCCUUGGGAGGUUUGCCAAUUGGAGUCGGCGGCUUAUGUUCUGGGAGUGGCUUCUCUCCCUUGGGAGGUUUUGUUGGUGGCUUGUGUUCUGGAGAUGGCUUCUCCCCUGGAGGCUUGUGCUCCGGAGGUGGCUUCUGAAAUGGCGGGGGCUUGGGGUAAUGAGCAAGAGAUGGAGUACUG
rnacentral:lncRNA from 1 species